CCGGGCCGGGCUCAGGCAAAAAAUGUGGUGCCCGAUGCGCAGCCCGUUUUCUAAGCGGGCCUCUUUUUUGUCCAAAACCAUAAUUUGGGCCUAUAUUUUUACCCGAACCCUCCCAUAUUUAGGGUGGGCCGUCGACCCAGCCCAUGGACACCUCUAAUCAAAAUACACAAUUUGCUCGUUAGUUGAAAUAUGAGAAUUCUCAAUUAAACACAAAAUUAUAAAAAUAACAUGCAAUCCAAUAAAAAAAAACAAUUUUUUAGUCAUUAAAAUUAGGAAAUAGAGAAGAUAAGAAAGAAAUACCUAUUAUUUAAAUGCCAUCCCUUGAUGUUAGCCACUUCAGUCAAAGCAUUUCGCCACUUUUGGAUCUUGUCUUUAUCUUCCUUGUAUCUUUCUUCGUGUUUGGCAAAGGCUUCUUCAACUUUUUCUUUUUGUUUUCUUAAAUCGGAUGGAUCAACAUGGUAGAAAAUUGGAAAUACUUUAUGACCCUUGUCAUUUUUUUGUUUAACAAUCUCCGCAAGCUCCUCCAAGCACCAACCUGAAAAGGCAUAUGUCUCGGAAAAAACGAUUACCGAGCACCAUGAUUGCUGAAUUGCGUUGAAGAGUUCCGGUGCGAUCUCUUCACCAGUUUCCAACUUUGGAUCAUCUCUAAAAGUGACGAUCCCAGUUCUAUUUAGAGCAUCGUAGAGAUGAUCCGUAAAAUUCUUGCGAGUAUCUUCACCUCUAAAACUCAAGAACACAUCGUAUUUCUUUCUAGAAAUGGAUGAGGAAGUCGAAAGUAACGACGACAUGAGGAUGUAUGAGAAGAAAACUAUGUGGAUGUAGUGUUCAAAAUCAGUCGCUCAAUACCUCCGAAACAAUAAGUAUAUGAGCAUGAGGGGAGAAAAACAGAUGAAAUUUCGAGGGAAGAACAAAGGGAGUAGGUGAAUCUAUCAGUAUAAUAAUAUCUAUGAAACGGAGUAGGUGUGGAAAUUCGGGGUCAUAGAUGCUCUUUCCGGGAAGACUCCAAGAAGGUGAGAGUUCACAAAAUGCAGCCUACAAUUUUUCUGAAAAUUAAAUUCAUUAAUUUAUUCAGAACCAUAUAAUUGAGGCGAAAGAAAAUAAUAAAUAUUCAUAGUAGAUGAAUAGUAAAUUCUAUCACAAUAAAGGCUUUAGCCUUAACAUCAAUAGAAUCAUGGCACGUUAACAAUUAGUUUUGUCACAACUCAAGUACGACAUAUAUGAAGUAAUUUUAAAUACUAAAUACGAUAAAAAAAUCAAGCUCGGAUGGUCCAAAGUGAUGAGCAAAAAUUGACAAAAGAAUCGAGCAUUCACCAAACUAGAGAGGACGACAAUAAAAUCAUCUCUAAAACCACUUGUAAAACUAAUAUUAUAUGCAUAAACACACCUAUUAAAUAAUUGAAAAAAAUAUAAAACUUAACAACACGAAAAUAGAUCUUACAAUUGUUAUCAAGUAACGUGUUGGACGGUUUGUGUUUUACUUGUUUUUUUAUAUUAUCAUACCUACUUUAUAAUCAGUAGCUUAUGUUACAUAUGUGAUUUUACACAUUUAAUAUUUGAUUAAUUUUUUAAAAUAUUAGACUUUUAAUUGAAGUAAUUAGUAUAAAAUAAUAUUUUUAUUUGAAUUAUUGAAUAUAUGUAAAAUAUAUUAAUUUAUUAAUUCAAACAAAUAUUAUAAUAGAAAAUUUUUAAAUAAUAAUUAAAUCAUUUUUAACAUAUUCAAUAUAUAAUAUAGUUUUCAUUUAUGUAGCUAAUGCAAUGUAAUAUUACUCAAAAUAAAAACUACUUAACAUAUUUGUCAGCAACCUCUUGGCCUAUUUACAAAAGCUUGGUUUUGUAGGUACAAGAGUUUAGGUUCACUCUUAAGCAACCCCAUUUUCCUCCCUCAAAUAUAUAUAAAAAAACUGAGCACAAUAAACUCUAAUAAUAAUUAAGUGAUAAUUAUAAUGAUAAUUUUAAAUUUAGUAAUAUAUAAAAAUAAAUAUUUUUUUCAAACUCGUUGUUAUAUAUAUAUAUAUAAUAUAUUACAAAUUAAAUAUUAAAAUUGUGUUUUACGUGUCAUAGCAUUUCACCACCAUUUGAUCUUAUCUUUUACCUUCCUUGUACCUUUCUUCGUGUUUGGUGAAGGCUUCUUCAACUUUUUCUUUGUUAAAAUUAAAAUUCCUAUUAAAUUAUAAUUUAUUUUUUAAAUAUGAAUUUAGUAAUAUAAAGAAAAAAUAGAGGUUAUUUUCAAAAUUAUUUUCAAACUCCUUGUUAUAUAUAUAUAUAUACAAAUUACGCACUCAUCUUCCUUUCUAAUAAAUUAACAAGUGCCAAAUUAUUCAACUCCGCUUGAUUAGUGCUGUUCAAAUCUGCUUUAACUUUACCUCCAUAAUACGCGGAGACCACGAAAAGCACUCAUCCUUAAUACCAUAGUUCCCACGACGCCACUAUUGAAAACAAAGGCAUUUCUAUUAGUCAAAAGUCUCCAGCAGGCCAUAGCAAAAAGAUUACCCCAUUCACAGAAAAAGCUGCUUGAGUUUCGGAGAAAUUCACCGUUCUCCCAUUUCCUAGAUCCCAAUAGACACCAUCCACUACAUCUUCCCAAAUAUUGGACAAAGCCCUCCAGAAAAAAGUUUCUAUCUUUUCUUGAUUUGUUCAACAUUCAUUAAAAUAGUUUCCAAGGCUCUUUACCCAGUGCCUUAACAAAUUUGCAUUGGCUGAAAAUUUUCAACUUCGGUGGCAACAACUUCAAUAGAGAAAUUCCAUCAUGGUUUAGUCACUUUGCUGAGUUUCGAGUCUACAGUUGCACAUUAACAAUUUCAGUGGCAUUAAAAAAUAUAUAAACCAACACUUUAGUUUUAGCUCAUUCAUACAUCUCACAAAGAAAUUAAGGAUGAGGAGAUAUCUAACUCUAUUAUUCGCCAACUAUGGGAUUGUGGAGGUGACUAUGAGUUUUUGACGCCAAUUAAGAGUUGCAUUGAAAAUCUUACAUUUUUUAGGAAUAUUAUUAAAGCAGGUUAUUCCAAUUAGCUUAUCUAAGAAGUUGGCAUAAUUGACUUCAAUUAAUUGGUAGAUGGCUCAAUUGCCAUAAAUAAGAAUGAACAAAAAAAACAAUAACCAUGAAUUGCUUACAUUUGAGGUUGUUAUCAUCGAGAUACUAAGUGUUGAGCAUAGUUAAAAUUUCGAUUUCUGUAGGUAUAUAUACUUCCCUCUAAAUUGUUGAUAUACAAGGAUAAAAGCUUCAACUUUUUGCACUUGAAUAAGCUAUUAGGAAUUCUAUUGGAAAUUUGAUUCUCACUCAAUUUUAACUUUUCUAGUUUUGACAAAUUUCCCAAAAUAGAUGGAUAAGACCAGUGAAGUUGUUAAUGUGCAACUAUAAGACUUGAAGUUCAGCGAUGUGACCAAACCACAAUGGAAUUUCUCCAUUGAAGUUGUUGUCCCCAAACUUCAAAAAUUUCAGUACUCGAUACAAAUUUGUUAACGCAAUAGGUAAAGAACUAUGGGAACUGUUUUCAUGAAUUUAGAGCCACGCAAGGAAAGAUAGAUUUUCCAAUUGAGAUGAAAUGGUGCCUGCGAUAUUCAUGCUUGAUAAAUUUAGAUUGGUCACUUUGCUGAGUUUCGAGUCUUACAGUUGCACAUUAACAAUUUCAGUGGCACUAAAAAAUAUAUAAACCAACACUUUAGUUUUAGCUCAUUCAUACAUCUCACAAAGAAAUUAAGGAUGAGGAGAUAUCUAACUCUAUUAUUCGCCAACUAUAGGAUUGUGGAGCUGACUAUGAGUUUUUGACACCAAUUAAGAGUUGCAUUGAAAAUCUUACAUUUUUUAGGAAUAUUAUUAAAGCAGGUUAUUCCAAUUAGCUUAUCUAAGAAGUUGGCUUAAUUGACAUCAAUUAAUUGGUAGAUGGCUCAAUUGUCAUAAAUAAAAAAAUAUAUAUUUACUCUAACUUUGCUAGAACUGAACAUAAUGGUUAUUGUUUUAAAGUCAUGCUUCAAUAUUUAAACAAUUAUUCAUAGAAAUUGAACAAGAAUGAACGAAUAAAACAAGAACCAUGAAUUGCUUACAUUUGAGGUUGUUAUCAUCGAGAUACCAAGUGUUGAGCAUAGUUAAAAUUUCGAUUUCUGUAGGUAUAUAUAUUUCCCUCUAAAUUGUUGAUAUACAAGGUUAAAAACUUCAACGUUUUGCACUUGAAUAAGCUAUUUGGAAUUCUAUUGGAAAUUUGAUUCUCACUCAAUUUUAACUUUUCUAGUUUUGACAAAUUUCCCAAAAUAGAUGGAUAAGACCAGUGAAGUUGUUAAUGUGCAACUAUAAGACUUGAAGUUCAGCGAUGUGAUCAAACCACAAUGGAAUUUCUCCAUUGAAGUCGUUGUCCCCAAACUUCAAAAAUUUCAGUCGAUACAAAUUUGUUAAUGCAAUAGGUAAAGAACUAUGGGAACUUUUUGCUGUACUAGCAAUACUUUUCUAAGUGAGUGGACUUUUUGCUGUGAGUGCAUGGUGGAAACUUCCUUUUAGUAGCAUCAUUUUUUCCUUUUUCUUUCUUUUCUGACCAAGACCUUUUGCCAUUGUUUCUUGUGCUCGAGUUUGAGCUUUCUCUACUUCUAGCUUGAAAGGCUCCUUCAGAAUGCUCCUCUAUUUUGUUUGCUCUUCUUUACUCUUGUGCAUAGAGAGAAUUUGUCAGCUCUGUCAAGGGUAUAGCUGAUAGGUCCCUAGAGUCCUCCAAAGAAGAGAUUUUUGACUCAUACUUCUCUGGAAGAGUUGUAAUGACUUUUUCAACUAUCCUUUUGUCACUAAACUCAUCCUGAAGAAGCCUUAUGUUGUUGGCUGUAGCCAUAAUCCUGUCAGCAUACUACUUAAUGGUUUCAAACUCUUUCAUCUUCAGAUUCUCGAAGUCUCUCCUUAGGUUUAUCAAUUGCUGCUACUUGGUCUUGUUUGACCCUUGAAACUCUUCCUUGAGUUUGUCCCAGUCCUGUUUUAGAGUGUCACAAGCCAUUAUCCUUGUGAAGAUCACAUCUGAAACUUUAUUUUGUUGGAACAAUGGCAGCAGCAAACAUCAAACCAAGUUACAACACAGUGUUUGCAAGACUGAAGCAAGAAGAAUCGAAGCAAAGAAAGAGCAAAGCAAAGCAAAAAUUUGAUCAAAAUUGAAUACUCAGCAAAUUUGUAACUGAACAUUCCAUAUUUUUCAUUCAAAUUUGAAAUAUAAAAGAGUUACAAUGUACAUUGACAGUUACCUAAUGUAUUUAACUGCCCCAACUAAUACAAACCUAAUCACUAGCCAAAAAUAAUCAAAUAUAGCUGACCAAUCAGCCAUUACAUCAAAAGAUCUUAUCACUAACUUAAGUUUAACUAGUAUUACAAACAAACUAAAAUUGAACUGAACCAAAUUACAUCAAAACAAAACAGCAAAGUUGGUUGCUUCAUUCGGUUCAAAAACCAUUCGUGCGCACCAAGCAAAAUGAGCUGAGCUCGAUAGCUGCUGGUCUCGACAGUAGCAAGCUUCUGGCUCCAUGUUGCAUUGCAGUCCAGCUUUCAACACUCCUCCUUGGACUGUAUGCAACACAUUCCAAUUGCACUUCUCAAAGAUUCAAAUCGAGCAGCCCCGAAGGGCUUGGUCAUUAUGUCAGCCAAUUGUGCUCCUGAGCUGCAAUGCACAAGGCUGACUUCUUUUGCUUGUUCAGCCUCUCUAACAAAAUGCAGUUUGAUUUUAAAAUGCUUAGUCUUACCAUGGAACACAGGGUUCUUGGCUAUUGCAACUGCAGACUGAUUAUCCACCCAAAUUUUAGUUGCUUCAUCUUGAGUUUCAUUAAGGUCGUAAAGCAGCUUCCUUAGCCAAAUGGCCUGAUUAACUGCUCCUGCUGCAGCAAUGUACUCUACUUCAGCUGUGGACUGAGCAACAGUUUGUUGCUUCUUUGAACUCCAGCAAAACAUGCCCGAUCCAAGUGUGAAGAAGUAUCCAGAGGUACUCUUCAUGUCAUCGAGAGAUCCUGCCCAGUCACUAUCAGAGUAGCCUUUUAGUUUCAGUUGGUUCUGACUUUCAAACAUUACACCAAAACUAGUAGUGCCCUUGAUGUAUCUAAGGAUCCUCUUUGCUGCCUUCAAAUGUGCCUCAUUGCAACAAUGCAUAAAUCUCGAUAACAGGCUGACACCAAACAUGAUGUCUGGCCUUGUUGCUGUUAGAUACAACAGAUAACCAACUAGGCUUCGAUAGUGCCUCUCAUCAACCCUCUACUGAUCACCACUGCUAGUCAGCUUUUCUCCUUGAGCCACAGGUGUGCUGACUGCUUUACAGUUAUGCAUGCAAAAUUUGUCUAGGAUCUUCAAAGCAAAUGAGUGUUGGCUGAUGAAGAUACCUCAAUCAGACUGGUGCACUUCCAUGCCAAGGAAGUAAGUCAUGAUCCCUAAAUCUGUCAUCUCAAACACUUGCUGCAUUUGGACCUUGAACUGAUCAAUGAGCUCAAUUUUGCUCCCUGUCACAAGCAAAUCAUCCACAUACAAGGAGACAAUCAGCAAGGUUUCAUGUUCUGACCUUUUAACAUACAGAGUAGGCUCACUAAGGCUCUUUACAAAUCCAAGUUUGGUCAGGUAAGCAUCAACUCUGUCAUACCAGGCCCUUGGUGCCUGUUUCAGGCCAUAGAGGGCCUUUCUCAACUUAUACACUUUGUCUUCAUGUCCAACAACUUCAAAACCUUCAGGUUGCUCGAUGAAGAUCUCCUUCUUGAGAAAACCAUUCAGGAAUGCUGAUUUGACAUCCAAUUGGUGAACUCUCCACUGCUUCUGAGCUGCUAAAGCAAACAGCAGCUUAAUUGUAUCCAGUCUUGCCACUGGAGCAAAAGUUUCUAGGUAGUCAACACCAUACUGCUGACUGUAGCCCUUCACCACAAGCCUGGCCUUGUGCUUGUUCAGUGAGCCAUCAGCAUUGUACUUGGCCCGGUACACCCAUUUAACUCCUAUGACCCUCUUAUGUUCUGGUCUCCUCACCAACUCCCAAGUCUGAUUUUUGUUGAUCAUUUCCAACUCAACUUCCAUAGCUUUCAUCCAGCUUCUGUUCUUAGCAGCCUCUUCAAAGUCUGAGGGCUCAAUCACAGCAACAUUGCACCUCUGAUAGACAUCAGCCAAAGUUCUGGUGCCCCUCACUGGUAUAUCAUCGACAGUAUCAUUACUUGGUCUUUCUUCUGCAGGUUCAGCAACCAAGUCUAACUGGUCCAAUUCAGACAAGUCAGCCUCAACACCAUUCCAAUUCCACAUCUUUUCCUCAUCAAACUUUACAUCCCUGCUGACUAAAACCUUCUUUGCUGUAGGAUCAUACACUCUAUAGCCCUUCUUGUUGCUGCUGUAGCCAACAAAGAUUCCUGGAGUUGCUCUGCUCUCAAGCUUGGUCCUUUUCUCUACUGGAAUAAGUGCAUAACAUACACAGCCAAACACUUUUAAGUGUGUUACCACAGGUUUGACUCCAUGCCAAGCCUCAAAAGGAGUCUUAUCCUUGACUGCUCUAGUUGGCAGUCUGUUGAGCAGAUACACUGAGGUGUUGACUGCCUCAGCCCAAAACUGACUUGGAAGCUUGCCUUGAAACAAGAGGCACCUGGCCAUGUUCAGUACAGUCCUAUUCUUUCUCUCACAGACUCCAUUCUGUUGAGGAGUAUAGAUUGUUGUGAGCUGAUGGUGAAUCCCAGCACUGUCACAAAGCUUCUGAAAUCUCUCAGACACAUAUUCAGAGCCAUUAUCAGUCCUCAAGGCUCUAAUUUUGCAGCCUGACUGAUUUUCAGCAUAAGCCUUGAAUUUGCAGAAGGCUUCAAACACUUCUGACUUUUGCUACAAGAAGUAGACCCAGCACAACCUUGUUAAAUCAUCUAUAAACAGGGCAAAGUACCUGUUCUCACUGAUUGAAGGUGUUCUCAUAGGGCCACAAACAUCAGAGUGCACCAAUUCGAGCUUGUUUUAAGCUCUCCAAGCACUGUCAGCAGGAAAAGACAGUCUAGCCUGCUUACCAAGCUGACAAACCUCACAAACAUUCCCACUAACUUCAAUUUUUGAAAUGUCAUCAACCAAAUUCAGCCUAUGUAACAGAUCGAUGGAUCUAAAAUUUGCAUGGCCUAAUCUCCUAUGCCACAAGUCAGUGCUUUCAACAAGGCUGGUGUAUGCCUUUCUUUCUAUUUGGCUAACAUCCAGCAUGAAGCACCUAUCAGUCAUAGAGACUGUGACUAACUCCAGACCAUUCAUGUCUUGAACAAUACAGCAACCAUCCUUAAAAACCAAUGUAUAGCCCUUUUCAACUAAUUGGCCUACACUAAGCAAAUUCUGGUCUAAGUCAGGUACAAAAAACACAUCUGAGAUCAGCUUGUUACCUGAACCACUGCUAAUCAACACACUGCCCUUGCCUUUAGCCUCAAUCAGCCUACCAUCUCCAAUUCUAAUCCUCGAGUAGAAGCUUCUGUCUAGGCCUUUGAACAGCUUCUCAUCUGCUGCCAUAUGGUGUGAGCAGCCACUGUCUAGUAGCCAAUCAUUGCUGGCCUUGGUUGUGCCAACAAAACAAGUUGCUGUGAACACUUGCUCCUCCUGAGCUUGAAUGUCCUCAGCAGGUCUAGCUUGUUGCAGAGCAGCCUCCCUUGGUUUGCCCUUGCACACCUUCUCCACAUGGCCAAACUGCUUGCAUUUUCUACACUGAAUAUCUGGCCUAAACCAGCAAUACUUUUCUGAAUGUGUUGUCUUCUUGCAAUGAACACAUGGUGGGAACACCCUUUUUGCUUCAUCUCUUCCUGACUUGACCCUUCUAUUGUGCCAAGGCUUCUUGCCUUUUGCACUCACACUCGAGCCUUCACUGGCUUUAGCCUGGAAAGCAGCUUCAGGAUUCUCCUCCUGCCUAUUUGCCCUCCUUUGCUCAAGUUCAUACAGGGAGUUUAUCAGCUCAGACAAUGAAAUGGCUGAUAAGUCCCUCGAGUCCUCAAGUGAAGAGAUUUUAGACUCAAAUUUCUCAGGGAGAGUUGUAAUAACCUUUUCAACAACUCUGCUCUCUGUGAAGUCCACUCCCAGGAGCCUAAUGCUGUUGACAAUGGCCAUUAUCCUGUCUGAGUACUGCUUGAUGGUCUCAGACUCCUUCAUCCUCAAAUUUUCAAAGUCUCUCCUGAGGUUGAUCACUUGCUGUUGCCUUGUCUUAUCAAUCCCCAUGAACUCCUCCUUCAGCUUCUCCCAAGCCUGCUUUGGUGAGUCACAGGCCAUGAUGCGAGUAAAUAUCACAUCAGAGACUCCAUUUUGCAAGCAGGCCAUAGCCUUAUGCUUCUUGGCUCGCUCCUCAGUAUGUUGCCUCAUCUGUGCAAUGGUGGGAUUGGCUCUCAAUGGAGGUGGUUCAGCAUCAUUCUCGAUCACACUCCAAAGAUCAUGUGCCUGGAGAUAAGUCUUCAUUUUAACUAUCCAAAUGUGAUAGUUUUCUCCAGUGAACACUGGUGGAGGUGGUGGAGUGAAACUCAUUCUGCUAAACUGAUUUUAAGUGCUUCAAUCUUACCAAAUUUUGAACUUGCUGUUGGUUUUAAUUCGAACACAACAGAUUGCAUACAAAGGCCCCUCAAAGACUCGGGCUCAUGAUACCAUUUGUUGGAACAAUGGCAGCAGCAAACAUCAAACCAAGUUACAACACAGUGUUUGCAAGACUGAAGCAAGAAGAAUCGAAGCAAAGAAAGAGCAAAGCAAAGCAAAAAUUUGAUCAAAAUUGAAUACUCAGCAAAUUUGUAACUGAACAUUCCAUAUUUUUCAUUCAAAUUUGAAAUAUAAAAGAGUUACAAUGUACAUUGAUAGUUACCUAAUGUAUUUAACUGCCCCAACUAAUACAAACCUAAUCACUAGCCAAAAAUAAUCAAAUAUAGCUGACCAAUCAGCCAUUACAUCAAAAGAUCUUAUCACUAACUUAAGUUUAACUAGUAUUACAAACAAACUAAAAUUGAACUGAACCAAAUUACAUCAAAACAAAACAGCAAAGUUGGUUGCUUCAUUCGGUUCAAAAACCAUUCGUGCGCACCAAGCAAAAUGAGCUGAGCUCGAUAGCUGCUGGUCUCGACAGUAGCAAGCUUCUGGCUCCAUGUUGCAUUGCAGUCCAGCUUUCAACAUAUUUUGAAGGCAUGACAUAGCUUUAUACUUUUUGGCACAGUCCUUAUUGUGCUGCCUAAUUUGAGCUAUGAUUGGAUUAGCUCUCAAAGGUGGUGGCUCUGUGUCAGCUAGAACAACACUCCACAAAUCAUGAGCCUACAAAUAUGUCUUCAUUUUCACAACCUAAAUGUUGUAGUUUUCACCAGCAAAGACAAGUGGUGGUAGUGGUGAGAAACUCGUUCUUCUACAGCAACUGAAACAAGCUAACAAAAAUAGCUUCUAUUUCUUUUCUUUCAAGCACGAGUCACUCAAGGAAUAGCUUACAACAAAAGGCCCUAAAAGAUGAUAGGCUCUUGAUACCAUAGGCUCUUGAUACCAUUUUUUGAGUUAAAAUCAUUAAAUAAGAAUCAAAACAAAGAAUUUGUGUUUGAAAGAUGAAAAAUAGAAGCAAAAACCAUAUGUUGGAUUGAGAGAAGAAGAUGACUUAUCUCAUUACUUGAAUAAGUAACAUGACAUAUACAUAAAUAGUUCUAUUACAUUGGAAGAAAAUAAGCAUUGUUUGUGUAAGUAACCAAGCUGUAAAAUCAACUUAAUGAUAACCUAAAACCUACUAAAUCUGCCAAGUACAUGGCUGAACCUCAGCAAAACAAAAAGUUACAAUCAUAUCAAACAUAAGUCACAUGUUACAAAAGUUCAAUGACCGAAAUACACCAUGGACAUUUGCAUGCUGUAUACAUGCUGCUGCAUCGUUGCCAACUUUCAACAAUAUCCGUGGUUCUGUAACUAAAACCAUGAAAAGAAAGAGAGAGAUAAAUCAACCUUAAUAUUGUUUUCAGCAAUGUUAUUGCACCAAUGUUCUCUUCCAAUCUGCGGCUGUUACUGGCCAUAAAGUAAGCCCAAUUAUGUUUCCAAUCUGUUGUCAUCCUUGUUAGAAGCACAUUUAACGAUUUAAGCUCACUGCAAUUUGACAUUCCAAGAUAUUGAAGAUUAGAAAGAUGAGUAAGAGACGCAGGUAGCUCGUGAAAUUGUUACCACUAAGAACAAGAUAUCUCAAUGAGGAUAGACCAGAAAUAUCAAUAGGAAUAUCUCUUUCACCAUAUUGCACAGGUUGCAAUUUGACAACUUAUCGUCAAGCUUGGAGAGUUGAGUAAGAGAUGUUAGUAUGUUGUUGAAAUUGUUACCGCUAAGAUCAAGAUCUGUCAAAAGAGGAUAGGCAAGAAAUAGUACUAGGAAUAUCUCCUUCACCAAGAUUGCAAUCCCUUAGUUUCAAGUUUGUUAAUGAACUCAAACAGGAUAAUGAGGGUCGCAUAGGAGCUGUGGAAUUCAUCCUUCCUCUUUGGCUUACCUUGAAAAGAGAAAUGUGAUUUCUUUUUAACUUAGACGGACCCUUGCAUCUAUCAAAAGAAAAAACUUUAAGAUUUUUCAAUUGAGAAAUGAAGGAUGAUGGUUCUUUUAUGGUUGUUUCACUCAAGUCAAGCUUUUCCAAAGAUUCCGUCUGCUACAAAUUCUCUGGCAAAUAUUCAACUUUAUAACAACCAAAAAGAUCAAGAGUUUUUAGAUGUUCCAUUUUCCCAUAAAUCUCUGGAACCCUGGCAAGAUUUGAGCAACCUGAAAAAAAUUAAAGUUUCAAGGGAUUCCACUCCAAUUUUUGUUGGAAGACUCCUAAGACUUUUGCAGUUUCUUAAAUCUAAAAGUUUAAGUCUCUUAAGCAGUCCAAGUGACGGAUGGACAUCUACUAAUCUGGUACAACCUUCCAUAAUCAGAACUUUGAGAUAUGCGGCUGUUAUUAAUGGUAGUAGCAUUUUAAUUAUUUUAAUAUACUUUUACUUUUAGAAAUUUUGUCCCAUUCUUUUAUUUCAUGUCAUUUUUGAAAAAGAGUUUGAAUAAUAGGUUUGGAGUAGUAAAAAUGGCUCGUUUAAUAUUAUAAUAAUAUUUGUUACAUGUCAAAUCAGUUUCAUGUCAUUUGUUUUCUAAUUAUUAUUAUUAUUAUUUGAAACAUUAUUAUACGUUCCUAUAAUAUUUGUUCUUUUUGAUAGAAUGUCUAGAACUAUCUAUAGUCCCUCCCUCACCCUUAAAUAGGAGGAUAAUGCGCUUCAGCGUACUCAAACCCACGUCUUCCUGCACUAGCAACAAUACUGAUGCCAAUCGAGUUAGGACUCAAACCCACGUGUUCUUAAACGACUAGGUUUGACGACCCUAGGAAGUUAUCAUAGGCUAGACGAGGUCAGGAGAUAAACGGGUAUUAACCAAUCGAUUAAUUAGUUAGAGGUUGGGACGUAAUAAUUGACUAUCAGUAGCUAAUCUAUCCUCAAACCCUAAUCCGAAGUUUCGUACAAAUCUUGAAGCAAGUUAAUCUUCCUGAUUGAUUUAUUAAUUUUAGUGGAUUGUUAUUUUUCUUAUUUAAAUUCUCUCAUUAAUCUAUUUUAUGAUUUAUUGUAAUAUAGAGAUUAAUUACUACUUCUUAGACUUAUUAUUGUAAAAAGGUUUCCGUAGAUUUAUUCCAUCCUCUGUUAGGUACGAUCUUCGGAAUACUUCCAAAUAUUUUGUAAUACUAACUAUAUUACACUUUGACCCGUGCACUUGCAAACACCGCUAUUCUAAAUUCUUAUAUAUUUUUGGUGUAUUAUUUUAAUAUAAACAAUAACCCCUUUACCACUCCGUUGGCCCACUUUAGCUACAGACCCCUGCUUCAAACGAAUUGGGUCAGUGGUCACACCUUCCCCACUACCUCCAGCCUCAACGAAGACACCCUUUCCUUUUUUAUUAGCUUCCAGAAUUAUCUCCCUUAUUUCCUCCCAUCAUUCCCCAAUAUCAUUGACAGAAUCAAGAACUUUAAAUCUAGAAUCCCCAAUCAAAACCCCCGAAUUAGCGUUGCCUGCCUUCCAAGGAUCCCUAAAAUUAGGCCUUAACUUUCUCUCCACAAGCAUCCUUGAUCCGUAGACUGGUGACUCCUCUGGUCUAUCAUCUUCCACCAUCACCGCCAUAUCCGCCAUAGAGUGUUUCGCAUAAGCCCUGGAAGCCCCCUUGUUCUUGUUGGAGUUGGAAUCCUCAAUUGUAAAAGUCGCUGUAUCAAAUAUUUCGACCAUUAAUCAAACAAUAACAGAAACUUAACUAAAUAGGAGAAAAAAUCAAUUUGUACGAAAGGGCUAGUGAAGUAGUUUACACAAUUAUUGCUUCUUCCCUGAUCGGCCCGUUAUAAAAUUCAAAAAGUUUUGAAUCCUUUUAGGUGCGGCCCUUCUUCCUCUGUUUCCACGUCGAUAUCACGUUUUCGUUUUACAAGGGAAGUGCUGCCUGCGGAUCCAUCGUUUUCAGUAGAGUGAUGAUGGAUAUGUUCCAAGUUUGGAGAAGAUUGAAUGGUAUGGCACUGCAGCUCUUUUAUUUCUUCCAAAUCUUUCUCAUACAUUAUUCUAACACCACACUUCUUCACCUUAACAGAAGGAUACCUUUUUGGAGAAGAUUGGAAAGACAUCUCAAGCGAUAAAUCCUUGGCUUCACAUUUAUCCUUUAAUGAUAAUGGCGAGAAAUAUCGAAGAAAAAGGUGGUCCUUCUUUAUGCGUCGUCCACAAAAAUUAAGGAAACUGGAAUCGACCAUUCGACUAUUUUUAACUUGAAAAACAGAUCCAUUACUACUAGAUUGUCCAGAAUAUCUAGAAUGGAUAUAAGUUGGACCACCGAUAACCUUUAUCUCGGAACCAUCAUCAUCACCGAAAAUGCAGCAGAAAGCAACUCCAAUACAUUGACUGUCAUUCUGAAUAUUGAGAGGCAAAGGUAUUUCGAUUACAGAGCCGCCUCUCUGUUGGCUGAACCAUUCUGGGAUUUCAUUUCCAGGUAUAACAGCAUCAAAUCUUUUUCUUGAAUUCGCAAAUGCCUGCAAAUUAAAACAUCAGUCGUUCUUGAAUUUGCAAAAUAAAAUAUCGGUGGUUCUGUAACUAAAACCAUGAAAAAGAAGAGAGAGAUCAAUCAACCUUAAUAUGUGUUUUCAGCAAUGUUAUUGCGCUCAUGUUCUCAGCCAAUCUGUAGCUGUUAAUGGCUAAAAAGUAAGACCAAUUAUGUUUCCAAUCACUUGUCUUCCUUUUUAGAACCACAGGCAACGAUUCAAGCUCUCUGCAAUUACACACUCCAAGAUAUUGAAGAUUGGAAAGACGAGCAAGAGACGCAGCUAUGCUGGUGAAAUUGUUACUAUUAAGAUAAAGAACUUUCAAUGAGGAUAGACCAGAAAUAUCACUAGGAAUAUCUUCUACACCCAUAUUGCACAGGCCGCAACUUGACAAACUAAGUUCUUCAAGCUUGGAGAGUCCAGUAAGAGAUGCCGGUAUUCUUAUUGAAAUUGUUACCGUUAAGCUCAAGAUAUGUCAAAGAGGAUAGACAAGAAAUAGCACUAGAAAUAUCUCCUUCACCAAGAUUGCAGUCCCUUAGUUUCAACCUUGUUAAUGAACUCAAACCGGAUAAUGAAGGUAGCAUUGAAGCUAUGGAAUUCAUCCUUCCUCUUUGGCUUACCUUGAAAAGAGAAAGGAGAUUUCUUUUUAACUUACACGGACCCUUGCAUCCACCGAAAUAUAGAACUUUAAGAUUUUUCAAUUGAGAAAUGAAGGAUGGUGGUUCUUUUAUGGCUGUUUUACUCAAGUCAAGCUCUUCCAAAGAUUCUGCUUGAUGUAAACUCUCUGGCAAAUAUUCAACUUUAUAACAAUCAGAAAGAUCAAGAGCUUUUAGAUGUUCCAUUUUCCCAUCAAUCUCUGGAAACCUUGCAAGAUUUGAGCAACCCGAAAGAAUUAAAGUUUCAAGGGAUUCCAUUCCAAUUUUGGUUGGAAGACUCCUAAGACUUUUGCAAUCUCUUAUAUUCAAAAGUUUAAGUCUCUUAAGCACUCCAAGUGAUGGAUGAACAUCUACUAAUAUAGUACAACCUUCCAUAAUUAAAACUUCGAGAUAUGGGGCUGUUGUGAAGUUUGGCGUCUUGAUGAGAUUUUGGGACCCUUUAAGGCUGAUUAUUUUCAACUUAUACAAGGGCUGUCGAAAACAAUAAUAGAGUAGAGAGAAAGGAGAAAACAACAUAAUAAACCUUAUUAUUAUUAUUAUUAUUAUUAUUAUUAUUAUUAUCAUCUUGUUCAAAUUUUAACCGUUUGUAAUAUUAAAAAAAAUUAAUUGUUUAUAUUAAAAUAAGCUAAAACAUAAGGAUUAGAUGAAUUUAAUUCUUACUCUAUUUCCCUUCCACAGUUGUUCAAUGCGACUAUAUGGUAAGAGAAGUACGACAAGGUUGUCCGGUUGAAAGCUUGAAGGCAAUGAUCUUAAAGGAUAUUCUGUCCAAUCUAAAAAUCGUAGCUCAUCAGAAAGAUAUUUGAGAUCAUCACAAUUUGAUACGCAAAGCACUCUGAGCAAUCUCAAUCUUUUCAUCUUCGAGAAGACAUCGUCACUCAAAUUGAGCAUCUUGCUUGAUUCCCUAAAAACCAAGGCAAACAAAAAAUGAGCAUUAAAAUAUACAAGAACAUUCAAUACCUAAAAGCUAUGUUUCUCCAAUACUAUAUUUUAAGGACUUUUAUCGAUCCGAUACUUAUAUCUAACAUGUGUCCAAAUAUAAGCAUUGAUAUAUGAUCCUUCAAGAACUCUUUAAAUACAUGAAAAGGCCUUUUAAAAAAAUCACACAUACCCAAUUUAGACAUAUAUAUAUCUAUAAACACUCACUUUUGACUUCGAAUUACUUAAAGCUUUAGAAACUAGAAAUAAAUCUUGAUUUAUAUUAGUGCAAUGAUAAUGCGUAAUUAUUUAUUGAACGAAUUAUUAUUUUGCUGAACAAUCAGCUUCCUGUAUUCAAGGAGUUUUACAAGUCUAACUGACUCUUGUAACUGCUAACUGCUUACAACAACCUGCUAACAACUAACAACAAUAGUUAACUGCUAUUAUCACUUUACUUUAUAACUCAACAGGGUGCGAUCUCUUCGCCAGCCUCCAGCUUUGGAUCAUCCCUGAAGGUGACGAUCCCACUACUCUGUAGAGCAUCAUAAAGAUGACCCGUGAAGUUCUUGCGAGUAUCUUCACCUCUAAAACUCAAGAAAACAUCAUAUUUCUUUCUAGAAAUGGGCGAAGAAGUCGAAAGUAACGACAACAUGAGGAUGUAUGAAAGGAGAAGGAUAUCUCUAUCUGGUGUUCAAAAUCAGAAAAUAGAUCGCCCGAUACUCGCAAAGAAACUAGAAAAAGUAAGUAUAUAAGCAUAUGGGCGGAGAUUAGAGGUCAAAAUGAGUGAUGGAUGUUCUUUCCAAGAAGAAUCCAAGAAGGUGAGACUGGGCACAGUGGAGGUCAUUAAAAAUGUUGGACGGUUUGUAUUUUACGUAUUUAAUAAUUAUAGAGUAGAUAAGAUUAUGCCAAUAAUCAUUAGAAUAUAUCUUUAAUAAUUAUCCUUCGUUAUGGGCUGGUUAAAAAGUUUACCAAACAACCAACUACUCGCGUUGGCACGUGGAAAACUUCUAUCUCUAAAGACACAUCCAUUUGGGCUGGUUUAGAUUAUUUUUGGUUGGGGAUUAACCUGAUUAAGUAACGAACAAAUAAAAAUAGCGAAAAAAUUAAGAAAUUGAACACACAAAUUUAACAUGAAAAAACUCUCCGAAGAGGAUAAAAAACCACAGGCAAAGAUAAUUUUACUAUAAUGGCAAAAGAACGAAGAGUACACAAUAUGAAGAUAAAAAUUAAACCCCGAAAACAAAGAGCCCUCAAAACAUAAACACAAUUUUUCAAAAGUGCUCGAAGUUCUAAUUUCUAGAAGUUCUAAUCUCUAGAAGUUCUAAACACAAAAUUCGUAUAUGAUAUAAUAAUAAAAUAAUUUAGACUAAUCAGAGUUUGAUUGAAACAAAUAAACAGAGUUUAAUUGAAAGAUUAUUUCUCAAAUUUGACUGAAAUAUGAGUCAUACUCAACAAAUCUCCACCUUGACUCGUAUUUUCACAAUGCCACCUUUAUCAAAGCCUGCUACGAGCUUAUCUUGAACUAUACAGGGAAUUAAUUGAGUUGAAUUUGUGUUUAGAAGCUGGAAUACUUCUAGACUUCGACUUGUACACUACCAAAUCAAAACUAACCUGAGUCUAAUUUUCACAAACACAGUGUUCUAACUUUUCAAAAUCUACAUCUAAAAGAGAACCUCUGUUCGAAACAAGUUAACUUUGACUCCAUAAUAGACGAGGGACGUCCGAUUUCACCAAUCACUGUAGAACCUUCAAAACAAUAAAGACUACCGGUCCUUUUACCAUUUAACAAAACAAGAGCCCCACGAGACACCUUAAUGCCGCUCGACUUGAUGUUGAUUCUGCAACUUUUCGAGUCUAAAUUACUUAAGGAGAUGAGAUUCUUUCGUAAAUCAGGUACAUACUUGACAUCUGAGAGUGUCUUAAUCGCCCCAUCGUGCAUCCUAAUUUUAAUGGUACCAAUACCAAUUACCUUACUAGAUGAAUCGUUUCUCAUGCGCUCACCUCCACCUUCAACCGAACUAUAUAUGGAGAACCAUUCUCUGUUGGGACACAUGUGGAAAGAACAUCCCGAAUUUAGGAUCCACUCAGACAUAAGCUUAGAACUAUCGCUUGUUGACACUAAUAAAAAAUCAUCACCGCUAUUGUCAGCCAAAUUAUCACGAGCUACAUCUUCUUCGUUGCUCUCAAUAACCCUUUUAUUUCGCAGUUUAUAACAAUCUGCUUUGACGUGACAUAACUUUUUACAAUAGCGACAUCUUUUGUCUCACUUCUUUGAUGUUACCAAAACAGAAGCUUGUCUAUUUUCCUUGAUAUUCAAACCAAACUCAUUGUCGAGUUUAUAUUUGCUUAAUAAAUGACCCUUUACAUCCUCGAAUGAGAGAUUAUCUCUCCCAUAAAUCAUGGUUUCCCUAAAAGACUGGUAUAAAGUGAGUAAAGAGCACAACAAUAGCAUAGUCUGAUCCUCAUUGUCGAUCUGAACCUCAACGCUAUUUAAAUAAUUUAAAAGAUUAAUGAAUUGACUGAUGUGAUCUCUAAGAAGCUCACAUUUGUUCAUGCAAAACGUAAAUAGAUGUUGUUUCAAUACUAAACGGUUAGCCAAAGACUUAGUCGCUCGCAUAAAGAGUUUCUAACCUUUUCCACAAGGCAGAUGGGGUCUUCUCCAUUAAUACCUCCUAUAAUACUCUAUUCGCGAGGCACAAUUAGAUCGCUGAUAAGGCCUUUUCAUCAAGCUCUUCCCAUUCUGACUGAUCUAGAUUCUCGGGCCUUUUCCCGGUAACAACCUUUUUCAGGCCUGUUUGAACUAGAAUUGUCAUCAUCCGAACUUGCCACAUAUUGAAAUUUUUGACACCAUUGAAUUUCUCAAUGUCAAACCUUGUUGUUGUCAUCUCUGAACGAGCUGAUAUGCGAAAAUCGAACUAGCUCUUAUACCAUUUGUUGUGGAUCAACUUGAUUAAGCAACGGACAAGUAAAAAUAACAAAAUAAAUUCAAAAAUUGAACACACAAAUUUAACGUGGAAAAACCCCUCCGAAGAGGAUAAAAAACCAUAGGCAAAGAUAAUUUUACUAUAAUGGCAAAAGAACGAAGAGUACAAAAUAUGGAGACGAAAACCAAAACCCGAAAAUAAAGAACCCUCAAAACCUGAACACAAAAUUCUCCAAAAGUGUUAUGAGUUCUAAUCUCUAAUGGGUGUAUUUUCUAAAGUUUUAAAAGAGUCUAUUUAUAGGUUAAAGUCGUAGGUCAAAUAAUAAUAAAAUAAUCUAAACUAACUAAUUUUUUAAAUUUAACUGAAAUAUGAGUCAUGCUCAACAUUUUUGAAAUAUGUGAUUUUUUUAGGUUGGAAGAUGAGAUUAGUGUAAAAAUUUAAAUACAAUAAUUUUUGAGUCCUUUAAAAUAUAUAAAUUUUGAUUCGAUGCAUCUAUAUAAAUAAAACUUUGAUUGUAGUUCAAAACAAAAUGUGAAUACAUAUAUUACCUAGAGUCAAUAUAGUCUUUUAAAGAUGUCACCCAUCCACCCACUAAGUAAUAAUUAAAUAAAAAGUUACUAAUUUUAUAUUAAAAACUUAGUUAUUUUAUAAAUUUUCUGCAGUUUUCAAUGUAAUUUUCUGGAUGAUAAUGAAUAGCAGCACAUGAUGCUAUGAAUAAAGAAGAACAAGUUGGGCAGAAUUUUCAAUUGAAUUUAUUAUAUUAUAUAUAUUUUUAGAGUAAAAGUGGGAUUGGCCAAGAAUCGAAUUUAAUUUUAGUGCUAAUUGAAAAUUCAAUUACAAGUUUUUAUUUCUCCAUAUAUAGUUUAAAUUACUCUUUUAUUACUAUAGUCUUAUAAUUAAUUAUUAAUGAUGUCGAUGUAGGUUAUUAAUGGUAGUAGCAUUUUACUUAUUUUAAUAUAUUUUUAUUUUUAGAAAUUUUAUCCUAUUCUUUUGUUUCAUGUCAUGUUCGAAAAAGAGUUUGAAUGGUAGGGUUGGAGUAGUACAAAAUGGCUCAUUUAAUAGUACAAUAAUAUUUGUUACAUGUCAAAUCGGUUUCAUGUCGCGUUAAUAUCUAGAAUUUGAUUUCUAAUAUAUAUUUUAUUAUUAUCAUUAUUAUUUGAAACCUUAUUAUAAGUUGUUAUCAUAUUCGUUCUUUUUGAUACAAUGUUAAGAACUAUUCAUAUAGUCCCUUCCCCACCCUUAAAUAGAAGGACAAUGCGCUUCAAUAUACUUAAACCCACGUCCUUCUGCGCUAGCAACAAUGCCGAUUCCAAUCAAGUUAGGACUCAAAUCCAGGUGUUCUUAAACAAUUAGGUUUGACGACUCUAAGAAGUUAUCAUAGGUUAGACGAGGUCGGGAGAUAAAUGAGUAUCAAUCAAUCGAUUAAUUAGUUAGAGGCCGGGAGGUAAUAAUUGACCAAUCAGUAGCUAAUUCAACUUAAAACCCUAAUUUGAAGUUUGUUACAAAUCUUGAAGUGAGUUAAUCUUCUUGAUUGAUUUAUUAAUUUUAGUCGAUUAUUAUUUUUCUUAUUUCAAUUCUCUCAUUAAUCUAUUUUAUGGUUUAUAGUAAUAUAGAGAUUAAUUAUUACUAAACUUAUUAUUGUAAAAAGAUUUAUUCCAUCCUCUCUUGGGUAUGCUUCUCAUAAUACUUCCAAGUAUUUUGUUACAAUUUGACCUGUUCACUUGCUAACAUUACCAUUCUAAAUUCUUGUAUAUUUUUGGUGUAUUAUUUUACUAUAAACAAAUAUAACUUGUUUAUAAACGGCCACCCGCUUCCCCUUUACCACUACCUUGGCCCACUUUAGCUACAGACCCCUGCUUCAAACGAAUUGGGUCAAUGGUCCGACCUUCCCCAGUACCUUUGGGAUUGGGAUGCCCAUUCAAUGGACUAAGAAAGCAGAAAAGUUUUAUCAUAUCAUUUUUUAUUUAUUAAAUGUGUGGUAUUUAUAUCAAGCAUGAUUCAAGUAUUCUACUUUUAAUUUCAAAAUGCAUUCUGCCUUCUUUGAUUUACUACUCUCUAUAUCAAUUUCGUGUUGGUAUUAUGAACACCAAUAUAUUUCUCGUUCCAUCACAUCAAUCAAUGUUCCCAAUAUAAUGAAUCUAUUUGUACCAUCAAACAAUCACAAAAAAACUUCACUAAAUAGGAGAAAAACCUAUUUGUACGAAAGCGCUGGUGAAGUAGUUUACACAAUUACUGCUUCUUCCCUGAUCGGCCGGUUAUAAAAUUGAAAAUGUUUUGCAUCCGUUUAGGCUUCGGCCCUUCUUCCUCUGUUUCCUCGUCGAUAUCACGUUUUCGUUUUACAAAGGAAGUGCUGCCUGCGGAUCCAUCGUUUUCAGUAGAGUGAUGAUGGAUAUGUUCAAAGUUUGGAGAAGAUUGAGUGGUAUGGCACUGCAUCUCUUUUGUAUCUUCCAAAUCUUUCUCAUACAUUAUUCUAACACCACACUUCUUCACAUUAACAGAAGGAUACCUUUUUGCAGAUUGGAAAGACAUCUCAAGCGAUAAAUUCUUGGUUUCCCAAUUAUCCUUUAAGGAUAAUGGAUAAAAUACUUCACGCGAGAAAUAACGAAGUAAAAGGUGGUCCUUCGUUAUGGGACGUCGAUCAAAAUCAAUGAAAUUGAAAUCGACCCUUCGACUAUUUUUAACUUGACAAACAGAUCCAUCACUACUAGAUUGUCCAGAAUAUGUAGAAUGGAUGUAAGCUGGACCACCGAUAACCUUUAUCUCGGAACCAUCAUCAUCGCCAAAAAUGCAGCAGAAAGCAACUCCAAUCCAUUGGCUGUCAUUCUGAAUAUUGAAAGGCAAAGGUAUUUCAAUUACAGAGCCGCCUCUCUGUUGGCUGAACCAUUCUGGGAUUUCAUUUCCAGGCAUAACAACAUCAAGUCUUUUUCUUGAAUUCUCAAAUGCCUGCAAAUUAAAACAUCAGUCGUUCUUGAAUUUGCAAAAUAAAAUAUCGGUGGUUCUGUAAAUAAAACCAUGAAAAAAAAGGAGAGAUCAAUUAACCUUAAUAUGUGUUUUCAGCAAUGUUAUUGCACUCAUGUUCUCAGCCAAUCUGUAGCUGUUAAUGGCUAUAAAGUAAGACCGAUUAUGUUUCCAAUCACUUGUCUUCCUUGCUAGAAGCACAGGCAACGAUUCAAGCUCACUGCAAUUACACAGUCCUAGCCUUUGAAGAUUGGAAAGACGAGCAAGAGACGCACCUAUGCUGGUGAAAUUGUUACCAUGAAGAUCAAGAACUCUCAAUGAGGAUAGACCAGAAAUAUCACUAGGAAUAUCUCCUUCACCCAUAUUGCGCAGGCCGCACCUUGACAAACUAAGUUCUUCAAGCUUGGAGAGUCCAGUAAGAGAUACCGGUAUUCUGUUGAAAUUGUUAACGCUAAGAUCAAGAAAUGCCAAAGAGGAUACACCAGAAAUAGCACUAGGAAUAUCUCCUUCACCAAGAUUGCAGCCCCUUAGUUUCAACCUUGUUAAUGACCUCAAACCGGAUAAUGAAGGUAGCAUUGGAGCUAUGAAAUUCAUCCUUGCUCUUUGGCUUACCUUGAAAAGAGAAAGGAGAUUUCUUUUCAACUUAUACGGACCCUUGCAUCCAUCGAAAGACAAAACUUUAAGGUUUUUCAAUUGAGAAAUGAAGGAUGGUGGUUCUUUUAUGGCUGUUUCACUCAAGUCAAGCUUUUCCAAAGAUUCUGCUUGAUGCAAAUUCUCUGGCAAAUAUUCAACUUUAUAACAACCAGAAAGAUCAAGAGUUUUUAGAUGUUCCAUUUUCCCAUCAAUCUCUGGAAACCUUGCAAGAUUUGAGCAACCCGAAAGAAUUAAAGUUUCAAGGAAUUCCAUUUCAAUUUUGGUUGGAAGUCUCCUAAGACUUUUGCAAUUUCUUAAAUUCAAAAGUUUCAGUCUCUUAAGCACUCCAAGUGAUGGAUGAACAUCUACUAAUCUGGUACAAUCUUCCAUAAUCAACACUUCGAGAUAUGGGGCUGUUGUGAAGUCUGGUGUCUUGAUGAGGUUUUGGGACCCUUUAAGGCUGAUUAUUUUCAACUUAUACAAAGGCUGUCCAAAACAAUAACAGAUUAGAGAGAAAAGAGAAAACAUAAUAAACCUCAUUAUUAUUAUCUUAUUCAAAUUUUAACAGUUUAUAAUAUUAAAAAAAUUAAUAGUUUAUAAUAAAAUAAGCUAAAACACAAGGAUUAGAUGAAUUUAAUUCUUACUCUAUUUCCCUUCCAUAGUUGUUCAAUGCGACUAUAUGGUAAGAGAAGUAUGACAAGGUUGUCUAGUUGAAAGCUUGAAGGCAAUGAUUUUAAAGGAUAUCCUGUCCAAUCUAAAAACCGUAGCUCAUUGGAAAGAUAUUUGAGAUCAUUACAAUUUGAGAGGCAAAGCACUCUCAGCAAUCUUAAUUUUUUCAUCUUCAAGAAGACAUUGACACUCAAAUUGAGCAUCUUGCUUGAUUCUCUACAAAACCACGGGCAAACAAAAAAUAAGCAUUAAAAUAUACAAAAACAUUCAAUACCUAAAAGCUAUGUUUCUCCAAUAAUACUAUUUUUUAGGAUUUUCAUCCCUUACUUAUACCUAACAUGUGUCCAAAUAUGAGCAUUGAUAUAUGAUCCCUCAAGAACUCUUUAAAUAUAUAUGAAAAAACUUCUUAAAAAAUCACACAUACCCAUUUUAGACAUAUAUCCCAUUUGACUUCGAAUUACCUAAGUUUUAAAAACUAGAAUUAAAAUCUUGAUUUAUGUUGGUGCAAUGAUAAUGCAUAAUUUUAUUUAUUAUUACUGAACGAAACAAUAACACAUCAUUAAAAAUUUAAUUGGUUUUAUUUUGAAAAUUUUUUGAUGACAUAUUAAUUGGAUACUUUUACCAAAAAAACCAAUAACAAUAUUAAUAAUACACAUCAUAAAUGUGUAUGUAUGUUUUCUUACCUUUGAUUGUCAAUGAUCAUGCUUUCAAUCAUUUCUGUAACCUAAAAAAGCAAGAAUAGAGAAUAAAUAACCUUUUGAUCGAAAUAGAGUAAAUAGAUCAUUUUAAAUAAGGUAAAACAUUUCCGAUGAGAGAGAUUCAAUUAAAUUAAAUACUUAUUUAUACAAAUCCUUAUUAACAGUAAUCAUCAACAAAAGGCAUUUAUGUCAAUGCUACUCAACUUCAAAUUUUUUAUGGACUGCUAUAUUAAUCAAUUGGACUAAGCCUUACUCAAUUUUAUUUCAGAAAUAAAGUAAAAUAUUUUCGAAUGAGAGUAAUUCAAUAAAAUUAAAAACUUUAUUACAAAUCAUUAUUAAUAUUUAUAAUUAACAAAAAUGGAAAUUAUUUUAAAGCCACUCAAUGUCAGUUAAGGAUCGAUAUGUAAAUUAAUUAGGCUAAAUUUUAGAUUUACAUCAUAUAUUGAUAAAAAGAAAAUUUUGUAUUUAAUUUUUGUUGAAUGAUUUACCGUGUUUUUUGUUAGGACAUGAUGGACAUCCCUUUCUUUCCACAAUCUACAACGUUUUCCAGGUUCAUCAACGCAUUUUUCUUCAACAAUUUUUCUUCCCAUUUCUUGCAACAAGGCAUGCAUCUUCAAACGUUUGUUGUCAUCACUAACUUUUAUCAAAGAUUUCUUAAUGAGAAUAUCGAUUCCAAUAUCUGGAAAAAACUCACAACCAUCCAAUACUUUCGUUAUAAAAUCUCUCUUCUCACCAUUGAAAAAGCAUGCUAUAUCUAGAAAUAUAUUCUUCUCCUUUUCUUCCAAUCCAUCAAAGCUAAUUCUUAGCGUGUUAAGAAUUUCUUUGUUAGAAUCUUCUUCAAGUCUUUCGAUUGCACUUCUCCAUUGAACUAUAUCUCUAUCGCACAAAAAUGAACCCAAAACUUCAAGAGCUAAGGGGAGACCACCAGCAUAACAUACAACAAGUUCAGAAAGCUCAAUGAAAUCAUCUUUUGGAACUGUAUCACUAUGAAAAGCUUUCAAAUUGAAAAGUCUAAGUGCAUCGUCUGGAUCCAAUGUUUUAGGCUUAUACACACCAUCGACUCCGUAAGAUCGGAGUAAAUGUUCAUCUCUUGUUGUUACAAUGAUUCGACUCCCUAAACCAAACCAAUCACGCCUUCCAACCAAGCAUUUCAAGUGCUGUACAUUAUCAACAUCAUCAAGAACAACAAGAACCUUUUCACUGCACAACCUGCGGCUAAUUAUGGCAUUCCCUUCAUGAACAUUGAAAAAAUUGAAGCAUUUAUUUGGCAAGAUUUGAGAAAGAAGUUGUUUCUGUAAAGAAACAAGUCCACAUUUGUUUGAAACUUCUCGAAUAUCAGCAAGAAAGCUUUUGCCUUCAAAAUGAGGUGACAUUUGAGUGUAAACAACCCUUGCAAUAGUUGAUUUACCGAUGCCACCCAUUCCGCAAAUUCCUAUAAUGCGGACAUCAUCUUCCCCAAUGUUUAUUUUCGAAUACAACUCCUUCAAAGGUAAGCUAAUUCCAACCAAUUCAUCAUGAACAAUUGGAUAUGUCUCACAUAAUUUGGCUGAUAUCUUCCUAACAAUGUCUCCGAUAAACUCUGAUUCAUUCCUACAACGAAAUAAAAAAAUGUUUCUAUCUUUCAAAUGCUCUUUGUCAUUUGUAGUUCAAUGAAUCAUGAAAUAUAAUAUAGUUGGAAGCAAAGAAAAAGCAAGAAUAAGACAGUAAGAUAUAUUAUGGCAUCAAAAAACACAACUUUCUCGUUAGAAUUCUUAAUUAAACACAAAAUUAUAAAAAAUUACAUGCAAUCUAGAAAAAAACAAUUUUUUAGUCAUUAAAAUUAGGAAAUAGAGAAGAAAUGAAAGAAUUACCCAUUAUGUAAAUGCCAUCCUUUGAUCUUAGCUACUUCAGUCAAAGCAUUUCGCCACUUUUCGAUCUUGUCUUUAUCUUCCUUGUACCUCUCUUCAUGUUUGGCAAAGGCUGCUUCUACUUUUUCUUUUUGGUUUCUUAAAUCGGAUGGAUCCACAUGGUAGAAAAUUGGAAAUACUUUAUGUCCAUUAGCAUUUUUUUGUUGAACAAUCUCAGCAAGCUCCUCCAAGCACCAUCCUGAAAAGGCAUAGGUUUUUGAAAAAAUAAUUACCGAGCACCAUGAUUGCUGAAUUGCUUUGGAGAGUUCGGGGGCGAUCUCUUCGCCAGCCUCCAGCUUUGGAUCAUCGCUGAAGGUGACGAUCCCACUACUCUUUAGAGCAUCAUAAAGAUGAGCCGUGAAGUUCUUGCGAGUAUCUUCACCUCUAAAACUCAAGAAAACAUCAUAUUUCUUUCUUGAAAUGGGCGAAGAAGUCGAAGGUAACGACAACAUAAGGAUGUAUGAAAGGAGAAGGAUACCUCUAUCUGGUGUUCAAAAUGAGAAAAUAGAUCUCCCGAUCCUCGCAAAGAAACUAGAAAAAGUAAGUAUAUGAGCAUAGGGGUGGAAAUUAGGGGGUCAAAGAUGAGUGAUGUAUGUUCUUUCCAAUAAGAAUCCAAGAAGGUGAGAGUUGGCAAAGUGGAGGCUGUUAAAAAUGUUGGACGGUUUGUAUUUUUCGUAUUUAAUAAUUAUAGAGUAGAUAAGAUUAUGACAAUAAUCAUUAGAAUAUAUCUUUAAUAAUUAUUCUUCGUUAUGGGCUGGUUUAAAAGUUGACCAAACAACCAACUACUCGCAGGACACGUGGAAAACUUCUAUCUCGAAAGACAGAUCCAUUUCAGCUGCUUAAGAUUAUUUUUGGUUAGAGCCGACCCGAAUAACACAACGUGGAAAAACUCUCCGAAAAGGAUAAAAAAUCACAAGUAAUGAUAAUUUUAUUAUAAUGGCAAAAGAAUUAAUGGUACAAAAGAUGAAGAUAAAAAUUAAACCCCGAAAACAAAGAACUCUCAAAAUAUAAACACAAAAUUCUCUAAAAGUGUUAUAAAUUCUAAUCUCUAAUAGGUGUAUUUUCUAAUACUGUAAAAAAAUUCUAUUGAUAGGCUAAAUUCGUAUGUGAAAUAAUAAUAAAAUAAUCUAGACUAAUCAGAUUUUGAUUGAAACAAAUAAAUAGAGUUUAAUUGGAAGAUUAUUUAUCAAAUUUGACUGAAAUAUGAGUCAUACUCAACAAAUCUCCACAUUGACUGGUAUUUCCACAACGCCACCUUUGCCAAAGCCUACCAAGAGCCUAUCUUGAACUAUGUAGUGAAUUAAUUGAGUUGAAUUUGUGUUUAGAAGCUGGAAUGUUUCUAGACUUCAACUUGUGCAUUGCCAAAUCAAAACUAACCCGGGUCUGAUUUUCACAAACACAAUGCUCUAACUUUUUAAAACCGACAUCUAAAAGAGAACCUCCGCUCCAAACGAGUUAACUUUGACUCCGUAAUAGAUGAGGGACGUCCGAUUUCACUAAUCACUGUAUAACCUUUAAAAAAAUAAAGACUGUCGGUCCUUUUACCUUUUAACAAAAUGAGAGUCCCACAAGACACCUUAAUGUCGCCAGACUUGAUGUUGAUUCUGUAACUUUUCGAGUCUAAAUUACUUAAGCAGAUGAGAUUCUUUCGUAAAUCAGGUACAUACCUGACAUCUUAGAAUGCCCUAAUCGUCUCAUCGUGCAUCCUAAUUUUAUAGUACCAAUACCAAUUACCUUACCAGAUGAAUCAUUUCCCAUACGCUUAGCUCCACCUUCAACCGAAUUGUAUGUGGAGAACCAUUCUUUACUGGGACACAUGUGGAAAGAACAUCCCAAAUCUCGGAUCCACUUGGACAUAAGCUUAGAACUACCGCUUGUUAACACUAAUAAAAAAUCAUCACUGCUUUUGUCGGCCAAAUUAGCACGAGCUACACCUUCCUCAUUGCUCUCAAUAGCCUUUUUAAUUCGCAGUUUAUAACAAUUUGCUUUGACGUGACCUAACUUAUAACAAUAGCGAAAUCUUUUGUCUCACUUCUUUGAUGUUACCAAAAUAGAAGCUAGCCUAUUUUCCUUGCUAUCCAAACCAAACUCAUUGUUGAGUUUAUCUUUGCUUAACAAAUGACCUUUCACGUCCUCCGAUGAGAGAUUAUCUCUCCUAUAAGUCAUAGUUUCCCUGAAAGACUUGUAUAAAGGGAGUAAAGAGCACAAAGAUAAUAUAGUCUGCUCCUCAUCAUCAAUUUGAACCGCAACGUUAUUUAAAUCAUUUAAAAGAGUAAUGAAUUGACUGAUGUGAUAUCUAAGAAGCUCACAUUUGUUCAUGCGAAAUGUAAAUAGUUGUUGCUUUGGAGAGUUCGGGUGCGAUCUCUUCGCCAGCCUCCAGCUUUGGAUCAUCCCUGAAGGUGAUGAUCCCACUACUCUGUAGAGCAUCAUAAAGAUGACCCGUGAAGUUCUUGCGAGUAUCUUCACCUCUAAAACUCAAGAAAACAUCAUAUUUCUUUCUAGAAAUGGGCGAAGAAGUCGAAGGUAACGACAGCAUGAGGAUGUAUGAAAGGAGAAGGAUAUCUCUAUCUGGUGUUCAAAAUCAGAAAAUAGAUCGCCCGAUCCUUGCAAAGUAUAUGGGCAUAGGGGCGGAAAUUAGGGGUCAAAGAUGAGUGAUGGAUGUUCUUUCCAAUUCAAGAAGGUGAGACUUGGAACAGUGGAGGAUAUUAAAAAUGCUGGACGGUUUGUAUUUUACGUAUUUAAUAAGAUUUUGACAAUAAUCAUUAGAAUAUGUCUUUAAUAAUUAUCCUUCGUUAUGGGCUGCUUAAAAAGUUUAUAUGGUAAUUAUUAUAAUGCAACGAUUAAAGAAAGAAAGAAAAGUUUGUGCAGAAUUUUCAAAUUUGGAUGGCGCUGGAAUUAUAAGUUGCAAUGAAUAAAAGAAAGAAAAAGUUGUGCAGAACUUUCACCAUAUUCACUAAAUGAUACAGCUUGCCCCACCUUUUCUUUUCAAAUAUUUAUUUAUUUUUGGUGACGGGGUUCAUGCUUUUAAUUUGUUUAUUACUAUGAUUAUGAAUCAAACUUUUUUUUUAAUAUUUGUGGUGUUUUAUAAGUUGUUACAGGGAGAUGUUUUAUUGGGAUAAAUUACAUUAAAGAUCACUAAAUUAUUAAUAAGUUUAUAUUUUGGUCAUUGAAUUUUAAAAAGUUAUUAAAUAAUCGCUAAAUUAUUUAAACUUUUUUAUUUAAGUCACUGAAUUAUCCAAAAAAUUUUAUUAAAAUUAGUUAUUUGUUACAUUUUUUAUUUUUCUUUUAAAUAUACAUAUAUUUAUUAGGAAAGGGUCAAAGGUUUUGAUUUGUUUAUUAUUAGGGAUAAAUGUCAAAUUUAUAUAUGAACUUUGGUUCAAAGUGCAAUUUGAUACAUGCAUGAAUUUUGACUUGGUGCAAUUAUCCACAUGAAAUUUAAAUUGUGGUUCAUAUAUAUACAUGAAAUUUAAUUUUGAUUCAAUUGUACGCAUUUAAAGAAAUGAAUACAUAUAAUUAUUUUCACAUUGAAUAAAAGUUCAUGUCUUCUGUUAUUAUCAUGGGUGAUACAUGGAUUUAAAGGAGCUCAUGUGUUCAUAGUGAUGAACUAUUAUUGAGUGUUGAUUUUCACUUACCGUAGUUAAAGUGAGUUGGGAGAGAGUUUACUUAAUUGUAUAAUAGUGAGGUUGCACCAAGUUAGGCUUGAAUAAUUUUAUUGUAUUGUGAAGUUUAUAGUGGAUUCAUCUGACAGAUGUAGGACGAGUUUCAAACUACACAAUCAUCUUGGUUGUGCUCUUUAUUUUGCUUGUUGCAUGUGUCAACUCAAAAAUUAAUUUUUGUUUUUCAAAAAAUUUAAACUUAUAAUUAUAUCAAUAGUCUCCAUUAAAAUUUAUCUAUCAAAUUAAAUAAACAACUCAAAAAUUAACUUGUCUGCACAUAAUUAUAGAUAUUAAACUUUUUUAACUUUUUGAAUUUUUAAUGAUUUUUGUCUCCAUUAUUGUAAAAAUUUAAAUUAAUUCCCAAAUAUGUAAUGCUUGUGAUUAUUUUUGGUUGGGAUCGACCCGAUUAAGCAACGAACAAGUAAAAAUAACGGAAGAAAUUGAGAAAUUAAACACACAAAUUUAACAUGAAAAAACUCUCUGAAGAAGAUAAAAAAAUUACAGGCAAAGAUAAUUUUAUUAUAAUGGCCAAAGAAAGAAAAUUACAAAAGAUGGAGAUAAAAAAAACAAAUAAUUUUACUAUAUUUAGAGUAUAAAUACACAAGGUUGAAAUGAAGCAAUGGUGGAGUAGGAAGGCAGUGUUAUUAAAUACUAAAUAAUUGUUUUGUGAAAAUGGGAUAUUUUUACUUUUUUAUCCAUUACAUAUCACUGUUCCUGUCUUCCUUUCCAUGUUUUUGUAAAAACCAGAUUCCCACCAUUCUUUUCUCUUUGGUAAAUGUUGAUUGCUGAGAGGACAAUCUUUUUGCACAUUCCCGAACUCUAUGGACAUGAUUUUUUGCAUCUCAAUCAAAGGUUUGAAAAUCCCAUUCAAAGCUGCAAAGUUGAAAUUAUGUUUAGGAUUUUAUUUUACUUCCGAAUGGUAUCCAAGUAUUGAACUUUCAUGUUCGUAUUAUGGACACGAAUAGUCCAUCACAUCAAUCAAUGUUGCGGAUAUAAAGAAUACUUAAUUAUGGUAAAUAAGAAUCUAUUUGUACAAUUAAACAAAAACAGGGAAAAAGAGAAACUUAAUUAAAUAGGAGAAAAUAUCUUGAAAAGGCUAGUCAAGUAGUUUACCACAAUUACUGCUUCUUCUCUGAACGACCCAUUAUAAAAUUGAAUUUUGUUUUCAUCUGUUUAGGUCCUCUGUGUCCUCGUGGAUAUUACGUUUUCGUUUUACAGGGGAAGUGCUACCUGCGGAUCCAUCCUUGUCAGUAGAGUGAUGAUGGAUGUGCUCAAAGUUUAGAGAAGAUUGAGUGGUAUGUCACUGCAAAUCUUUCUCAUAGAUUAUUCUAACACCACACUUCUUCACCUUGAAAGAAGGAAAACCAUCUGCGCCUUUGAAAGACAUCUCAAGCUUAUCGCAUUCAUGAUCAGAGCAAUCCAUUGUCCAUGCAUAUUGUAAUUCACGAGAGAAAUAACGAAGAAAAAGGUGGUUGUUCGUUAUGGGCUGCUCCUAUUCCCCGCCUAAACCAAUGAAACUGGGAUCGACCGUUCGAGGAUGUUUAACUUGAAAAACAGAUCCAUUAUGACUAGAUUAUCGGGAAUUUCUAUAAUGGAUAUAAGUUAUACUACCGAUAACCCUUUCAUCGGAAAAUGCAGCAGAAAGCAACUCCAAUCCAAUUUGUUUGGUAUAUGUGAAACGUUUUGUGAGUUUGUUUUUUAAAAUAAAGGUAAAUUUUAACAAUUAUUUUUUAAUCAUUAUUAGUAAUAUAAUUGAAAUCACAUGCAAUAUAUGUAACAUUAGAAAGUAGUGAUUAUGAAAAAUUGGAAUGUGCAAUACUCUUGAUGUGUUUAGAAAAGGUUAUAGUUAUAGAAAAAAUUAUAUAACCAUCAUGGCAUUGGUUGAAUUUGUUAACUUAAAUGUUUUAGAAAUCCAAUGUUUUAGAUUUUAAUCUCAAUUUUUUAUGAAAAGAUAAAAAAAAAUUACUAUAAUAAUAUUUGUUACUUUUAAAAGUAGUAAGUUUUUUAGUCAUUUUUUAAAUAAGUUAAUAUCUAAUUGACUUAUGACUGAUAAAUAAAGUAUAAUAUAAAGUAUGUUUGGUUAAAAAUAAAAUUAGAUGAAAAUGAUAUAUAUUUAAAUAUAGAAUAAAUUAAAUUUUAUAUAAUGUAAGUUAUUAAUAUAGUAAAAUUGGAAAUAAUUUAAAGAUAAUUAUUAUAUUAGAAAAUAUAGGCAUUAAAGUUGAGGCAUUUUAAGAAAUUUACCAAAUUUUAUAUAAUGUAAAUCAUAAAAACUGUUCCUUAAUACCACCGCGCACGAUUAGCGCUGUUGGAACCGUUAGUCCCCUGCUUUAACUUUACCUCCAUAACAUGCCGAGACCAUGAAAGGCACUCAUUCCUUAAUACCAUAUAUAGUUCCUGCAACGCCACUACUGAUAACAAAGGCAUUUCUAUUUUACCAAAGUUUCUAGCAGCCAUAGCAAAAAGAGUACCCCAAUCAGUUCCUUCCACAGAAAAAGUUCUUUGAGGUCCGGCGAAACUCACUGCCCUCCCAUUUCCUAGCGCCCAGUACAUCUUCCCAAAUAUUGGACAAAGCCCUCCAGAGAAGCAAGCAAUUAGAAGGAUGGAUUGAAGCCGACCAUCUACUUAUUACCCCAUACUUGUUUCCAAGGACUUCAACCCAUAGCACAUUCACGUAAGAAAUGACAUUAAAAGCUACCUUAAUCAUGCAAGCUUUAUUGUGGUCUCGUACUUUCCUCAACCUAACUCCACCAUUCUUCAAAGGCAUACAAAAUUUAUACCAGCUCACUAAUGUUGGUUUCCGAUUGCCAAAUGUUGACCCCAAAUGAAUCCUCGAACCAGCUUCUCAUUUUUGUUGCAAUUGUUUAAGUGAUCACCUAAAACAAGACCGUACAAAGAUUGAUCGAUCUAAAAUGAGAUUGUCAUUCCGGUCUUGCCACCUUGGGAACCAACACAAUAAGAGUUUGAUUCAAAAUAGAGGCAAACAUUUGAUAAUUUCAUUUUAUUAACAAUCAUAAUUGUGCAUCAAUUAUGAAAGAAGUCAGAAGAAAAUUGUGCACUAAUCAAAUGCAAUUUUCUUCACUUUUAUCGCGUCUUUGAGUUGGAGGAAAAGAUGGGCAAUUGAGAGACACUUGAAAAGUUUAAUGAUGAAUUGAAAUGAAUUCACUAUUAUGUCAUGUCAACACUGUUAAAUUAAUAGUUCAACCAGCAUUUUGCUUUAAAAAAUUCAUAAUUUGACUCAAUAAAAUGUUGAGAGCCAAAUUACUUAAAAGAAAUGAAUAUAGGUCAACUUGUCAAAUUUUGCGUUAAAAAACCUUUAUUAUUAUUAUUAUCCUUAUGCCUAAUUUUAAAGGUUUUAUUUACAUUACGACUAAAUUACUAUUUGAAUUUACAUUUUAAAAACAACGUUCAUUUCAAUAUACAUAAUUUACAUUACAUUACAUGAUAAAAACAACUAAUUAUAUUUUGCUAAUUCCCUAAAUUCGUCCGAGCCUAUAAUUGCUAAGGUGUCCCCUUCCAUUCCAACUUGAUGACUUUUGUUGGUCCCUCACUUGCAUGAUCCUUUGAGCAGACUUUCAUGCUUCUCUUGGUCUAGGGGACAAACAUAAAAACACCAUCAUUAUUUUUGUUGCAUUGAGAUCAUCUAUAUUAACUUACCUCAAAUUCAAAAAUUUUUGUUGAUAUCACAUAAAUACAAUCAUUGAAAAUCUUACUCAUAUCGACCAAAAAUUAUAUUUUUAUUUCUCUAAACAAUAACAGUAGACAAUAACAAAAAUGAAAUUAUAGAAUUUUGAAAAAAAAAUUGGAUAUGAAAAUGUCUCUCACACGGAAAAGAUUUUCCAAAUAAUUAAAAGAGCGUACUUUAUUUUUAUAUUUAAACAAGUGUUAAAAAUAAAUGUCUAAACUUAAAUACUUUGUAAAAAAUAUAAAUUGAAGAGUUGGAAUAAUAUUAUUUAUAUUUGAAGCUAGACCUGUCCAUGGGCCGGGCGGCCCGGCCCGGCCCGACGGCCCGCCUGAAAUAUGGGAGGGUUCGGGUAAAAAUAUAGGCCCGAAAUAUGGGCUUGGGCAAAAAAACGAGGCCCGUUUAAAAAAUGUGCCGGGCUCGGGCUCAACUUUUUUGGCCCGGGCCCGGGCCCGGCCCGGCCCGAAUAUAAUAAAUAUAUAUUUUUUAUUUUUAUUUUUUAAUUUUUAAUUUUAAAAUACUUUUAAAAUAUUUUUAUUUUUAUUUUUUAUUUUUAAAAUAUUUUUUUUGUAUUUAUUAAAAAUCGGGCCGGGCCGGGCUCGGGCUUACUCUUUUUUUACCGGGCCGGGCUUGGGCAAAAUUUCAGGCCCAUAUUUCGGGCCGGGCCCGGGCCUAAGAGUCGGGCCAAAAUUUUUUUCCGGGCCCGGCCCAUGGACAGCUCUAUUUGAAGCCAUGAAAUUUAAAUGGUACUUUUGUUAGAAGGAAUUAAACCUAUUUAAGUACUAUUAAGGAAUUAUAUUUAAUCUUCCAAAUUUAUAAAAACAAUUUUGACUGAUUAAAUUGAACACAUAAGUUGGUCUCAAGUAAAAAUAAAAUAGUUUUUAACUUAGCCGAAAUUAUGAUCUAAUCCUCAUUAAAGGAUUUUCACCUUAGUAUUACCUAUAUCGUUGCUUAACUAUCUAUUUUUCUCCACAUUUCUAUCUCAAUUGAUUAUAUUUAUUUCAACCUAAAAAUAAAAUAUAGAUGUAAGUGAAUAUAUAUAAUGAGAAUAAAAUUUUAAUAAAUAUCAAAAUGUACACAUUUCAAUUAUGCAAAAAGGAAUGAAUUAAGUGAAUAAAAUUUUAAUUGGUAUUUUUUUAAAAUUUUAGUAUAUAAUAAAAUGAUCAUAUCUCAUAUGCAAAUAAGUUUAGAAUGAUUACUUUCUGUUUGUUUGCCAGUAAAAUGUUUUCCGUAAAAUGAUUUAUUGAAAAUAUUUUCUAGUGUUUGGAUGAAUCUGUGUAAAAUAUUUUCUGCUGUUUGACAGAUUUCUUAAAAAUAUUUUCCAAAAAAGUUGUUUUUACAUAUAUUAAUAUAUAUUAAUAAAAUUUUAUCUUUUAAAUUAUUUUUACAUAUAUUGCAAUGAUUUAUUUAUAAUUAAAUAAAUCAAAUUAAAUAUAUAAUAAUACUCAAUUAUUAAAAUAUAAAAGCAUUGCAAACUACUUUCGAAAUUUACUAAUUAGUAGUGAAUCUAAUUGUAGUGAUCUUCUGAUGAAAUUACGCUCAGCAUAAAAGCAAUUUUUUUGUUGUCUUACAAACAACACAAAUAGCAUCAUUAUCAAAUUUCAGCCACUCUCAAGUAUAACCAAUUCCUUAGCCAACCAAUCUACAUUGUAACACAAAGCUAAAUCCUAUAAAAUUUAUCCCAAUGCACACAUUUACAGACAUAAAUAUGUAUAUAUGUAUGCAUUCAACAAAUACAUAACCAUAUGCAUGCAAUCAGCUAUGUUCUUUGAAAGCUACUACUAGAUCAAGCAUUGCCCCAAUACUAUAGGCUGCCAUCCAAUAGAGAGGAAAAAAAUACAAGCGAAGAACCCAGCUUUUUACUUAGACAUAUGGCGAAACGUGCUCACGUAACUGCUAAGAAAAAAUCACUCAUGGCCCAAAAAAGAAUUUCAUAGAACUGAUAGUAAAAUCAAAAUGAAUGAUACAUACAAUCAAAAUUUUCAACUGACAUCUAUUGAUUUAAUACAACUAGGUAAAGAGGCAGACAACCAUAUGAUAUCUAUGAAGCAAAUGAACUAACAAUAUACUAGAAAUAUCAGCAAAUGCAAUCAACAAAGGCAACAGGCUCCAUUGAAGUCCCCAAUUUAAAUCUAUUGAUUUAAUACGUGCUCUCAUUGAAGUCCCCACCUCUAGGAAUAUGUUUCUGCCAGAAGCCAGUCAAUUAAGCAAAUUAAAUCAAUAAAAAUUCAAGAAAUAUAAACCCAUACCCAGAUAAACUACUGCAUUUACCUUACGGUGUUUGCCUAUUAUGUUGCCAUGAUUUCCAAUUAUAACAGCAGUAUUCCAGAGAGUCUCUCCAUGAUUUAUAUUCCUCUCAACCAUUGAGCUUAUAAUGACCAUGUUAUACUUGAGUGCAGAUUCCUGAAGAAAUUGUGUAGAUUCCCCGUUAACAGGUUCUGCAAAUUCACACCACCUCUUUUCUCGUGUACAGAAGGCAAAUGGCAUCAUCCAUGCUUCCUAAACUUGCAUCAUAGACUCAUUAAUUUGCAUUUUCAGAAUAUUAUGCAUCAACCAAUAAAAUUGACCAUACCUGCAAGCAUAUUAUGUUGACUCCUGAAGUACCGGCAGCAUCAAUUAUUGGUCCCAAUUUCUCAAAUAUAGCUUUCUUUCUGGUCUGAAAAGGGAGCAGUGGUUGGGAGAGCAAUGGAGUUCUGAAUAAGACCGACCCUUACCGGGGUUCUCUUAACAACUCUUUGUCAGCAGAAAAUUUGAAAGCCUGGAAUAAUUUGAAAUGGAAAAGCACAUAUAACUGCCUUCUACAAUAUACUUGUAUUGAAAUGACAAAAAUCUACAUAGAUAAUAACUACAAGUAUGCAGGUCAGGUCGGUGAGAGAAUAAUUUUGUAAUGAGAAAAGGGAUGUUUUUCAACCACUUAGAUAAGAGUGGAUUGAAUGAAAAUCAACAUAUUUCAAGGAGAUCCUGGUAGUACUAAAAUUAUACAUUAGAACUAUUAUAACCAAAUGUUCAAAUGUAUGAACUAGAAACUGAAAAAGGGGGAAAAUGGAGGAAGAAAAAUAUUCCAUACAAAUAUCAGAACAUAUGACAUAGAUUAACUAACCCUGCCUAAAGAUUAACAUAAUCUUCAGUUGCAGUCAAAAUGCAUGGUAGUGCCUUGUAUAUCUAAAGUGUCCAAAACAUUUAUUGUUCCUUCACUUUGAUUGUUUUAUAAGAGUAUUACGAUUUCAGCCAGGCCAACCUUGUGGUUGUUGUUUUCCAAUAUUGACGAGCUAAGAUGAUGGAUCUCUCUAUCAACAAAUCGUUAUAAUGCAGUAAUGUUGGAUAAAUAAAUAGGCACCUGAAGAUCAAACUCAUGUUUUGAAGAGAGGGCUUUAGCUGAUUCAGGUGGAACAAUAGUUUCAAGUGUUGUUCCGCAAUUCAGCCCCAGAAGCAACCGGCUGACUUCCUGUUAAUAAACCAUAACAAAAUUCCAAAAGAUUGUUACUUUCACCAGCAAUAAGAUCAGUAGAUUUUGACUUUUAAUAGGCAAAACAUGUUACUUGUUAAUGAGAUAAACUGUUUACAAAUUCUAGGAUCGACUGCAAUGAUCAUUUCAGUGGCAAAAACUGACCAAAAAGACAAUAACCAAUCGAUUCAUAAUAGACAAUUUGAAAUGGGGUUUCCAUUUUCAUGAUCAAAUUUUCUUUUACAAUAUAUAUAUAUAUAAGCAAGAAAAAUAACAGGAAAGAUUAGAAUUUUUUGCUCAGUGCAUGGCCAGAUUAAGAAAAACAAAAUUACCCAAUUAAAUCAACAAAGUGAAGACAGAGAAAUUACAACCCGGAAAGCGGGAAAAAAUAAAAAGAAAAGACCUGGUAGAGUUGAGGCUUGAGAUAUGCGUUCAAGAGGUGGUGAAGCGAAUUAUACCCACAAAUUGAUCCAUCUUUGAAACUUUGCUUUUCUUCCGUGCUUCCAUUUUCUUUCCCAAUUCCAUCAGUUUUCUCCAUUUUCUGAUUCCCUCAAUUAUUGCUCCGAAAUCAAAACACAGAAAAAAGGUUGAUGAACGCCGGUGUCUGGUGUUGAGAAUCGGUGUUGGCUGAUGGCAAGCAGAAGAUCAGGUGUCAAGGAUAGGGGAAGGGGAAGGGGAAGGGGAAGGGGAAGGGGAAGGGGAAGGGAAAGGGAAAGGGAAGAUCAGUGUCUAAUUUUACUGAAAAUGUCUUACCGAAUUAGAAACGGUAAGACAUUUUAAAAAAUUAAGGCUCUUUUUCCCGUGUUUGUAAUUGGUUUUAGCUGAGGAAAAUAUUUUCAGCCAAACAAACACUGGAAAAGGCUGAAAACCUUUUCAGGAAAAUGUUUUACUACAAUCAAAUGGAAAAUGAAAUAAAAGAUGUAAACAAGGUAGAUGAGUAAAAAAAUUUAGUAGGACAAGGUUGGUUAAGUAAUUUACCAAGUUAAUGCGUCUUCCCAUAUUGGCCAAUUAUAAAAAAUUGAAAAAAAGUUGCAUCCGUUUUGGUUGCGGCCCUUCUUCCUCCGCUUCAUCGUAGAUAUUAGGUUUCUAUUUUAUGUGAGAAGUGCUACCUACUGAUCCAUGGUUGUGAGCAGAGUGUUGGUGGAUGUGUUCAAAAUUUGGAGAAGAUUGAGUGGUAUGGCACUGCAACUCUUUUAUCUCUUCCAAAUCUUUCUCAUACACUAUUUUAAAACCACACUUCUUCACCUUAACUCUGCGUCUCAUGAAAAACACCUCAAGCUUAUCGCAUUUUUUUUCUAAGCAAUGUGUUGUCCAUAAAUUAGUGGUUUCACAGUCGUCAUAUUUAUCCUCCAAGGAAGGAUAUAAUUUAUCACGCGACCAAUAACAAAGUAAAAGGUGAUCUUUCAUUAUUGGUUCAAUCAGCCCCCAGCCACAUCCGUUAAUCCGUCGAUAAUUUCUGCCUCGAAAAAUAGAUCCAUUACAGCAGGCUUGUUCAGAAUUUCCAUAAUAGAUAUAUGCUUCAUAACCGAUAUAUUUGUUAUCCCUUGAAGCAUCAUUACUGACAAAAAUCCAGCAGCAAGCAACUCCAAUCCAUUGACUAUCUUUCUGAAGGUUGAUAGGCAGGGGUAUGUUAAUUGAAGAGUCACUUGUUUGUUGGCUAAACCAUUCUGGGAUUUCACUUCCGGGCAUAAUAAUAUCAAACAUUUCUCUUGAAUUUGCAAAUGCCUGCAAAAUAAAACACAAGUCGUUUGGUAACUAAAACCAUAAAUUCUCAAAUAUGAGAUUUUGUAAGGGAGAAAAUGGAGAUUAAUCGACCUUAAGCUGGUUUUUCAGCAGUGUUAAUGCAUUCAUAUUCUCGGCCAAUUUGAAGCAGUUAAUCGCUGUAAAGGCACCCGAACCCAUUAAAUUGCAUACUUUACGUAGUGUUAAUGCAUUGAUAUUCUCAGCCAAUUUGAAGCAGUUAAUGGCUCUAAAGGCAGCCGAAUCCACUAAAUUGCAUACUUCAAGUGAAGAACAACCAUCUAGCCACACGUAUCCUAACCUUGUCGGUAUAUCAGGCAACGAUUUAAGCAUAUUGCAAUAUGCCAAUCCAAGAAACUGAAGCUUUGAUAGUGGAGUAAGAGAUGCAGUUAUGCUGAUGAAAUUGUUACCACUAAGAUCAAGAUAUUGCAAAGAGGAUAGACCAGAAAUAGAACUAUGAAUAUCUGCUUCAUCAAGAGUGCACAUGUUGCAAUAUGACAAGUAAAGACACUCAAGCUUCGAGAGUCCAGUAAGAGAUGCAGGUAUGCUGAUGAAAUUGUUACCACGUAGAUCGAGAUGUUUCAAAGAGGAUAGACCAGAAAUGUCACGUGGAAUAUCUACUUCACAAAGAUUGCACUCCCUUAGAUUUAGCUUGCUUAAUGAACUCAAACCUGACAACAAAGGCAACAUUGGAGCCAUGGGAGUUGUCCUUCUUCCUUGGAUUACCUUGAAAACAGAAGACAAAUUUGGUCGCAACUUUGCUUGCUGCAAAUUCUCCGAGAAAUUUUCAACUCUAUAACAACCAGAAAGCUCUAGAGUUUUUAUACGUUCCAUUUUCCCAUCAAUCUUCGGAAACCUUACAAGACUUGAGCAACCCGAAAAAAUUAAUGUUUCAAGAGAUUCCAUUCUAAUUUUUAUCGGAAGACUCCUAAGACUUUUGCAAUCUCUUAAAUUCAAAAGUUUAAGGCUCUUAAGCACUCCUAUUGAUGGAUGAAUAUCCACUAAUUUGGUACAGCCUUCCAAAAUUAAAACUUCAAGAUUUGAUGCUGUUGUGAAGUUUGGUGUCUUGAUCAGGUUUUGGCAACCUUUGAGGUUCAUUAUUUUCAACUUAUACAAGGGCUGUUGAAGACAAUAAUAAAUUAGAGAGAAAAGAGAAAGCAUAAUAAUUCUCAAUUUUGUUUUUGUAUUUUUACCUUAAUCAGAGUUUAAUAAUUUAUAUUAAAAUAAGCAAAAACACAAGGAUAAGAUGAGUUAAUUCUUACUCUAUUUCCCUUCCAUAGUAGUUUAAUGCGACUAUAUGGUAAAAGAAGUGCAACAAGGUUGUUUGGUUGGAAGCUUGAAGGUAAGCAUCUUAAAAGAUAUCCUGUCCAAUAUAAAAGCCGUAGUUCAUUAGAAAGAUAUUUGAGAUCAUCACAAUUUGUUUGGCAAAGCACUUUGAGCAGUCUCAAGUUUUUCAUCUUUGAGAAGGUAUCGGCACACAAGUUGAGCAUCUUGCUUGAUUCCCUAAUAACCAUGAGUAAAACAAAUAUGAGAUUCAGAAUAUACAAAGACAUUCAAUAUCUAAAAGCUAUGUUACAUUGAUAGAAUGAUCAAUUUCCAUUGUAAUGCAAAAAAUUGAAUCAUUCCAAAUUGGAAUGAGAAGGAAGACAAUGAGAGAGAGAGAUUUUAUUUUCAAAUGUUUUAUUUUCUUUUCUUCUCACUUUUCCCUAUACCAAGCAAUAGUGAGGAGGGAAAUAUAUUUUCCAUUCAAUUUUCCAUCUUUCCAAUCAAGUUUUCCAUCCCUUCAGUUUUCCACCCUUUUGAUUUUCUUUCCACUCUGCCAAGUAAAGUCAAAAGGUUUUUUUGUUGUUGUUUUUAAUUGAUUUUUUUACAAAAAAUAAUAACAAUAUUAAUAGUACAUAUUGAUAAAUUCAUAUGUAUGUUUUCUUACCUUUUAUUGUCGAUGAUCAUACCUUCAAUCACUUCGGUAGCCUAAAAAUAAUUAAGAAUAGACAAUAAAAAUACAAAAUAAAUAGUCUAAAUUGUACAAUAAAACUUUUGAAAUUUACAUCUAUGUUCAACAUUAUCACAAUCUUUUGGUCGAAAUAUAGGAAAUAAAAUAUUUUUGAAUGAGAGAAAUUCAAUAAAAUUAAACACUUAUAUAACAAAUCAUUAUUAAUAUUUAUAAUCAACAAAUGAAAACUAUUUUAAAGCCACUCAAUGUCAGUUAAGGAUCGAUAUGUAAAUAAAUUAGACUAAGCUUUAGAUUUACAUCAUAUAUUGAUAAAAAGAAAAUUUUGUAUAUAAUUUUUGUUGAAUGAUUUACCGUGUUUUUUGUUAGGACAUGAUGGACAUCUUUUUCUUUCCACAAUCUACAACGUUUUCCAGGUUCAUCAACACAUUUUUCUUCAACAAUUUUUCUUCCCAUUUCUUGCAACAAGGCAUGCAUACGCAAAUGUUGGUUGUCAUCACUAACUUUUAUGAGAGAUUUUUUAAUGAGAAUAUCGAUUCCAAUAUCUGGAAAAAACUCACAACCAUCCAAUACUUUCAUUACCAAAUCUCUCUUCUCACCAUUGAAGAAACACGCUAUAUCUAGAAAUAUGUUCUUCUCCUUUUCUUCCAAUCCAUCAAAGCUAAUUCUUAGCGUGUUAAGAAUUUCUUUGUUAGAAUCUUCUUUAAGUCUUUCGAUUGCGCUUCUCCAUUGAACUAUAUCUCUUUCGCACAAAAAUGAGCCCAAAACUUCAAGAGCUAAGGGGAGACCAUCAGCAUAACAUACAACAAGUUCAGAAAGCUCAAUGAAAUCAUCUUUUGGCACUGUAUCACUAUGAAAAGCAUUCAAAUUGAAAAGUCUAAGUGCAUCAUCUGGAUUCAUUGUUUUAGGCUUAUACACACCAUCGACUCCGUAAGAUCGGAGUAAAUGUUCAUCUCUUGUUGUUAUAAUGAUUCGACUCCCUAAACCAAACCAAUCACGCCUUCCAACCAAGCAUUUCAAGUGUUGUACAUUAUCAACAUCAUCAAGAACAACAAGAACCUUUUCACUACACAACCUGCGGCUAAUUAUGGCAUUCCCUUCAUGAACAUUGAAAAAAUUGAAGCAUUCAUUUGGCAAGAUUUGAGAAAGAAGUUGUUUCUGUAAAGAAACAAGUCCACAUUUGUUUGAAACUUCUCGAAUAUCAGCAAGAAAGCUUUUGCCUUCAAAAUGAGGUGACAUUUGAGUGUAAACAACCCUCGCAAGAGUUGUUUUACCGAUGCCACCCAUUCCGCAAAUUCCUAUAAUGCGGACAUCAUCUUCCCCGAUGUUUAUUUUCGAAUACAGCUCCUUCAAAGGUAAGCUAAUUCCAACCAAUUCAUCAUGAACAAUUGGAUAUGUCUCACAUAAUUUGGCUGAUAUCUUCCUAACAAUGUCUCCGAUAAACUCUGAUUCAUUCCUACAACGAAAUAAAAAAUUGUUUCUAUCUUUCAAAUGCUCUUUGUCAUUUUUAGUUCAAUGAAUCAUGAAAUAUAAUAUAGUUGGAAGCAAACAAAAAGCAAGAAUAAGACAGUAAGAUAUAUUAUGGCAUCAAAAUACACAACUUUCUCGUUAGAAUUCUUAAUUAAACACAAAAUUCUAAAAAAUUACAUGCAAUCUAGAAAAAAAAAACAAUUUUUUAGUCAUUAAAACUAGGAAAUAGAGAAGAAAUGAAAGAAUUACCCAUUAUGUAAAUGCCAUCCUUUGAUCUUAGCUACUUCAGCCAAAGCAUUUCGCCACUUUUGGAUCUUGUCUUUAUCUUCCUUGUACCUCACUUCAUGUUUGGCAAAGGCUUCUUCUACUUUUUCUUUUUGGUUUCUUAAAUCGGAUGGAUCCACUUGGUAGAAAAUUGGAAAUACUUUAUGUCCGUUAGCAUUUUUUUGUUGAACAAUUUCAGCAAGCUCCUCCAAGCACCAUCCUGAAAAGGCAUAGGUUUUUGAAAAAAUAAUUACCGAGCACCAUGAUUGCUGAAUUGCUUUGGAGAGUUCGGGUGCGAUCUCUUUGCCAGCGUCCAGCUUUGGAUCAUCCCUGAAGGUGACGAUUCCACUACUCUUUAGAGCAUCAUAAAGAUGACCCGUGAAGUUCUUGCGAGUAUCUUCACCUCUAAAACUCAAGAAAACAUCAUAUUUCUUUCUAGAAAUGGGCGAAGAAGUCGAAGGUAACGACAGCAUGAGGAUGUAUGAAAGGAGAAGGAUAUCUCUGUCUGGUGUUCAAAAUCAGAAAAUAGAUCGCCCGAUCCUCGCAAAGAAACUAGAAAAAGUAAGUAUAUGAGCAUAGGGGAGGAGAUUAGGGGUCAAAAUGAGUGAUGGAUGUUCUUUCCAAGAAGAAUCCAAGAAGGUGAAAGUGGGCACAGUGGAGGCUAUUAAAAAUGUUGGACGGUUUGUAUUUUACGUAUUUAAUAAUUAUAGAGUAGAUAAGAUUAUGACAAUAAUCAUUAAAAUAUAUCUUUAAUAAUUAUCCUUCGUUAUGGGCUGGUUAAAAAGUUUAUCAAACAACCAACUACUCGCAUCGACACGUGGAGAACUUCUAUCUCGAAAGACAGAUCCUUUUCGACUCGCUUGUCCAGAAUUUCUACAAUGGAAGCAUCAUCACUGACAAAAAUGCGACAGGAAGCAACUCCAACCCAUUGACCAUUCUGAAUAUUGAGUGGUAGAGGUAUCCUAAUUGUAGAGCCACCACUCUGUUGGCUAAACUAUUUUGGGAUUUCACUUCCAGGUAUAAUAACAUCAAACAUUUGUAUUGAAUUUGCAAAUGCCUGCAAAAUGAAACUUCAGUCGCUUGGUAAAUAAAACCACAAAUUCCCAAGUAUGAGAGGGAAAGAAAGAGAAAUUAAUUAACCUUGUGAUGUAUUUUCAAAAAUGUUAAUGCAUUGAUGUUGUCAGCCAAUCUGUAGCAGUUAAUUGCUUUAAUGGAAGCUAAAUCCAAUAAAUUUCAUACUUUUGAUGGACUUGCAACUACUUCAAGUGAAGUUCAGCCAUCUAUGCAUACUCUCUCUAUACUUGUUAGAAGCUCAGGCAAGGAUUUAAGCUCUUUGCAAUUUAUAACAUAAGAAGUUUAAGCUCUUUGAGUAAGAGACGCAAGUAUGCUGAUGAAAUUGUUACCACUAAGAUCAAGAUCUGUCAAGGAGGAUAGGCAAGAAAUAUCACUAGGAAUAUCUACUUCACGAAGAUUGCAGUUCCUUAGCUUCAACUCUCUUAAUGAACUCAAACUUGACAACGAAGGCAACAUCAGAGGCAUAGAACUUGUCCUUCCUUUUGGGUUUCCUUGAAAGGGGAAGGAAGAUUUCGUUGUAACUUUGGUGUUAAGAGCAAGUGCAAACAGAUUCAGCUUAUGACUUGUGCAACAAGCCUCGAUGCUGAAUAUAUCUUUAAUAAUGAUCCUUCGUUAUGGGCUGGUUAAAAAGUUUACCAAACAACCAACUACUCGCAUCGACACGUGGAAAACUUCUAUCUCGAAAGACAUAUCCAUUUCGACUUGCUUGUCCAGAAUUUCUACUGUUGAAGUCAGCUCCCAUGUAGCAGCAAAGGUGGCCAUGCAAGGAACGUGCUUCAGCAGCAAAUUGAUGCAGCAAGCUGAAGCUAUUCAUUUGGUUUCCUUAAUUGAAUGUUUUGUAUUUAGUUAGGAUCAAACUUAGUUGGUAGCUGCAUUUUGAUGUAAUUAGGUGCUGAAUGACAAGCUUAGGUAGAAGCUUUUUUGUUUUUCAAUCAAGUUUACCAAGUUACUAGGCAUUUUAGUGGUGUUAGGUAUGUUAGUAGGUGAUUACUUGUUUGUUUUACUUAUUGACUGAUAUAUGUAAUGGCUUAAUGCCUUGUUCAUGUGUUAAUGAAAAAUAUCAGCUCAUUUUCAUUCAAUCUCUUUCUCUCUUUUCUGUUUUCACUUGCUAGCUUCAUCUUUCUGUUUUUUAUUGCUUCCGAGUUUGCUUCUUCACCAAGCCUCGAGCCUUACUACUCAAGCAAGACUUGAAACAGCUUGCUGCUGCCUCUUGCACCAACAAUUGGUAUCGAGAGCUCUUGUCUUAGUGGACCUAUUGCUUCAAAACAAAGAACUUGAUGGCUUCUUCAGGAUUUUCACCAGCAGCCCCACCAGUCUUCAAUGGAGAAGGCUUUCACAUAUGGCUGGUCAAGAUGAAGACUUACCUACAGGCUUUUGACCUGUGGGAAGUUGUCAACACAGAUACUGAGCCAGCACCACUGAGGGCUAAUCCCACAGUAGCUCAGAUUAGGCAACAUGCUGAUGAGAGGACCAAAAGGCACAAAGCCAUGUCCUGCAUCCAGAACUGUGUGUCAGAUGUCAUCUUCACCAGAAUCAUGGCCUGUGAGACUCCAAAACAGGCCUGGGAUAAGCUUAAGGAGGAGUUUCAAGGCACUGAGAGAACAAGGCAACAGCAGCUGCUAAACUUGAGAAGGGAUUUCGAGAAUUUGAAGAUGAAGGAAGAAGAAACAGUGAAGCAGUACUCAGAUAGAAUUAUGGCAGUGGUUAACAGCAUAAGGCUCCUAGGUGAGCACUUUGAUGAGGCAAGAAUUGUGGAGAAAGUCCUCUCCACUUUGCCUGAGAGAUAUGAGGCCAAGAUAUCCUCUCUAGAGGACUCAAGAGAUCUUGCUAGCAUCUCUUUGACUGAGCUAAUCAACACCUUUUAUGCUCAGGAACAAAGAAGAGCUAGCAGAGCUGAAGAUCACCAAGAAGGUGCAUUUCAAGCCAAGGCCAGAGAAACCUCGAGCACUAAUGCUCAAAGAGGCAAAAGGCCUUGGAAAAACAGGCCUAAGCCUGAUGCUGCAAGGAGCAACGACCAGCCAUGCAGAUAUUGCAAGAAGCCUGGCCAUCCAGAAGACAGAUGCUGGUUUAGGCCAGAUGCAGUAUGCCAACACUGCAAGAAGAAGGGCCAUGUUGAAAGGGUCUGCAAAAACAGAAGUAAGCCAAGGCAGAAUCAAUUUCAGCAGUCAAAGGUUGAAGCUCGAGUAGCUGAGGACAGUAGUGACCAAGAAGAACAGGUCUUUGCUGUUUCCUGUGUAGCUUCUGAGAAGAAAUGCUCUAAAGGCUGGCUGCUGGACAGUGGUUGCACUAACCACAUGUCACCAGAUGCCUCCUUGUUUAAAACCUUGGACAGAAGUUAUAAAACCAAGGUCAAGGUUGGAAAUGGUCAGUUUAUAAGGGCUGAAGGAAGAGGAGAAGUGCUGAUAUCUACUCCCACAGGCAACAAGAUCAUUCCAAAUGUGCUGUUGGUACCACAGAUUGACAGAAACCUUCUCAGCAUAGCUCAACUGCUCGAGAAAGGUUAUUCUGUUGUGUUCAAGGAUAAACAAUGCCAUAUUACUGAUCCAAGUGGAUCAAGCCUUAUGACAGUCACAAUGACUGAUAAAUGCUUUGAGGUUCACUGGGCAAAUGACUCAAACUCAGCAUACACAGCCUCUGUUGAAGACUCCAAGCUUUGGCAUCAAAGGCUUGGACAUGCCAACUUCAGAUCAAUGGCUCGAUUGGCCAAAGAGGGCAUGGCAGAGAACUUCACCAGCUCAGUGGAGCAUGAUGAUGUGUGUGAAGUCUGCCAAAUGGGGAAACAGGCAAGACUGCCAUUUCCUACAAAUUCAGCUUGGAGAGCUACUGAAAGACUACAGCUGGUGCACUCUGAUGUAUGUGGCCCGAUGAGGACUGAAUCACUCAGCAAAAACAGGUAUUUCAUCCUCUUUAUUGAUGAUCUUACAAGGUUUUGCUGGAUUUUCUUUUUAAAACACAAGUCUGAGGUAGCUCAAGUGUUUGUGAAGUUUAAAAAUGCUGUAGAAACAGAAACAGGUUGCAAGCUGAAAUCGAUAAGGACAGACAAUGGCACUGAGUACACUUCAGCUCAGUUUCAAGCCAUUUGCAAUGAUGCUGGUAUCAAACAUCAGCUUACAAAUGUCUACACACCUCAGCAGAAUGGGGUAGCUGAAAGAAAGAAUAGAAGUCUGAUGGAUAUGGCCAGAUGUCUGCUGUUUGAGAAGAAACUGCCCAAGACCAUGUGGGCUGAGGCAGUAAGCACUGCUGUUUACCUUCAGAACAGGCUUCCCACUAAAGCUCUUGCAUCCGAGACACCUUUUGAGGCUUGGUUUGGUUUCAAGCCUUCCUUGGCACACCUGAAGGUGUUUGGUUGCCUGUGUUAUGCACAAAUACCAGCAGCAAAGAGAGACAAGCUCUCUAAAAGGGCUCAACCAGGUGUUCUAGUAGGCUACAGCUCAGUCAAAAAGGGCUACAGGGUUCUGGAUCCCUUGACAAACAAAGUCCAAGUGAGCAGAGAUGUCAUCUUUGAUGAAAAAGCCUGCUGGAAUUGGGAGAAAAAUGAGCCAGAAGCAAUUUCAGAAGACCUAGUGCCUAAUCAAGCUGAACUUGAGCAGCUAGAACCUGAAAUGGAUGUUGAUGAUGUGCCUGUGAGAGGCACAAGGCCCCUAGAAGAUAUUUAUGAAAGGGCACAGGUUGCAUUAGCAGAACCUAGCAGUUUUGAAGAGGCUGAGGCAGAUGAAGGUUGGAAACAAGCUAUGGUUGAUGAAAUCAACAUGAUUGUAAAGAAUCAGACAUGGGAGUUGGUUGAAAAGCCUGCCAACAGAAAGACUAUCGGUGUAAAAUGGGUCUAUCGAGUGAAGCACAAUGCAGAUGGAAGCUUAAACAAGCUAAAGGCCAGGCUAGUUGUAAAGGGCUUCAGUCAAAGGUAUGGUCUGGACUACAUGGAAACAUUUGCUCCAGUAGCCAGACUCGAUACAAUCAGAUUGCUGAUUGCAGUUGCUGCUCAGAACCAGUGGACAAUCCACCAGAUGGAUGUCAAGUCUGCAUUCCUCAAUGGAUUUCUUGAAGAAGAGAUAUACAUCGAGCAACCCCCAGGCUUUAUAGUGCCUGGUAAGGAACAAUUGGUGUAUAGGCUAAGAAAGGCCUUGUAUGGCCUAAAACAGGCCCCUCGAGCCUGGUAUGCUCGAAUUGACUCAUAUUUGGUCAGUUUGGGAUUUGAAAGGAGUGCUAGUGAGCCAACACUCUAUGUUAAGAAGAAUGGAGCUGAAACACAGCUUAUUGUGUCACUAUAUGUUGAUGAUCUUCUCGUGACUGGAGGAGACAAGCUUAUGAUGGUUGAUUUCAAAGCAAGAAUGAAGAAAAUGUUUGAGAUGUCAGACCUGGGAUUGAUGACAUAUUUCCUAGGAAUGGAAGUCAAUCAAAUAGAAGGAGGAAUCUUCUUGAAACAAAAGACAUUUGCCUUGAAAGUGCUGGCAAAAUUCUCAAUGGAGAAUUGUAAACCAGUGAGCACACCAAUGGCUAUUGGCAUAAAGCUAUCGAGCCAGGAGGAACAUGAAUCUGUCUGUGAAACAGAUUACAGAAGCCUUGUUGGGUGUUUAUUGUAUUUGACAGCAACAAGACCCGACAUUUUGUUUGCUGUAAGCAUGCUAUCAAGGUUCAUGCACUGCUGUAACCAGCAACAUUACAAGGCUGGAAAAAGGGUGCUAAGAUACAUUAAAGGUACCUUAAACCAUGGAAUACAGUUUAGAAAGGCUGAAGAGUUGAAACUGAUUGGCUACACUGAUAGCGAUUGGGCUGGUUCAAAGGAUGACAUGAAGAGCACUUCUGGCUAUGCUUUUACACUUGGCUCAGCUAUGAUUUGUUGGAGCUCAAGAAAACAAACAAUGGUGGCUCAAUCGACAGCAGAAGCAGAAUAUGUAGCAGCUGCCAAUGCUGUUAAUCAAGCCAUGUGGCUGAGAAAAAUUUUGAGUGACUUGAAUCUACAGCAGAAUGAAGCAACUGUGAUACAUUGUGACAACAAGUCAGCAGUUGCUAUUGCUAAAAAUCCUGUCUUUCAUGGCAGGACAAAACAUUUCAACAUCAAACUCCAUGUGAUAAGAGAAAUGGAACAAGCUCGAGAAAUUGAGCUAAUCCAUUGCAGUUCUGAAAAUCAGAUUGCCGAUAUCUUCACAAAGCCUCUUGGUGUAUCAAGAUAUCUAAGCCUGAAGAGGAAGCUAGGAGUCUGCUGCAUAGAAGCUGAGGAGGAGUGUUGAAGUCAGCUCCCAUGUAGCAGCAAAGGUGGCCAUGCAAGGAACGUGCUUCAGCAGCAAAUUGAUGCAGCAAGCUGAAGCUAUUCAUUUGGUUUCCUUAAUUGAAUGUUUUGUAUUUAGUUAGGAUCAAACUUAGUUGGUAGCUGCAUUUUGAUGUAAUUAGGUGCUGAAUGACAAGCUUAGGUAGAAGCUUUUUUGUUUUUCAAUCAAGUUUACCAAGUUACUAGGCAUUUUAGUGGUGUUAGGUAUGUUAGUAGGUGAUUACUUGUUUGUUUUACUUAUUGACUGAUAUAUGUAAUGGCUUAAUGCCUUGUUCAUGUGUUAAUGAAAAAUAUCAGCUCAUUUUCAUUCAAUCUCUUUCUCUCUUUUCUGUUUUCACUUGCUAGCUUCAUCUUUCUGUUUUUUAUUGCUUCCGAGUUUGCUUCUUCACCAAGCCUCGAGCCUUACUACUCAAGCAAGACUUGAAACAGCUUGCUGCUGCCUCUUGCACCAACAUCUACAAUGGAAGCAUCAUCACUGAUAAAAAUGCGACAGGAAGCAACUCGAACCCAUUGACCAUUCUGAAUAUUGAGUGGUAGAGGUAUCCUAAUAAUUGAGAAAACUUUUAUCUCGAAAGACACAUGCUGGUUAAGAUUAUUUUUGUUGGGAUUGAUCCGAUUAAACAACGAACAAGUAAAAAUUACGAAAAAAAUUGAAAAAUUAAAUACACAAAUUUAACGUGGAAAAACUCUCCGAUGAGGAUAAAAAAUCACAGGCAAAGAUAAUUUUACUAUAAUAGCAAAAGAGCGAAGAGUACAAAAGGUUGAGAUUAAAAUUAAACCCCGAAAAUAAAAAACCCGCAAAGCAUAAACACAAAAUUCUCCAGAAGUAUUAUGAGUUCUAAUAUUUAAUAAGUUUAUUUUCUAAUGUUGUAAAAAGUCUAUUUAUAGGUUAAAUUCGUAUGUCAAAUAAUAAUAAAAUAAUCUUGACUAAUCAGAGUUUGUUUGAAACAAAUAAACAGAAUUUAAUUGGAAGAUUAUUUAUCAAAUUUGACUGAAAUAUGAGUCAUACUCAACAAAUCUCUACAUUGACUCGUAUUUCCACUACGGCACCUUUGCCAAAGCCUGCCACGAGCCUAUCUUGAACUAUACUGGGAAUUAAUUGAGUUGAAUUUGUGUUUAGAAGCUGGAAUACUUCUAGAUUUCGACUUGUGCACUGCCAAAUCAAAACUAACCCAAGUCUGAUUUUCACAAACACAGUGGUCUAACAUUUCAAAACCUACGACAUCAAAAGAGAACCUCUGCUCCAAAUGAGUUAACUUUGACUUCGUAACGGACGAGGGAUGUCUGAUUUCACCAAUCAUUGUAGAACCUUUAAGAAUAUAAAGACUGCCGGUCCUUUUACCUUUUAACAAAAUGAGAGCCCCACUAGACAUCUUAAUGCUGCUUGACUCGAUGUUGAUUCUGCAACUUUUCGAGUCUAAAUUACUUAAGGAGAUGAGAUUCUUUAGUAAAUCAGGUACAUACCUGACAUCUAAGAGUGUCCUAAUCGUCCCAUCGUGCAUCGUAAUUUUAAUAGUACCAAUACCAAUUACCUUACUAGAUGAAUCGUUUCGCAUGCGCUCAACUCCACCUUCAACCGAGCUGUAUGUGGAGAACCAUUCUUUGUUGGGACACAUGUGGAAAGAACAUCCCAAAUCUGAGAUCCACUCGGACAUAAGCUCAGAACUAUUGUAAUACCUCUAACCCGUAUCCGUCGUCGGAUUGGGGUUACGAGGCAUUACCGAAUAAGACACGACUUUCAAACAAUUCCGGAUGCACAUAUGUCAUAUUCACAUAAAUAAAACUAAUGGCUGAUUAAAAAUUUAACAUACAUUAUUAUUCAUAAAAAUACAUACGUUUCACUUGCAUAUAAUCAUAAUUAUAUUUAAACAAACAUGCUACAAAGCCAUACAAAGAAAAUGUACAUUAAAAUAUUAAACAAAAAUUAUAAAUUAUCACAUCAAUUCAAUAAAACAAAAUCCCUGAGUAAUUUAAAAACUUCAUGCACGUUUAUUCAUAUCAAUUUAUACUCAUACAUUACUAGUUAUCAUAAACUCAAUUCGGCUAACCCAUUUAGGUAUAUAGAGUUAGGCCUAAAACAUGCAUCUUUUAAUUAAUUAACAUCCCUCAAAUUUAUCAUGUAUAUUUCUUACUAACCUUAAGCUCAAAUAAAAGAUAAUUUUACAUUAUUAUAUAAGAUCAAAACAUGUCUAUUUACCUAUUACUCCUUUAGCAUAUGACCUCAAAAUGAGCCAUUUUCAAUCAACCCUAUUUCAAAUAUCAUUAUAAAGUUAAGUAAUACAUGUUGGGGCAUUAUAACACAUUUUCGAUAGCAUAUCUAUGCUUUAUUUACAUUCAUCAAAUCACAUACUUAUUAAUAUAAUUAUGAGCACCAAAACCAAAUUGUAUAAUUACUUACAUUUUCAAUUCAAACAUAUUUUAAAUACACUACAUGUAUAUACGAUAUUUCUAAAUACUUAUUUAUUACAUAACUUAAUUAAAAUUCAUCUAACCUCCAUUAUUAAUCUUAUUGCCAAAACACAAAACUAAAUACCACUUUUUAUUUAACUUAUGUCUCAAAAAUUUAAUAUCUAGCUUUAACCAAAUAUGUCACAUUCAAGCUCUUUUGAAUAUAAUCAAUUUCAAGCAAUAAAAUUUGACACACCAAGUAUCCAUUCAAAAUCACAUAUUUUCAACUUAAACAAAACGAUCAAGGACAAACCAUUUUAAACCAAACCGAACCUAUAUAACCAAAUUAUACCCAAAUACAUUAUCAAUUCAAAUUGAAUCAAACUAAUCUAUACUUCAAAAAUUAUUAUCAACCAACUCAAUUAAUUACCAAAACCAAUCAUACCACACAACACAUAUUAUAUAUGUAUAUCAACUCAUUCACCACAUUAUCGACAAAACAUAGCUACUGUAUACUACGAAUAACUAAACCAUAGUCGAACUGAUAAAAUCAAACACAUUACACACUUCAUCAAGAGCCCACAAACUGAACCAAAUACAAAUUAUCAGAAACAAGCCAUUUUUGCAUGGCUAUGUAAAUAAAAGUCCCAAAUUUGAACAUUUCAUCUAGGCUAUACAUGCCAUAAGCUCAAAAUUUAACUUAGUAAAAUACCGAAUAAAAUAGUCGAUAGUGUGAUAGGCUUUGCUGAUGAUCCCUAAGUACGUAGUGACCACCAACAAAAAAAAUCUAUUAAACAUUGACAAUUAAAAAUACAAAGUAAGCUAACUUAGCUUAGUAAGUCUUUAGCAAAAUAUAUAUACUAUCGAAUGACAUAAUUCCUUAGAUAAUCUUAUUAAAACCUAAAAUGCAUCAUACAAACAAUAUCAAAUCAAUCAUUAAUCUCAGGACAUUUUAUCAUAACUAUUUAACAUUAUAUAAACUUUCAAACUUAAGUCUAGCAUUAGCUUAAGGCCGAAUAUAUUUAUCAAAUACAUAUACACACUUACUUACCUAAUCAUCAAAUAAGAUAUAACAGAACACAUACAUGAUUAUUAUAACCUUGCAAUCCCAUUCGAUAUUACAUUUACAUAGAACUUACUAAGCUUGAAGCCUGAUUCCGUACACCGACAUUAAGCCUGCUAGGCACAUCGCCUAUGUAUAUUCAUAUAAUUCUCUAAAAGAAAUCUAAAUAUUCUUUAUGAUUCACAUAGAUCUUUCCCCAUAAUCAUAUCUCAAGAAAAAUUGAGUUAUAUUCAAUUCUUCAUAGCAAACAUACAUUCGAAACACAUAUAUAUAAUUCAUAACAUUAAAUUCAGCUCAAAGAGCUUGAAACAUACAUUCGAACCACACACACACACACACACACACAUAUACAUAUAUUAUUCUAUUAGUUUCAACUUAUUGAAUUCAUAACUUUCUUUGGCUAACAUACACAUAAUUCAUAGAAGUAAUUUCAACCUACCGAAUUCAAUACGUACAAUCGGCUAAUAUAUAUGAAAUUCAUAAAGUUUUAUUCAGCUUAUAUAUUAUUAAUUUCAACUUAUUGAAUAUAUGAUAGAUAUAUAUAUUCUGAUUUAAUAACAUUUAUUUGCUAUUAGACUUACCUCGAACAGUAAAAAUUGGAUUAGAGAGAUUAAUCGAGGAUUUUGGUUUUUCCUCUAUCUAGCUCCGAUUUCUUUGGUUCUUGAUCUUAAAUCAAGCUUGAAUAUAGCCGAACUGAUUAAAUUCUAAAAUUACAUGUUUUAUGUAAUUAAAUUGGUUAAUUUAUGAGAAUGCACCACUAAUUUUUCUAUAUUUAUUGAAUUUUGUGCUGGAAUGCAAUUUGGGGCUAAAUAGAAGAAAAAGGAAACAAUUGGGCCAAAUUAAAGAAAGAAGCAAAGAAGGAGGGCCAAAGUAGAAUUUUUCCAAUAUUAAUUAGCUGAAAAUUUUGUUGACUUAGUGGGGGAGAUUAUUUUGGGAUAUUUUUUGUCAUGGAAUAUUUUUUUUUCCUUGAAUUUCUAGACUAGUUGGCUCUUAAAUUAGUAAAUCCUCUAGUAUAAAUAGAGCAUAUAUUGUUCAUCAAUUCAUCAGUCAAAAAAUAUUUAGCUUUUAUCUUUCAAUUCUCUCCUUUCUCACGUAGCAUUGUUUCUUUAGCUUCUUUGCCUUCAAUUUAUUCCUAGCAGCAACCAACUUUAAAUCAUUUGCAAUUUCUUUUUUUUCAAAUUCCCUUUUCAACCACCCACUUUAAUAUAUUCCAACCCCCAUACUCAAUCACAUCACUCACCUUUUCACCCAUUUACCUUAUUUAUCAAAUACCAACAUGUCCCAAACCUUAGCCAACUAAACCCAUUUUCAGCUUUAGGCCAAAAUUAGCCUCGUCAAAACCCGUGAGUUAUGAACCCGAGCCAUUUAACUCCUAAAAUUCCAGUACUUAUUACUUCUCCGGAUUAAGAGUAUGAUUUUGUCAGCUCAUAAAGUCAAAUCAUCACUAAGUCAAAAAAGACGUCAUUUGAUUUAGUGUGAUUAGAUGUACAGUUGGAAUUCCGAAAGGAACGUUUCUAAUCGGUUUUCUGUGAACACAUUGGCGUGCCAAGUGGAGAUUGCUGUUUGGUUCCGUCAAGGGAAGUAGUAAUCGGAUUUAAAUGUCCCACAUGGUUGAGGGCACUGGUUUGAGCUAGGCUCUUCUAGAACGCAAAGCUGCCGGAGUUCUAAAUCACGAACGUUUCAUGGUUGUUCGAUCGGUAAGAAUUAGUUAUUGGACGUUCCAUAACUAAUUUACACAAGGAAGAGUUGGUGUCCGAGGCGUCCUUGGUAUCUAUAACUAGCUUAUUGGAAAAGGGGAGUUCAUCCAAUUUCGAGGAUCGGUUCAAAGACGAGAAAAAUUUGCGCCUAAAGCUGAGCUCAUUCUAAUUAAUUUUUCUUAAUAUUUAUUUCACAGUUAUUAUUAUUCUAUUUUCAACUUUUACUUUUGACAUUAUUUUUCUGUUAAUUUCAGGUUUUCAAAUUUUUAUCCCCCCAAACGUCUUGGGCACAACAGUUGCCCCGACAUAAAUCUGGUCAAACGAGCAACAAUUUACAGUAAACCAGUCUCUGAGGGAUCGACCCUACUCCCUAUACUGCAUAAUUUGCAACUUAAGGCGUAGGUUUAUAUUGGUGGAUUCGACACCCAUCAUGAACCUUUGCUUGUGUUUUUCUCUUAUUCUUUUCUCUAGUUUGGGCCUAACGAAGAUGAUAACUAAUGAAUUUAAAUUGGUUUUUAGUUAACAUAUAUCAAUAUAUUAUUAAUUUACCUUAUUAACCUUUGUUUAUAAAUAUUUAUACUUUAUAAUACAAGGUCAUUCUUGACCAUUAUCACCCACUCACUUAAUAGUGGGCUUAUUACCUAUUAAGGACUCCAUGUUAAAAAGACAUUAGCAAUUUAGCACUUUACACAUUAACUAGCUAUUUUUUUAUUUUAUGUGAUUAAGCCAUUUUUCUUUAAUCGGUCAUUCAAACGAUAAAAUUAAAACACAAAAAUUUCACACAAUCAAAUUCACACAUAAUAAACACACAAAAUAAUAAUAAAAUAUUUUUUCGACUCGAAUUUGUGGUCCUAAAAUCAUUAUGUCCAAUUAGGGUCGAAAUCGGGCUGUUACAACUAUCGCUUGUUGACACUAAUAAAAAAUCAUCACCGCUUUUGUCAGCCAAAUUAGCACGAGUUACAUCUUCCUCAUUGCUCUCAAUAACCCUUUUAUUUCACAGUUUAUAACAAUCUGCUUUGACGUGACCUAACUUCUUCCAAUAGCGACAUCUUUUGUCUCGCUUCUUUGAUGUUACCAAAAUAGAAGUUUGCCUAUUUUCCUUGCUAUUCAAACCAAACUCAUUGCUGAGUUUAUCUUUGCUCAACAAAUGAUCCUUCACAUCCUCGAAUGAGAGAUUAUCUCUCCCAUAAAUCAUGGUUUCCCUGAAAGACUUGUAUAAAGGGAGUAAAGAGCACAACAAUAGCAUAGUCUGAUCCUCAUUGUCGAUCUGAACCUCAACGUUAUUUAAAUCAUUUAAAAGAGUAAUGAAUUGACUGAUGUGAUCUCUAAGAAGCUCAUAUUUGUUCAUACAAAACGUAAAUAGACAUUGUUUUAAUACUAAACGGUUAGCCAAAGGCUUAGUCGCAUAAAGAGUUUCUAACAUUUUCCACAAGGUAGAGGAGGUAUUCUCCAUCAAUACCUCCUACAAUACCAUAUUCGUGAGGCACAAUUGGAUCGCAGAUAAGGCCUUUUCAUCAAGCUCUUAUCAUUCUGAUUGAUCUAGAUUCUCAAGCAUUUUCCAGAUAACAACCUUUUUUCAGGCCGGUCUGAACUAGAAUUGUCAUCAUCCGAACUUGCUAUAGAUUGAAAUUUUUGAUGCCAUCGAAUUUUUCAAUAUCAAACCUUGUUGCUGCCAUCUCUAAAUGAGUUGAUCUGCGAAAAUCGAACUAGCUCUUAUACCAUUUGUUGUGGAUCAACCCGAUUAAGUAACGAACAAGUAAAAAUAGCAAAAUAAAAUCAGAUAUUGAACACACAAAUUUAACUUGGAUUGUGGUUCAAAACGAAAUGUUAAUACAUACAUUACCUGUAGAGUCAAUGUAGUCUUUAAAGAUGUCACCCACCUACCCACUAAGUAAUAAUUGAAUAAAAAGUUACUAAUUUUAUAUUAAAAACUUAGUUAAGGGACGGCUUUUCUUUAUAAAUUUUCUGGAUGAUAACGAAUGGCAGCACAUGACGCUAUGAAUAAAGAAGAACAAGUUGGACAGAAUUUUCAAUUGAAUUUAUUAUAUUAAAUAUUUUUUAGGGUAAAAGUGGGAUUGGCCAAGAAUCGAAUUUAAUUUUAGUGCUAAUUGAAAAUUCAAUCACAAGUUUUUAUUUCUCCAUAUAGAGUUUAAAUUACUCUUUUAUUACUAUACUCUUAUUAUUAAUUAUUAAUAAUGUUGAUGUAGAUUAGCGUCUUCAUAUUUGUUAUUAAUGGUAGUAGCAUUUUAAUUAUUUUAAUAUACUUUUAUUUUUAGAAAUUUUGUCCCGUUCUUUUGUUUCAUGUCAUUUUCGAAAAAGAGUUUGAAUAAUAGGGUUGGAGUAGUAAAAAAUGGUUCGUUUAAUAUUGCAAUAAUAUUUGUUGCAUGUCAAAUCGGUUUCAUGUCGUGUUAAUAUUUGGAAUUUGAUAUCUAAUCUUUUUUUUUUGAAAUCUUAUUAUACGUUGUUAUCAUAUUCGUUCUUUUUGAUACAAUGCUAAGAACUAUCCAUAGUCCCUCCCCCACCCUUAAAUAGGAGGAUAAUAUGCUUCAGUGUACUUAAACCCACGUCUUUUUGCUCUAGCAACAAUGCCGAUGCCAAUCGAGUUAGGACUCAAAUCCACGUAUUCUUAAACAACUAGGUUUGACGACCCUAGGAAGUUAUUAUAGGCUAGACGAGGUCGGGAGAUAAACGAGUAUCAAUCAAUCGAUUAAUUAAUUAGAGACCAGGAGGUAAUAAUUGACUAACCAGUAGCUAAUUCAACCUAAACCCUAAUUUGAAGUUUGUUACAAAUCUUGAAGUGAGUUAAUCUUCCUGAUUGAUUUAUUAAUUUUAGUCGAUUAUUAUUUUUCUUAUUUCAAUUCUCUCAUUAAUCUAUUUUAUAGUUUAUAGUAAUAUAGAGAUUAAUUAUUACUACUUAGACUUAUUAUUGUAAAAAGCUUUUCGUAGAUUUAUUCCAUCCUCUAUUGGGUACGUUUCUCGUAAUACUUCGAAGUAUUUUAUUGUACUAACUAUAUUACAAUUUGACCUAUGCGCUUGCGCACACUGUCAUUCUAAAUUCUUAUAUAUUUUUGGUGUAUUAUUUUACUAUAAACAAUAACUUGUUUAUAGACGGUCACCCGCUUCCCCUUUACCACUCCCUUUGCCCACUUUAGCUACAGGCCCCUGCUUCAAACAAAUUGGGUCAAUGGUCCGACCUUCCCCAGUACCUUUGGGAUUGGGAUGCCCAUUCAAUGCACUAAGAAAGCAGAAAAGUUUUAUCAUAUCAUUUUUUAUUUAUUAAAUGUGUGGUAUUUAUAUCAAGGAUGAUUCAAGUAUUCUACUUUUAAUUUCAAAAUGCAUUUUGCCUUCUUUGAUUUACUACUCUCUAUAUCAAUUUCGUGUUGGUGUUAUGAACACCCAUAUAUUUCUAGUUCCAUCUGAUGCGGUCGUUGGAAGCACCAAAAAUAUCCUAUCCCUAAUAAAUAAUGAAAAGAAUAGUAAAAGGGAAGUAGGGUCAAAUCCUCAGGGACUGGACUUGCAAAAUAUCUUGUUCCGUGAUAUCCCAGGCAGAGUCUUGCCCAAGACAACCUGCGUUCCUGAAAAAAAUAAAAACAAUAGCAGAAUUAAAUUGUUGGAUCUAGAAACGAAAAAUAAAAUAAAAACAGAAUUAAGAAUAUUGAAUUGAAAAUUAGAGAAAUUAAAAAUAAAGUUAAGAGAAAGAAAAUUCUUAUGGGAAAUUCCAACCUCCAGUUGUCUCGUUCCGCCUUGGGUUCAAUCCUCAACUUUUAGAUAAUCCUUCCCAAACCAAAUAAGCCAGUUAUAGUGGAAGAGGACGCCUACAACCACCAGCUCCAAUGAUUUAGACUACGAUUUGGUGGAACCUGACUCUAGCUAACAAUCGCUUCUGUGGGAUCAUCUUAUGCUAGAUCAACGCUUCUCAAUGGCGAAUCCCACGCCAUUUUGUCUCUUGGGCUCGCCAACCUCUGACGCAGUAAGCUAACGAACCGACUGUGCAACCUUCCCAAAACAUACAAAGCGGCCGCCUUUGCAUAUGUUGAAAAACUUACUUCUUAAGGGACUUGGACGGAAGUGUCAGCCCCGUAGUGCGGAGAAACGAUGAAUACUCAGCGAGAAGGCUAAGUACGGAUUCUAAGCCUCAAGAACCUUUUUGGGGAUUUUUGACAACCUUCGGCUAGAUGGGUUUAGUGGCUCAUGGUUGUGGUAGAAAAGAAAAUAAAUAAAAUAAAAUAAAGAUUUUAUUGAAAGAAAAUAUGAAAAGAACAAAAGCCUAGACUUUUGAGGAGAGAGUGUUUACAGAAAAAGAAAAAGAUGAGAUCCCCUUUUGAGUCACUUCACCCCCUAUUUAUAGUGCUAGGGGAGAUAUUCUAAUUCUACUUAAAUUCCUAAAAGAUAAAUACAUUUAAUUGAAGAUAAAUAAAGAUAAAAUAAAAUCCUAAAAAUAAUCCUUAAUAAUUAUCUCAAUAUUAAUUAUCCUAAUAUAAUUAAAAUAGAGUUUAAUAAAAUAAAAUCUCUUCUUUUUGCAUUUCAACCCUUGUGUCCUCCAUGCUUGCACUUUUGGCACCAACUUUUCCUUGUGUCGCACAUUGACCCAUUUUAUCUCUAAAUUCACGCUUUUGGCCCUUAAUUUCACUUUUGCCUCAAAUUUAGUCCCUAUGAGAUAAAAGAUCAUAAAUAGCUCAAAUUAGCAGGAUCAUACUCAGAAUAAAUACAUAAUUAAUACGUAAAAAUACGUUAUUCUAGAGUGUUAUCAAAUCCCCCCUACUUAGCCCAUGCUUGCCCUCAAGUAUGGUUCCUAUCUACUAUGAAAGUUAGAUUCUGUCAUAAAAGAAAUACAACUCUAAAGUUUUAUAAAAAUCAGUCAAAAAUGCAUAUGAAAAAUAAAGAGAACCCUAAGCUUGCUUUAAGUAAAACAGAAAAAGUUUUUCAAUUAAUACACACAAAAAUUAGAAUCAACUUGAAUUAUUUAAUGAAAAUUAGGUAAUUUACCAAACCUACCAAGACACCCUAUUUGUUUCCUCCUUUAGUCCCCAAAUUAUUUUUUUCUUUUUUUGUUUUUUUUUUUUGUCUUUUUUUGUUAUGCUUUAGGAAUAUACUGAACCUUUUGACGCGAAGAGAGAUGAUAGCCAAGCACCCCACCCCGGUUACUCAGCCCAGCAAACUCCUAAUUUAUUAUAAUUUUUCUUAAGAACACAUCAAACCUUUUGACGCGAAGAAAGAUGACAGCCAAGCACCCCACCCCGGUUACUCAGCCCAACAUGUUCUUAAAAAUUAAUUCCGGUUAGCGGAGUUUUACCUAACACGUCACACAACCUUUUGACGCGAAAUAGGAUGACAACCCAAGCACCCUACCCCGGUUACUCAGUCAGUCACAUUUUUAAGCUGCACUCAUAACCACGGAACAUUAAAUGACAUUAAUAAUAAAUUUUUUUAUGAGGACUUUAGGGAAAAAAUAAUAAUAAUCAAGUGUCAAAAAUAAGUUUCAGUAAUUACCUUAAUAGUCAUCAACAUAUUUUAGCAUGCAAACAUAUUAAGUGUCCACUUUGUAUUUAAACUUGAUCAAUUUUACGAAAAGCAAGAUAAAGUUAACUUUAUGAAUCACAAUUAUUUUUAUUCUAAUAAAAAUAAAACAGUGGAGAUGGCAUCAAUUAUGAAAAAUUCAUAAUUUUCUCAGAAAACAAGAAUCAUGCUUGUAGGUCAAACAGUAGGCAAUUCUUGGUAAAAAUCUUGGGCAUGAAAAGAGGCAGGAGAUGGACAAAAUAAAGCCUCAAGCAGCAACACCAGCCAAAAAUAAUCACAGCAACAGCAACAAUAACCAAAAUCACAGCAGAAAAUGAUAGUAAUAACGAAGAGUAGCUCCCCCUACUGAAAGCACAUUGUCCUCAAUGUGGACGAAAAGAAAUAAAUAGGUAGAAAAGUUUAGAAAAACUCCCCGUAUGAUCACAAAUGAUGGCAAUGAGCUUGGUCAGUUGCUGGCCAAAGGUUUCAAUUCAGGCCUUAAUGCGCUUUAAGUGUUGCUUAACGGUUUGCUUCAUUUUUUUUCUAAGCAAAAGAAGAAAAAUUGAUUAAUAUCCAAAUAAGUAAUAAAUAAUAAAAUAAAGUAAUAAAUAAAGUAAAGAAAAAUAAUAAUAAAAAUUGGGUUGUCUCCCAACAAGCGCUUGUUUAACGUCGUUAGCUCGACGCCGUUAUUGGUUCUAUGGUGGUUCCAAAUGGAUUUCCUCAACUGUGUGGGCUUGAAAAUUCUCAUAAAAUGGCUUCAACCGCUGGCCAUUGACUACGAACUGCUUUCCAGAUUCUUCACUCUCUAUUUCAACUGCUCCAUGUGUGAACACUUUAGUAACAAUGAAAGGUCCUUGCCAUCGUGAUCGAAGCUUACCUGGGAAUAACUUUAACACGGAGUUAUAAAGUAAAACUUUUUGUCCUACCGAAAAAUUCUUUUGAGCAAUUCUCUUAUCGUGAAACAACUUUGUCUUAUCUUUAUAAAUGUGAGCAUUCUCGUAGGCAUCAUUACGAAUUUCUUCUAACUCUUGGAUGUCUAAUUUCCUUGCGUUUCCAAAAACAAGUCGAUACGGGGUCAUACCAAUCGGUCCCUUAUACGCAGUCCUAUAGGCCCAAAGUGCAUCAUUUAGCCGAAGGCUCCAAUCUUUUCGGUUAGGACGAACUGUUUUCUCCAAAAUAGUAUUGAUUUCCCUGUUUGAGACCUCGGCUUGACCGUUCGUUUGGGGAUGGUAAGCCGUAGCUAUACGGUGGUGGACUCCAUAUUUUGCCAACAGUGCCUCCAUGACCUUAUUACAAAAGUGGGUGCCACGAUCACUGAUUAGGGCUCGAGGUGUGCCAAACCUGGAAAAGAUAGUUUGUUUUAAAAACUCCAUAGCAGUUUUGGCAUUAUCAUUAUGAGUAGGCUUUGCUUCUAUCCACUUAGAAACAUAGUCUACUGCAAGAAUUAUGUAUACAUUGCUAAAUGAAGAAAUAAAUGGGCCCAUGAAAUCGAUACCCCAUACAUCAAAGAUUUCGCAUACAUGAAUCGGGGAAAGGGACAUUUGAUUUCGUUUAGUGAUGUUACCUGUAUGUUGGCACCUAUCGCAAGACUUACAGAAGUUAUAUGCGUCUCGAAAAAUUGUGGGCCAGUAUAGCCCACAUUCUAACACCUUAUGAGCGGUCCGCUUAGGGCCAAAGUGACCUCCGCAAGCUUCAGCAUGACAAAAAUUAAGGAUAGAAGUUACCUCAGUUUCUGGAACACAUCUUCGUAUUAUCUGGUCUGAACAGUGUUUCCACAAGUAUGGGUCAUCCUAAAUGUAAUAUCGAGUAUUGCGUCUAAGCUUGUCCCUUGCGGAACGUGCUAACUCAGUGGGUAAUAAUCCUGUGGCUAGAAAGUUUACUAUAUCUGCAUACCAUGGGAGACGUACCUCGGUCGAGAAUAGGCUCUCAUCAGGGAAUUCUUCCUUAAUUGGGAUGUCAUCAAAAGGUACUUUUAUUCUGCUUAAGUGGUCAGCCACUAAAUUCUCGCAUCCCCUUUUGUCUCGAAUCUCAAUGUCAAAUUCUUGGAGUAGCAAAAUCCACCUAAUGAGCCUCGGUUUUGCUUCUUUCUUUGCGAUCAAAUACCUGAGAGCUGCAUGAUCAGAAAAAAUAAUCACUUUAGUUCCCAAUAAAUAAGGUCAAAAUUUAUCUAAAGCAAAUACAACGGCUAAGAGUUCUUUUUCCGUAGUGGUGUAGUUGCUCUGCACAGCAUCUAGGGUUUUCGAGGCAUAACAUAUGACAUGUGGUUCUUUGUCUAUCCUUUGCCCCAACACGGCUCCUACACUGCGCUCGCUGGCGUCGCACAUAAUUUCAAAUGGGUAUUUCCAAUCUGGUGGUUGUACUAUAGGAGCGGAGACUAACUUUUGCUUGAGUGUAUCAAAUGCCUCCUUACAUUUUAGGCCAAACUCAAAUUUCUUAUUCUUCUGCAACAACUCACACAGUGGUUCAGCUACCCUCGAGAAGUUUUUUAUAAAGCGCCUGUAAAACCCUGCAUGACCAAGAAAAGAACGAAUUUCCCUCACGGUGGAGGGAUAAGGCAAAGAAUUUAUAAUAUCAAUUUUGACCUUAUCGACCUCAAUUCCUUUAGAUGAAACAACAUGACCUAGAAUUAAACCCUUGUCUACCAUAAAAUGACACUUUUCAUAAUUCAAGACAAGAUUAAAUUCUAUGCACCUACUUAAAAUUAUCGUUAGGUUUUUAAGGCAUUCAUCAAAACAAUUCCCAUAUACAGUAAAAUCAUCCAUAAAAACUUCGAUAAUUUUUUCCACAUAUUCAGAAAAUAUACUCAUCAUACAUCUUUGGAAGGUGGCUGGCGCAUUGCAAAGACCGAAUGGCAUCCUUCUAUAUGCAAAUGUACCAAAUGGGCAUGUAAAAGUGGUCUUUUCUUGGUCCUCCAGUGCGACUGGAAUUUGAAAGAAACCUGAGUAUCCAUCAAGACAACAAAAAUGAGUUUUUUCGGCUAAUCUUUCAAGCAUUUGAUCUAUAAAAGGAAGAGGGAAAUGAUCUUUUCUAGUGUAUGAAUUCAACUUCCUGUAAUCAAUGCAAACGCGUCACCCAUUUUGUACUCGGGUAGGUACCAAGUCACCUUCAGAAUUUUUUUUUACUGUCACACCCGUUUUCUUGGGCACGACCUAAACCGGACUUACCCACCUACUGUCAAAAAUAGGGUAAAUUACGUCAGCAUCUAACAGCUUGAUUAUUUCCUUUUUUACUACCUCCAUCAUAUUCGGAUUUAGCCGUCUUUGUGCCUCUCGCCUCGGCUUCGUGUCUUCCUCCAAGUAGAUCUUGUGUGUGCACGUCAAAGGGCUUAUCCCUUUUAAGUCUGCAAUGGUCCAGCCAAUCGCCUCCUUAUGAUUUUUUAGUAUAUGAACCAAACUUUCCUCUUCAUGUGUGGAGAGUUUAUUGGAGAUUAUGACUGGUAGGGUAUUACCUUUCCCCAAAAAUACAUAUUUCAGAUGCUCAGGAAGUGGUUUCAACUCCAACUCUGGUGCCUGUAUAACAGAAGGUAACAGUUUAGUAUUUAGAGAUAAUAACUCAUUAACAAAUUCAAUUUCUUUAAGUUCAGAAUUAUCUCCAUAAAUUGACUCAAAAUUCUCUUCCACCAAAGAGUCAAUUAUGUCGAUACGAUUUACGCUCAAGAUUUCGCUUGGAUGACUAAUGGCAUCGUAGACAUUAAACUUUACGAUCUCCCCAUCAAACUCCAUUGUGAGAGUUCCACUUCGAACAUCAAUUUUAGUACUAGCUGUACUAAGGAACGGUCGACCCAGCAGGAGAUCUGAAGAUCCAGGAGUGCUAUCCUCCUCCAUUUUGAUCACAUAAAAAUCUGCAGGGAAAAUAAGCUCGUUAACUUUUACCAGAACAUCCUCAAGGACUCCUUCUGGAUGAACAACAGACCUGUCCGCCAAUUGAAUGAUAACACCUGUUUUUGUCAAAAAACCUGCGUUAAGUGAUUCAUAAACAGAAUAUGGCAUUACAUUUAUAGAAGCCCCUAGAUCACACAUAGCCUUUUUAAUUCCCAGAUGGCCUAUUUUGCAUGGUAUUGCAAACAUGCCCCUAUCCUUGCAUUUUGCUGGCAUUUUCUGCUGUAACACUGCAGAUACAUUCUCAACAACAUUCACCCUUUCAUUGCCUGUUAAUUUUCGCUUGUUGGUGCAAAGCUCUUUAAGAAAUUUAGCAUACCGCGGUAUUUGCUUAAUGGCAUCCAACAACGGAAUAUUGAUCUCGACAUUCCUAAAUGUUUCGAGAAUUUCCUUGUCCUCUUUACCUCUUCGACACUGGUUGAAUCGUUCUGGAAAUGGAGGUUGAAUUUUAGGCAAUGGAGGCUUCGGUCGGACCUGUUCGACUUUUUCAGUUUUUUCUUGGGUAAGAUUCCUGUCAGGAAUCGAUUCCAGUAUUUUUCCGCUUCGUAACGUCACUGCAUUUGCAUUUUUCCUAGGGUUUGGUUCUGUUCGUGAUGGUAACUUCCCUUGAGAGGUUAAUUUCUCGAUCGAUGUGGUCAACUCUCUGAUAGACUUCUCGGUUUUCUGUUGGAACUCUUUUGUCUCUUUUUGGAAAUUAAGAGUUUACUGUUGAAAAUCAAGAACAUUAGCUGCUAACUUAUUGACCAUGGUUUCUAGAAAAUUACCUGAACCUUACGGCUGUUGCGGAAAUCGAUUUUGGUAUGUCUGGUUAUUUCGUAGAUUGGCCCCAUAACUUAAGUUAGGAUGGUCCCUCCACCCUGGGUUGUAGGUAUUAGCGUAGGGGUUGUACUGCCUUUGUAGUGGCCCAGGGAAAUUUCCAACAGCAUCUAGAUGGGCCGUGGUAUCAUCAUACAAACUGGGACAUGCAUCAGUUGUGUGAUCAGGUGUAGCACAUAUUCCGCAUAAUCGAGCUGUCUUCGCUUUUUUUGCAAUAAGAGAAUUCAUCAUAUUAGUAAGUCUAUCAACUUUAUCCUCUAAGGUUGAAUUACUUUGCUGAUGAACCCUUCUAGGGGGUUCAGUAUUGGCUCGAAACUGCUGAGAAUUUGUAGCCAUCGUGGAGAUCAAGUCUCUCGCUUGUUGGGGAGUCAUGUUGACCAAUGCUCCUCCACUAGCAGCGUCUACCAUAUUCAUCUCCAUGGGCUUCAAACCUUCGUAAAAGUAUUGGAUGAGAGAUUGCUCUGUUAUACCAUGUUGUGGGCAGCUUGCACACAACUUCUUAAAUCGCUCCCAAUAAUCGUAAAGGGACUCAGCUUCUUUUUACCUUAUUCCAACGAUCUCUCUUAUUAGCUCAGCUGCUCGAGACGCUGGAAAAAACCUGUUCAGAAACAAACGAGAUAGAUCAGCCCAAGUUGUAAUAGAUCCAGGGGGUAAAUAAAAUAACCAUUCCUUAGCGGAAUCUGCUAGGGAGAAAGGGAAAGCACGCAAUUUAAUCUGAUCCUCAGUUACCCCCUGAGGUUUCAUGCUAAGACAAACCAUAUAAAAUUCUUUCAGAUGCUUGUGGGGAUUUUCAUUUUGUAACCCACGAAAAGUUAGCAAUAACUAGAUUAAACCUGACUUCAAUUCAAAAUCAGUAUCCAUAGUAGGAUACGCGAUGCAUAAUGGCGGUUGUUCUGUUGGAGCUUCGGCCAGUUGCCGAAUUGUUUGAGCCAUUGGUUCGUGUGCUAAAUUUGGGUUUUCGUUAACCCUAGCGUUAAGCACUUCUUCUGGAGAGUCGACUUCUACCUUUUCACUUUCAAGUGUUCGAGUAGGAUUUUCGUUAACCCUAGACUCAGCUUCGUCGUCGACUUCAAUUUCUGGCAGUGGAUUACUUUGAGUUCCAACCACCGCUGACUGCUUUUUUCGUAACUUUGUCUCCUUGCGAUUGGCUCUAGCAGUCUUCUCAAUUUCUGAAUCGAACGCAAGAGUACCUGGAGCAGAUCUGGUCAUAAGAAACAAAAAACAAGAUUAGUACGUUGCCAGUCCCCGGCAACGGCGCCAAAAUUUGAUGCGGUCGUUGGAAGCACCAAAAAUAUCCUAUCCCUAAUAAAUAAUGAAAAGAAUAGUAAAAGGGAAGUAGGGUCAAAUCCUCAGGGACUGGACUUGCAAAAUAUCUUGUUCUGUGAUAUCCCAGGCAGAGUCUUGCCCAAGACAACCUGCGUUCCUGAAAAAAAUAAAAACAAUAGCAGAAUUAAAUUGUUGGAUCUAGAAACGAAAAAUAAAAUAAAAACAGAAUUAAGAAUAUUGAAUUGAAAAUUCGAGAAAUUAAAAAUAAAGUUAAGAGAAAGAAAAUUCUUAUGGGAAAUUCCAGCCUCCAGUUGUCUCGUUUCGCCUUGGGUUCAAUCCUCGGCUUUUAGAUGAUCCUUCCCAAACCAAAUAAGCCACUUAUAGUGGAAGAGGAUGCCUACGACCACCAGCUCCAAUGAUUUAGACUACGAUUUGGUGGAACCUGACUCUAGCUAACAAUCGCUUCUGUGGGAUCGUCUUAUGCUAGAUCAACGCUUCUCAAUGGCGAAUCCCACGCCAUUUUGUCUCUUGGGCUCGCCAACCUCUGACGCAGUAAGCUAACGAACCGACUGUGCAACCUUCCCAAAACAUACAAAGCGGCCGCUUUGCAUAUGUUGAAAAACUUACUUCUUAAGGGACUUGGACGGAAGCGUCAGCCCCGUAGUGCGGAGAAACGAUGAAUACUCAGCGAGAAGGCUAAGUACGGAUUCUAAGCCUCAAGAACCUUUUUGGGGAUUUUUGACAACCUUCGGCUAGAUGGGUUUAGUGGCUCAUGGUUGUGGUAGAAAAGAAAAUAAAUAAAAUAAAAUAAAGAUUUUAUUGAAAGAAAAUAUGAAAAGAACAAAAGCCUAGACUUUUGGGGAGAGAGUGUUUACAGAAAAAGAAAAAGAUGAGAUCCCCUUUUGAGUCACUUCACCCCCUAUUUAUAGUGCUAGGGGAGAUAUUCUAAUUCUACUUAAAUUCCUAAAAGAUAAAUACAUUUAAUUGAAUAUAAAUAAAGAUAAAAUAAAAUCCUAAAAAUAAUCCUUAAUAAUUAUCUCAAUAUUAAUUAUCCUAAUAUAAUUAAAAUAGAGUUUAAUAAAAUAAAAUCUCUUCUUUUUGCAUUUCAACCCUUGUGUCCUCCAUGCUUGCACUUUUGGCACCAACUUUUCCUUGUGUCGCACAUUGGCCCAUUUUAUCUCUAAAUUCACGCUUUUGGCCCUUAAUUUCACUUUUGCCUCAAAUUUAGUCCCUAUGAGAUAAAAGAUCAUAAAUAGCUCAAAUUAGCAGGAUCAUACUCAGAAUAAAUACAUAAUUAAUACAUAAAAAUACGUUAUUCUAGAGUGUUAUCACCAUCACAUCAAUCAAUGUUCCGAAUAUAAUGAAUCUAUUUGUACCAUCAAACAAUCACAAAGAAACUUAACUAAAUAGGAGAAAAAACCUAUUUGUACGAAAGGGCUAGUGAAGUAGUUUACACAAUUAUUGCUUCUUCCCUGAUCGGCCGGUUAUAAAAUUGAAAAUGUUUUGCAGCCGUUUAGGCUUCGGCCCUUCUUCCUCUGUUUCCUCGUCGAUAUCAUGUUUUCGUUUUACAAAGGAAGUGCUGCCUGCGGAUCCAUCGUUUUCAGUAGAGUGAUGAUGGAUAUGUUCAAAGUUUGGAGAAGAUUGAGUGGUAUGGCACUGCACCUCUUUUAUAUCUUCCAAAUCUUUCUCAUACAUUAUUCUAACACCACACUUCUUCACAUUAACAGAAGGAUACCUUUUUGCAGAUUGGAAGGACAUCUCAAGCGAUAAAUUCUUGGUUUCACAAUUAUCCUUUAAGGAUAAUGGAUAAAAUACUUCACGCGAGAAAUAACGAAGUAAAAGGAGGUCCUUCGUUAUGGGUCGUCGAUCAAAGUCAAUGAAAUUGAAAUCGACCCUUCGACUAUUUUUAACUUGAAAAACAGAUCCAUCACUACUAGAUUGUCCAGAAUAUGUAGAAUGGAUAUAAGCUGGACCACCGAUAACCUUUAUCUCGGAACCAUCAUCAUGGCCAAAAAUGCAGCAGACAGCAACUCCAAUCCAUUGUCUGUCAUUCUGAAUAUUGAAAGGCAAAGGUAUUUCAAUUACAGAGCCGCCUCUCUGUUGGCUGAACCAUUCUGGGAUUUCACUUCCAGGUAUAACAACAUCAAGUCUUUUUCUUGAAUUAUCAAAUGCCUGCAAAUUAAAACAUCAGUCGUUCUUGAAUUUGCAAAAUAAAAUAUCAGUGGUUCUGUAACUAAAACCAUGAAAAAAAAAGAGGGAUCAAUGAACCUUAAUAUGUGUUUUCAGCAAUGUUAUUGCACUCAUGUUCUCAGCCAAUCUCUAGCUGUUAAUGGCUAUAAAGUAAGACCGAUUAUGUUUCCAAUCACUUGUCUUCCUUGCUAGAAGCACAGGCAACGAUUCAAGCUCACUGCAAUUACACACUCCAAGCCUUUGAAGAUUGGAAAGACGAGCGAGAGACGCACCUAUGCUGGUGAAAUUGUUACCAUGAAGAUCAAGAAUUCUCAAUGAGGAUAGACCAGAAAUAUCACUAGGAAUAUCUCCUUCACCCAUAUUGCGCAGGCCGCACCUUGACAAACUAAGUUCUUCAAGCUUGGAGAGUCCAGUAAGAGAUGCCGGUAUUCUGUUGAAAUUGUUAACGCUAAGAUCAAGAAAUGCCAAAGAGGAUACACAAGAAAUAGCACUAGGAAUAUCUCCUUCACCAAGAUUGCAGCCCCUUAGUUUCAACUUUGUUAAUGACCUCAAACUGGAUAAUGAAGGUAGCAUUGGAGCUAUGAAAUUCAUCCUUCCUGUUUGGCUUACCUUGAAAAGCGAAAGGAGAUUUCUUUUCAACUUAUACGGACCCUUGCAUCCAUCAAAAGACAAAACUUUAAGAUUUUUCAAUUGAGAAAUGAAGGAUGGUGGUUCUUUUAUGGCUGUUUCACUCAAGUCAAGCUUUUCCAAAGAUUCUGCUUGAUGCAAAUUCUCUGGCAAAUAUUCAACUUUAUAACAACCAGAAAGAUCAAGAGUUUUUAGAUGUUCCAUUUUCCCAUCAAUCUCUGGAAACCUUGCAAGAUUUGAGCAACCCGAAAGAAUUAAAGUUUCAAGGGAUUCCAUUUCAAUUUUGGUUGGAAGUCUCCUAAGACUUCUGCAAUCUCUUAAAUUCAAAAGUUUCAGUCUCUUAAGCACUCCAAGUGAUGGAUGAACAUCUACUAAUCUGGUACAAUCUUGCAUAAUCAACACUUCAAGAUAUGGGGCUGUUGUGAAGUCUGGUGUCUUGAUCAGGUUUUGGGACCCUUUAAGGCUGAUUAUUUUCAACUUAUACAAGGGCUGUCCAAAACAAUAACAGAUUAGACAGAAAAGAGAAAACAUAAUAAACCUCAUUAUUAUUAUCUUAUUCAAAUUUUAACAGUUUAUAAUAUUAAAAAAAAUAGUUUAUAUUAAAAUAAGCUAAAACAUAAGGAUUAGAUAAAUUUAAUUCAACAUAAGGAUUAGAUGAAUUUAAUUCUUACUCUAUUUCCCUUCCACAGUUGUUCAAUGCGACUAUAUGGUAAGAGAAGUAUGACAAGGUUGUCCGGUUGAAAGCUCGAUGGCAGUGAUUUUAAAGGAUAUCCUGUCCAAUCUAAAAACCGUAGCUCAUUAGAAAGAUAUUUGAGAUCAUUACAAUUUGAGAGGCAAAGCACUCUCAGCAAUCUCAAUUUUUUCAUCUUCGAGAAGACAUUGGCACUCAAAUUGAGCAUCUUGCUUGAUUCCCUACAAAACCACGGGCAAACAAAAAAUAAGCAUUAAAAUAUACAAAAACAUUCAAUACCUAAAAGCUAUCUUUCUCCAAUACUAUUUUUUAAGGAUUUUCAUCCCUUAUACCUAACAUGUGUCCAAAUAUGAGCAUUUCAAGAACUCUUUAAAUAUAUGAAAAAAACUUCUUAAAAAAAUCACACAUACCCAUUUUAGACAUAUAUCCCAUUUGACUUCGAAUUACCUAAGUUUUAAAUACUAGAAUUAAAAUCUUCAUUUAUAUUGGUGCAAUUAUAAUGCAUAAUUUUAUUUAUUAUUAGUGAACGAAACAAUAACACAUCAUUAAAAAUGAAAUUAAUCGGUUUUAUUUUGGAAAUUUUUGAUGACAUAUUAAAAUCUUAUUUAUAAAGAUACACUAUCAGUGCAUCAAAUAUAAUCUCGAUUGUGUUUCUUUUGAAAGUGUUAUGCCUUGCUAGAUAAAUUUCAUAAAAAUAACAUUAAAUAUUAAGCAUUAAUGGUUUUUUUUCCAUCGAUUUUCAUUGAAUACUUUUACCAAAAAAAAACCAAUAAAAAUAUUAAUAAUACACAUCAUAAAUGUGUAUGUAUGUUUUCUUACCUUUGAUUGUCAAUGAUCAUGCUUUCAAUCAUUUCUGUAACCUAAAAAAACACGAAUAGAGAAUAAAUAACCUUUUGGUCGAAAUAGAGUUAAUAGAGCAUUUUAAAUAAAGUAAAACAUUUCCGAUGAGAGAGAUUCAAUUAAAUUAAAUACUUAUUUAUACAAAUUCUUAUUAACAGUAAUCAUCAACAAAAGGCAUUUAUGUGAAGGCUACUCAACGUCAAUUUUUUUAUGGACUGCUAUAUUAGUCAAUUGGACUAAGCCUAAAUUUUAUUUCAGAAAUAAAGUAAAAUAUUUUCGAAUGAGAAUAAUUCAAUAAAAUUAAAAACUUAUAUUACAAAUCAUUAUUAAUAUUUAUAAUUAAUAAAUGGAAAUUAUUUUAAAGCCACUCAAUGUCAGUUAAGGAUCAAUAUGUAAACCAAUUAGGCUAAACUUUAGAUUUACAUCAUAUAUUGAUAAAAAGAAAAUUUUGUAUAUAAUUUUUAUUCAAUGAUUUACCGUGUUUUUUGUUAGGAUAUGAUGGACAUCUCUUUCUUUCCACAAUCUACAACGUUUUCCAGGUUCAUCAACACAUUUUUCUUCAACAAUUUUUCUUCCUAUUUCUUGCAACAAGGCAUGCAUCUGCAAACGUUUGUUGUCAUCACUAACUUUUAUCAAAGAUUUCUUAAUGAGAACAUCGAUUCCAAUAUCUGGAAAGAACUCACAACCAUCCAAUACUUUCGUUAUAAAAUCUCUCUUCUCACCACUGAAAAAGCAUGCUAUAUCUAGAAAUAUAUUCUUCUCCUUUUCUUCCAAUCCAUCAAAGCUAAUUCUUAGCGUGUUAAGAAUUUCUUUGUUAGAAUCUUCUUUAAGUCUUUCGAUUGCACUUCUCCAUUGAACUAUAUCUCUAUCGCACAAAAAUGAACCCAAAACUUCAAGAGCUAAGGGGAGACCACCAGCAUAACAUACAACGUGUCCAGAAAGCUCAAUGAAAUCAUCUUUUGGCACUGUAUCACUAUGGAAAGCUUUCAAAUUGAAAAGUCUAAGUGCAUUGUCUGGAUUCAAUGUUUUAGGGUUAUACACAUCAUCGACUCCGUAAGAUCGGAGUAAAUGUUCAUCUCUUGUUGUUACAAUGAUUCGACUCCCUAAACCAAACCAAUCACGCUUUCCAACCAAGCAUUUCAAGUGCUGUACAUUAUCAAUAUCAUCAAGAACAACAAGAACCUUUUCACUGCACAACCUGCGGCUAAUUAUGGCAUUCCCUUCAUGAACAUUGAAAAAAUUGAAGCAUUCAUUUGGCAAGAUUUGAGAAAGAAGUUGUUUCUGUAAAGAAACAAGUCCACAUUUGUUUGAAACUUCUCGAAUAUCAGCAAGAAAGCUUUUGCCUUCAAAAUGAGGUGACAUUUGAGUGUAAACAACCCUUGCAAGAGUUGUUUUACCGAUGCCACCCAUUUCGUAAAUUCCUAUAAUGCGGACAUCAUCUUCCCCAAUGUUUAUUUUCGAAUACAACUCCUUCAAAGGUAAGCUAAUUCCAACCAAUUCAUCAUGAACAAUUGGAUAUGUCUCACAUAAUUUGGCUGAUAUCUUCCUAACAAUGUCUCCGAUAAACUCUGAUUCAUUCCUACAACGAAAUAAAAAAAUGUUUCUAUCUUUCAAAUGCUCUUUGUCAUUUUUAGUUCAAUGAAUCAUGAAAUAUAAUAUAGUUGGAAGCAAACAAAAAGCAAGAAUAAGACAGUAAGAUAUAUUAUGGCAUCAAAAUACACAACUUUCUCGUUAGUAUUCUUAAUUAAACACAAAAUUAUAAAAAAAUUACAUGCAAUCUGGAAAAAAAACAAUUUUUUAGUCAGUAAAAUUAGGAAAUAAAGAAGAAAUGAAAGAAUUACCCAUUAUGUAAAUGCCAUCCUUUGAUCUUAGCUACUUCAGUCAAAGCAUUUCGCCACUUUUGGAUCUUGCCUUUAUCUUCCUUGUACCUCUCUUCAUGUUUGGCAAAGGCUGCUUCUACCUUUUCUUUUUGGUUUCUUAAAUCGGAUGGAUCCACAUGGUAGAAAAUUGGAAAUACUUUAUGUCCGUUAGCAUUUUUUUGUUGAACAAUCUCAGCAAGCUCCUCCAAGCACCAUCCUGAAAAGGCAUAGGUUUUUGAAAAAAUAAUUACCGAGCACCAUGAUUGCUGAAUUGCUUUGGAGAGUUCGGGUGCGAUGUCUUCGCCAACCUCCAGCUUUGGAUCAUCCCUGAAGGUGACGAUCCCACUACUCUUUAGGGCAUCAUAAAGAUGACCCGUGAAGUUCUUGCGAGUAUCUUCACCUCUAAAACUCAAGAAAACAUCAUAUUUCUUUCUAGAAAUGGGCGAAGAAGUCGAAGGUAACGACAACAUGAGGAUGUGUAUGAAAGGAGAAGGAUACCUCUAUCUGGUGUUCAAAAUGAGAAAAUAGAUCUCCCGAUCCUCGCAAAGAAACUAGAAAAGUAAGUAUAUGAGCAUAGGGGUGGAAAUUAGGGGGUCAAAGAUGAGUGAUGGAUGUUCUUUCCACGAAGAAUCCAAGAAGGUGAGCGUUGGCAAAGUGGAGGCUAUUAAAAAUGUUGGACGGUUUGUAUUUUACGUAUUUAAUAAAUAUAGGGUAGAUAAGAUUAUGACAAUAAUCAUUAGAAUAUAUCUUUAAUAAUUAUUCUUCGUUAUGGGCUGGUUAAAAAGUUUACCAAACAACCAACUACUUGCAUGACACGUGGAAAACUUUUAUCUUGACAGAUCCAUUUCAGCUGCUUAAGAUUAUUUUUGGUUGGAAUCUACCUGAUUAAGUAACAAACAAAUAAAAAUGGCGAAAAAAAUUAAAAUUUGAAUACAACGUGAAAAAACUCUCCGAAGAGGAUAAAAAAUUAUAGGUAGAGAUAAUUUUACUAUAAUGACAAAAGAACGAAGAGUACAAAAGAUAGAGAUAAAAUUUAAACCCUGAAAACAAAGAACCCUCAAAACAUAAACACAAAAUUCUCCAAAAGUGUUAUGAAUUCUAAUCUCUAAUAGGUGUAUUUUCUAAUAUUGUAAAAAAGUCCAUUUAUAGGCUAAAUUCGAAUGUGAAAUAAUAAUAAAAUAAUCUAGACUAAUCAGAUUUUGAUUGAAACAUAUAAACAGAGUUUAAUUGGAAGAUUAUUUCUUAAAUUUGACUGAAAAAUGAGUCAUACUCAACAAAUCUCCACAUUGACUCGUAUUUCCACAACGCCACCUUCGCCAAAGCUUACCAGGAGCCUAUCUUGAACUAUGCAGGGAAUUAAUUGAGUUGAAUUUGUGUUUAGAAGCUGGAAUGCUUCUAGACUUCAACUUGUGCACUGUCAAAUCAAAACUAACCCGGGUCUGAUUUUCACAAACACAAUGCUCUAACUUUUCAAAACCGACAUCUAAAAGAGAAUCUCCGCUCCAAACAAGUUAACUUUGACUCUGUAAUAGAUGAGGGACGUCUAAUUUCACUAAUCACUGUAGAACCUUCAAAAAAUAAAGACUACUGGUCUUUUUACCUUUUAACAAAACGAGAGCCCCACGAGACACCUUAAUGUCGCUAGACUCGAUAUUGAUUCUGUAACUUUUCGAGUCUAAAUUACUUAAGGAGAUGAGAUUCUUUCGUAAAUCAGGUACAUACCUGACAUUUGAUAGUGUCCUAAUCGUCCCACCGUGCAUCCUAAUUUUAUAGUACCAAUACAAAUUACCUUACCAGAUGAAUCGUUUCUCAUACGCUUAGCACCACCUACAACCGAACUGUAUGUGGAGAACCAUUCUCUGUUGGGACACAUGUGGAAAGAACAUCCCGAAUCUAGGAUUCACUCGGACAUAAGCUCAGAACUAUCGCUUGUUAACACUAAUAAAAAAUCAUCACCACUUUUGUCGCCCAAAUUAACACGAGCUACACCUUCCCCAUUGCUCUCAAUAACCCUUUUAAUUCGCAGUUUAUAACAAUCUGCUUUGACGUGACUUAACUUCUUACAAUAGCGACAUCUUUUGUCUCUCUUCUUUGAUGUUACCAAAAUAGAAGCUUGCCUAUUUUCCUUACUAUCCAAACCAAACUCAUUGUCGAGUUUAUCUUUUCUCAACAGAUGACCCUUCACAUCCUCAAAUGAGAGACUAUCUCUCCCAUAAAUCAUGGUUUCCCUGAAAGACUUGUAUAAAGGGAGUAAAGAGCACAAAAAUAGCAUAAUCUGAUCCUCAUCAUCGAUCUGAACCUCAAUGUUAUUUAAAUCAUUUAAACGAGUAAUGAAUUGACUAAUGUGAUCUCUAAGAAGCUCACAUUUGUUCAUGCGAAACGUAAAUAGAUUUUGUUUCAAUAUCAAACGGUUAUCCAAAGAUUUAGUCAUAUAAAUAGUUUCUAACAUUUUCUACAAUGAAGAUGAAGUAUUUCCCAUCAAUGCCUUCUGCAAUACCCUAUUCGCGAGGCACAAUUGGAUCGCAGACAAGGCCUUUUCAUCAAGCUCUUCUCAUUCUGACUGAUCUAGAUUCUUGAGCUUUUUUCCGAUAACAACCUUUUUUCAUGCCGAUCUGAACUAAAAUUGUCAUUAUUCGAACUUGCCACAUAUUGAAAUUUUUGACACCAUCAAAAUUCUCAAUGUUAAACCUUGUUGUUAUCAUCUCUAAACGAGCUGAUCUAUGAAAAUCCAACUAGCUCUUAUACCAUUUGUUGUGGAUCAACCCGAUUAAGCAACGAACAAGUAAAAACAGCAAAAUAAAUUCAAAAAUUGAACACACAAAUUUAACAUGGAAAAACCCCUUCGAAGAGGAUAGAUAACCACGGGCAAAGAUAAUUUUACUAUAAUAGCAAAAGAACGAAGAGUACAAAAGAUGGAAAUGAAAACCAAAACCUUAAAAACCUGAAAACAAAGAACACUCAAAACGUGAACACAAAGUUCUCCAAAAGUGUUAUAAGUUUUAAUCUUUAAUGGGUGUAUUUUCUAAGGUCUUAAAAGAACCUAUUUAUAGGUUAAAUUCGUAGGUCAAAUAAUAAUAAAAUAAUCUAAACUAACCAAUUUUUUAAAUUUAACUGGAAUAUGUGAUUUUUUUAGGUUGGAAGAUGAGACUAGUGCAAAAAUUUGAAUACAAUAAUUUUUGAGUCCUUUGAAAUAUAUGAAUUUUGAUUCGAUGCAACUAUAUAAAUAAAACUUUGAUUAUGGUUGAAAACAAAAGUGUUAAUACAUACAUUACCCGUAGAGUCAAUUAGUCUUUUAAAGAUGUCACUCACCCACCCACUAAGUAAUAAUUAUAGAGUAGAUAGGAUUUUGACAAUAAUCAUUAGAGUAUGUCUUUAAUAAUUAUCCUUCGUUAUGGGCUGCUUAAAAAGUUUACCAAACAACCUAUUACUUACAUCGACACGUGAAAAACUUCUAUCUCGAAAGAUAGAUCUAUUUGGGCUGGUUAAGAUUAUUUUUGGUUGAGAAUUGACCUGAUUAAGCAACGAACAAGUAAAAAUAGUGAAAAAUUUGAGAAAUUAAAUACACAAAUUUAACGUGGGUGUUAUGAGUAUAAAAGAGGAUAAAAAACCAUAGGUAAAAAUAAUUUUACUAUAAUGGCAAAAGAACGAAGAGUAUAAAAGAAGAAGAUAAAACUUAAAUCCCGAAAAUAAAGAACACUCAAAAUAUAAACCAAAAUUCUCCAAAAGUGUUGUGAGUUCUAAUCUCUAAUGGGUGUAUUUUCUAAUAUUGUAAAAAAGACUAUUUAUUAAUUAAAUUCGUAUGUCAAAUAAUAAUAAAAUAAUUUAAACUAAUUAGAGUUUAAUUGGAAGAUUAUUUGUCAUGUUGUAAGGAUCAUGAGUUAUAGUGGUAAUGUUGGGUGAAUUCACAGACAAAAUAGCCUCAAAGGUUGCUAUUUGACAGAGAUUGAGAUGCAGUGUAAAAGCAAAUUUCACCAAUUACCCUCUUGGAUUUCAACACCUGACAAGGCUUUCACCCAAAAAAGUGCUCUAAGCUUGGUAAGAAAGAGAAUCUUUCAACCGGAACAAUUUUCCCAUUAAAAGUAAAAUCGUUACGCGCCAGCUAUAUCCCAUAACCCCGCUGCACAACAGAGGAGCCAUCACUGCUUAAUAUCACCUUUAAUUUUAUUUUUCAUAGAAGUUCGGCUUUAAAGUUAAUGUCAAAUGGAUUUAUGGAUGGUAUUUAAUUAUAAAUUAGACAAGGCUUGAGGGAUGGUUUUUAUUUAUAAAUUUAUAUGGUAAUUAUUAUAGUGCAACGAUUAAAGAAAGAAAGAAAAGUUAGUGCAGAAUUUUCAAAUUUGGAUGGCGAAAUGAAUAAAAGAAAGAAAAAGUUGUGCAGAACUUUCACCAUAUUCACUAAAUGAUACAGCUUGCCCCACCUUUUCUUUUCAAAUAUUUAUUUAUUUUUGGUGACGGGGUUCAUGCUUUUAAUUUGUUUAUUACUAUGAUUAUGAAUCAAACUUUAUUUUAAUAUUUGUGGGGUUUUAUAAGUUGUUACAGGGAGAUGUUUUAUUGGGAUAAAUUACAUUAGAAAUCACUAAAUUAUUAAUAAGUUUAUAUUUUGGUUAUUAAAUUUUAAAAAGUUAUUAAAUGAUCAUUAAAUUAUUUAAAUUUUUUUAUUUAAGUCACUGAAUUAUCUAAAAAAUUUUAUUAAAAUUAGUGAUUCGUUACAUUUAUUUAUUUUUCUUUUAAAUAUACAUAUAUUUAUUAGGAAAGGGUCAAAGGUUUUGAUUUGUUUAUUAUUAGGGAUAAAUGUCAAAUUUAUGUAUGGACUUUGGUUCAAUGUGCAAUUUGAUACAUGAAUUUUGACUUGGUGCAAUUAUCCAUCUGAAAUUUAAAUUGUGGUUCAUAUAUAUACAUGAAAUUUAAUUUUGAUUCAAUUGUACACAUUUAAAGAAAUGAAUACAUAUAAUUAUUUUCACAUUGAAUAAAAGUUCACGUCUUCUGUUAUUAUCAUGGGUGAUACAUGGAUUUAAAGGAGCUCAUGUGUUCAUAGUGAUGAACCAUUAUUGACUGUUGAUUUUCACUUACCGUAAUUAAAGUGAGUUGGGAGAGAGUUUACUUAAUUGUACAAUGGUAAGGUUGCACCAAGUUAUGCUUGAAUAAUUUUAUUGUAUUGUGAAGUUUAUGGUUGAUUCAUCUCUUUGGGUAAGGCCUGACAGAUGUAGGACGAGUACUUUCAAACUACACAAUCAUCUUGGUUGUGCUCUUUAUUUUGCUUGUUGCAUGUGCCAACUCAAAAAUUAAUUUUUGUUUUUAAAAAAAUUUAAACUUAUAAUUAUAUCAAUAGUCCCCAUUAAAAUUUAUCUAUCAAAUUAAAUAAACAACUCAAAAAUUAACUUGUCUACACAUAAUUAUAUAUAUUAAACUUUUUUAACUUUUUGAAAUUUUAAGGAUUUUUGUCUCCAUUACUGUAAAAAUUUAAAUUAAUUCCCAAAAUAUGUAAUGCUUGUGAUUAUUUUUGGUUGGGGAUCGACUUGAUUAAGCAACGAACAAGUAAAAAUAACGGAAGAAAUUCAGAAAUUGAACAUACAAAUUUAACGUGAAAAAACACUCUGAAGAGGAUAAAAAAACUAUAGGCAAAAAUAAUUUUAUUAUAAUGGCCAAAGAAUGAAAAUUACAAAAGAUGAGAUAAAAAAUAAUAAUUUUACUAUAUUUAGAGUUUAAAUACACGAGGUUGAAAUGAAGCAAUGGUGGAGUUGGAAGGCAGUGUUAUUAAAUACUAAAUAAUUGUUUUGUGAAAAUGGGAUAUUUUUACUUUUUUAUCCAUUCGGACAUAUCACUGUUCCUGUCUUCCUUUCCAUGUUUUUGUAAAAAACAGAUUCCCACCAUUCUUUUCUCUUUCGUAAAUGUUGAUUGCUGAGAGGACAAUCUUUUUGCACAUUCCCGAACUCUAUGGACAUGAUUUUUUGCAUCUCAAUCAAAGGUUUGAAAAUCCCAUUCAAAGCUGAAAAGUUGAAAUUAUAUUUAGGAUUUUAUUUUACUUCCAAAUGAUAUCCAAGUAUUGAACUUUCAUGUUCGCAUUAUGGACACGAAUAUAUAUUAAUAGUCCAUCACAUCAAUCAAUGUUGCGGAUAUAAAGAAUACUUAACUAUGGUAAAUAAGAAUCUAUUUGUACAAUUAAACAAAAACAGGGAAAAAGAGAAAAUUAAGUAGGAGAAAAAAUCUUGAAAAGGCUAGUCAAGUAGUUUACCACAAUUGCUGCUUCUUCUCUGAACGACCCAUUAUAAAAUUGAAAUUUGUUUUCAUCUGUUUAGGUCCUCUGUGUCCUCGUGGAUAUUACGUUUUCGUUUUACAGGAGAAGUGCUACCUGCGGAUCCAUCCUUGUCAGUAGAGUGAUGAUGGAUGUGUUCAAAGUUUAGAGAAGAUUGAGUGGUAUGGCACUGCAAAUCUUUCUCAUACAUUAUUCUAACACCACACUUCUUCACCUUAAAAGAAGGAAAACCAUCUACGCCUUUGAAAGACAUCUCAAGCUGAUCGCAUUCAUGAUCAGAGCAAUCCAUUGUCCAUGCAUAUUGUAAUUCACGAGAGAAAUAACGAAGAAAAAGGUGGCUGUUCGUUAUGGGAUGCUCCUAGUCCCCACCUAAACCAAUGAAACUGGGAUCGACCGUUCGAGGAUUUAACUUGAAAAACAGAUCCAUUAUGACUAGAUUGCCGGGAAUUUCUAUAAUGGAUAUAAGUUGUACUACCGAUAACCCUUUCAUCGGAACCACCAUCAUUGACGAAAAUGCAGCAGAAAGCAACUCCAAUCCAAUUUGUUUGGUAUAUGUGAAACGUUUUGUGAGUUUGUUUUUUAAAAUAAAGGUAAAUUUGAACCAUUAUUUUUUAAUCAUCAUUAUUAAUAUAAUUGAAAUCACAUGCAAUGUAUGUUAGUGAUAAUGAAAAAUUGGAAUGUGACAUACUCUUGAUGUGUUUAGAAAAAAAUUUAUAACCAUCAUGGCAUUGGUUGAAUUUGUUAAUUUAAAAGUUUUAGAAAUCCAAUGUUUUAGGUUCUAAUCUCAAUUUUAUAUAAAAAGAUAAAAAAAUUUACUAUAAUAAUAUUUGUUAUUUUUAAAAAUAGUAAAUUUUUUAGUCAUUUUCCAAAUAAGUUAAUAUCUAAUUUACUUAUGACUGAUAAGUAAAGUAUAAUAUAAAGUAUGUUUGGUUAAAAAUAAAAUUAUGUGAAAAUGAUAUAUAUUUAAAUAUAGAAGAUGUCAAAUUUUAUAUAAUGUAAGUUAUUAAUAUAGUAAAAUUGGAAAUAAUUUAAAGAUAAUUAUUAUAUUAGAAAAUAUAGGCAUUAAAGUUGAGGCAUUUUAAGAAGUUUACCAAAUUUUAUAUAAUGUAAAUCAUAAAAACUGUUCCUUAAUACCACCGCGCACGAUUAGCCCUGUUGGAACCGUUAGUCCCCUGCUUUAACUUUACCUCCAUUACAUGCCGAGACCAUGAAAGGCACUCAUUCCUUCAUACCAUAUAUAGUUCCCGCAACGCCACUACUGAAAACAAAGGCAUUUCUAUUUUACCAAAGUUUAUAGCGGCCAUAGCAAAAAGAGUACCCCAAUCAGUUCCUUUCACAGAAAAAGUUCUUUGAGCUCCGGAGAAACUCAAUGCUCUCCCAUUUCCUAGCGCCCAAUAGACACCAUUUACUACAUCUUCCCAAAUGUUGGACAAAGCCCUCCAGAGAAGCGAGCAAUUAGAAGGAUGUAUUGAAGCCGACCAUCUACUUAUUACCACAUACUUGUUUCCAAGGACGUCAACCCAUAGCAGAUUCACGUUAGAAAUGACAUUAAAACCUACCUUAAUCACGCAAGCUUUAUUGUGGUCUCGUACUUUCCUCAACCUAACUCCGCCAUUCUUCAAAGGCAUACAAAAUUUAUACCAGCUCACUAAAGUUGGUUUCCGAUUGCCAAAUGUUGACCCCAAAUGAAUCCUCGAACCAGCUUCUCAUUUUUGUUGCAAUUGUUUAAGUGAUCACCUAAAACAAGACCGUACAAAGAUUGAUCGGUCUAAAAUGAGAUAGUCAUUCCGGUCUUGCCACCUUGGGAACCAACACAAUAAGAGUUUGAUUCAAAAUAGAGGCAAACAUUUGAUAAUUUCAUUCUAUUGGUUUUUAAUUUGUAUAGUUCAUUCAUUUAAAACAAUCAUAAUUGUGCAUCAAUUAUGAAAGAAGUCAGAAGAAAACUGUGCAGUAAUCAAAUGCAAUUUUCUUCACUUUUAUCGCAUCUUUGAGUUGGAGGAAAAGAUGGUCCAAUUGAGAUAUACUUGAAAAGUUUAAUGAUGAAUUGGAAUGAAUUCACUAUUAUGUCAUGUCAACAUGUUAAAUUAAUGGUUCAAUGUUAAAAAAUUCAUAAUUUGACUCAAUAAAAUGUUGAGAGUCAAAACUAAAAAGAAAUGAAAACGGGUCAACUUGUCAAAUUUUAUAAACACUAAGAACCUUUUUUUUUUAAUCAUUAUGCCUAAUUUUAAAGGUUUUAUAUACAAUACAAUUAAAUUACUAUUUGAAUUUACAUUUUAAAAACAACGUUCAUUUCAAUAUGUAUAAUUUACAUUACAGUACAUGAUAAAAACAACUAAUUAUAUUUUGCUAAUUCCCUAAAUUCGUCAAAGCCUAUAAUUGCUAAAGUGUCCGCUUCCAUUCCAACUUGAUGACUUUUGUUGGUCCCUCACUUGCAUGAUCCUUUGAGCAGACUUUCAUGCUUCAUUUGGUCUAGGGGACAAACAUAAAACACCAUCAUUAUUUUUGUUGCAUUGAGAUCAUCUAUAGUAACUUACCUCAAAUUGAGAAAUUUUUGUUGAUAUCAUAUAAAUACAAUCAUUGAAAAUCUUACUCAUAUCGACCAAAAAUCAUAUUUUUAUAUCUCUAAACAAUAACAUUAGACAAUAACAAAAAUGAAAUUAUAGAAUUUUGAAAAAAAAUAUUGGAUAUGAAAAUGUCUCUCACAUGGAAAAGAUUUUCCAAAUAAUUAAAAGAGCGUACUUAUUUUUAUAUUUGAACAAGUGUUAAAAAUAAACGUCUAAACUUAAAUACUUUGUAAAAAAUAUAAAUUGAAGAGUUGGAAUAAUAUUGUUUAUACUUCAAGCCAUGAAAUUUAAAUGGUACUUUUGUUAGAAGGAAUUAAACCUACUAUUAAGGACUUAUAUUUAAUCUUCCAAAUAUAUAAAAAAACAAUUUUAACUGAUUAAAUUGAACACAUAAAUUGAUCUCAAUAAAAAUAAAAUGGUUUUUAACUCUGCCGAAAUUAUGAUCUAAUCCUCAUUAAAGGAUUUUCACCUUAUUAUUACAACCUAAAAAUAAAAUAUAGAUGUAAGUGAAUAUAUAUAAUGAGAAUAAAGUUUUAAUAAAUAAAAAAAAUAAACCAAUCAAAAUGUACACAUUUCAAUUAUGUAAAAAGGAAAGAAUUAAGUGAAUAAAAUUUUAAAUGGUAUUUUUAAAAAAAAAUAUUAUAUAAUAAAAUGAUCAUAUCUCGUAUGCAAAUAAGUCUAGAAUGAUUACUUUAAAUGAAAUAAAAGAUGUAAACAAGGUAGAUGAGUAAAAAAAAGUAGGACAAGGUUGGUUAAGUAAUUUACCAUAGUUAAUGCGUCUACCCGGAUUCGCCAAUUAUAAAAAAUUGAAAAAAAAAGUUGCAUCCGUUUUGGGUGCGGCCCUUCUUCCUCCGCUUCAUCGUAGAUAUUAGGUUUCUAUUUUAUGUGAGAAGUGCUACCUACUGAUCCAUGGUUGUGAGCAGAGUGUUGGUGGAUGUGUUCAAAAUUUGGAGAAGAUUGAGUGGUACGGCACUGCAACUCUUUUAUCUCUUCCAAAUCUUUCUCAUACACUAUUCUAAAGCCACACUUCUUCACUUUACCACUGCAUCCCAUGAAAGACACCUCAAGCUCAUCGCAUUUUUUAUCUAAGCAAUGUGUUGUCCAUAAAUUAGUGGUUUCACAGUCGUCAUAUUUAUCCUCCAAGGAAGGAUAUAUUGUAUCACGCGACCAAUAACGAAGUAAAAGGUGAUCUUUCAUUAUUGGUUCACACAGCCCCCAGCCUCUCCAAUCAAUCCGUCGAUAAUUUCUACCUCGAAAGAUAGAUCCAUUACAGCUGGCUUGUUCAGAAUUUCUACAAUAGAUAUAUGCUCCACAACCGAUAUAUUCGUCAUCCCUUGAAGCAUCAUUACUGACAAAAAUGCAGCAGCAAGCAACUCCAAUCCAUUGACUAUCUUUCUGAAGGUUGAUAGGCAGGGGUAUGUUAAUUGAAAAGGCACUUGUUUGUUGGCUAAACCAUUCUGGGAUUUCACUUCCGGGCAUAAUAAUAUCAAACUUUUUUCUUGAAUUUGCGAAUGCCUGCAAAAUAAAACACAAGUCGUUUGGUAACUAAAACCAUAAAUUCUCAAGUAUGAGAUUUUGUAAGGGAGAAAAUGGAGAUUAAUCGACCUUAAGCUGUUUUUUCAGCACUAUUAAUGCAUUCAUAUUCUCGGCCAAUUUGAAGCAGUUAAUGGCUCUAAAGGCACCCGAACCUAUUAAAUUGCAUACUUCACGUAGUGUUAAUGCAUUGAUAUUCUCAGCCAAUUUGAAGCAGUUAAUGGCUCUAAAGGCAGCCGAAUCCACUAAAUUGCAUACUUCAAGUGCAGAACAACCAUCUAGACACACGUGUCCUAACCUUGUCGGUAUCUCAGGCAACGAUUUAAGCAUCUUGCAGUAUGACAGUCCAAGAAACUGAAGCUCGGAUAGUCGAGUAAGAGAUGAAGGUAUGCUGAUGAAAUUGUUACCACUAAGACCAAGAUGUACCAAAGAGGAUAGACCAGAAAUAUAACCAAGAAUAUCUGAUUCACCAAGAGUGCACAUGUUGCAAUUUGACAAGUCAAGAAACCCAAGCUUCGAGAGUCCAGUAAGAGAUGCAGGUAUGCUGAUGAAAUUGUUACCACGAAGAUCAAGAUGUUUCAAAGAGGACAGACCAGAAAUAUCACGUGGAAUAUCUCCUUCACAAAGAUUGCAGUCCCUUAGACUUAGCCGUCUUAAUGAACUCAAACCUGACAACAAAGGCAACAUUGGAGCCAUGGGAGUUGUCCUUCUUUCUUGGAUUACCUUGAAAAGAGAAGACAAAUUUGGUCGCAACUUUGCUUGCUGCAAAUUCUCCGAGAAAUUUUCAACUCUAUAACAACCAGAAAGCUCUAGAGUUUUUAUACGUUCCAUUUUCCCAUCAAUCUCCGGAAACCUUACAAGACUUGAACAACCCGAAAAAGUUAAAGUUUCAAGAGAUCCCAUUCUAAUUUUUCCCGGAAGACUCCUAAGACUUUUGCAAUCUCUUAAAUUCAAAUGUUUAAGGCUCUUAAGCACUCCUAUUGAUGGAUGAACAUCCACUAAUUUGGUACAGCCUUCCAAAAUUAAAACUUCAAGAUUUGAUGCUGUUGUGAAGUUUGGUGUCUUGAUCAGGUCUUGGGAACCUUUGAGGUUCAUUAUUUUCAACUUAUACAAGGGCUGUUGAAGACAAUAAUAAAUUAGAGAGAAAAGAGAAAGCAUAAUAAUUCUCGUUUUUGUUUUUGUAUUUUUACCUUAAUCAGAGUUUAAUAAUUUAUAUUAGAGCUAAAACACAAGGAUAAGAUGAGUUAAUUCUUACUCUAUUUCCCUUCCAUAGUUGUUUAAUGUGACUAUAUGGUAAAAGAAGUGCAACAAGGUUGUUUGGUUGGAAGCUUGAAGGCAAGCAUCUUAAAAGAUAUCCUGUCCAUUCUAAAAGCCGUAGUUUAUUAGAAAGAUAUUUGAGAUCAUCACAAUUUGAUAGGCAAAGCACUUUGAGCAUUCUCAAGUUUUUCAUCUUUGAGAAGGUAUCAGCACUCAAAUUGAACAUCUUGCUCGAUUCCCUAAUAACCAUGAGUAAAACAAAAAUGAGAUUCAAAAUAUACAAAGACAUUCAAUAUCUAAAAGUUAUGUUGCACCGAUAGAUGAUAAAUUUCCUUUGUAAUUAAAAAAAAUCAUUCCAAAUUGGAAUGAGAAGGAAGACAAUGGGAGAGAUAUUUUAUUUUCAAAUGUUCUAUUUUCUUUCCUUCUCACUUUUCGCUAUACCAAGCAAUAGUGAGGAGGAAAAUAUAUUUUCCAUUCAAUUUUCCAUCUUUCCAGUCAAGUUUUCCAUCCCCUCAGUUUUCCACCCUUCUGAUUUUAUUUCCACUCUGCCAAGCAAAGUCAAAAGGUUUUUUUGUUGUUGUUUUUUUAUUAGAAUUUUUACAAAAAAUAAUAACAAUAUUAAUAGUACAUAUUGAUAAAUUUAUAUGUAUGUUUUCUUACCUUUUAUUGUCGAUGAUCAUACCUAUGUUUUCUUACCUUUUAUUGUCGAUGAUCAUACCUUCAAUCACUUCGGUAGCCUAAAAGUAAUCAAGAAUAGACAAUAAGAAUACAAAAUAAAUGAUCUAAAUUGUACAAUAAAACUUUUGAAAUUUACAUAUAUGUUCAACAUUAUCACAAUCUUUUGGUCGAAAUAUAGGAAAUAAAAUAUUUUCAAAUGAGAGUAAUUCAAUAAAAUUAAACACUUAUAUUACAAAUCAUUAUUAAUAUUUAUAAUCAACAAAUGGAAAUUAUUUUAAAGCCACUCAAUGUUAGUUAAGGAUCGAUAUGUAAACCAAUUAGACUAAGCUUUGGAUUUACAUCAUAUAUUGAUAAAAAGAAAAUUUUGCAUAUAAUUUUUGUUGAAUAAUUUACCGUGUUUUUUGUUAGGACAUGCUGGACAUCGCUUUCUUUCCACAAUCUACAACGCUUUCCAGGUUCAUCAACACAUUUUUCUUCAACAAUUUUUCUUCCCAUUUCUUGCAACAAGGCAUGCAUCCACAAACGUUGGUUGUCAUCACUAACUUUUAUGAGAGAUUUCUUAAUGAGAAUAUCGAUUCCAAUGUCUGGAAAAAACUCACAACCAUCCAAUACUUUCAUUACCAAAUCUCUCUUCUCACCAUUGAAAAAGCACGCUAUAUCUAGAAAUAUAUUCUUCUCCUUUUCUUCCAAUCCAUCAAAGCUAAUUCUUAGCGUGUUAAGAAUUUCUUUGUUAGAAUCUUCUUUAAGUCUUUCGAUUGCACUUCUCCAUUGAACUAUAUCUAUAUCGCACAAAAAUGAACCCAAAACUUCAAGAGCUAAGGGGAGACCACCAGCAUAACAUACAACAUGUCCAGAAAGCUCAAUGAAAUCAUCUUUUGGCACCGUAUCACUAUGGAAAGCUUUCAAAUUGAAAAGUCUAAGUGCAUCGUCUGGAUUCAAUGUUUUAGGCUUAUACACACCAUCGACUCCGUAAGAUCGGAGUAAAUGCUCAUCUCUUGUUGUUACAAUGAUUCGACUCCCUAAACCAAACCAAUCACGCCUUCCAACCAAGCAUUUCAAGUGUUGUACAUUAUCAGCAUCAUCAAGAACAACAAGAACCUUUUCACUAGACAACCUGCGGCUAAUUAUGGCAUUCCCUUCAUGAACAUUGAAAAAAUUGAAGCAUUCAUUUGGCAAGAUUUGAGAAAGAAGUUAUUUCUGUAAAGGAACAAUCCCACAUUUGUUUGAAACUUCUCGAAUAUCAGCAAGAAAGCUUUUGCCUUCAAAAUGAGGUGACAUUUGAGCGUAAACAACCCUAGCAAGAGUUGUUUUACCGAUGCCACCCAUUCCGCAAAUUCCUAUAAUGCGGACAUCAUCUUCCCCUAUGUUUAUUUUCGAAUACAACUCCUUCAAAGGUAAGCUAAUUCCAACCAAUUCAUCAUGAACAAUUGGAUAUGUCUGACAUAAUUUGGCUGAUAUCUUCCUAACAAUGUCUCCGAUGAACUCUGGUUCAUUCCUACAAUGAAAUAAAAAAUUGUUUCCAUCUCUCAGAGGCUCUUUUUCAUUUUUAGUUCAAUGAAUCAUGAAAUAUAAUAUAGUUGGAAGCAAACAAAAAGCAAGAAUAAGACAGUAAGAUAUAUUAUGGCAUCAAAAUACACAACUUUCUCGUUAGAAUUCUUAAUUAAACACAAAAUUAUAAAAAAUUACAUGCAAUCUAGAAAAAACCAAUUUUUUAGUCAUUAAAAUUAGGAAAUAGAGAAGAAAUGAAAGAAUUACCCAUUAUGUAAAUGCCAUCCUUUGAUCUUAGCUACUUCAGUCAAAGCAUUUCGCCACUUUUGGAUCUUGUCUUUAUCUUCCUUGUACCUCUCUUCAUGUUUGGCAAAGGCUUCUUCUACUUUUUCUUUUUGGUUUCUUAAAUCGGAUGGAUCCACAUGGUAGAAAAUUGGAAAUACUUUGUCCGUUAGCAUUUUUUUGUUGAGCAAUCUCAGCAAGCUCCUCCAAGCACCAUCCUGAAAAGGCAUAGGUUUUUGAAAAAAUAAUUACCGAGCACCAUGAUUGCUGAAUUGCUUUGGAGAGUUCGGGUGCGAUGUCUUCGCCAGCCUCCAGCUUUGGAUCAUCCCUGAAGGUGACGAUCCCACUACUCUUUAGAGCAUCAUACAGAUGACCCGUGAAGUUCUUGCGAGUAUCUUCACCUCUAAAACUCAAGAAAACAUCAUAUUUCUUUCUAGAAAUGGGCGAAGAAGUGGAAGGUAACGAUAACAUGAGGAUGUAUGAAAGGAGAAGGAUAUCUCUAUCUGGUGUUCAAAAUCAGAAAAUAGAUCAUCCGAUACUCCCAAAGAAACUAGAAAAAGCAAGUAUAUGAGCAUAGGGGCGGAAAUUAGGGGUCAAAGAUGAGUGAUGGAUGUUCUUUCCAAGAAGAAUCCAAGAAGGUGAGAGUUGGCACAGUGGAGGCUAUUAAAAAUGUUGGACGGUUUGUAUUUUACGUAUUUAAUAAUUAUAGAGUAGAUAAGAUUAUGACAAUAAUCAUUAGAAUAUAUCUUUAAUAAUUAUCCUUCGUUAUGGGCUGGUUAAAAAGUUUACCAAACAACUAACUACUCGCAUCGACACGUGGAAAACUUCUAUCUGGAAAGACAGACCAUUUAGACUGGCUUGUCCAGAAUUUCUACAAUGGAAGCAUCAUCACUGACAAAAAUGAGACAGGACGCAACUCCAACCCGUUGACCAUUCUGAAUAUUGAGUGGUAGAGGUAUCCUAAUUGUAGAGCCACCACUCUGUUGGCUAAACCAUUCUGGGAUUUCACAUCCAGGUACAAUAACAUCAAACAUUUGUCUUGAAUUUGCAAAUGCCUGCAAAAUGAAACUUCUGUCGCUUGGUAAAUAAAACCACAAAUUCCCAAGUAUGAGAGGGAAAGAAAGAGAGAUUAAUUAAACUUGAGAUGUAUUUUCAACAAUGUUAAUGCAUUGAUGUUCUCAGCCAAUCUGUAGCAGUUAAUGGCUUUAAUGGAAGCUAAAUCCAAUAAAUUUCAUACUUUUGAUGGACUUGCAACUACUUCAAGUGAAGCACAACCAUCUAUGCACACUCUUGCUAUACUUGUUAGAAGCUCAGGCAAGGAUUUAAGCUCUUUGCAAUUCAUAACAUAAGAAGUUUAAGCUCUUUGAGUAAGAGACGCAGGUAUGCUGAUGAAAUUGUUACCACUAAGAUCAAGAUCUGUCAAGGAGGAUAGGCAAGAAAUAUCACUAGGAAUAUCUCCUUCACGAAGAUUGCAGUCCCUUAGCUUUAACUCUCUUAAUGAACUCAAACUUGACAACGAAGGCAACAUUAGAGGCAUAGAACUUGUCCUUCCUUUUUGGGUUUCCUUGAAAGGAGAAGGAAGAUUUUGUUGUAACUUCGAUGGUCCCUUUCAUCCAUUGAAAGACAGAACUUUAAGAUUUUUCAAUUGAAAAAUUAAGGAUGGUGGUUCUCUUAUGCUUGUUUCAGCUCUUCCAAUUAUUCUACUUGCUUCAUAUUCUCUGGCAAAUUUUUAACUUCACAACAACUAGAAAGAUUAAGAGUUUUUAGACCUUGUAUUUUCCCUUCGAUCUCCGAAAACCUUACAAGAUUUGAGCAACCCAAAAGAAUUAAUGUUUCUAGAGAUUCCAUUCUAAUUUUGGUUGGAAGACUCCUAAGACUUUUGCACCCUCUUAAAUUCAAAAGUUUAAGCCUCCUAAGAACUCCCAAGGAUGGAUGACUUUUACAAUUCUUGUACAACCUUCUAAAACCAGAAUUUCAAGAUUUGGGGCCAUUGUGAAGUCUGGUGUCUUGAUUAGGUUUAGGGACACUUCAAGGUUGAUCACUUUCAACUUAUACAUAGGCUGUGAAAAACAAUAAUAAAUUAGAGAGAAAAGAGAAAAAAUAAGAAAACUUAUUUUUGUUGUUUAUUUUUUAUCUUAAGCUAAAAAAUAAGGAUUGGGUGAAUUAAUUUUACUCUGUUUCCCUUCCAUAAUUGUUCAAUGCUACUGAAUGGUAAGAGAAGUACAACAAGGUGGUCCGGUUGGAAGCUUAAAGGCAAGGAUCCUAAAGGAUAUCUAUGUAAUCUAAAAAUUGUUUUUCCAUUGAAAGAUAUUUGAGAUCAUCACAAUUUGAGGGCCAAAAGACUUUGAGGAAUUUCAACUCUUUUAUUUUGGAGAAGACAUCAACAUUCAAAUUAAGUGUGUUGCUCGAUUCUCUAAUAACCAUGGACAAAACAAAAAACUUAGCUUCAAAAUAUACAAAAGCAUUAAUACCUAAAAACCAUGUUGCCACGAUACUUUUUUAAAUAUCCUAUAAGGUAUAUCUAAAUAUGGGCAUUAAGAUAUGACUCUUCAAGAAUUCUUUAAUACAUGAAAAAAUCUUUUGAAAAAUGAACAUACCCAUUUUGAACAAUUACCUAAACCUAAAAGUAUUAGAACUAAAAUUUUCAAUUAUAUUUGGUGCACUCGCAAUACAUAAUUUUAUGCAUUAUUAGUGAACCAAAUGGAGAGGCAUAAUUAAGGAUGAAAUUACUUGAAUUUAUUUUAAUAAAAUUUAAUGACAUGUUAUAAUCUAGUUUAUAUAUUGUUAAUUUAUCAAAUGUAAACUUUUAUUUUUCACAAAAAAGAAACAUCUCUCUCUAAUUUUUUUUUUAGAAAGAAUAAUGUGUUACUUGAUAAAUUCAUAAAUUAGCAUUCAAAUAUUAAGUACUAAGUGUUUUUUUUUGUUUUCAUUAUAUAUUUUUUACAAAAUAAAACUAAAUAAUAACAAUAUUAAUAAUACACAUCGAUAAAAGUAGAUAUUUACUUUUUAGGGAUUGUUAUAUUACUUUUCAUUAUAUAUUGUCGAUGAUCAUGCCUUCAAUCAAUAAAUAGGUUUUUUUCUCAAAGCUAGUGAAUAUCACUUUUUAGGGAUUGUUAUAUCGAUGAAUUAGAAUAAACUUUAAGUUUAUAUUAUAUAUUGGUUAGAGAUCCAAUAAAAAAAAUUAGUAUGUAAAUUUUGUUGAAUGGCUUACAGUGUUUUUUGUUAAGACACAAUGGAUGUCCCUUUUUUCUCACAAUUUGUAAUGUUUUUUCGGUUCAUCAACAUAUUUUUCUCUAUUAAUUUUUCUUCCCAUUUCUUGCAACAAAUCAUGCAUCCAAAAAUAUAUGUGUGUUCAUUGAAGAUCUUUCUCUUCUCCAUUGAAGAAGCAUGCUAUAUCUAGAAAUAUAUUAUUCUCCCUUUCUUCCAAUCUAUCAAAGCUUAUUUGACGUCUAUUGAGAAAUUCUUUAUUAGAAUCUAGUUUAAGUCUUUCGAUUCCACUUCUCCACUGAGAAGCAUCUCUACCGCACAAAAAAGAACCCAAAACUUCAAGAGUUAAGAGGAGACCACUAGCAUAAUGUACAACAAGUUUAGAAAGGACUAAAUUGUAACAAUUUGGACUAAUUUGAAUAAAACAAAGAACAUAGAUAGUGAUGCCCCUAAGGGAAUAUUAAGAUAAAGUGAGACCGAAAGGUAAUCUUGUCGUGCACCUGUUCAUUAGUCCUUGAUUAACUGGUGAGAUUGGAAGAUAAACUAGACCUAAUCUGUCUAAGUUGGCAAAAUUAAGACCGGAAGAUAAAAUAGAGCCACUUGGUAAUUACGUGAUUUAUGUCAUUGGUCCAAGAUUUGGUGAACCAUAUUGAAGUCAACCAACCCCUAUUAGUCAUUUGCUAGAUUGUCCUUCUAGUUUACAUUUCUUGUAAUUUAGUCCCUAGAGUAGAAUAUUUAAUUUUCUUGCAAACUUAUCUUUUAUGAAUCACCGUAAUAUAAAAUUGUAUCAAUAGCCACUUAGCCUCUAUUGUGUAUGUUAGUUAUUGCUCAAUCGCCUAUUCCUUUGGGUUCAAUCCUUACAAUACUUUUGCAUUUCAUUAUAAAACUAUAAAUAUAAAUAUUAAAACUGACCUGUACGCUUGCAGUAAAAUUGGGCUUUUAAAAUAGUUAUAUAAAUUUAGUGUUUUAAGCACACGCAUGCAAUCGGUCAGUAGUCAAUCUCACCCCAUUAGCCACCAUGACUUGAAGUUGACUAAAGUGCUCCACUAAUAAAUCCAACAUCUUAACCAGCUUAGAAUCUAGAAAAUUGUGUGUACUUCCUGAGUCAACCAGGAUAAUGACAUUGGAGUGACCAAUACUUGCUAAAAAUUGCAUAGAAUUAUGUCUCUAUAAGCCUUGAAGGGUGUGUAAGGAUAAACUUGGGCAGUGUGUUUCGUUUCCUAUUCUAACACUUUCAGUUGUUCAGGACAUUCUUGGAAUUCUUCAAACACUGGGCUCUUGCUUCCACCCUCAUGAUCUGAAUAAAGUUCCACAACCAGCUGAUAAAGUUGAGACUUGGUGCACUUAUGACCUGGGGUGUAUUUGGAUGCACACCAAAAGCAAAGUCCCUUUUUUCUUCUCUCUUCUAUUUCAGCUUGAGAAAAGGGUUUGGUUUGGAAUUUUUACCCCGAGUUACAAUUUGGAGGUCCAUUUGGCCCUAUCGAGUUACAGUGGUGAUAUUGCACCUUGGGACCAAGAAUUAAGGGGCUAAGGUGACUUAUUCCCCCACUUACAUUCAAACUCUUCUUUGUGAACUUAGCCUUCCACCAGUGUUUGAGCCUUGAACAACCGUAGAUACUACCCUAUCUCAGGUUUAAGAUUGCAAGUGAAAACACUAAGGACAUAAUCCUCAGUUAGAUGUAACUGAUUAAGCAAACUUACAAAACGGUCAUGGAAUUGGUCCAUUGACUCUUUCUCCUUGAGUGAAACAUGUCCUAACAUGGGGUCUAAAAAGGAGUUAGAUCUAAAACGAUCCCUCAGCCCUCAAACAUAUAUCUCCCAAGUCAGGUGAUGUAAUCCCCCUGUCAUUGCACAAAAGUGAUGCCAAUCUAGGCUUUACCUUCUAAGUGCAACAUUACCAUUCUAACAUUGGUCUACUUUAUUAUAUUUGCAGCUUCAAAGAAUCGUUCUAACUUGGACCACCAAUCUUGAUAAUCUGUCCCAUCAAAUCAUAGGCAUUCUAGCCGAAGAGUUUUAAUAACAAAGUCCACAAGACCAACUUGAGAAAAAGUAUUCAUGUUUUCCAAAUCUGACACAGGUGAUAAUGUAAGUGGCCUUUUGGAAGGGAACUUAGGAGGAGAGCCUCCCAUAAUGCCCUUGUCUUGAACUCUUCCAGUUACACUGGCAGAAGCAUUUUGACCAAAAUAGUGUUCAAAAAGAGAGUGGAGUUCAGUUUGAAUCUCACCUUUGAUACUUUCAUGAAAAUCCUUUAACCGAGAUUCGAUCUUAGCAUCAAUCUAGCUAACCACUAAUUGCAUCUGAGAGAGCUCGUGUUGCAGCACUCCCAUCUUUUUUUGUAACCUGGUGGUGACUCUAUCAUUUGCCAUAAAAAUCGACUUCAGCUCUGAUACCUUUGUCAUGGGAAAAUCUUUAGGGCAGAAGAGAAAUAGGAUAGCAAGAGGAAGAAAAAGGAGUUGAGAGAAAUCAGAGAGAUAGAAGGAAAGAGAGAACUGUAUUCAUUCCAAUAGCUGCCUUCCCCUACCUUGAUUGGUGUUUUUAGGGCGGGUAACGACCCUCUCAAACAAAUUGACGGUUGUUAAUACAACUAUAGCAAAACGUACCAUUUUUUAGUAAAUGACAAAACGUCUCUAAACGCAGUCGUUUGGACCAUAUUUAACCCUCCCCCCUUAAACCUGUUGUUUCAUUAUAACAUUAAACUAAACGUUGUGUUUUACAAUAAUUAAGGCUAAAACAGAAGUAAACAUAAAUUAACAGAAAUUUAAACAUAAUCGUUGCCUUUAGUUCUAUUCCGUGACAUGCAAUCCUUUCACCGCCCUCUAGCCUUGGCUCAACCCUAAAAGUGAUGAUUCAAUUCCUUUUUAGAGUAUCAUAAAGAUGAUCGGUGAAGUUCUUGUGAACAUCUUCACCUUUAAAACUCAAGAAAACAUCAUAUCUAUAUCUAGAAAUGGAUGAGAAAGACAUGAGGAUGCCUGAGAAGAAAAAUAUAUCUCAAUCGAGCGUUCAAAAUCAAAACAAUAUUUCCCAUCAUUUAUUUUUCCAAAUGAAUAUGGAUAAUAGUUGUUAAUCAGCGAUGGGUGUUCUUUCUAGUAAUAAUCCAAGAAGGUGAGAAUUGACGAAGUGGAGCCUACUUUGACUAUUAGUAGUAUUUAAAGUACUGUUGGGAGGUUUGUGUUAUAAAAUAUCCUCAAAAAAAUCAGAAUAAUUUAGUUCAUGUCAAUUUUGAAAGUGAACAAUGAAAGUUAAUUAAUAAUAAUAUUAAAGCUUUUAAUCAAUUGUACAUAUUCUUUAUUAAAUUCCCAAUUUUUUUUGUAUUAAAUAUUACAAAUUUGAAUAAUCAAAACUUUGAAAUCUCUUUCAUUAGAAAGAAGAGUUUAGCGGCACUUGGGUCUGACGGAGGCCAUGCCUGGCAAAGAGCGCUUUUGAUUUCAAUUUUCAAAUCUUCUACAAGUUGUGUUAAAAUUCAUUUUCAACCUUCUUUUGUUUCAAAUCUUCAACAUAAUCCAUAAAAUUCUAGAUGUAUAUAUCUUAAAAUUACGCAAUUAAAACCAUAAAACUCAAAGGGGCAAUUCACAAAUUAAUUAGAAGUUAUAUAGCAUAUCAAGUGUUAUCAAGUUGAAUAUGCUAAUAACAUUAUAAACAAUGACUGCCAAAUUAAAAUAAAGGGAUUAAAAUUUGACAAAAAAAAGGAUUGAAUCUCAAAGGUCAAUAUAAUAAAGGGACUAAAACUGGAAUUGCACCUUAAAUAAUCACUAACAGAUAUUAAUCUUUGAUUAAAUUCAAUAUGUUUCACUUGUACAGUAAACUAAAUUCUUCUCUAUCAGUUAACUAAUCCCCCAAACUAUACAAAGUUGACAAAAUCAUUCAGAUUCUCUUAAUAUGCUAAUCAAUUCUUGUUGGCUCAAAAAAAAAAAAACAUAUUUGUACACGUAGACAAAUAUUUUGAAAAUUUGUCGUGAAUAUCAUGCCCCCACCUCAUGAUAUUCAAUAAAUUAUUAAAUUUUGGACAGAAAAUUCACCAACCAAAGAUGAAAAAGUAAUUUUAAUUUGUAAUUCAAAUUAUUAAAUUUUAUCAGUAUUUUCUACAUUUUUCUAAUGUUUAAAGUAUUUAGGGUAUCAAAUGUGUAAUAUAUCCAUCAAAAUGUUCUGUUUUUUAAUUAUAUAAACCCCCUAAAAAUUAAACAAAAACCAGAUAAUCCAUUCCUACAAGAUAAUCCACUCCAUUGAUUUGUGAUUUUGAGAUUUUAAUUUAAAAGAUAAAUAUCGAAAUAUAUAAUUUUUAAAAAAAAUUAAAAACUGAGACCAGUAUAAAAUUAUUUAUCUCAGAUGGAAUGCUCGCUUAGGUGAUAUUUUAUUAGGAUCAGAUAAACGAUCUCAUCGAGAGAGAGAGUCAUCACAGGAUGGAUGAUUGGGAUUGGUAGACGAUGAGACUCCAUGAGUGUGGAGCCUUCCUUGAGUGGACAACGGCAGCGUUGGGUUCACACCUGCGCUUGGAGAGGACUUUGAAGCCUUCACAAAUCAUGUAAAGAAAUGAAAGAAAAUGAAGAAAAUGUUAAAAGCAUGUGCCAAACGUACCAUGAUUAGGGAAAUGAGAUACAACAUUACAAAGCAUGAGUCCAACUAAUAAAAUUAAAGCUGACUUGAAUUUUAUAGGAUGGGAUAAUUUCAUUUUCGGUCCUCUAUAAUCUGCACUAUAUGCGUAGCUCCUGAUUUUAUGUUAUGUUAUGUUAUUUAUUUAAUUCAAUCCCUACCGUUUUUUAGUUUUUUCUUAAUUAGUAUUUGUGACUCUUAACAUUAUUAUUGUAGGUAUUUAGAUAAUAUUUUUACUAUUUGUAUGCAUAAUUUAUUUUAAAUAUUAGAAGCUAUUAUUCUCUUAUCUCUAAUUACUUUUAAUAAUUUUGAACUGUCAUUAAACAAGUGCAACCUAUUACACAUUACAUUGUCAAAUAUAUUUCACGUGAUUAAAUUUUAUAAAAAUGAUAUGUAUAAAUUUGAAAUUUAUUUUCUGUACUUUUAUUUGUAGGAAUUUAAUUUAUUUACUUUUUAAAUGUUAAAAUUCAAAUUUAAUUGUUAACACAUUGAUAUUUUGAAAUUUUAAAAACAUACACAUUCACUCCUAAUAUUGUUUCUAGAAAAAGUUGAAUUGGAAUUUUGGUAGAUAAAACGACUGAAGCAUGAAGAUCACCGUGUGCCAAAUUCAACCACCUUCCUUUUCUUAUACAAAAUUUUAAGGAGUUUCACAAUGAUGCCCUCGAGAAAAGAAAGUAUACAUUAAAGGAAAAAGGAAUUGUGUAAUGAGUGAUGUCAGCUUCACCGAUUAUUUCUUCUUAUCACAUGCCAAAGCAAUUUCCUUGUACAGACUGGGAAAACUCCUGGAAUUUCGUCGAAGUUUGAACGAGGUCGAGUUUUAUAUAAUACUGGACUACCAAGUGUAUGAAGUCGACCAAACACAGAUUACUUCGUCUGUAAUAAAUAAUUAUCAUAAUGUCGUGUUUGAUCAUGCUUGUGUUGCUGCUUUUCCUCCUGGUUGUUGCAUCUUCAGAUAUCAACCAGGGCCAGUUUAGUUUCAAUGGUUACUUGAAUGUCGAGGGAGUUGCAGGCGUAGAUUCAAGUGGGCUGUUUACACUUACAAAUACCACAAGCCGAAUAAUUGGUCAGAUCUUCUACAAGAAUCCGAUCCAGUUCAAGAACUCCACAAAUGCAACUGUUUCCCCCUUCCCCACUACAUUCAUUUUUGCAAUUGUACCUGGAUACACCGACCUUGGUGGCCACGGAUUGGCCUUCGUUAUCUCCCCUAACGAUGAAAUUUCUGGAGCUCUUCCCACCCACUAUCUCGGUCUUUUCAAGGAAACAAACAUAGGCUUAGACUCGAACCAUGUUGUAGCGAUUGAGCUGGGCACGGCCCGGACCAUUGCGUCGGUGACAUAGACGGCAACCACGUCAGCAUCGACAUCAAUAGCCCAAGAUCAGUGACAGCUGCUUCUGCUAGGUAUUUCACUGAUGAAAGUGAGUUCAAAAAUCUCAACCUCAAGAGUGGAGAUCCAAUGCAGGUUUGGGUUGAAUACGACGGGGUCUAGAAGCAACUCGAUGUUACAUUGUACCCAAUCAAUGUAACGAAGCCAAAACCUUACUUUUAUACUUGAAAAAGGAUCUGUCUCCAUAUUUGUAUGAGUCUAUGUUUGUCGGCUUCUCGUCGUCCACCGGUGUUCUUGUAUCGUCGCACUACAUAUUGGCUAUUCUAAGGACAUGAUUUUUUUUGCAUCUCAAUCAAAGGUUUGAAAAGUUGAAUUCUUUGAGGUGCCCAUUCAAUAGACUAAGAAAGCUGAAAAGUUGAAAUUAUAUUUUUCAAAACAUAUCAUUUUUUAUUUAUAUCAAGGAUUUUAUCAUGUUAGUAUUAUGAACACGAAUAUAAUGAAUACUAAAUUAUGGUAAAUAAGAAUUUAUUUGUACGAUCAAACAAAAAAAGAGGAAAAAAAUCAGAAAAGAGAAACUUAUAAAAUUAACUAAAUAGGGGAAAAAAUCUUGAAAAGGCUAGUGAAGUAGUUUACCACAUUUAAUGCUUCUUCCCUGAUUUGGCCAUUAUAAAAUUGAAAGUUUUUUGCAUCCGUUUUGGUUGCGGCCCUUCUUCCUUCGCUUCAUCAUAGAUAUUAGGUUUCUGUUUUAUGUGAGAAGUGCUAUCUACUGAUCCAUCGUUGUGAGAAGAGUGUUGGUGGAUGUGAGAAGAUUGAGUGGUAUGUCACUGCAACUCUUUUAUUUCUUCCAAAUCUUUCUCAUACACUAUUCUAGCACCACACUUCUUCACCUUAGCAUAGUCUUCAUCAUUUGGGUUUGAGAAAAACACCUCAAACUCAUCACAUUUUUCAUCUGAGCAAUCUGUUGCCCAUAAAUUAUUGGUUUCACAAUGACCAUAUUUAUCCUCCAAUGAAAAUGGAUAUAAUUUAUCACGCGACCAAUAACGAAGAAAAAGGUGAUCUUUCAUUAUGGGCCCGUUAUAUCGUUUACCUAAACACCAGCCGAGCCUAUCAACCACUCGAGGAUUUCUACCUCGAAAAAUAGAUCCAUUACAACUGGCUUCUUCAGAAUUUCUACAAUAGAUAAAUGCUCCACAACCGAUAGACUCGUCAUCCCUUGAAGCAUCAUUAUUGACAAAAAUGCAGCAACAAGCAACUCCAAUCCAUUGACUAUCUUUCGAGACGGGUAUCUUAAUUGAAGAGUCACUUCUUUGUUGGCUAAACCAUUCUGGGAUUUCACUUCCGGGCAUCAGAAUUUCAAACUUUUUUCUUGAAUUUGCGAAUGCCUGCAAAAUAAAACACAAGUCGUUUGGUAACUGAAACCAUAAAUUCUCAAGUAUGAGAUUUUGUAAGGGAGAAAAUAGAGAUUAAUCGACCUUAAGAUGUUUUUUUAGCAGUGUUAAUGCAUCGAUAUUUUCAGCCAAUUUGAAGCAGUUAAUGGCAUAAAUGAAACCCGAAUCCACUAAAUUGCAUACUUUUGAUGGACUUGCAACUACUUCAAGUGAAGAGCAAUCAGCUAUACGCACAUCUGCUAUACUUGUUAGAAGCUCUGGCAACGAUUUAAGCAUCUUGCAAUUUGAUAAUCCAAGUAAUUCAAGCCUGCUAAGUUGAGUAAGAGCCAAAGGAAUGGUGAUGAAAUUGUUACCCGUAAGAUAAAGAUAACUCAAAGAGGAUAGACCAUGAAUAUCUGCUUCACCAAGUGUGCACAUGUUGCAAUAUGACAAAUCAAGAAAACAAAGCUUCGAGAGCCCAGUAAGAGAUGCAGGUAUGCUGGUGAAAUUGUUACCACCAAGAUCAAGAUGUUUCAAGGAGGAUAGACUAGAAAUAUCACGUGGAAUAUCUCCUUCACAAAGAUUGCAGUCCCUUAGUUUUAGGUCUCUUAAUGAACUCAAACCGAACAGCGAAGGCAACAUCUGAGGCAUGGGAAUCUUCCUUCUUCCUACGAUUACCUUGAAAAGAGAAGACAAAUUUGGUCGUAACUUUGCUUGCUGCAAAUUCUCCGAUAAAUUUUCAACUCUAUAACAACCAGAAAGAUCUAGAGUUUUUAGACGUUCCAUUUUUCUAUCAAUCUCCGGAAACCUUACAAGACUUGAGCAACCCGAAAGAAUUAAUGUUUCAAGAGAUUCCAUUCCAAUUUUGGUUGGAAGAUUCCUAAGACUUUUGCAAUCUCUUAAAUUCAAAAGUUUAAGGCUGUUAAGCACUCCGAUUGAUGGAUGAACAUCCACUAAUUUGGUACAACCUUCCAAAAUCAAAACUUCAAGAUUUGAUGCUGUUGUGAAGUCUGGUAUCUUGAUCAGGUUUUGGGACCCUUUGAGGUUCAUUAUUUUCAACUUAUACAAGGGCUGUUGAAGACCAUAAAUAAUUAGACAGAAAACAUAAUAAUGCUAAUUUUUGUAUUCUUUACCUUAACCAAAGUUUAAUCAUUUAUAUUAAAAUAAGCUGAAACGAUGAGUUAAUUCUUACUCUAUUUCCCUUCCAUAGUUGUUCAAUGUGACUAUAUGGUAAAAGAAGCGCGACAAGGUUGUUCGGUUGAAAGCUUGAAGGCAAGUAUCUUAAAGGAUAUCCUGUCCAAUCUAAAAGCCGUAGUUCAUUAGAAAGAUAUUUGAUAUCAUCACAAUUUGAGACACAAAGCACUUUGAGCAAUCUCAAUUUUUUCAUCUUUGAAAAGGUGUCGAUACUCAAAUUGAGCAUCUUACUUGAUUCCCUAAUAACCACAAGCAAAACAAAAAUAAGCUUCAGAAUAUACAAAAACAUUCAAUAUCUAAAAGCCAUGCUGGAUCGAUAUUGCUUUUUUAAGUAUCCAUAUCUAGCACUUAUAUCUAUUGCAUAUCUGAAUAUGGUAUUGAGAUAUGAUUAACAUAUUAGACAAUAUUUUAUCUAACACUUAUAUUCGACUUUUAAUUACCUAAGCCUAAAAAAACUAGAACUAAUAUUUUGAUUUAUGUUUGGUGCACUGAUGUAUAGUUCUAUACAUUACCAGUGAACCAAAUGGUGGCAUGACCUGAAUUUAUUUUUAAAAACUUAUAAUGACAUGUUAUAACCUAGUUCAUUGAUAUAGAUUUUCAUUACAUUAAAUAUAAACCAUUAACAUUAGCAAAGACAAUGACACACAUCUCCUUAUCAUUUCUUUUGAAAGAGUAAUGUGUUUCUGUAUAAAUUUUAUAAAUAGAACAUAAAAAAAGUUAAGCUUUAAGGGUGUACUUGGUUGAGUGAAAAAGUCAAGGGAUAUGAGGAUGAAUUGUGCUUGGUAAAGAAGAAAAGUGAGAAGAAAAAAAAAGGGGAGAAAUGAUCCUUUUAUAUUAGUGAGAAGGGAAAUGUAUUAUCUUUCAAUUUUCUGUUUACUCUACCAAGCAAAGUCUAAAGGUCUUUUUGUUGUUGUUUUUUAGUGGACUUUUUACACACAAAAAAAAUAAUAAUAACAAUACUAGGAGUACAUAUUGAUAAAUUUAUAUGUUUCUUUUCCUACCUUCUAUUGUCGAUGAUCAUGCCUUCAAUCACUUCGGUAGCCUAAAAGUAAUCAAGAAUCGAUAAUAAGAAGAUAAAAUUAAUGCUCUAAAUUGUACGAUAAAACUUUUAAAAUUUACAUACAUGUUCAAUAUUAUCGCAAUCUUUUGGUCGAAAUAUAGUAAAUAAAAUAUAUUCUAAUGAGAGUAAUUCAAAAACAUUAAACAGUUAUAUAACAAAUCAUUAUUAAUAUUUAUAAUCAACAAAUGAAAAUUAUCUUAAAGCUACUCGAUGUCACUUAUGGAUCGAUAUAUAAACCAAUUAGACUAAGCUUUGGAUUUACAUCAUAUAUUGAUAAAAGAAAAUUUUGCAUGUAAAUUUUGUUGAAUGGCUUACUGUUUUUUUUGUUAGAACAUGAUGGACAUCCUUUUCGUUCCACAAUCUGCAACGUUUUCCAGGUUCAUUAACACAUUUUUCUUCAACAAUUUUUCUUCCCAUUUCUUGCAACAAGGCAUGCAUCCCCAAACGUUGGUUGUCAUCACUAACUUUUAUGAGAGAUUUCGUAGAGAGAACAUCAAUUCCAAUAUCUGAGAAAAACUCACAACCAUCCAAUACUUUCAUUACCAAAUCUUUCUUCCCCCCAUUGAAAAAACAUGCUAUAUCUAGAAAUAUAUUCUUCUCCCUUUCUUCUAAUCCAUCAAAGCUGAUUCUUAGUGUGUUAAGAAUUUCUCUGUUAGAAUCUUGUUCAAGUCUUUCAAUUGCACUUCUCCAUUGAACUAUAUCUCUACCGCACAAAAAUGAACCCAAAACUUCAAGAGCUAAGGGGAGACCAUCAACAUAAUGUAAAACUUGUUCAGAAAGUUGAUUGAAAUCAUCUUUUGGCGUUGUAUCACCACCAAAAGCUUUCAAAUUGAAAAGCCUUAGUGCAUCGUUGGUGUUCAAUGUUGUAGGCUUAUACACAUCAUCGAUUCGAUAAGAUCGGAGAAAAUGUUCAUCUCUUGUUGUUACAAUGAUCCUACUACCUAAACUGAACCAAUCAAGCCUUCCAACCAAGCAUUUCAAGUGUUGUACAUUAUCAACAUCAUCAAGAACAACAAGAACUUUUUUGCUAGACAACCUGCGGCUAAUUAUGGCCUUCCCUUCAUGAACAUUGAAAAAAUUGAAGCAUUCAUUUGGCAAGAUUUCAUAAAGAAGUUGCUUCUGUAAAGAAACAAGUCCACACUCGUUUGAAACUUCUCGAAUAUCAGCAAGAAAGCUUUUACCUUCAAAAUGAGGUGACAUUUGAGUGUAAACAACCCUUGCAAGAGUUGUUUUACCGAUGCCACCCAUUCCACAAAUUCCUAUAAUGCGGACAUCGUCUUCCCCAAUAUUUAUUUUCGAAUACAACUGCUCCAAACGUGAACUAAUUCCAACCAACUCAUCAUGAAAAAUUGGAUAUGUCUGACAUAAUUUUGCUGAUAUCUUCUUAACGAUGUCUCCAAUAAACUCUGAUUCAUGCCUACAAUGAAAUUAAAUUUCGAUGCUAUAUUUCAAAUGCACUUCUUCAUUUUUAGUUCAGUGAAUAAUGAAAUAUAAUAUAGUUGGAAGCAAACAAAAAGCAAGAAUAAGACAGCAAGAUCUGUUAUAGCAUCAAAUGACACAACUUGCUUCUUAGUUGAAAUAUGGGAAUUCUCAAUUAAACACAAAAUUAUAUAAUAAAAAAAUGCAAUCCAAAACAAAACAAAAAAAAAAUUAGUCAUUAAAAUUAGGAAAUAUAGAAGAAAAGAAAGAAAUACCUAUUAUGUAAAUGCCAUCCUUUGAUGCUAGCUACUUGAGUCAAAGCAUUUCGCCACUUUUGGAUCUUGUCUGUAUCUUCCUUGUACCUCUCUUGGUGUUUGGCGAAGGCUUCUUCAACUUUUCCUUUUUGUUUUCUUAAAUCGGAUGGAUCCACAUCGUAGAAAAUUGGAAAUACUUUAUGUUCGUUAACAUUUUUUUGUUGAACAAUCUCAGCAAGCUCCUCCAAGCACCAUCCUGAAAAGGUAUAGGUUUUUGAAAAAACGAUUACCGAGCACCAUGAUUGCUGAAUUGCAUUGAAGAGUUCAGGUGCGAUCUCUUCACCAGCCUCCAGCUUUGGAUCAUCCCUGAAGGUGACAAUCCCACUCCUCUUUAGAGCAUCAUAAAGAUGAUCCGUGAAGUUGUUGCGAGUAUCUUCACCUCUAAAACUCAAGAAAACAUCAUAUUUCUUUUUAGAAAUGGAGGAAGAAGUUGACGGUAACGACAACAUGAGGAUGUAUGAAAGGAGAUGGAUAUCUCAAUCUGGUGUUCAAAAUCAGAAAGUAGAUCGCCCGAUACCCACAAAGAAACUAGAAAAAGUAAGUAUAUGAGCAUAGGGGCGGAAAUUAGGGGUCAAAAGAUGAGCAAUGGAUGUUCUUGCCAAGAAGUAUCCAAGAAGGUGAGAGUUGGCAAAGUGGAAAUUAAGUAAUAAUUAAAAAGUUGGGACGGUUUGUAUUGUACGUAUUUAAUAAUUAUGAGUAGAUAAGAUUAUGACUAAUAAUUAGAAUUAAUUUAUGGGCUGGUUAAAAAGUUUACCAAACAAACCAACUACUCGCAUCCAGACGUGGAAGAUUUCUAUCUCCAGAGACAGAUCCAUUUCGACCGGCUUGUCCAGAAUUUCUACAAUGGAUAACAGCUCUGGAGAUGAUAAACUUACCCUGGCAGGGCAGAAGUCAGUAUUUUUUUUUUAAGGUCUAAAAUUAAAUUGUAACUUUUAUAAUAUUAAAAAUAUAAUUUUACAAUUUUAAUAGCUUAUAUUUUUAUAAUAUUUAAAGGAUUAAAUCAAAUUUUUAUUAUUUUUAGGGGGAUUAAUGUGCAAUUUUAUCUUUACAAAUUUAAAAUUUUAAAAAUCUUAAAAGAUUUAAAUGAAAAACUUUCCAUAUUAGGAGGACGGAACCCUACCAUCCCCUAGAUUCGCCUCUGUAUCCCGAGAAGCAUCAUCAUUGAUAAAAUGAAACAGGAAACUACUCCCUUCAUUUGUCUUGAAUUUGCAAAAUAAAACUUCAGCGCUUGGUAAAUAAAACCAUAAAUUCCCUUCAUGGACAUUGAAAACUUUUGUAGCUAAUUACGCCUGAGAUUUUGCUCCUGAUUCAUCCUGUUCGCUCUAAGCUCCUCAAUAAACUUUUCAUUUUUCUUAUCUGCCUGCCUUUGCCUUUCCAUUUAUUCCUGGAUAAAUUUCUGUUGUUCUUCAUAUUUCUUCUAUUGAGAGGACAUUUGCUCCUCCAUAACUCUUAUUCUCUUCUGCAUGUCCAAAUAUUGCUAACUACCAGACUGAUGAUGCCAGGACCUUUGAUUCAUUGGUGAUGCUUCGGCAUGGUGUUUAAUUUUUGGGGUUAUAAUACCAUGGAGGAGUAUUGGUAAAACUGAUGGUAUGAAUUUUGUUCGUUUUGAUUUUGUGGGGGAUUAGAUCCUGGUUUGAUUUCUUAGUUUACUCCAUAUUUGCUUCGAUACUCUGACCAAUGAGGUUUGUAACUUGAUCAUUGACAAGGUCAAACUCAAUAAUAGGAGGAUCAUUGGGAUCUGGAUGUUUCAUGCUCGUCCACGCUCAUCGCACCAAUUGUUAACUAGUGAGGUGAACAAAAGGAAGAAGAUGUUGGUUUUAUGAAGGAGGGAGUGUGAAGGUUGGAAGGAAUUUUUGGCCUCGUGGAGGUAGUUCAGAGUUUUAGUGAGAGAAGUAGGUAAGAGUGGACCUACGUGAUGCAUGACCCUUUUAUAGCGAGGGACAAACUUAUGGCUCCUUUGGAUCACCAGCAAGCUUCAGUGUGGUGAGAUUUAAAGAGUAAAAAAAAUUUGAACUGAAACGCAACUCUAUUUGGGAUGUUUGGCAAGCACACCAGUAAGCAUUUUUCACCUCACUGUAACCCAAAAUAUUGGCUGGAGUUAAAAGCUUCAGUGGACUGAUUUGGAAGUCCAAAAAUAAGGGUAAUUAUUAUUUUACCCCUCCAAUUCUUCCUUUAUCAUUUAUUUUAUUUAAAACAGAUAACAUAAGUUUAAUAUGUCAUUAUUUAAUAUGAUUUAAUUUACAAUAAAAUUAUAAUUUGUAUUUAUAAAUUUAGUAUAAAUACAAUUUAAUUUAUAUUUUAUUAUUUGAUUCAACUAUAAUCUGUAAAAUAUUUUGAUAUUUUAUUAUGAAUAUAAUUUAAAAAUAUUUUAUUGUAUAUUUAAAAUAUUUUGAUAUUUUAUUAUGAAUAUAAUCUGUAAAAUAUUUUGAUAUUUUUGAAUUUUUCUCUAGUUUUAAUUCAUUUUUAAUUAUUUAUUAUUAAAAAUAAAUAUAAUUGUAAUAAUUUUUAAUCAUUUAUUAAUUUUGUAAUUGUUAAAUAACUUUAAAAACUUCUAUUAUAUAUCAUUUUUAAUCUAAUGUCCUUAAAAGUCAUUUUCCAUUUUCAUCUCACCGCUACAGCUGCGUUUCAAUCCAAACAUACACUCCACCGCUGUUUCUAAUCUCACCGCUACAGUAUCCAAUCUCACCGCUACAGUACCUAAUCUCACCGCCACCGCUGUUUUUAACCUCACCGGAGCUAAACACACCGCCCAUCCAAACUAAGCCUUAGUUAUGUUUCCUAAGAUUGUUGAGGUGAAAGUUUAAUUUGAUAUCCUUACAGUGAUGGUGAUAUGAUGUCCUAGGAUGAAACAUGUUAGGACAGCUAGCAAUUAAUUACUGGGUCUCCAAAUAGUCCUCAUUUGUCUUAGCGGAGGUGCAUAGUUCUAAAGUUCAUCAGGUUGUGGUAUGAGGACCAAUUACUGGUCCACAAACUAGCUAUGGGUUCUCUAGGCCAUGGUACGCAGACCAAUUACUGAUUCACGAACUAUAUGUGAGUUCACGAUAUCAUUGGUUCCAUUAUAAGACAUGUGUCAAACUAUUUAUGAGUGUUCUAUGAGAUUCGCGACACAAAUAAAACCAUUAAUGCACAAUGUGCAAUUUUUUGUCCAAACAAGUUUAAAUGAUACUUCUAUUAGUAGGAAUUAAAGUCGAAUAAGUAAUACUAAGGACCUAUAUAUAAGCAACAUAAGGAAGCUAGUUAAAUACUAUUGAAGCAGGGAUUGAAUCACACCAAAACACAUUACAGGCAUCCAAUGGUAUAUUGUCAUGUUAUUUUUUUUUCUAGUAAGUAUUCAUGUUUAAUACUAUGCUCGACUUACAUAUAUUUAAUAGAUUAAAUUGGAAACAUAUCACAUUUAAUAUAUAAACAAGUAUCAAUUGUGAUAAUCCCCAAUAAAAAUGAAAUGGUGUUCUAUUUAGAGAAACAGCAGCAAUCGAACAUUCUCCACAUUUUUGUUAUAAAGUUGAACCUACAAAGAAAAUAUAGAUGUAAGUUUAUACAUACAUAUAAUGUUGAGCAAAAAAAAAAGUUUAUGCACAUAACAUAAAAUGUAUUAAAAAAUCCAUUAAACUUUACAAGUUUCAAUCAUGUACAAAAGAAUGAAUUAUAUGAAUAAAAAUUUAAAUGGUAUAAAAAAUUAUGUUCUCCAAAUUCGGAGAUACGUGUAGAAUAUGAGUUCAGUGUUUAACAUGUUCAUACUCAAAAUUUAGAAUUAGUUAAAUAUAUUUCAAGAAUAUUACCAAAUCCUAUGUUGAGUAAAGAUGUCCAAAAUGAAUACUUCAAAUCAGAUAAAAGAUGUGCAUAAAAUAGAUUAGUAUGUCUAAAAAAUAAUUAAUAGUAAAUUGAGUUUUAGCUCAAUUGAUAUCAAUAUUUUUGCCAAUACAGUUCUAAAAAUGACAUUUUAUCGCAAAGGAAAAGAGAGAGAAAAAUAAAGAACACACAGAUUUACGUGGAAACUUUUUUGGGAAAAAACCACGGGCAGAGGAGAAGAUAAUUCACUAUGUUGAAUUCGAAUGAAUACAAGAGGAGUAGAUUAUGUCUAUUUAUAAGCUCGUAACACCAUAAUCUAAUAGGAGUGUAGUAAGAUUGAAACACUUCAUUCUAAUUAAUAUCAAAUAGAUAGAGUUUAAUAAGGUUUAAAAACCUUAUUCUAAAAUAAAAUAAAAGAAGUGUAGUUCUAUAUGGAUUUUACUUUUAUUUUAUUUUACCAUUGUAUUUUAUUUAAAUAAGGAUUCAGGUCAGUCAAUUAUAACAAUCUCCACCUUGACACGAAUUCUCAAUGAACAAGUUCUUCAUUGCAAACUCUCAACGAACAAGUUCUCCACCUCUUCCAUAAAACCCCUUAAGGGUUUAACUUCAACAAUGAACACCAACCAAGUCUAAGCAAUGCUCAAACUUGGUUAUAGAAAGUGACUUAGUCAUCAUAUCUGCAGAAUUUUCAUGAGUACUAAUUUUGCUCACAACAAUAUCACCACGAACAAUAAUAUCACGAACAAAAUGAUGCUGAACAUCAAUGUGUUUUGUUCUCUCAUGAAACAUUUGAUCUUCUGUAAGGAAGAUGACACUCUGAUUGUCACAAAAUACUGUACCGAUUUGAAGGUCUUCAUUGAGUUCACUAAAGAGUCAUUUCAACAAAAUAACUUCUUUACAAGCCUCAGUAAUGGCCAUGUACUCAGCUUCAGUGAUAGACAAAACGACUAUAGUUUGUAAAGUGACUUUCCAACUGAUUGCACAACCUCUGAUUGUAAAGACAUAAACUGUGAAAGAUCUUCUUCUAUCAAUGUCUCCAGCAAAAUCAACAUCAACAUACUCAAUGGUUCCAUCUCUAGUUCUUCCAAACUAUAAGCAAACAUCAAUAGUACCUCAUAAGUAUCUUAAAAUCCACUGAACUGCUUUCCAAUGUUCUUUACUGGGAUUCGUCAUGUAUCUGUAAACUACACUAAUUGCAUAUGAUAAAUCUGAACGUGAACAAACCAUAUCAUACAUGAGAGAUCCCACUACACUAGAGUAUGGAAUAUGUGACAUGUACUCAAUCUCAUCAUAUGAUUGUGGAGACAAAGCUGAUGAAACUCUGAAAUGGACUGCUAAAGGAGUACUAACAGGCUUAGCACUUUGCAUAUGGAACUUGCAAAGAACUUUCUAAAUGUACCCCUUCUGACUUAGGUUUGCUUUUCUAUCUCUGAGAAUCUCCAUAUCAAGUAUCUUCUUUGCUGGUCCCAAAUCUUUCAUCUCAAAUUUUUCACUUAGUUGGCCUUUGACCUUUCUUAUCUCUCAUUUAUCUUUCGCUGCUAUCAACUUGUCAUCAACAUAAAAGAGUAGAUACACAAAAGAACCAUCACUGUUUUUCUUAAAGUAAACACAACUGUCAUAGCUACUUCUUCUGAAAUCAUGAGAAGUUAUAAAGAAAUCAAACCUUUUGUACCACUGUCUUGAUGACUGUUUCAAACCAUAAAGGGACUUUUUUAGCAAGCAAAUAUAGUCCUCUUUUUCUGAGACUAGAAAACCCUCUGGUUGUUGCAUGUAAAUAUCCUCUUCAAGUUUUCUAUGCAAAAUUGCAAUUUUUACAUCUAACUGCUCAAGCUCCAAAUCAUGCAUGGCCACAAUACCAAGCCAAGCUUGAAUUGAACUAUACUUCACAACUGGGGAGAACACAUCUGUGAAGUCCAUUCCUGCAAUUUGACUGUAACCCUUUGCAGCAAGCUUUGCUUUAUAUCUGGGUUCUUCAACUCCUAGAAUCCCUUAUUUCAUUUUAAACACCCAUUUACAACGAACAACCUUUUUACCUUUAGGAAGUUUCACAAGAUCCCAUGUUUUGUUUUUGUGAAAUGAUUCCAUCUCUUCUUGCAUAGCAAACAUUUAUUUUUCUAAGUCUUUAUAGCUAACCACCUCAAAAUAAUUAGAUGGCUCUUGGUUUGCAUCUAUAUCUUUAGCCACAUUUAGAGCAUAAUCAACUAGAUCAGCCUCAGCAUACUUCUUUGGAGGUUUAAGUUAUUUUCUAGUUCUGUUUUUGGCAAUAGAGUAUUGUGGUGAAGAAGUAACUCUAUUCUGAAUUUUUGUACUGCCUUGAGAAGUCGACUCUAUUGUAGAUUCUGGAUUAAUCUGAUGCUCCACCUACUUUUGGUAUUGGAAGAGUCUUUAAGAGAUAAGUUAGGUAGCAUAGCAGUUUCAUCAAAAACAUCUCUGCUAAUCACAACUUUUCUAUUUUUAGGACACCAUAACUUAUACCCUUUUACACCAGCUUUAUAACCAAGUAAAACACAUUUAAUGGAUCUCGAUUCCAAUUUUCCAUUUUUAACAUGAGCAUACAUAGGACAUCCAAAGAUCUUUAAGUCAGAAUAGUCAGCAGGAUUACCAAGCCAUACCUCUUGUGGAGUCUUUUUCUCAAUGGCAACAAAUGAAGAUCGAUUGAUCAAAAAACAUGCAAUAGAGGUUGCUUUGGCCCAAUACGACUUUGGUAAGUUGGCAUUUGACAACAUACAUCGAACCUUCUCCAUGAUCGUUCUGUUCAUUCAUUCUGCAACGCUGUUUUGCUGUGGAGUAUGACGAACUGUCAAGUGUCUCACAAUCCCUUCUGACUUGCACAGUUUAUUAAACUUAUCAGAACAGAACUCUAAAUCAUUAUCUGUGCGGAGGUAUUUUAUUUAUUUUCCGUUUGUUUUUCAAUCAUAGUUUUCCAAGACUUAAAUGCGGAAAACACAUCGCUUUUUUGCGUAACUCACACCCAACCAUUUGAUUGUAUCAAUUAAACGCAGUUUGUAGAGUAACUCAUCAUCCAUCACUACCUAAAUCAUCCUCCUUACUUCUUCUUUCAGUUCUUCAUGUUGUAUUUUAGUUGUAGCAUCAACGUUUUGCAAAAUUGUAAUGUAGGACAAGAUUUCCAUGAAUUAAACUAUAUCACAUGUUACACAAUACGAAAUCAAUAAAAACAUGAAACAUAUUUGCUCAUGUGCAAACACUUGUAUAUAUGUGAUUUAAGUUAAACAAUAUAUUAGACAUGACAUGAUUAACGAUUGAUUAUACAAUAAAGGUAUUUACUUAUGUGCAAACACACAUAUGUAUCUAAAAUCUUUACCGUUGAUGGAGAUGAAAGGAAAAUAUCCCCCCCGUUAGGAUGAAAGUUGGUUGAGGGACGCUUCUGGUUGAACAUGGAUCCAUGAGUUGAAGAAGGAAGCUUUGAUGAAGACAUUUCAUUAGCUAGUAAUUUUGUAUGUUAGAAACCCUAUGAAAUAAGAUGAAGUGGUGUGAGGCAAAGAGCUCCUAUGUUGACAUAUUUAUACAACUUUCUCAGCAUGUGAAAAUCCUAUAUUUACCUAUACAUCUGGAAAUUGAACAGUAGGAUUCGGUAAAAAUCAAAUCGCAUAGUGCCUUAUUAAUUAUUUUUUAAUUUAAAAAGAAAGAAAGUUAUUGAGAUUAUUUAAAAAUUUUGUAAAAAUAAAAAAUAUAUUAUAUUUUUUUUAAAAUUCAAAAAAUAUUAAAAAUCAAUUAAUUAAUUAUUGAUUUGACAUCCACGUGUAUGUCCACGACAUCAAAUUAAACAUUUGAUAAAAAAAUUCAUCCAUUUUGGGGUGAUUUGAAAAAAAAAUAAGUUUGAGGGUUAAAGAGGUAGAAAAUUAAAUAGAGGGCUAAAAAGAUUUGUUUUUUUUUUUGUAAUGUUGGAAGCCUAAAUAUGUCAUUAUACCAAAUUAAUUCAAUCAAUUAAAAAUAUAACAAACUAUAAACAAAACAAUUUUUAUAUGUAAUUGAAUCAUAAGUGAAGUGAUAAAUAAUUUGUAUUCAAUUUUAAGUUGAUAUUGACAUUGUUGCCGGUGUAGAAAGAUGUGGGUUCAAUCAAGCUGAAGCGUGUCAUCCUCCUUUUUAAGGGUUAAGAAGGGACUGUAAAUAGUUCUAGACAUUAUAUCAAAAAAUAAUUUUCAGUUGACGUCAAAAUUUUAUUUCAUCCUCGUCCUUAUAAAAAACUACUUUUUUGAAAAACAAAAAUUAAUGAAGUAUUAAUAAAGAAAUAAAAAUGUAAAUGGUUUUGAAAAAAAUUACUAUUGCUAGCAAUAAGUGCAUUGCUAAUAGAGACAGAACACUAAGAAAUUGGUGCCUAAGUUGGUGGGCACUUCUUUAGGCACUAAACGAGUAAAACAAAAAAACACGCGAACAUGAUUACGCAAUUCAGUUACUCUACGUUUGUGGAGCCUAACUCAGUUAAAAGUUUGUACUCUUUUCAACAAUUACAAAGUGAACCCUAAUUGUUGGGAAAAAAAUCCAAUUUGAAAACAGUUUUCUUGCCCAGGAGAAAAUUAAAAUUUUAAAAACCGACCCAGUUUGUGAUAUUUACAAUAGUAAACCUUAGAUUGAAAUUAUGCCUAUGUUUUUUGUUAAGCGAAUCCUAGACGUUUUUAGACAUUCAACUAAACGAGUUACGUGAUUAUCAAGUGAAUUUUUUUAAAAAAUUUUAUGAGAAAAGGACUUAAUUUUACUUACCUAUUAAACUUCAAGCUUCAAAUCUCUAGUUUUCCCUUCUAUUUUUCUUUCCCCUUUCCUUCCUUUCUUUUUCGUCUGUUCUCUGUUUCUAUUCCGGUCUUCUUUUGGUUCUUUGUCUUUUUUAUUUUACUUACUUUACAACUAAUAAUAUUAAUAAUAUAUAUUAUAUAAAAAUCUUUUACUUAUUAUUUAAGCAUAUAUUUAUUUUUAUUACAAGUGUACCUAUGUAAUUAUUACUAUUACACUUGUCUUAAUCUUUACCAUACAUUUGUCAUCUAUUUAAUUUAUAUAAUAUAAUACAAUAUAAUAUAAUAUAAUAUAAUAUAUUAUAUAAUAAAAUAAUAUAUAUAAAACAUAAAAAUCUAAGAUUUUUAUCACUUAUACCGUCCCAUUUCUUGUUAAUGGCUUAAUUCCCAUUUUAAUCCUUUUUAUUUUCUAUUAAUCUAUAAUUCUACUUUUACCCCUAGUUCAAUUUAGUCCUUUUUCCUAAUUUCUCUUAAUUAAACUAAAUUCACCUAAUUAAUACCUAAUUAAGCACUAAACUAAACUCUUAAUUACUUCUAAUAAUUAUUUUCGAACUCAAUUUACUAAGACGGAGGCCCGAUAUUAUACUUUUUCGAUGCCCGUGAAUUUUUGGGUUAUUACAUUGAACUAAGUAAAAAGAAAGAAUUAAAAAUUGUAAACAGUUUUCUUCUUAAGUUUUCUAGUUUACCUACAUUUCUUUCAGUGUGACAUUUAUUUACUGCCUCUUAUGUUUGUUGUUCUUGAGAAGGUUGUGGUGUUGAUCACCUCCUGUAGGAUUUGUUGGGAUCCCAAGGACAAAUUUGCCUAAUUAAUGCUCCAGCAAUCAUCUUCAACACAUUUGAUGACAAGUGUUAGAAGCAAUCGCUGCCAAAUUCCCUCGAAUUUAUACAAUAAGACCACUUCAUUUGGUUUCCAUCCGAUUGAAUAAAAGCCAAGCCCUUCUUCAACUUGAUUCUAUUCUUACUGAUGGAGUCGGCCAAAAAAACUCGUCUUCAACGCCAUUCUCAAAACUACACAUUUGCUCAGUUUGGACUCUUGGCAACGGAUUCAGUUCUGAAGAGCCAAGCUGUUGGUACCAUGGAGGGUGGCGGAAGGGAAGAAGAGACCGUCAAAGUCAAAACUACAAAAAUACUCGUGUGGAAAGUUCAUUGAAAAAACCAAAAAAUCACGUCCUUAAAAUUCAAAUGGAAAUUGACUCAGUCUACUAAAAAUAAUUUUUUAAUUAUUAAAUAAUUUAAUAUUCACCUCAAUUUUUUGCAUUUACAUAUCAAACGUUCAAUUAAAAAUAUUAAAUAGAAGAAUUUCAUAUUAAUAACAACUUCAAAACUUAAUUUAAAAACAGUUAACAAUAGGAGAUUUAUUGAAUAGUAAUAAUCAUAAUUAUACUCAAAUUGUAAUUUCAAAUUCGAUUUGAAUUGAAAUUCAAUUUUUUUUCUCCCAAAUCAAUAUUAUAAAUACAUACAUUCAAUUCCACUAUCAUUCAUCAUACGCUUAGUUACAAUUUGCUGCCUUCAACCAACCAUGAUGAAAAAAUUUGUUUCCUUUGCCAUUUUUGUUUUAUUUUUCUUUGUUUCCAUCUCAUCAUCUAACGGUGAUGCUGGUUUAGUCUUCCAACAUUACACUAAUAUCAAUCUUACAAAAGUCAUCGAUGGUGAUGGCGGUGUUCUUUUCGAGAACUAUAGUCAAAUCAAUCUUAACCGCGUUACCGGACCGGAAAGUAUUGCCUUCGAUUGUAAAGGUGAAGGACCAUAUGUCGGUAUAUCCGACGGAAGAAUCUUAAAAUGGAAGCCAAAAUUUGGUUGGCAAGAAUUUGCCAUCCCUUCACCAUUCAGGUAGAUUCACAUCUUUGUCGUUUUUGUAGCUUUAUUUUAUAGUUAUAAAUCGACUUUUCAUCGGGAGUUUUUUAACUUUUGGUUUUUCCUUUGGAUCAGGGAAAGGAAAUUGUGCGAUGGCACAAGAGAUUCGAACGUUGAACCCAUAUGCGGAAGACCGUUGGGCUUGAAGUUCGAUAGUCGAACAUGUCAUUUAUAUAUAGCAGAUGCCUAUUUCGGUCUUUUAGUUGUUGGACCAAAUGGUGGCAUGGCUAUAAGACUGGCUAUUUCGGCCGCAAAUGGAGCUCCAUUCAAAUUUACGAAUGGAUUAGACAUCGAUGCGAGCACCGGAAUGGUUUACUUUACCGAUAGCAGCACUCUUUUUCAAAGAAGGUACGGUACAUCUUCUUCCUCUUUUUUGCUUCUAAAUUAUCAUGAAUCGUUGAUUCUAUUCAGGGGGGCCUUAUAUAUGUAUAUAUAUGAUCAGUAGGGGAAUUUACACAUAAAUAAUACGUAUAGAGAUUUUUCGAAUCGAAAGGAUAAAUUAUUCUUUAAUUGUGCAGGGAUGCUGACUUUCUGAUAAGUUCCGGUGAUAGAACCGGACGGCUGUUGAAGUACAAUCCUUAUAACGGAGACGUGUCCGUCUUGUACGACGGUUUAGCUUUCCCUAACGGGGUUGCCUUGAGUGCAAACAAUUCGUUUCUUCUAGUGAACGAAUCGAUAAAAAGACGAAUACUGAAGUUCAAUGUGCACGACCCCAAAGCAGCUCCCAAAGUAUUCCUCGAAUUACCCAGGGUUCCGGAUAAUAUAAAGAGGAACGAAAAGGGCGAAUUCUGGGUGGCCCUAAACAGCAGAAGAUUAGGAACGCUUGGAAACGGCGUUCCAGAUCCAAUUGGAAUGAGGUUUAAUGAAGAAGCCAAGGUUUUGGAAAUCUUGGAUGGAAAGGGCGCGCCCACUUUUAAUUCGAUAAGUGAAGUCCAGGAACACGGGGGGAAAUUAUACAUAGGGUCUGUUUUGAAGUCCUACGUAGGUAUCUUAAAUGCCUAGUUGAUUUUUGUUUUCUUUUAUUUUCCUUUUUGCAACUUUUUAAUUGUUCUUGUAAUUUGUUUUUAUUUUACUCGAUAAAUAUAUAAAUGUUAACGAUUUUAUUUUCGAGAAAUUUUUAAUUAUCUUGAUUUGCCUACUUGAGACAUUACAUCUUCACGCCUCGUGCACAAGACGAAGUAAUUAAGCCAGGCUUGGCGUACCUGAUGGGUUAGUUGUCGAACAUUUUAAAGUUGUCCUUUAUCCCCUUUAUGCUUCGAGUUACACUACUUUUUUCCAUCACAGAAUGUUUAUGUUGUAAACUUGAUAAGCAUGGCACCGAUUCCCAUAACACAAAUUAAAGAACAUCUGCUUCAAUUGAUUGGUCAAAAGAAAAGGUAAAUACCAUGACCUAAUUUCUCAUCUCAACAAUGCCUAAUCAGUGUUCCUAAUAGGCUAGGGGAAUUGAAUGAGUUGAGAUGCUACUAAGUGUAUCAAAGUCAAAGAAGGACCAAAUAACAAAUUAGGCUAAGCAGCCACUCAUUCUUUGCAACACUACUCCCUGCAUCUAUUGCCUGGGGAUAUGAACCAAUAGAUCACGAUGACAAUUCUAAAGCAACCAUUAUUUGAUCGUCCUCUUACUAGACAAUGGAUACAAUAAUUCGUGAUGAAAAAGGUGGUCCUUCGUUAUGGAUUGUCCACCUAAAACAUUGAAACUGGAAUCGAUCCUUCCAGGAUUUUUAACUUGAACAACAAAUCCAUUAUUACUUGAUUGUCCAGAAUUUCUAGAAUGGAUAUAAGUUGGACCACCGAUAUCCUUUUCUUCGGAACCACCAUCAUUGACGAAUCCAAUCCAUUGACUGUUAUUCUGAAUAUCGAGAGGCAGAGGUAUUUCAAUUACAAAGCUGCCUCUGUGUUGCCUGAACCAUUCCGGAAUUUCAUCAUUUUCUUUUUUUGAAUUCGCAAAUGCCUGCAAAUUAAAUUAUCGGUGGCUCUGUAACUAAAACCAUGAAAAAUAAGUGAGAUUAAUCAACCUUAAUCAGCAAUGUUAUUGCACUAAUGUUCUCAGCCAAUAUGUAGCAGUUAAUGGCUAUAAUUUUAGCACCAUAACUUAUAUCCACUACUCACUUUUCAUUCUUCCUAGAAGCACAGGCUACUAUUCAAGCUCACUGCAAUCUGACACUCCAAGCUUUUGAAGAUUUGAAAGACGAGUAAGAGACGCAGCUAUGCUGCUGAAAUUGUUACACCUAAGAUUAAGAACUCUCAAUGAGGAUAGACCAGGAUUUGAACCUGAAAUUGUCAUAUUAAUAGCAUGAAGCUACAACCAACUGAGCUAGUAAGCCAAUUGUUUUAUUUUUAGACACUGUCUUAUAUUAAGCUUUUCUCCGUUGUUUAAAUGAUAAUAUUUUUAAAUUUUGGAUUUAAAAAAUAUAUUUAUUAUACUUUCAACAUAUAUACAUCCCAAAACACAACCGAAAAUAAAUAGAAGGUUCAUUUUAUUUCCCCAAUAUUUUAAUGCAGGGUAAUGCUUGUUUUGUUGGGUUUGACAUAAAUUAUACAAAAAAAUAAAUUAUCCAUAUAAUUUGAUAAGCUUAACCUGUAUGGAUUCGACAGUGAGAUUCGUGGACACCUCUACAUUGACAUGAUGAAAGGCAACAUGCAGUAAAGGAUGUAAGAGGAAAAACCAACGUUAUGUCACAAAAAAGAACAACACCCCCCCCUGUUAAAAUUGAUCACUAAUGGCAAUUUGCUUCUUUUGCUAUGUGUAGUGUAGAGAAGAAUGAAGUUAAUACAUAUACAGAGAGUUUUCACCUACUGGCAUGGACAUUGGCGGGUAAAUGAAAGAGUAAAUUAUUAAAUCCCGAUACUUUUCGAAAAUUUCAAAAAUUAAGUGCCCUUAAAACUAAUAUAUGUUGUAGUGGGCAAAAAUCACGUCGGUUGCUGCAUAGAUAAGUCGCUGAACCAAUCGUCACAACCCUUUGCCAAAGGUGCAUCAAUCCAUACAGCGCCACUAUUCUAUAUAUAGAUUGUACAAGCCCAAUUUUUAACCCGGGCCCGAGGAACCAAAACAAUUAGCCCAGACUAAAAACGUAAGCAAAAAAAAAAACCAGCCCAAUGAGCCCAAUACCCAAACCUAGCCCAAAACACCACAACCCAUCUUCAGCAAAAAACAGUAACCCUAACCCUAGGUGCGCCGCACCUAGGGUCGGCCACUUGCUCUGCCUAGCACCGCAGCAUUGUCACGCUGCUCAUCUAUCCACCUGCCACCGCCAUGGUCACGUCGCCACUUGCACCUGCAAAACACGCAACCAAGGAAGAUAGAAACAGACCACAAAAUCGGGGGGGGGGAUUUUUUUUUUCUUCUCAUUCUCUUUGCUUUCGGUUAUAAAAACCGAUGAUUGUAAAACAAUGGGGUUCGACCCCUCUUUCAUGAUUUCAAGAAAUAAAAAGGCAAAGAAAACAGAUUCCAAAACCUCUUUUUCGGUAUAAGCUCUAUUUUCCCUUUUAUUUUUUUAUUUUUUCCUUUAUUUUUUCUUCCUUUUGAAACUGUUUGUUCUCUUUAUUUUUAUUUUUAUUUUUUUCUUUUAUUUUUAAAAACUAUAUAAAUAUAUAACGUAAAGAAAAAAGCAUAAAAAAUACCUUUUUUGGAUUUUCCAGCCGGCGCGACGGUGCCGAUGGCCGGAGCACUCACUGGAUGUUGACCAGAGUCUGGGCUGAAAAGGGGAGAAGAGAGAAUUUCAAGUUUUUUUUUAAAACAAAAAGACCAAAUGCUUUUUUUUCUAAAGAACUUAACUUUUAUAGGCCCCCAAGACGACGUCAUUUUGGGGCAAGCCUCUCAGGCACAAAACGGCGUCGUUUUGGCCCUGAUCCGCGCGGUGACCCGACCCUGGGGGAGGAUCCGCGUGUUUUUGGCUCUUGGGUUAUUUGCGCAAUUGGUCCCUCCGAUUUUAUGGCGCUUUCAAGGAAGUUUUUUCACAUAUUUGCGAUUUUGGCCAUGAAUUUUCGCGUCUAUUUCGAUUUGGUCCCUCAACCAUGUGCGUGCCUUUCACUGGAACGGCGCCGUUUGGUCAGCGAGGGAAUAUUUCCCUUUUUAGUCCUUCUCUUUUUGCGCGUGUCGCAAUUUGAUCUAUUUCGUCUUUUUACUUUCAAAUCAGCACUAUAUUUUCGUUUUAUUUCAAUUUAGUCAGUUUUUUUUAGCAUUUUUAUUAUUUAACCUUAUUAUUAUUAUUAUCGUUACUAUUAUUAAUUAUUAUUUAUUUUAUUUUCCUUUUGUUUAUUUGUUACUAUUAUAUUUAAUACAUUAAUUAGUAAUAUAUAUUUUAGCUUUAUUUUUAUAUCUAUAUAUAUAUACAUUUUCAUAAUAUAUAUAUGUACACGUUUUUUAUUUAAUAUGUACAUAUACACGCAUGUUUAUAUACACUUUAUAAUAUAUACAUAUAUAUCUAUAUUUAUAUAUAUUUAUAUACAUUUUUACGAAUAUAUAUACUUAUAUUUUUUAUAUAUAAACUUUAUAUACAUAAACGUGUAUAUACAUACUUGCAUAAACUUUUAUAUUCAAUAAUUUUAAGAUAUAUAUAUAUACUUACUUUUCUUGUAUUUUCAUAAUUUUAUGUAUCUAUAUACAUAUAUAUUUCCUUUAUAUGUACAUAUAUUUAUAAUUUUCAUCUAUUUUCCUUUAUUUUUUUUUAUGUUCAUUUAUGUAUUUAUUUAUAUGCCCAUUUUUAUGCUUUAGUUUAUUUAUUUAUUUAUUUGCUAUGAUAUAUGCAUGAUUGAUUUAUUUUAUUAUUCGUUUUUGUUCAUAUUAUCUUUGUUCACAUUAUCAUUUUUAUUAUUCCAUUAUGCAUAUUAACACCAUACUUCAAAAAAGAAAAUUUUUCUAAAUGAGGCAAUAUUUAGCAUUUGGAAAUUCGAGAAAACAUGCCCUAAGGUGCUGGGUGUCGAUUUUUCUCGUUCAACCAAAUGGCUUAAUAUCCUUUUAAAAUUUUUUAAAAUAAUGCAAUGUUUAGUGUUUGGGAAAUUCGAGAAAACAUGCCCUAAGGUGCUGGGUGUCGAUUUUUCUCAUUCAACCAAAUGGCUAAAUAUCCUUUUAAAAAUUUCAAAAUAAGGCAAUAUUUUGCGUUUGGAAAUUUGAGAAAACAUGCCCGAAGGUGUUGGGUGUCGAUUUUUCUCAUUCAACCAAAUGACUAAAUAUCCUUUUAAAAAAUUUCAAAAUAAGGCAAUGUUUUGCGUUUAGAAAUUUGAGGAACGUACCCUAAGGUGCUGGAUUUCGAUUUCUCGUUUAACCAAAUAGCCAAAUAUCCUCUCGAACUUCAAUCCAUGUCAUCCGAGUUUUUUUAAGGAUCGUAUUUUAAAUCUCUCUAAAGUUUUCAGUUUUUCGACACUAAGACAUUAAGUAAUCAACUAGGUACCAAUUUUGGGCGUAUCGAGGGUGCUAAUCCUUCCUCGUGCGUAACCGACUCCCGAACCCAUUUUUCUGAAUUUCGUGGACCAAAAUCAUUGUUUUAAUAAACUUGAAUCGUUUAUUAAAAACAACCUUUUUUUGAGGUGAUCCGAGCACACCUCAUCAAAAAGGAUAGGUGGCGACUCCCGUUUUCGUUUUCAUUUUUCAAAACCCAAGUCGACCCCGUUUUUCAUCCAAAAAAUGGUGUCAACAUAGAUCAUCAGCGUCUCUUAUCAUUUGCAUAUUCGAGGAAGUUAAUUUCUCUGGUUACAUUAGCAAGAGGUAAGGCAUAUCAGUGAAGAUGGAAGAUUACGAAUGCGGUAUCAGUUCAAUAGCCAUGAUGCUGUUGGUGGUUGCUCUGCUAUUUUUGGAUCCGCUUGGGAUGCCACCGUUGCAGCCUCCUCCCGCUUACAUUUUCCUCAUCUUCGCUUUCGUCUUGAUCUUCGUUUUCAUCUACCUCUCUCAUGCCUCCAAAUGAUGAUCCAUGGCGAUUUUGUUUGCUUUCCAGUAUUAUUAUUCUCUUUUAUUCAGUUGUUAUCUGAUGAUAAUAAGCUUUGGUGUGGAUAUUAACCACCAAUAAUACACAGUUAUUUGUUGUUUUCAGUCGUUUAUUAAUAAAUUAUAUGAAGUCGAUGGAAGAAUGUCUCUAUUUAUCUAGUACGUAAAUAAACCAUGCAAUGCAUGCAUACUUAUUCUAAAAUGGACACGACGCCUUUUACUAAUAUUAUUCUUUCUUGCACUCCCAUUGGCUUAGGUACACUGCAUGCGUUGUCCCUUCAUGCCGUCUAUUUAAUAAUGUCAUUAAUAAUUUUAAUGUGGUCUUCACUCCAUCCAUCAAUCGUGUCUAGCCUCAGUUUUUCUCCAUACAUCAAAUCGUUUGCAUUUGAAUAUCCCAUCUCUCCUUUUAAUUUUAAUUAUACUGAGUCUUCUUAUGUAAAUUUAGUUUAUUCAGGUUGUGCUUAUGAAUUUAGAUUCAAAAUAUGGAGUUAAAGACGAUAAUAUGAUAAAAGGCAUUGUCUAUGGUUUCUGCUGCAGAAAAUUGUUAACUUUCGGGAUGAUGCCAUUAUAAAAUUUGUUUGCAUGAACUAAUUAAUCCAUAGACUUUAAUUAUGUACUAUGUAACGAUUGUAUGAUGAAAGGAAUUGUCUAUGGUUUCUGCUGCAGAAAAUUGUUAACUUUCGAGAUGACGCCAUUAUAAAAUUUGUUUGCAUGAACUAAUUAAUACAUAGACUUUAACUAUGUACUAUGUAGGCGUCCUAGUACAAGGAUUGGGUUGUGAGCAAUACUAAUGGCAGUUAGGCUAUCACAGUACAACUUCAUUGGUGAAGUUAUUGGUUUCCUCAGCUCUUCCAUAAUUCUUUUUAACCACAUCAUUUCACAAAUUCCUUGAGCCAUUGAUCUAAACUCGGCCUCUGCACUACUUCUUGCUACAACACUUUGUUUUUUGCUUCGCCAAGUCACAAGGUUUCCCCAAAAAAAUGUACAGUAUCCUGAUGUAGAUAUUCUAUAUGUUAUUGAGCCUGCCCAAUCUGUAUCUGUAUAAGCUUCAAUUCCUCUUUCUUCAAAUUUCUUGAAGAAUAAGUCUUUUCCAGGUGAACUCUUCAAGUAUCUCAGAAUCUGAAACAUUACUUCUUCAUGUUCUUCCAUUAGGGAGUGCAUAAAUUGAUUCACUAAGCUCACUGAAAAAGCUAUGCCUGGCCCUGUAUGUGAUAAGUAAAUUAACUUACCAACUAAUCUUUGGUACUACCCUUUAUCAACUAAUCUGCCUUCUUUAUUUCUGAAUUUUACAUUUGGAUCAAUUAGUGUGUCAGCUGGGCAGCAACCACUCAUCCCAGCCUCUUUUAAAAAAUCAAUCAUAUAUUUUUUCUAAGAGACCACAACACCCUUCUUGGAUCUCAAACUCCAAUGCUAGAUGCUCCUUGAGACGCCUUAUUUAAUCUACAUCAUCUUCUGUAAGAAUGAUAUCAUUGACAUAAACUAUAAUAAUUGUUAUUUUACCUUUUUGACAGUGUCGAUAGAACAUUGUGUGAUCAGCUUGCCUUUAUGAGUAAGCUUGUUUUUAAAAAAUUGAGUGAAUCAUUCAAACCAAGCUCGAAGAGAUUGCUUUAGACCAUACAAAGAUUUCUUGAGCUUACAUACUCGAGUUCCAAAUUUUUACCUUUUUGACCGAGCAACUUUCAUUCCAAGAAAGUAUUUCAAAGGACCCAAGUCUUGGAUCUCAAACUCCAAUGCUAGAUGCUCCUUGAGACGCCUUAUUUUAUCUACAUCAUCUCCUGUAAGAAUGAUAUCAUCGACAUAAACUAUAAUAAUUGUUAUUUUACCUUUUUGGAAGUGUCGAUAGAACAUUGUGUGAUCAGCUUGCCUUUGUGAGUAACCUUGUGUUUUAACAACUUGAGUGAAUCGUUCAAACCAAGCUCGAAGAGGUUGAUUUAGACCAUACAAAGAUUUCUUGAGCUUACAUACUCGAGUUCCAAAUUUUUCUUCAAAACCUAGAGGAGGAUCUAUGUAAACUUCUUCUUCAAGUUUCUCAUUUAGGAAAGCAUUCUUCACGUCUAGCUGCUGUGAAGACCAAUCAAGAUUAACAAUAAUUGAUAAAAGAACUCUAACAGAAUUUAAUUUGGCUAUUGGAGCAAAUGUUUCAAGAUAAUCUAUCUCGUAUAUUUGAGUGCACCAUUUAGCUACCAGCCAGACUUUGUAUCUAUCUAAAGAUCCAUCUGGUUUGAAUUUGGUUGUGAACACCCAUUUACAACCCACUAUUUUUUUCCCUAUAGGUAAUUCUACUAUUUCCCAGGUACCUAUUUUUUCAAGAGCGCGCAUCUCCUUUAAAAUAGCCUCCUUCCACUCAAGAACCUAUAAAGCAUCUUUCACAUUUUUGGGUAUUUCACAGUAUCGAGAUACGAAACAAAGGCUGAGAAUGUCAAAGACAAUGUUUUAUAGGAUACGAAGUUAGACAUGGGGUAUUUGACAAAAUUUCUAACACAUUUUCUUUUAGCAAUUGGAAUAUCUAAAUCAGAAAAUUCAUUGGCUGGAUUAUGAGCUUUACCUGGACUUUUGACAAGAUCUUAUAGGUCGGAUUCUUGGUGAUGAAUCUGGUAGAUUCCACUUUCUUGACUUCAGUUUCUUUUUGAGUAAACAAUUAACUCCUUUGUUUGUUCUUUAUUCUCAUGAUCAGACUUUACGCCUUUAUACUCAUUUUUAUUAAUAACAUUAACAUCAUUAAUUUCUGUGUUAAUCAUAAAUUUACCUUCCCCGUUAUUAGAAUCUCUAUGUUGUAUAUUUCUAGUCUUUUCUUGAUCAAUUAUAGAAUCUUCCUUACUAUAAUUUCCUCCCUGAAGAUUAGAAUCAAAAUAAGAUUGCAUUUCAACAAAUGUGACAUCCAUGGUACAAUAAUCUUCCUAUCAAUUGUAUCAUAACAUUUGUAACCUUUUUUAUUAGAAGCAUAGCCAACAAAGGCGCAUUUUUUUUCUCUAGGAUCUAGUUUACCAUGGUUGUAAAGAUGAACAAAAACACUACACCCAAAAACUCAAAGGGAUAAAUCUAUGAUCAGUUUAAAGUUAGGAAAGUUAUCUUUAAAGAGACGAAAAGGAGCUCUAUAGUUUAGAGUUGUACUAGGCAUUCUAUUAAAGAUAUGUAGCUGUUAACAAGGCUUCGCCCCAAAGAUAACGUGGUACCUGACUAGUGAACAUCAAGGCUCUAGUUACUCUAAAAAGAUGUUAGUUUUUUCUUUCUACAAUCCCAUUUUGUUGUGGGGUAUUUGUACAAGAGCUUUGGUGGACUAUUCCAUGUUUGGUUAAGAAAACACUUAAUUGGUCACUAAAAAAUUCCCCACCAUUGUCACUCCGAAAUACUUCUAUUUUCACACCAAAUUGUGUUUUCACCAUAGCAUAAAAAGACUGAAACACAUUUUUAACUUCAGACUUAUCUUUUAAUUUAAAAAAACCCAACAAAUACGAAUAUGAUCAUCAAUAAAUGUGACAAACUAACGUUUUCCUGAAAAAGUUGAGACUCUUGAAGGUCCCCAAACAUCACUAUGAAUUAAUGAAAAAGGUUUGGGAACUUAAUAUUUUUAAGGUGGAAAGACUGACCGAUGAUGUUUAGCCUGUUCACAAAAUUCACAAUGAUAUGAAUAAGGACUUUUAUUUUUAAAUAGAUUAUUUAACAAAUAUCUUAACUAGUAAAAAUUAGGAUGAACAAGCCUAUAAUGCCAAAUCAUAACUUUAUCAAAACCAGAAACAGAAUUUAAACAUAAAGUAGUUGUUGGUUGACUUAGAUGGUCGUCGUCAAUAAAGUAAAUUCCACCAGAUUCUUUAGCAUUGCCAAUCAUCCUCCCUGAGACCAUGUCCUGAAAUUUACACAGAGAUGAGUUAAAUAUAACAUUGACAAUUCGAGGAUUGGAAUAAUUUACUGACUGAUAUGAGAUCACAAGCUAGAUUUGGUACAUGUAAAACAUCAUGUAAAACCAAGGAAGAAGAAAUUUUAACAGUGCAUUUCCCAGUUAUUGCCGAGAACGACCCAUCUACUACUUUGAUCUUUUUGUUUCCUGCACAAGAUGUGUAAGUUGAGAAAAGAAAAUGACUACUAGUCAUGUGAUCACCUGCUCCAGAAUCGAUGAUCCACGUGUUGUUUUACAAGGCUUGACACUGAAAAAACUAAAAAAAAUUUAGUACCUGAUUGAGCAAAGGAGAAAGAAGGAUUAUUGGAUGAGUUAAGAAUAGAAGAAUUCGUCCAAAAUUGUGGUGACUGAAAAAGUUUGUGUAGAUGCUCUAAUUGUUCCUUAAUGAAUGGAGACCCUUCUAGAGAACUUUGACCCUCAUAAUUUUUAGUAGUUGUUUUAAAAACUCUACUAUCCCCUAAUUAUGAACCACGACCAUUGCCACUCUUUUUUUUCCAUUCAUCGGUUUUCCAUGGAGCUUCCAACACGUUUCUCGAGUGUUCCAAUAUUUUUUUGUAGUGAUCGCACCAAGGUUUUUUUUCUUUUUUCACUAUCAUCAUUAAUUUUUAUAGUUACAAUAGCAGAAUUAUCAUCAUUAGCUUCAAACCCUGGCUUAACAUUACUUUUCUCCUUGUUUCCUCUCUUCUAACCUUAGAAAAAAUCUCAUGGAGUUUUGGAAGCAGUUUUUUUCCUAAGAUCCGAGAUCUCACUUCAUCAAAUUCUUUAUUUAAACCAACCAGAAACAAAUAAGCUCGUUCAUUCUCUUCUGUUUUCAUAGCUUUUACACCAUCUCCUGGACACUCCCAUUCAUUAUUAUAACACUAACCCAGUUCUUGCCAAAGUAACACUAAUUAUGGCAUUCCCUUCGUGAACAUUGAAAAAAUUGAAGUAUUCAUCAAGCAAUAUUUCGGAAAGAAGUUGUUUCUGUAAAAAAACAAGUCCACAUUUAUCUGAAACUUCUCGAACAUCAGCAAGAAAGGUUUUACCUUCAAAAUGAGGUGACAUUUGAGUACAAGAAAUUCUUGCAAGAGUUGUCUUACCAAUGCCACCCAUUUUGCAAAUUCCUAUAAUGCGAACAUCAUCUUCCCCCAUGUCUAUUUUCGAAUACAAUUCCUCCAAACGUAAACUAAUUCCAACCAGCUCAUCAUGAACAACAGUAUAGGUCUGACAUAAUUUCGCUGAUAUCUUCUUAGCAAUAUCUUCAAUAAAUUCUAGUUCAUGCCUACAAGGAAAUAUCAUUUAAUUCUUUUAAAAAAAUUGUUGAAUCAUAAUAUAGUUUGGAGCAAACAAAAAGCAAGAAUAAGAAAGCAAGAUCUGUUACCACAUCAAAAUACACAACUUUCUCUUUAGUUGAAAUAUUGAACUUUACAAUUAAAUAUGUAGUAACUAAAAUUGAGUUUGAAUUUUAUAUUUUUUAAAUAUUAUUAUUUCUUAUUUUUGUAAUUUUAUUAUUAAUUAGAAUUAUAGCUAUUAUUUAUUAAUAAAAGGGAAAGGAAAGAGUUAAAAGAGAGAGAGAACUAAAACAAGACACACCCAACGACAGGGUGAGCCAAUAGAAAGACAGAAAUAAAACAAAGAAAUUAUUUGCAUGCCUAAAAUAAUUACAUUUCGUUGUUAGGUAUGUUUUUAGAAAAUGAGGGAACAUUCUAGAGCCAUAAUAAUUUAUGAGUUACGGUCGAAAUAUUUAAUAAUUAUCUAUCGUAGAAGAAUACCCUUUUCCAAUAAUAUUCAAAGUGUUUGUUUUAAAAGUUUUUAAUCAUGAAUUUUUAUCGGGUUGUCGCUCGAAUUUUUGUUUUAAAAUAAAUUCAUUUUAUUCACAGUAAAAUUAUUUUAUAAAAAGAAAUAUUUUUAAAUAUUAAAUAUAAAUUUAUUAUUUUAAAAUUAAGGAUAGCGACACCUUUUAUCACAUCUAAGCAAUCUGUUGCCCAUAAAUUGCUGGUUUCACUGCCACCAUAUUUAUCGUCCAAGGAAGAUAAGUAUAAGUUAUCACGAGACCAAUAAUGAAGAAAAAGGUGAUCUUUCAUUAUGGGCUCGUUAAGUCGUUUACCCACCAACGAGCCUGUCCAAUCAAUCAGUCCAGGAUUUUUACAAUAGAUAAAUGUUCGACAAUUGAUAACCUCGUCAUCCCUUGAAGCAUCAUUAUUGACAGAAAUGCAGCAAGAAGCAACUCCAAUCCAUUGAAGAGUCACUUUUUUGUUGGCUAAACCAUUCUGGGAUUUCACUUCCGGGCAUAAUAAUGUCAAACCUUUUUAUUGAAUUUGCAAAUGCCUGCAAAAUAAAACACAAGUCGUUUGGUAACUAAAACCAUAAAUUCUAAAGUAUGAGAUUUUGUAAGGGAGAAUAAAGAGAUUAAUCGACCUUAAGAUGUUUUUUCAGCAGUGUUAAUGCAUUGAUAUUCUCAGCCAAUUUGAAGCAGUUAAAGGCUUUAACGGCAGCCGAAUCCACUAAAUUGCAUACUUUUGAUGGACUUGCAACUACUUGAAGUGAAGAACAACCAUCUAUCUCCAUAUUUCUUAUGGUUGUUAGAAGCCCAGGUAACGAUUUAAGCUUCGUGCAAUUUGAUAAUGCAAGCACUUGAAGCCUAGAAAGUUGAGUAAGAGCCAAAGGAAUGGUGAUGAAAUUGCUACCCCUAAGUUUAAGAUAACUCAAAGAGGAUAGACCACGAAUAUCCGCUUCACCAAGAGCGCACAUGUUGCAAUUUGACAAAUCAAGAAACCAAAGCUUCGAGAGUAGAGUAAGAGAUGCAGGUAUGCUGAUGAAAUUGUUACCAAUAAGAUCAAGAUCUAUCAAGGAAGAUAGGCAAGAUAUAUCACUAGGAAUAUCUCCUUCACGAAGAUUGCAGUCCCUUAGCUUCAACUCUCUUAAUGAACUUAAACUUGGCAACGAAGGCAACAUCAGAGGCAUAGAAUUUGUCCUUCCUUCUUGGGUACACCAGUUAAUAUAUGAUUUCCCAUCAUCUCCAUAUGGAUCCAUAACAUUCUUAUAUUCAUUCUCAACCUAUAUAUAUACAUUUUAUUUUGAUAUUAUUUAAAUAUAUAAUAAAAAUAAAAUUAAUAAAACAUAAAAUUUUAUCAUAUAUACCUGAGCAAGAAUGAUGUUUCCUUGGGAUGCAAGUAGUUUCUUUUUUUGACCAUAUCAACUAUCAAAGUUGUGAAGUUUUUCAUUUCAUUCUAAAAAUAAAGGAAAAUAAAAGACAUUAUUUAUAUAUAAAAAUAAACAAAAAUAGAAUUGAUUUUUUUUAAAAAAAAUUUACUGAAAAUUAAAAGAAUUACCAUAAAGACAUCAUUUUUAGUAUGGAGGGAAACUCCAAGCAUGUUAUACAUCCAUACAGGAAAGCCUCUAAUAAAAAAUAAUAAUAAAACUAUUAAUACUGAAAAAUAGUUAAAUAAUUUAUGAAAUAACAUAAUUAGUUCAAAUUUUAAAAUAAAUUAAUUUACCCAUAAUUCCACUCGGCACAAGUAUAAGAUCCAAUUCAAAGAAUUGCAUAUAAACCUUGGUCUUGAAUCAUUUUAAGAAAUCAAAUAAGAUCAAGAUUUCCACUAAAAUCAUAUUGACGACGAGCUGGUUCAUGUGCAUUUCAAAAUACAUAUGUUUCAACCGCAUCCAAAUCACCUUCUUUGGCUUUUCUUAUAAGAUCCGGCCCCAUCUAAUAAAAAUUUAAAAAAUCAAUCAAUUGUCCAGAUUCAAAUUAUAAAAAAUAUCCCGGAUAACUCAAUUUUUAAAUUAUUACCUGAGCACUACUUCUCGGAUAAUGAACCGAACCCAAAAAAAUAAUUCUAUGAUUUCCAUAAAUUAUGAUGGAUCUUGAAUCAUAAGUGACAUUAAGCGCAUUCGAAUAAAAUAGGAUGAAAGAAAAAAUAAGAUAAGAAAAUAAAAUAGUGAAUAUAUUCUUCUUCUUUUUUUAUUUUUUUUUUCCAUCUACUAAAGCUAAAAAGAAGUGUUGAUUGAAAAAUCAGUAGAGUAUGAUAACGUAAUUAUAAGCGUGGUGAUUGAAUUCAUAUCAAAUACUUGAUUUUUAGAAGAUAUUUACUUUGACUUAUUUGCUGUUUUAAAUAGAUUUAUAUAAUCAGUGAUAUGAGAUUAAAUCAGCAAAUUGUGUUGAAAGUUGAGUUUUAGUUCUAUGUAACAGCAUUAAUUAAAUAUUUUUGAUAAUUAAAUAAACUUUUUUAAUUAUAAUUAAUUAGAGUAUUGCUUUCAUACGGCGGGAGUCAUUGGUUCAAAUCCAAUAAUAGGUAGAAUUUAUUAGAUACCAUCGAUUCCGGUGUCUAAUAAGUUUUUCUAUCCACCUUCUUUUAUUGAUUUUUUAUCUUUUUCAUCCUAUUUUAUCUCCGUUUUCAAUUUUUAAAUUUUUCGUUGGAUCAAAAUCCGAUUUCACUUUUGAUUAUAUUUGAUUCUAUUUAAUUGGCAGAAUCAACAUGAGAUGUAUAAACGAAAGUUUUGUUUUUACGAAAAUUCUCCAACUUGUUACGAAAUCGCGUUGAUAACCUCGACUCGUGUCCUAGCCUGUUUGACAGCUAGAUUUGCCUCAAUUGUUUGCCUCUUGCCUUCAGCUUUCCUCAUGUUAGCUUGCUGAGCUUCUUGUGGACUCAUCUAUAAAAUUCUCGUUUAUUAAAACUUGUAGAGUUCUAGUUAAAUUAAAUUAAGAUUUCUUUCAUCAACAAAUGAGACUUGCUUUUUGAAGAAUAAAGAUUAUAUACCGAAAAGAAUAAGCGAGCAAUUAGUAAAGGGUAUAUCCAUAAUAACUUUUUACAUCACUGGUAAAUGAUACCACACAGUCACGAUUCAGCUAUAAUAUUAUCCAUAAUAACUUUUCACAUUGCUAGUACACGAAUCAUAGUAGUUGCCAUCCCAAAGGAUUGUUAGUAGAUCAAUCUUGCUAACACCUGUUAGAGAAAACAGGAUGAAGUACUUCCCUGUGUAACACCAACAAUGGCUCUAAUCCGAAAAAGAGAUUGCAUUUAAAGUUGUUAGCAAACUCAUUCAUUCGUAGCUCCCCACAAUGACCAUAACAUAGCGCCAUAGAAACAAGCCAUUUCCUCUUAACAUUCCAAACAUGCAGCAACAUUCAUACACAACAUUUCAAGGAAUCGCACACAUAACACCCCACCAUUGAAACAACACUCCCCAAGCUUUCCAAGAAAGGAAGUAAGAAAGAAAAAUAUGAUCACAGUUCCCUUCAACUUCAUUGCACCAACAACAAUUGAUGGAAUCAUUAAUUGUUAUAAUACCUCGAUCCCUUAAAAAAUAUUUUGAAGGCAUACCAUUCUGGAAUGAGAGCAAUAGGAAGCAUUGCACCUUUGAUGCACCAAUGAACCCUCAGAAUCAAGAGAAAACACAAAUUUCUUUACAGUAAAUUUCCCUUUGCUGUCCACCUCCCACAUUCGCCUUAUUACAUUAAUCACUGAAUCCAUACAUAGCCAAUUUCCAUACCGAUGUUCCCUCAAGUAAGCUUUAAUCACACCGUGGUCUCAAAAUAGUUUGCUCAAGGACUGGUGUUCCAGAGAAGUCAUCCCUUGGAUUAUUGCAGAGUCGAAUGAUUUGUGAUAUGGUUUUGUCAAUAUGGGAUCUUCUGUUAGCAUGAAUUGAAGCCAUUUAAGUAGUAUUAACUAUUAAGGACCUAUAUAAAGUACAAAAUGAAGCUAUUUAAAUACUAUUUAAGCAACACCAAAACAGAGUACAGGUUCCCAUGGCGUUUUAUUUAGCGAAAAUAGUCUGAUGACAAAGAUAAAAGAUGAUUAUAUUUCACCCUAUUACCUGCUUCUUCAUGCAGUGAAAUAUAGAUUUAAGUUUAUACAUAUAACAUAAAAUUUAAUAAAUAAAUAAAUAAUAAAUUUCAUUAAACAGUACAAGUUUCAAUCAUGUAAAAAUUAAUUAAUUAGAUGAAUAAAUUUUUAAAUGUAUAAAAACACUAUGUUGUCUUUCAACCAAAACAUGUCAUUCAAUACAAGUUGGUGUUCAACAUGUCUAUACUCAAAAUUUAGAGUUGAUUACAUAAUUUGAAGAAUCAUAUUUCAUACUCGUAUCAAAAUAUAUGUUGAGUAAAGAUGUUCAAAAUGAAUACUUUAAAUAAAAUAAAAGAUGUAAAUAAGGUCGAUAAAAAGGUCUAAAAACAGAAUUUAUAGGGCAAGGCUAGUGAAGUAGUUUACCACAGUCACAGCUUCUUCCUCGAUCGGCUCAUUGUAAAAUUGAAAAAAUUUUGCAUCCAUUUUGGUUUUUGUUUUACAAGGGAAGUGCUACCUAUUGAAUCUAUUGAUCCAUCGUUAUCAGCAGAGUGUUGAUGGACAUCUUCAAGAUUUGGAGAACAUUGAGUGGUAUGGCUAUGCAGCUCUUUUAUGUCUUCCAAAUCUUUCUCAUUCACCAUUCUAACACCACACUUCUUCACCUUAACACAGGGAACAUCCGGGUCUGUGAAAGACAAUUCAAGCUCAUCGCAUUCCUGAUCUAAGCAAUCUAUUGUCCAUAAAUUAUUAAUUUCACAUUCACCACAUUUAUCCUCUAAGGAAAAUGGAUAUAAUUUAUCACGCGACCAAUAUCGAAGAAAUAGGUGAUCCUUCGUUAUGGGCUGGUUAAAACGUUUCCCAAACAACCAACUACUUGCAUCGACACGUCGAAGAUCUGUAUCUCGAAAGACAGAUCCAUUUCGAACGGCUUGUCCAGAAUUUCUACAAUGGAUAACAGCUCUGCAGUUGAUAAACUUAUCCCGGGAAGCAUCAUCAUUGACAAAAAUGCAACAGGAAGCUACUCCAAUCCAUUGACUAUCAUUCUGAAUAUUGAGUGGUAGAGGUAUCCUAAUUGUAGAGCCACCUCUCUGUUGGCUAAACCAUUCUGGGAUUUCACUUCCAGGUAUAAUAACAUCAAACAUUUGUCUUGAAUUUGCAAAUGCCUGCAAAAUGAAACUUCAGUCACUUGGUAAAUAAAACCAUGAAUUCUAUUGGCAACCUACAAUCUUUGACUUUUCAAAGAUAUUUGUGUCAGAAAAUUGGGCACCGAAAAUCUAAGCAUUUAAGGCAUAGAUUUUUGGGUUGAAAUUUAGCUUGGGAUAAUUCAAUUUUGGUCCCUAAUUGUAUAGGGACUUUGCAAGUUGAUCCUUGAGCUUCAACUAUAAAUAGGCCUAGCUAUUUCUCAUUUUAACCAUCCCACAAAUGCCAUUCUCUACUUAAGGCAUUAUUCUCUCUCCUUAUUUGUAAAAUUUCACUUGUAUUUUGGAGUGAAAUAUAUUUGGUAGUGCCCGAGGACGUAGGCAAAAUUUGCUGAACCUCGUUAAAAUUCUAGUGUUCUUUAUUAUUUAUUCUGCAUAUUUUGCGAGUGUGAUUGUAGUGAUUUAUUAUGCUAUUAAAUUACGAUAGAGGGAUAUUCUGGCUAGGAAAGACCUGGUACUUAAGCGAUCUUCAUGAUCCACCUCUCUUUCCUGGGAAUUGAACUUAGUGUGAUUUUUUAGUACAAUAAUUUUACUCUUUUACACGCUUCCGCGCAACAAUUGGUAUCAGAGCUAGAUUCGUACUUGGGGAAUACGACCGUUUAUGAUACUAUUUACGUAUACGGUAUUGUUCAUCCAUGGCACUAUUCAUGUAAACGGUACUGUUCACAUAUACAGUAGUUGGGAUCGAGGAGAAGAAUGGCAGAGGCAUCGUCAUCAACAAAGACUAUCGUGACCAAUGCAAAAUUUGAAGUAGAGAAAUUUGAUGGUACCAAUAAUUUUGGUAUGUGGCAAUGUGAGAUCCUGGAUGUCUUAUGUCAGCAAGAGUUGGAUAUAGCUCUUGAAGAAAAACCUGACAAGAUGGAUGACAAAGAGUGGGCCAAGAUCAAUAGACAGGCGUGUGGUACAAUCCACCUAUGUUUGGCCAAAGAGCAGAAGUACUCUGUCAUGAGGGAGACAUCAGCGAAGAAGUUGUGGGAUACACUGGAAGAAAAGUUUCUAACGAAAAGUCUUGAAAAUAGGCUUUAUAUGAAAAAGAAACUUUUUCGAUUCACGUAUGCACCCGGUAUGUCGAUGAAUGACCAUGUGAACUCAUUCAAUAAAAUUUUAGCAGACUUGCUAAAUUUGGAUGAGAAGUUUGAAGAUGAAGACAAGGCAUUAUUGUUGUUGAAUUCUCUUCCCGAUGAAUAUGAUCAUCUUACCACCACAUUGCUUCAUGGGAAGGAUACGAUCACAUUUGAUGCAUUCUGCAGUGCGUUGUACAGAUCUGAGACUCGAAAGAAAGAUAAAAGAGAUCACAGAGAUACAACUGCAGAAGUCUUAACAGUAAAAGGUCGUUCACACAGCAACAAACCUGGUAGAAGGGGCAAGUCCAAAGGAAGACCCGCCAAAGAUGAAUGUGCUUUUUGUCGUGAGAAAGAGCAUUGGAAAAAGAAUUGUCCUAAGUUACAAAAGGGCAAGGCUAUUUCUAAUGCAUGUGUAGCGGAGCAUGAUGAGGAGUCAGACUUUAGCUUGGUUGGUAUGGCAAUGACAUGUCAUACGGAUGAGUGGAUCUUGGAUUCGGGAUGUACUUACCAUAUGUGUCCUAAUAAGAACUGGUUUUCUAGUCUUGAAGAACUAGAAGGUGGAGCUGUUUUUAUGGGCAAUGACAGUGCUUGUAAAACAAUGGGAGUAGGUACAAUCAAAUUGAAGAAUCACGACGGCUCAAUCCAAGUAUUGACAGAUGUUCGCUAUGUACCUAGCUUGAAGAAAAAUCUCAUCUCAUUAGGGGCCCUAGAAUCUAAAGGGCUCACAGUCACUUUGAGAGAUGGAUUACUAAAGGUAGUAGCUGGGGUAUUGACGGUGAUGAAAGGCACUAGAAGAAAUAACUUGUACUAUUUAAAUGGAAGUACAGUUAUUGGAUCAACAUCAACAGCUUCUGCGAAAGAUGCAGAUUCAGAGGCUACCAGGUUAUGGCAUAGGCGAUUGGGACAUGCUGGUGAAAAAGUUUUGCAGACUUUGGCGAAGCAAGGCUUGUUGAAAGGUGCAAAUUCUUGCAAAUUGGAAUUCUGUGAACAUUGUGUUCUGGGCAAGCAGACGAGGGUAAAAUUUGGUUCAGCAAUUCACAGUACGGAAGGAAUUCUGGACUACGAUCACAGUGACGUGUGGGGACCUACCAAAGUGGCUUCUUUGGGAGGUAUGCACUAUUUUGUUACUUUUGUUGAUGAUUAUUCAAGAAAAGUAUGGGUGUAUCUAAUGAAAAGAAAAAGUGAAGUUUUGGAUGCAUUUCUGAAGUGGAAAAAGAUGGUGGAGACUCAGACUGGUCGAAAGAUCAAACGACUUCGAUCAGAUAAUGGUACUGAGUACAAAAAUGAUCCAUUUCUACAAGUAUGUCAAGAUGAGGGCAUUGUGCGACACUUCACUGUUCGAGAUACACCACAGCAGAAUGGGGUGGCAGAACGUAUGAAUCGGACUAUACUGGAGAAAGUUCGAUGUAUGUUGUCCAAUGCUGGAUUGGGCAGGGAAUUUUGGGCUGAGGCAGUUACAUAUGCGUGCCAUCUAAUCAACCGGUUGCCAUCAGCUGCAAUAAAGGGAAAAACUCCUAUGGAGAUGUGGACUGGUAAACCUGCUACUGAUUAUGAUUCUUUACAUGUUUUUGGUUCCACUGCAUAUUAUCAUGUAAAAGAAUCUAAGUUAGACCCAAGAGCAAAGAAAGCAUUAUUCAUGGGUAUAACGGGUGGAGUAAAAGGAUACCGUCUCUGGUGUCCUGAUACAAGGAAGAUUGUUUUCAGUAGAGAUGUGACUUUUGAUGAAUCAACCAUGAUGAAGAACAAGGAUUCACAAAAGGAUGAUAAAACCAGUGGCACUUUGCAGCAGGUGGAGCUUGAAAAGGUUAAUGAUGAUCCAGCUAAUAUUGAAGAAACAAAUAAUGAAGAAGUUUCGACCCAAAAACUUCUACAGCAACAAGAUUCAAUUGCAUAUAGGAGGCCAAGAAGAGAGAUUCGUAAGCCUGCUCGCUUUGAUGAUAUAGUGGCCUAUGCACUUCCAAUUGCAGAUGAUAAUGUUCCUUCUACUUACACAGAAGCAAUAAGUAACCCUGAUGGUGUAAAGUGGAAGCAAGCUAUGAAUGAAGAAAUGCAGUCUCUUCAUAAAAAUAGGACUUGGGAGUUGGUGACACUGCCCAAGGGAAAGAAGGCAAUUGGAUGCAAAUGGGUAUAUGCAAAGAAGGAAGGAUUUCCUGGUAAAAAUGAAAUUCGAUACAAGGCUAGAUUGGUAGCAAAGGGUUACGCUCAGAAAGAAGGAAUAGACUACAAUGAAGUGUUUUCUCCAGUUGUGAAGCAUUCGUCUAUUCGGAUUUUGCUAGCCUUGGUUGCGCAAUAUGACCUUGAACUAGUUCAGCUUGAUGUGAAGACGGCUUUUUUACACGGUGAUUUGGAAGAGGAAAUUUAUAUGACUCAGCCUGAUGGAUUCAAGGUUGCUGAUAAAGAAAAUUGGGUUUGCAAACUGACGAAGUCGCUUUAUGGAUUGAAACAAUCUCCGAGGCAGUGGUACAAGCGAUUUGAUCAGUUCAUGAAAGGGAAAAGGAACACAAGUAGGAAAUUUGAUCAUUGCGUGUAUUUUCAGAAGCUACAAGUAGGAAAUUUCAUAUACUUGCUCUUAUAUGUUGAUGAUAUGCUGAUAGCAUCUAAGAGCAAAGUUGAGAUUGAGAGAUUGAAGACUCAACUCAAUCUUGAAUUUGAGAUGAAAGAUCUAGGUGAAGCUAAGAAGAUUCUUGGCAUGGAAAUAUGUAGAGAUAGAGCUCAAUGCAGAGUUAGCUUGUCUCAGAAGCAGUAUUUGAAGAAAGUACUACAGUAGUUUGGCAUGAACGAGCAGACUAAACCUGUAAGUACCCCGUUGGCUUCUCAUUUCAAGCUUUCUGCACAACUAUCUCCUUCGACGAAUACGGAACAAGAAUACAUGUUACAAGUUCCGUAUUCUAAUGCAGUGGAUAGCUUGAUGUAUGCAAUGGUGUGUACAAGACCCGACAUUUCACAGGCAGUUAGUAUAGUGAGCAGGUAUAUGCAUAAUCCUGGAAAAGGACAUUGGCAAGCUGUGAAAUGGAUUCUACGGUAUAUUCUGAAGACUGUGGAUGUUGGAUUACUGUUCAAGCAGGAUACUACACUUGGUAAAGGUGUUAUUGGGUACGUUGAUUCUGACUAUGCCGGUGAUUUGGACAAACAAAGAUCAACCACCGGUUAUGUGUUUACACUUGCUGGAGGACCAAUAAGUUGGAAGUCUACACUGCAGUCUACAGUUGCGUUGUCAACCACAGAAGCCGAAUACAUGGCUGUAACAGAGGCUGUAAAGGAAGCUAUUUGGUUACAAGGUAUGGUUAAAACCUUGGGAUUGGUUCAGGAGCAUAUUGACGUGUAUUGUGAUAGUCAAAGUGCUAUUCAUUUAGCAAAGAAUCAAGUCUAUCAUGCACGUACAAAGCAUAUCGACGUACGAUUCCAUUUUGUGCGGGAAAUUAUUGAUGAAGGGAAAAUUCGUCUUCAGAAGAUCAAGACUGCAGAUAAUCCCGCAGAUAUGAUGACCAAGGUGGUAACAACAAUCAAGUUCGAACAUUGUUUGAACUUGAUCAAUAUCCUGCAAGUUUAACAGUUGAAGAAGGCACUAUCAAGUAUUGUUGUCGAAGGCAGAAAGAAUUGUGUGAAGAUAAGAUUAUCCUAAUCAAAUCUUCAAGGUGGAGAUUAUUGGCAACCUACAAUCUUUGACUUUUCAAAGAUAUUUGUGUCAGAAAAUUGGGCACCGAAAAUCUAAGCAUUUAAGGCAUAGAUUUUUGGGUUGAAAUUUAGCUUGGGAUAAUUGCAAUUUUGGUCCCUAAUUGUAUAGGGACUUUGCAAGUUGAUCCUUGAGCUUCAAUUAUAAAUAGGCCUAACUAUUUCUCAUUUUAACCAUCCCACAAAUGCCAUUCUCUACUUAAGGCAUUAUUCUCUCUCCUUAUUUGUAAAAUUUCACUUGUAUUUUGGAGUGAAAUAUAUUUGGUAGUGCCCGAGGACGUAGGCAAAAUUUGCUGAACCUCGUUAAAAUUCUAGUGUUCUUUAUUAUUUAUUCUGCAUAUUUUGCGAGUGUGAUUGUAGUGAUUUAUUGUGCUAUUAAAUUACGAUAGAGGGAUAUUCUGGCUAGGAAAGACCUGGUACUUAAGCGAUCUUCAUGAUCCACCUCUCUUUCUUGGGAAUUGAACUUAGUGUGAUUUUUUAGUACAAUAAUUUUACUCUUUUACACGCUUCUGCGCAACAAAUUCCCAAGUAUGAGAGGGAAAGAAAGAGACAUUAAUUAACCUUGAGAUGUUUUUUCAACAAUGUUAACGCAUUGAUGUUCUCCACCAAUCUGUAGCAGUUAAUGGCUUUAAUGGAAGCUAAAUCCAAUAAAUUGCAUACUUUUGAUGGACUUGCAACUACUUCAAGUGAAGCACAACCAUCUAUGCACACUCUUGCUAUACUUGUUAGAAGCUCAGGCAACGAUUUAAGCUCUUUGCAACUUGAUAACAUUAGAAGUUUAAGCUUGGGAAGUCGAGUAAUAGACGCAGGUAUGCUGAGGAAAUUGUUACCACUGAGAUCAAGAUGUGUCAAGGAGGAUAGGCAAAAAAUAUCACUAUGAAUAUCUCCCUCACGAAGAUUGCAGUCCCUUAGCUUCAACUCUCUUAAUGAACUCAAACUUGACAACAAAGGCAACAUCAGAGGCAUAUUUGGUCGUAACUUAGAUGAUGGUCCUUUGCACUCAUUGAAAGACAGAAUUUUAAGAUUUUCCAAUUGAAAAAUCAAGGAUGGUGGUUCUAUUAUCGCUGUUUCACUCAGGUCAAGCUCUUCCAAAAACUCUACUUGCUGCAAAAUCACUGGCAAAUAUUUAAUUUUAUAACAACUAGAAAGAUCAAGAGUUUUUAGAUGUUCCAUUUUCCCAUCAAUCUCCGGAAACCUUACAAGACUUGAGCAACCUGAAAGAAUUAAUGUUUCAAGAGAUUCCAUUCCAACUCUGGUUGGAAGACUCCUAAGACUUGUGCAGUCUAUUAAAUUUAAAAGUUUAAGCAUCUUAAGCACUCUGAUUGAUGGAUGGACAUCUACUAAUCUGGUACAACCUUCCAUAAUCAAAGCUUCAAGUUUUGGUGUUGUUGUGAAGUCUGGUGUCUUGAUCAGGUAUUGAGACCCUUUGAGGUUGAUCAUUUUCAACUUAUACAAGGGCUGUUGAAGACAAUAAUAAAUUAGGUCGAAGACAUAAUAAUGCUAAUUUUUGGUUUUUUUUUACCUUAAUCAAAGUUUAAUCAUUUAUAUUAAAAUAAACUAAAACACAAGGAUAAGAUGAGUUAGUUCUUACUCUAUUCCCCUUCCAUAGUUGUUCAAUAUGACUAUAUGGUAAAAGAAGUGCAACAAGAUUAUCUGGGUGGAAGUUAGAAGGCAAAAAUCUUAAAGGAUAUCCUGUCCAAUCUAAAAGCCGUAGUUCAUUAGAAAGAUAUUUGAGAUGAUCAUCACAAUUUGAUACGCAAAACACUUUGAGCAAUCUCAAAUUUUUCAUCUUCGAGAAGGUAUCGGCGCUCAAAUUGAACAUCUUGCUCGAUUCCCUAAUAAUCAUGAGUAAAACAAAAAUGAGCUUCAAAAUAUACAAAAACAUUCAAUAUCUAAAAGCUAUGUUGUAUCGAUAUUUUUUUAUGUACCCACAUCCGGUACUUAUAUGUAAUGCGUAUAUGAAUAUGGUAUUCCGAUAUGAUUGAAUAUAUUAGACAAUACUUAAUCUAACACUUAUUUCACACUUUUAAUUACCUAAGCCUAAAAAACCUAGAACUAAAAUUUUGAUUUAUGUUUAGUGCAUUGAUGUGUAAUUCUAUACAUUACUAGCGAAAUGAUGGCAUUAUUUGGAUUUACUUUUGAAAACUUUUAAUGAUAUGUUAUGGUCUAGUUCAUUGAUAUUUACUGUCAUUACAUCAUAUAUAUAUAUAAACCAUUAAUUUUUACAAAGACAAUGACAUUAAUUUUUUUUUAUAAUUUCUGUUGAAGGAGUAAUGUGUUUCUUUAUAAAUUUCAUAAAUAUAAGAUUGAAUAAUUAAGCAUUAAGAAUGUGUUUGGUUAGGUGAAAAAGUAAAGGGAUAUGAGAAUGAGUAUGCUUGGUAGAGAAAAGAAAGAGAUGAUCAUUUACGUGUAUGUUUUCCUACCAUUUAUUAUCGAUGAUCAUGCCUUCAACCACUUCUGUAGCCUAGAAGUAAUCAAGAAUAGACAAUAAGAAAGUAAAAUAAAUGCUCUAAAUUGUACGAUAAGACUUUUGAAAAUUUACACACAUGUUCAACAUUAUCACAAUAUUUUGGUUGGAAUAUAGUAAAUAAAAUAUUUUAUAAUGAAAGUAAUUCAAUAAAAUUAAAGAUACUCAAUGUCACUUAAGGAUCAAUAUAUAUAUAAAACAGCUGGACUAAGCUUUGGAUUUAGAUCACAUAUUAAUAAAAGAAAUUUUUGUAUGUAACUCUUGUUGAAUGAUUUACCGUGUUUUUUGUUAGGACAUGAUGGACAUUCCUUUCCUUCCAUAAUCUACAACGUUUUCCGGGUUCAUCAACACAUUUUUCUUCAACAAUUUUUCUUCCCAUUUCUUGCAACAAGGCAUGCAUCCACAAAUAUUUGUUAUCAUCAUCAACUUUUAUGAAAGAUUUCUUAAUAAGAACAUCGAUUUCAAUAUCUGGAAAAAACCCACAACCAUCCAAUACUUUCAUUACCAAAUCUUUUUUCUCCCUAUUGAAAAAGCAUGCUAUAUCUAGAAAUAUAUUCUUCUCCCUUUCUUCCAAUCCAUCAAAGCUAAUUCGUAGUGUGUCAAGAAUUUCUUUGUUAGAAUCUUGUUUAAGUCUUUCGAUUGCACUUCUCCAUUGAAUUAUAUCUCUACCGCACAAAAAUGAACCCAAAACUUCAAGAGCUAAGGGGAGACCAUCAGCAUAAUGUGCAACUUGUUUAGAAAGCUCAAUGAAAUCAUAUUUCGGCGUUGUAUCACUAUCAAAAGCUUUCAAAUUGAAAAGCCUAAGUGCAUCGUUGGGAUUCAGUGUUGUAGGCUUAUACACAUCAUCGAUUCGAUAAGAUCUGAGCAAAUGUUCAUCUCUUGUUGUUACAAUGAUCCUACUCCCUAAAUUGAACCAAUCACGCCUUCCAACCAAGCAUUUCAAGUGUUGUAUGUUAUCAACAUCAUCAAGAACAACAAGAACCUUUUUACCAGACAACCUGUGGCUAAUUAUGGCAUUCCCUUCAUUAACAUUGAAAAAAUUGAAGCAUUCAUCUGGCAAGAUUUGAGUGAGGAGUUGUUUCUGUAAAGAAACAAGUCCAUGUUUGUUUGAAACUUCUCGAAUAUCAGCAAGAAAGCAUUUACCUUGAAAAUGAGCUAACAUUUGAGUGUAAGCAACCCUUGCAAGAGUUGUUUUACCGAUGCCACCCAUUCCGCAAAUUCCUAUAAUGCGGACAUCGUCUUCCCCAAUAUUUAUUUUCGAAUACAACUCCUCCAAAUGUAAACUAAUUCCAACCAACUCAUCAUGAACAACUGGAUAUGUCUGACAUAAUUUUGCUGAUAUCUUCUUAACAACGUCUCUAAUAAACUUUGAUUCGUGCCUACAAAUACAAUGAAAUUAAAAUCCGAUAUGCGCCUUUUCAUUUUCAGUUUAGUGAAUCAUGAAGUAUAAUAUGGUUGGAAGCAAACAAAAAGUAUGAAUAAGACAGUAAGAUAUAUUAUAGCAUCAAAAUACACAACUCUUGCUCGUUAGUUGAAAUAUGGGAAUUCUCAAUUAAACACAAAAUUAUAAAAAAAUAACAUGCAAUCCAAUAAAAAAACAGUUUUUUAGUCAUUAAAAUUAGGAAAUAGAGAAGAUAAGAAAGAAAUACCUAUUAUUUAAAUGCCAUCCCUUGAUGUUAGCCACUUCAGUCAAAGCAUUUCGCCACUUUUGGAUCUUGUCUUUAUCUUCCUUGUAUCUUUCUUCGUGUUUGGCAAAGGCUUCUUCAACUUUUUCUUUUUGUUUUCUUAAAUCGGAUGGAUCGACAUGGUAGAAAAUUGGAAAUACUUUAUGACCCUUGUCAUUUUUUUGUUUAUCAAUCUCCGCAAGCUCCUCCAAGCACGAACCUGAAAAGGCAUAAGUCUUGGAAAAAACGAUUACCGAGCACCAUGAUUGCUGAAUUGCGUUGAAGAGUUCCGGUGCGAUCUCUUCACCAGUUUCCAACUUUGGAUCAUCUCUAAAAGUGACGAUCCCAGUUCUAUUUAGAGCAUCGUAGAGAUGAUCCGUAAAAUUCUUGCGAGUAUCUUCACCUCUAAAACUCAAGAACACAUCGUAUUUCUUUCUAGAAAUGGAUGAGGAAGUCGAAAGUAACGACGACAUGAGGAUGUAUGAGAAGAAAAAUAUGUGGAUGUAGUGUUCAAAAUCAGUCGCUCAAUACCUCCGAAACAAUAAGUAUAUGAGCAUGAGGGGAGAAAAACAGAUGAAAUUUCGAGGGAAGAACAAAGGGAGUAGGUGAAUCUAUCAGUAUAAUAAUAUCUAUGAAAAGGGAGUAUUUAUUAUUUUCUUUUGCCUGAAUUAUAUGGUUCUCAAUAAAUUAAUGAAUUUAAUUUUCAGAAAAAAUUGUAGGCUGCUUUUUGUGAACUCUCACCUUCUUGGAGUCUUCCCGGAAAGAGUAAGGCUUUAGCCUUAACAUUAAUACAACAUUAUGGCACGUUAACAAUUAGUUUUGUCACAAUUCAAGUACGACAUAUUUUAGAGUAAUUACAAACACUUAAUAUGAUAAGGAAAUUAAACCCGGAUGGUCUAAAGCGACGAGCAAAAAUUGACAAAAGAAUCGAACAUUCCCCAAACUAGAGAGGACGACAAUAAAAUCAUCUCUAAAAUCACUUGCAAAACUAAGAUUAUAUGCAUAAACACACUUAUUAAAUAAUUGAAAACAAUAUAUAAAACUUAACAACACGAAAAUAGAUCCUACAAUUAUCAUCAAGUAACGUGUUGGACAGUUUGUGUUUUAUUUUUUUAUUAUUUUAUAUUAUCAUAUCUACUUUAUAAUCAGUAGCUUAUGUUACAUAUGUGAUUUUACGCAUUUAAUAUUUGAUUAAAUUUUUUAAAUAUUAUACUUUUAAUUGAAGUAAUUAGUAUAAAAUAAUAUUUUUUAUUUAAAUUAUUAAAUAUAUGUAAAAUAUAUUAAUUUAUCAAUUCAAACAAAUAUUAUAAUAAAAAGUUUUUAAAUAAUAAUUAAAUAAUUUUUAACAUAUUCCACAUAUAUUAUAGUUUUCCUUUAGGUAGCUAAUGCAAUGUAAUAUUACUCAAAAUAAUAACUACUUAACAUAAUUGUCAGCAACCUCUUGGCCUAUUUACAAAAGCUUGGUUUUGUAGGUAUGAGAGUUUGUGUUCAAUCCUAAGCAAUCCUAUUUUCCUCCCUUAAAUAUAUAUAAAAAAAUUGAGCACAAUAAACUCUAACAAUCAUUAAGUGAUAAUUAUAAUGAUAAUUUUAAAUUUAGUAAUAUAAAAAAAUAAAUAUCUUUUUCAAACUCGUUGUUUUAUAUAUUACAAAUUAAGUAUUAAAAUUGUUUUUUACGUGUCAUAGCAUUUCACCACCAUUUGAUCUUAUCUUUUAUCUUCCUUGUACCUUUCUGCCUGUUUGGUGAAGGCUUCUUCAACUUUUUCUUUGCUUUCUUUAAUCGGAUGGAUCCACAUCGGGGGCCAUAGAUGAGCCUUAGAUGUUCUUUCCGAGAAGACUCCAAGAAGGCGAGAGUUGUUAAUAUUUAUGGAGUUUUUCUUGGUUAAAAUGUGCCAGAAGUCCCUGCACUUUUUAUAAAAUUAAAAUUUAAUUCCUAUACCAUUAAUCACUAAAUUAUAGAUAAAUUUUUGCAGGUAUCUUCACCUCUAAAACUCAAAAAAACAUAAUAUUUCUUUCUAGACAUGGAUGAGGAAUUCGAAAGUGACGAUGACAUGACGGUUUAUGAGAAGAAAAAUAUAUAUGGAUUUAGUGUUCAAAAUCAGAAAAUAGAUGGCUCAUGAGGAAGGAGAAAAACAGAUGAAAUUUACAGGAAACAACAAAGGACUUGUCUAGGAAAUUAGUGUAUAUGUUUCCCACCUUUUACUUUUCCAAAUGAGUCUAUCUUCAUUAUAAUACCUAUGAAAGGGAGUCGGUAACAAUUAAUUAAGAGUUUUUUUUCAUUUUCUUAAAUCUUAAAAUAAAUGUUGAGACAUUAAUCAAGCCUAAACUUGUCUCCUUUAAUGAUAUAAGGGAACAGCGAAGAUUUUUGUCAGCAAUUUCUCUAAACAUUUCCAUUUUUUUCUUCCAAAUGAAAGCGCGUAGAUGUGGAAAUUGGGGGAUGAUAGAUGAGUGAUAUUAGAUGUUGUCUCCAGGAAGAAUCCAAGAAAGAGUCGACAAAAUUGAGCCUACAAUAAUUAUAAGUGUUGGACCGUUUGUGUUUUACAUUAUCAUAUUUACUUCAUAAUUAUAAAGUAUUAACUAAUUGUGUUUUACAUGCUUAACUAGUUUCUUAUGUAACAUACAUCUAAUUAUUUUUAUUUCAUUAAUUAUAUAUUUAUUUUAUUAAUUAGUGUAUUUAAUUAUUAUUUAAAGAUACAUGAUUAUUUAUUUAAAAAUGUUUAUUAUUUUAUGUAAUGUAAAAUAAUUAAAAUAUUUUAUUAGACUUAAUACAUAAUUUAGUACUUGAGUUUGACACAUUUUCUAAUGUGAUACUUAUGUUAUUUUUUGGUCCAAUCAGGUAUCUGUAUUUAACAAAAGUUAUAUAUAUUUUGACACCCAAAACUAAAGAUGUUAAGUGUUUAAUUCGAGUUUUAGGGUUGGUUUGAUGAAAAUUAAUUGCUAAUUAUGUAUUUUCAUCAAACCAACUCUAAAACCCGAAUUAAAUCACAACCAAUGGACUAUAUUUGACAAAUUAAAUGCAAAAUUAAACAAAUCCAUAAUUAACACUAAAUUUAUUCUAUUAACAAAAUCAUGAAAAAUUUAAAGUUAAUAAUAUCAGCAAUUAACUUUCAUCAAAUCAAUUCCCAGACCCGAACUAAACACUAAAAGGUUAACAUCGUUUGUAAUGAUCCAAAAUUCACGGGCAUUGGAAAAGUACAUUAUCGGGCCUCCGUCUUAGUAAACUGAAUCAUAAAUAAUUAUUAGAAGUAAUUAUGAGUUUAGUUGAGUGCUUAAUUAGGUAUUAAUUAGGUGAAUUUAGUUUAAUUAAGAAUAAUUAGAAAAAAAAAGAACUAAAUAGAUUAAAGGAUAAAAGUUUAAUUAUAGAUCGAAAGAAAGUGUAAAGAAUCAAAAUGGCAAUUAAGCCAAUUCAAAAGAAUGAGGCGGCAUAAGCUGAGUAAGAUUGAAGAUUUUCAUAUGAUAUUUUCUAUUAAAAUUUCAUUAAUAAUCAUUAAGGUUUAAUACUAAAUAAUAAAUUAUAUUAAUUGUUAUUAUUAUUAUUAUUAUAUUAUGAAAUAAGUUAAACAAAGACAAAUGUAUGGUAGUGAUUUAAUACAAAUGUAUUGAUAAAAGUAUAUACAUUUGUAAUAAUUAUAUUAAAUUAUUAGAUAGAUAUUUAUUAGAUAAAUAAUUAAAUUAUAAGAUUUUUUUGUGUGAUAAAUAAAAUAAAUGAUGACAAAUGUAUGGUAUAGAUGAUAUUGUACAUUUAUAAAUAAAAUAUAUAUGUACAUUUGUAAUAUUAUUAUUUGUUGUUAAAUUGAUUUUUAUUAAAUAAAUAAGAUAAUUGACAAAUAAAUGGUAUAAAAUUUAUACAAGUGUAAUAAAAUAAAUAUGUACAAAUGUAAUUAAACAAUUGAUUUACUUAAUAUUUAAGCAUAAGAUAUUUUAUACUGAUAUUAUAUUAAUUAUUUAGUAAUUAAAAAAAAAGAACAAAAGAAAUAAAGUAAAGUAAGUAAAAAUAAAAGAAAGAAACUAAAGAAGAACAGAAAUAGAGAAUGAAACGAAAACAGGGGAGGAAAAAGGGAAAGAAAAGAAAAGGGGAAAAUUGGGAUUUUUAAGCUUCAAGUUUAAUUGGUAAGCUAAAUUUAGCCCUUUUCUCUUAAUUUUGAUGUUUUAGAAGCUUUAAAACAAAGUUUUGUUGAAAUUAAGUGGAGGUUACGGAAGUUCAUAGGUUUUUGAACAUGAUUCACGUUGAACAAGUUGUUAAAUUAGGGGUUUAGUUGAUAGAAUUUCUAGUUAGAAUCGAUAAAAGGAUUAAACUGUAAACUAGGUUAUAAGUUUUACAUAGUUGGGAUUAAGUCAUAAGAAGUCUUAAAUUAGGGUUUAAUUAUGAAUAUUGAAUAGUUGAGUUAAAUAUGGCAAGAAAUUAAGUAGAAAAGAAGUAUGAAUUAAGCUAGAAAAGUAAGUAAGCUUAGUUAGAAUUAAAUUGGGAAUAAGUAAGAAUUGAAUAAAAUUUAAUUAUUAUUAUUGUUAUUAUAAUUUAAUAUUGUUAAUUAAUAGUGAAAAUAAUUAUUAUUUUCAUAGCUAACAAAGAACACGAGGCAUCGACAUUAAAAGGAAAGGAGAAAGCUAUCGAGGACUAAAACGGGAGAUUUACGAUUUGUAUUACUAUAAUUCAAAUUAUUUAUUAUUUAAUGCUAUAUUUAAAUUUAUAUGUAUGGUAAGUGAAAUAUAAGGUAAGUAUUAUUAUUAAGUUGAAAGAAAUUCAAUUGAAUGAUGAAUAUAUGUGUGGAAUUGAAAUGAAUUUUGACUUGAAAAUGGAAAAGUGAAUUUUGAAUUAAAUUGUGAUUGAAAGUGAAAAAGUGAAAUUGAAUUGAAAUGUGAAUUUGGAGACCCUAUUAACUAGUCGGGCUGAGUUGGAUAUAGUUGGCAUGCCAUAGGAUUGGAAGAGUUCAGGGAUACUUCGACCUCGAGUCGAUGAGACACUGGGUGUCACUAUAUUUCUUCGGAUAGAUUCGAUGAGGUACUGGGUACCAACUUUCUUCGGCUUUGACGAUGAGACACUGGGUGUCAACUAUUGCUUCGAACUAUCCGAUGAGGUACUGGGUGCCAUACUGGAGUGUUUGGUUAGACCCGUGUAUCCGUCAAAAUCCGAGUUUUGUUAAUAGGGUAAAUAAUGAAAUGAUAAUUUGAAUGAGUUGAUCAAUCGAGCUAUUGAAAUGAAAUGAAAAUUUGAAUUGUGAAUUGAAAUGUGAUAUGAGAUUGAGAAAUGAAUCUAAGGUUCAUCAUGUGUCCAAGUACCAAAUUGUGGAUAUAUGAUAUUAAUUGAUGAAUUGUUAUUGUAGAAAUAUGAAAUUUGAGUUUAAAUUUAUAUGUAUGAUUUUAUGCAUUACAUGUUUAUUAAUAUUAUAAUUUGAAUUAUGGUAAUACCACUGAGUAUGAAAUACUCAGCGUACUGUUGUUUCCGUGCGCAGGUCAUUAGAGUUCAAGGUCCAGUUCAACAUCAUCAAAAAAAUUUCGGUGAUGUAUUUCUUCCUUUUUGUUUAAGUGGCAUGUACUAGGUGAUUGUACACGAGUCGUAUAUAUAUAUGUAAAUAUAUAUGCUAAAUGAUCAUGGUUGUAAAUAAAUGGUUAUAAUCUUUUGGAUGAUAAAUAAAGUUUAAAGUUAUAAAUUAGUAAACUUAGUAUUAAAUCUUGAAAUGAAAUGAAAGAUAUGAAUUAGUUUUUUUACAUGUUAACUUUAACCUUUUAUAAUUAAAGUAGUAAAUCAAUUUAUUAAACAUGAUUUAGUAGCGUUUUAAAGUAUAAAAUCAUUGAUUGAAAUAUUGGUAUUGGUUUGUUUUUGGUUUUAAGUUUGCAGGGGGUUUUAUGUAAAAAUAAACAGAAAUACUGUCGAAAUUUUUUUAAAAAAUGAAUGAAGCCAAUUAGCAUAAAUUUAUAUGAAUUUAUGAUUCUUUUAUAUAUGUUCGUUAUUUAUGUAAGAAUUAUUUGUAAAUUUUCCGAGAUGUCCAGUAAUGCCUCGUAACCCUGUUUCGGUGACGAUUUGGGGUUAAGAGGUGUUACAUCGUUACUUUUGAAUACCAAAAUAUAUAACUGUUUUCAAAUAUAUGUAACAAAUUGAACAAAAAAAAAACACAAGAGUACCACAUGAGAAAAAAGUGUCAAACUCAAGUACCAAAUUAUGCAUUUAAUUGUUUUAUUACAAGAUAUUGUUUAAUUAUAAAUUUCAAUAUUUAAAUUAAAACAAGAGUUUUGUUUGGUGGGAUGUUUUCUUACUGCUAAUGUGGUCCACUUUCCGACAAUGAAGAAUACAUUGGCAAAUUUGUGGCAUCCUUUAAGGUGUGUGCAGAUCUCGAAUAUGGGAGAGAAUAGAUAUUUGUUUAGAUUUUUCAAUAAAGUGGACAUUGAUAGGGUGAUUAAUGGAGCACCAUGGGCUUUCAACAAUCAUUUGUUAGUGUUCCAUCAUUUGGCUAUUAAUGAAGAUCCCGUGCAAGUACCAUUGAUUUUUCGUGGCUUUGGGUUCAAGUACAUGAUAUUCCCCUAGGAUUUUUCUUUGAAGCAGUGGCAAGAUAGUUUGGUAAUUUUAUUUGAGAAUUUUUCGGAUUAUGAUUUGAAGCACAUUUCGAGAGGUGUUAGUCCAUAUUUGCAAAUAAGAGUUAAAUUAAAUGUGUGUUCCCCAUUGAAAAGGAGGAAGAAAAUGUGAGUUUCAUAUAUGCGAGAUUUCAGUAUAAAAAAAAUCACAUUAUUCUAUUUCAUAUGUGGCCGUUUAGGGCAUGGAGAAACUUUUUGUCUAGUUAGGUUUGUCACACCCCGAGUUUGGUGGAUCCGAAUUAUGGCAUAGAGUUGUAAAGAUAAUCUAUUUGACGUAUUAUAGUUCGCCAUGUUUGGUCUUUUGGCGAGUACGAUUGGGUGUAAUGUACCUGUCGCUUAGGAGAUUAAAUAUUUUUGUUUCAAAUUAUUAAGUGAUUCUAGUAAAGGAUACCGCCAAAUGUUUAACACGUGGUUUGUCUGAGCAUUGUGUUAGUUAAGUUGAACAUGAUCUGGUUAAGAAUCAACUGGAUUGGCUGAUCAAAUAUUUAUUGAGAAAUGACUUUCAUUUAUGUUUCUCUUAGAACUUGUAGGCCAUUAAGAAGGACAGUUCUAAAUGUAUUAACAUCUGUUAAGUUCCCACACUAAAUGUAUUGACAUCUGUUAAGUUCCUGCAGGUUGAAUGGGUUAUAUAUAUGGGUGAGAAGGGUGAUCUAUUGAGAAAUCUUCUUCUAUUUCUUCCUUCAAUAUUGUUCUCUGUUUCUUCAAGUUAAGUGCUAUUUCAAUCUCUUCAAGUUAGAUGUUAAGAUGCUGGGAUUAGUUAGAGGUCACUCUAUCUCUUAGUAAGUAAUAUGGCUUUGCAUGUUAAGUUUUGAAGGAUUUAUGAUGUUAAGAGUUUAAUGAGCAGUAGGACUAAAACAAGGUCUUGCAUGGGGUUUAUCUAUGACUGAGAUGUUGAAAAUCUGUGUAUAAGGAUUUUAAUGGUGAAAUUGUGUUCUUUAAGUAGCUGUUGCUGCUAGGCCAAGAAAGAUGUUCGAGUUUGGAGCUUUGAACUACAGUUGGUGAGUAUCUGGUGAGUGUUUAUCUUGACUCUUGCAUGUUUACUGUUUAGAUAUAAACAAGCAUAAGUGAUAAUGAUAUCUUUGAAGAUUGUUAAGAAUGUGAAAAAUAAAUGAUGAUAUAUGUGGUUAUGAUGGAAUGUAUGAAACUCGGUGUGAAUAGAAUGUUGUUCAUAAGUAUAUAUGUAAGAAUCAAAUAAGUAUGAAUAAUUUGAGAAGUGGGGUUGGAGUAACAUUCUUUUGUGAUGCCUCUGGUAUGACAGGUAUAUUGCUAACUAGACUGAUAUAUCACAAUAUGAGUGUAUGUGUAAGAUCAUGUGGUGGAAACCUGUUGGAUCUAAGUGCAACAGCAGCAAGCUUCAGCAGAAUGCUUGUCGAGCAAGUCUCGUGACUUGCAGCAGAAACAAAGCAGAAAACUCAAACAGAUUUUGAAGCAAAACUAAAAUAGAGAGCAUGUGGAUGAAAACUUCAUUGAUUUCAUUCAUUCAACUGAAAAAAUGGCAUAAAGCCAAUACAUAAGCAAGUUUACAAGUUGACAAAACAGUAGGUUAACCUAAACUUAACCUACUACCACUAACACACAUAGUAACUUGUGCUAAUUAACUUGAACAAAUGAACAAAGUUGAUUUAUCAGCUCAAUCACCAUCAAUUUUACAUCAAACAUAAACCUAACAUAGUUCAAAUGCAAUUAAGUUACAUUACAUUAACUUAAAAUUACAAAAUGAAGCAUAAACAGCUUGCUGACUUGGUGAACCAGCAGCUUCUGCAUGUAGUGCCCUGGAUAGUCUUUGUUGCUGCAUGCUGACCAUUACUUCAACAAAACCCAUGACACUAUGAUAUGAAAACACCCAUGGUGUAUCCUCUAGUGAAACAUAGUCUGGAUUGGCAGGUCACGAUACAUGAAGUGAAUAAGUCCGUGUGUUUGAGCCCAUGGCAAGAUGUGUUUGUAUGAAUACUUAUGGUGAUGCCUCCGUUAUGAUAAAAACUGGACUGGCAGAUCACAGCAUAAGGUUUAAGUAUAAGACCAUGACUAAGGAACCAUGACAUCUUCUGUGAAAGUCCGUCGGGACAGUAAACACAUGAUUCUAAAUGUGUCCUAUAUGGCAUGAUCAACUAAGCCUUUGUGGCAUAUUUUGUUUGGUCCUUGUGGCAUUUUCGACCAAGUCUUCAUGAGAAAUGGUGACUAUCUGUCUUCUUUAUGGUAAGUCCUGGAUGUAUUCUGGGUAUGUUGUGAUAUGAUCAAGGUUAAAAUGAGUCGAAUUAAGCCUAUGAAGUAAUCAACUAAGUUCAUUAAAGAAUAUUUUUGGAAAAGAAUUGUAUAUCUGUUUGUCUGAAGAAUGGGGAAUCUGCCUCGGUAAUGUGUUAGUAUAGAAAGAGUGUAUUUAUGGUUAUGGAAGCUAUGAGAAAUUGGCAGUUGGAGUUCUAAGGAGCUGUAUAGUGUUGAAAUCUGGGUACGUGAUAUCCACCAUAUUUGAUUAGUAUCUCAUUCGAUCGAUUCUAGAAUUUCAAAGUAAAUACUCCAUUUGUUAAUUCAGGUUAUUACGUAUUUGUUGUAAGAGGUACAAAUUAAGAUCUCUUUGAUUGAUCUGGUUAGUUAGUUAUCAGUGUGAUAUUGUGUUGGGUGUUGAAUUAGAAUAUAGAAUGAUGGAAAAACUGAUAAUAUUCAACUCAACGUGGGAAUCCGCCAAAAAUGUAAGUAUCUGCCAGUGAAUUGUAUGGCGUCUCACUCAAGAAUCUUAUGAAAUUGGAGCUAUUCGUCAUCUUGGGUUGUUGUGCGAUGAAUUAACCUGAUGGUCUCAAACGAUCCAUAAUUAAUAUAAGUAUGUGUUGAGCUUAAGUUAGCAAAUAAUUUAUCUUUCAAAAAGGGUAUGGAAAGAUCGUAAAUCAUUCAGGUAGUUAAGAGAGUAUGGCUAUGAUAAAAGUGGUGUGUUUGGCAUAUAGGAAGUGUAGUCUAGGUAUUACUGAUUGAUACAUGACAGAAUCACUCAAACAUCACAGGAGAUACUUGAAAGAGUAGGAUCUUACAUUGGUGAACUCGAUGCUCUUAGGACCAGGUCAUCUGCAAAUAUAAUGGAGUCAGAGAGAUGGAAUCCUCCGGGUAGGGGCUGGUUUAAGAUUAAUUACGAUGUAGCUUUUCAAAAGCAUUCGUUGAGAUCAUGCACAUGGAUUAUCAUCAGAAAUCAUGAAUGGGGCACUCUUGUAUCCUCAAUAAUACAGAACAAGCACAUACCUACUGAGUUUGCGGCGGAGGCUCUUGCAUGCCUUCAAGAAAUUAGACUGGGGCUAGAUCUGGAACUCCAAGACGUUAUUGUUGAAGCCUCGAAGGGAUGCUCUAACGCUGGAUAAAAACUUCUGUACAAAAAUAGAGAUGUAUCAGUUAUCGGUGCGUUCAUUGAAGAGUCAAAUCCCCUAAGUCAAAGUUGCAAGAAAUUCAUGUUUAAGCAUACUUGAGCCAUGCUAAAUUUAUUGAUGUAAAAUAAAAUUAUUACUUGAGUAUAAUUCUAAAUAUUUUAAUUAUCACUAAAUUAAUAUUAGAGUUACAUUUAAUUAAAAUUUAAGUUUAAAUUUAUAAAUAACAUUUAAUAGUUAGACAUAUUUAAUUAAAUAGCAUGUAAGAAAAUUUAUCAAUAAAAAAUUUAAAAUAUUAACAUUAAUAAGUUAGAAUUAUAUUUUUAUAAAGAGAAUAUUAUAUAUAAAUAUAUAUAAAGAAAAGCACUGGUUAAAAUUGGAGCGUGACAUAAAGAGAAUAUUAUAUAUAUUAUGGAAAAUAUAGUGUUUUCGAUUUUAAUCUCAUCAUGAUAACAUUUUAUAAUUUUUUAUUAUAAAAAUAUAAAAUAUAAAAAUACUAUUAUAUUAAUAUUUGUCACUUUAUAAAAUAAUAAAAUUUUUAAUCAUUUGUGAAAUUUUUAUUUCAUUAAUUAUAUAUUUAUUUAUUAAUUAGUCAAACCAACCUUAAAACUGAAAUUAAAUCACGGAAUGUAUUUGAUAAAUUAAAUGUAAAAUUAAAAAAAAUUCAAAAUUAGCACUAAAUUUAUUCUAUUAAUAGAAUCAUGAAAAGUUCAAACAUAAUAAUAUUAGCAAUUAACUUUCAUCAAAUUAAUCCUAAAACCCGAAUUAAACACUAAAAAGUUAAUAUUGUUACUUUUGGGUACCAAGAUAUAUUACUUUUGUCAAAUACGGAUAACAAAUUGGACCAAAAAAUAACAGGGUACCAUAUUAGAAAAAGUGUCAAACUUGGAUACCAAAUUAUGUAUUAAACCAUUUUAUUACAAAAUAUAUUGAUUAGUUAUAAAUAUCAAUAUUUAAAUUAAAAAGAGUGUAAUUCAAAGAUGAAUAUAAACUGCAAUUCAAAUUUAUCUAAUUUUAUCUACUCAAAAAUAUUUAUUUAGCCCUAUUUGAUAAACGAAAAUUCAACUAAAAACCUUAAUGUUUUCCAUAAUUUUAUUUUUUUAAAUAUAUUUGAUAACUGUUAAUAAAAAUUACUUUGUAGAAUUUUUUUCACAAAGAAUGUAAAAAAUAAUAAGUAAAUAGGAAUCUAUUUAAUAUUUAAUAAAGAAUAUGUUCAAUUCUUUUUAUUUUAUUUUAUUUCUUUUUAGACUAUAUUGUCCCAAUUUUUUCUUCACUUUGUUCUUUUAUUCAACAUAAUCUCUGUAAAAUAUUUAUUUUUCAUAAUGUUUAUAAUAUUUUAUAAAUAAUAGUAUAAUGUACUAUAAAUAUUUCAUUUUUAUAGCAACAUUAUUUAAAAUAUGACUUUGUUUAAAUAAUGUGUAAUGUUUAAAAAUUAAGGAUAAAAUUAUAAAAUAGCUUUUUUUUCAUAAUUUAAUAUUUAAAUUUAUCAAAUAAUUUAAUAUUAUAACUUAAUUUUUUCGCACUUAAUUUUUUAGUUUAUCAAACCGGACUUUAGUUUAAAUAUAUUAAUAAAAAUAUUUUCCUACGUUAAGUAAUAACUAUUUAAAAUAAUAAAAUAUUUUUAUUUAUAAACUUGAAUAGUUUAUAUUAUAAUGAAAAUGUAAUUAAAGAAGAAUAUAUGAUGUAAAUCAAUAUUUAUAUUUAGUUGCAAUAUAAUAUUAAAAAUAGUAGUUUUAUUUAAUUUUAAUAGAAAUAAAUAAAAAUAUUCUUAUGUUAAAGUAAGAAAUAAUUAAAAUAACAAGAUAUUGCUCAUCUAUAAGAAAUAAUAAAUAUUUUUCUAUCUCCCAAAUAGCAAGACAUCUUUCAGAAAAGGUGAUCAUAAUUGGCUAGUAGUUGUGGGAUUGGGAGAGAUGGGGAACAAAAGAUCUCUUUUUUACCGGCAUUUAUAAGCACAGGUAAAAGACUGGUAUUGAUUUUCCUGGCAACCAUGAACCUGAUGAAGUUGGUCAGCAUGCAGCAAACACUCGACAGCAUGAAGACCAACCCAUGCAGGAGCUGCUGAUGCAAGCUGUUUCUGUUCAUUUUGUAAUCUUUAGUUCAUGAAAUGAGUCUUAGUUCAUUUCUAACUAAGUUAAGUAUGUAAUUAGCUUGUGUAUGAGCUGUAAACACAUCUUUAUAUAGGUUUACAAGCUAAAAUUUCAAGUUCUUAUGUAAUUAGUGGAGGUAGGUAAUGUUUAGGUGAUUACCUGUUGUUUUUGACAAGCUUAGUGCUUGAUUUAUAUAUUGGCAUUAUGCCAUUGUUUACUUAAUGAAUGAAUCAGAAUUGUUCAUCAAUUCCCUCUCCAUUUUUCUUAGCUUUUCUUUCUUCUUCUUGCUCGAAUUUGUUUGUUUGCUCAGCAAGCAUCCAGGCUUGUUGCACAAGACACUUGUCGAGUUUGUUAGUUUCUGUUAUUGCACCAACAAUUGGUAUCUAGAGCCUAUUUCUUAAGGGAUCUGUUAUACAAAUCCAUGGCUUCAUCAAGCUUUUCACCAACUGCACCUCAAGUCUUCAAUGGAGAAGGCUACCACAUAUGGGUGGUCAAAAUGAAGACCUACCUGCAGGCUUUCGAUCUGUGGGAGGUGGUCAACUCAGAUGUUGAACCAGAGCCAUUUAGAGCCAAUCCAACUGUGGCUUAGAUCAGGCAGCAUGCUGACGAGAGGACCAAGAGGCACAAGGCCAUGUCUUGCAUCCAAAACUCAGUGUCAGAUGUGAUUUUCACAAGGAUUAUGGCCUGUGAAUCACCAAAGCAGGCCUGGGACAAGUUGCAAGAGGAGUUUCAAGGGACAGAAAGGACAAGGCAGCAACAGUUGUUGAACCUGAGGAGAGAAUUUGAGAAUUUGAAGAUGAAGGAAGAAGAAACUGUCAAACAAUACUCUGACAGGAUUAUAGCUGUGGUUAACAGCAUUAGGCUCAUUGGAGAGCAGUUCAAUGAAGCUCGGAUAGUGGAGAAGGUCAUUGUAACUCUGCCUGAGAGGUAUGAGGCAAAAAUCUCAUCUCUCGAAGACUCAAGGGACUUGUCCAACAUCUCCCUGACAGAGUUGAUCAAUGCUCUAUAUGCUCAAGAGCAGAGGAGAGCAAACAGACUGGAGGAGCACCAAGAAGGUGCCUUUCAAGCAAGGACAAAUACUGCCUACAAAGGCAAGAAGGCCUGGAGAGACAAGCCAAGGUAUGAUGCUGCAAGAAAAGAAGGUCAGACUUGCAAGCACUGCAAAAGGGCUGGUCAUCCAGAAGAGAAAUGCUGGUUCAAUCCAGAUGCUGUAUGCUAGCAUUGCAAAAAGAAAGGUCAUGUUGAGAGAGUCUGCAAAAACAAGGCCAAAUCAAGGUAGAAUCAGUUUCAACAGAUGAAAGCUGAGGCUCGAGUAACUAAGGAGGAUAGUGACCAAGAGGAGCAAGUCUUUGCUGUGUCAUGCUCAGCUGCUCAACAAAGAAUUCCAUCUGGUUGGCUCCUAGACAGUGGAUGCACCAAUCACAUGACACCUGAUGCUGCAAUCUUCAAGUCUUUAGACAGAAGCUGCAGAACCAAAGUCAAAAUAGGUAAUGGCCAUUUUAUUCAGGCUGAAGGCAAGGGUGAAGUGCUGAUAUGCACUCCCACAGGUGCCAAAGUUAUUUCAAAUGUGCUCUUGGUGCCUGAAAUUGAUAGAAACCUGCUUAGCAUAGCUCAAUUGCUGGAGAAAGGUUAUUCUAUUGUUUUCAAAAAUAACCAGUGCCAAAUAAGUGAUCCAAGUGGAUCCAAGCUAAUGUCAGUCCUAGUGGCUGAUAAGAGCUUUGUAGUUGACUGGACAAAGGAGUCAGACAUUGCCUACACAGCUACAUCAUAUGAAUCUAAGCUUUGGCAUCAAAGGCUUGGACAUGCCAACUUCAGAUCGAUGGCUCGAAUGGUCAAAGAGGGCUUGGUUGAAAACUUCACCAACUCAGUGGAGCAUGAUGAUGUAUGUGAAGUAUGUCAGCUAGGAAAGCAGGCCAGACUCCUAUUUCCCUCGAAUCAAGCCUGGAGAGCCUCUGAAAAACUCUAACUGGUGUACACUGAUGUGUGUGGCCCCAUGAAGACUGAGUCAUUAAGUGGAAACAGGUAUUUCAUACUGUUUAUUGAUGAUUUCUCGAGAUAUUGCUGGCUUUACUUCUUCAAACACAAAUCAGAGGUGGCUCCUGUGUUUCGGAAGUUCAAGACUGCUGUUGAGACUGAAACAGGCUGCAAGUUGAAGACCAUAAGGCCUGAUAAUGGGACUGAGUACACCUCAGCUCAGUUCUAAGCCUUCUGUGAUAAGGCAGGCAUCAAACAUCAGCUUACCAACACUUAUACACCUCAGCAAAAUGGUGUAAGUGAAAGUAAGAAUAGGAGUUUGAUGGAUAUGGCCAGGUUCCUGAUGAUUCAGAAGAAUCUGCCUAAAGCUCUAUGGGCAGAAGCAGUUAACACUGCAACCAACCAAGGCUUUAGAUUAGAAGACUCCAUUUGAGGCCUGGUUUGGAUUCAAGCCAUCACUGGCUCAUCUGAAGGUCUUUGGAUGCCUCUGUUAUGCACAUGUACCUACUGUUAAAAGGGACAAAUUGUCUGAAAGGGCUCGACCUUGUGUUCUGGUGGGCUAUAGCACUGUCAAGAAGGGCUAUAAGAUCUUGGAUCCUUCAACAAACAAAGUGUCAGUCAGCUGGGAUGUGGCAUUUGAUGACAGGUCAUGUUGGAACUGGGAAAGAUAUGAACCUGAGGAAGUUUCAGAAGAACUUGCAACAGAUCAAGUAGAGCCAGACCAAAAUGUUCCUAAAAUGGACAUUGAUGAUGAACCAGUUAUGGGAACAAGACCAUUGACUGAAAUUUAUGAAAGGGCUCAUGUAGCCAUAGCUGAACCAAACAACUUUGAAGAGGCUGAAGCUCAGCAAGGGUGGAAGCAGGCAAUGGCUGAGGAGAUCAGCAUGAUUGAGAAGAACCAGAAUUGGGAAUUAGUUGAAAGGCCAGUCAAAAGGAAGGUUAUUGGGGUGAAAUGGGUGUACAAAGCCAAGCAGAAUGCUGAUGGAACCUUGAACAAACUGAAAGCAAUAUUAGUUGUCAAGGGAUUCAGUUAGAAAUAUGGCCCGGACUACUUAGAGACCUUUGCACUAGUGACCAGGCUCGACACCAUCAGACUACUGAUUGCCUUAGCAGCACAGCUCGAAUGGAAGAUCCAUCAACUUGAUGUGAAGUCAGCUUUUCUGAAUGGCUUCUUAUGAAGACAUCUAUGUUGAACAACCACAAGGGUUUGAGAUAGUUGGCAAAGAGCAUAUGGUCUACAAACUGAAGAAGGCCCUAUAUGGCUUGAAACAGGCCCCAAGGGCCUGGUAUAGCAGAAUCGAUGGCUACUUGAUUGGCUUGGGAUUUGAUCGAAGCAAGAGUGAGCCAACACUGUAUGUUAAGAAGGGAGGGGCACAAACACAGCUCAUUGUGUCCCUGUAUGUUGAUGACCUACUGGUGACAGGAGGAGAUCGAACAAUGCUGGUCGAUUUCAAGACCAAGAUGUAGGAAGUGUUUGAAAUGUCUGAUCUAGGUGAGAUGUCCUAUUUUCUUGGAAUGGAGGUAACACAAACACAGAAUGGGAUAUUCCUAAGUCAGAAAAGCUUUGCCAUAAAGAUUCUGACCAAGUUCUCCAUGCAAAACAGCAAGGCAACUAAAACACCUGUUGCUAUUGGAGAUAAACUAUCAAGCCAAGGUGAUUUUGAGAAGGUUUGUGAAACUACCUACAGGAGUCUAGUUGGUUGUUUGCUAUACUUAACUGCCACUAGGCCAGACAUAAUGUAUGAUAUAGGAUUGCUCUCAAGAUUCUUGCAUUGCUGCAAUGAGAAGCAUUUUCAAGCUGCAAAGAGAGUGCUCAGAUAUGUCAAAGGCACUUUAAGCUAUGGUUUGAUGUACAGCAAGGAAGGAAAUUUGAAGCUGGUUGGCUAUACUGAUAGUGACUGGGCUGGCUCGAUAGAUGAUAUGAAAAGCACCUCAGGGUAUGCUUUCAACCUUAGUUCAGCCAUGUUCGGCUGAAGCUCGAAGAAGCAAAGUCUGGUGGCUCAAUCUACUGCUGAAGUAAAGUAUGUGGCAGCAGCAAGUGCUGUCAACCAAGCCAUUUGGCUAAGGAAAAUCUUGGUUGAUUUGAAUGUGCAUCAAAGGGAAGCAACAGAGAUCUUCUAUGACAACUAAUCUGCUGUUGCAAUUGCUAAAAAUCCAGUGUUCCAUGGAAGAACAAAGCAUUUCAGCAUAAAGUUACAUGUUGUUCGAGAAAUGGAGCAAUUACAGGAAGUGAUGCUGAUUCACUGCAAUUCAGAAGAUCAAUUUGCAGACAUUUUGACUAAAGCCCUUAAUGUCACAAGGUUCGAGUGUUUAAGAAGGAAAUUAGGUGUUUGCACCAUGCUAACCAAGGAGGAGUGAUGAAGUUGGUCAGCAUGCAGCAAACACUCGACAGCAUGAAGACCAAACCAUGCAGGAGCUGCUGAUGCAAGCUGUUUCUGUUCAUUUUGUAAUCUUUAGUUCAUGAAAUGAGUCUUAGUUCAUUUCUAACUAAGUUAAGUAUGUAAUUAGCUUGUGUAUGAGCUGUAAACACAUCUUUGUAUAGGUUUACAAGCUAAAAUUUCAAGUUCCUAUGUAAUUAUUGGAGGUAGGUAAUGUUUAGGUGAUUACUUGCUAUUUUUGACAAGCUUAGUGCUUGAUUUAUAUAUUGACAUUAUGCCAUUGUUUACUUAAUGAAUGAAUCAGAAUUGUUCAUCAAUUCCCUCUCCAUUUUUCUUAGCUUUUCUUUCUUCUUCUUGCUCGAAUUUGUUUGUUUGAUCAGCAAGCAUCGAGGCUUGUUGCACAAGACACUUGCCGAGUUUGUUAGUUUCUGUUAUUGCACCAACAAAAUCGGUAGUUUUCGGCUAUGUUUGAAGAGGUGGAUUUACUUAUAUUUGGUUCCUUGUCCUUGCCUCACUCUAUUUUGCCUUUGCCAAUUUAAUGUAGGUCACUGUUGUGAAAAGUGAAGAUGGGGGUAACAAGGUUGCCACUGUGGUUCUGCGAGGAAGUACUGAUAGUAUAUUGGAUGAUCUUGAAAGAGCUGUUGAUGAUGGAGUCAAUACAUAUAAGGUUUUUUUUUGCUGAUCAUUUUCUUUGAAUGCCGUAUAAACCUGAUUAAAUUCUUUUAUUCUCACCUGCUGAAAUUGUCUUUUCCAUUUUUUUUGGAUGUAAAUUCCAAGGAAAGAAUCAGUAUCCCAUUCUUAAUGCCCAUUCAUUUUUGGUCAGGCAAUGUGCAGGGAUAGUCGUAUAGUACCUGGAGCUGCUGCUACAGAAAUCGAGUUGGCGAGAAGAUUGAAAGAGUUCUCCUUCAAGGAAACAGGGUGAUUUGUUUUUUCCGUGUGCUCUUCUUAAUGGAAAAUGCCAUCCUGCAUGUAUUGUUUCAUAUUUAGGCUACAAGUUUGUGCAUUACACUUGUAUGAAUGACAUGAACACAUUUGUGGCUUGAUGGAACUUUACCCAAGGUAGGCAGUACCACACUGGUCGGUACGACCGGAACCGAUGCAAAACCGACCAUCAUGAUUCUACCUGCUGAACAACUAGGUAUUGAGGCAUAGUGCUGGAGAGGUGAAUGAGUCAACUUCUGCAUUGUUGGCUGUCAAGUUAUUGAUAUCUUGCAUUGGUCAUGUUCAUUCUGAUAGCUGUGUUGAGAAUCUCCUACAGCUUUUUGGGAUUUAUAGUAGAUUAGAUAAGUACUAGAAGAAGCUAUUAGUAUUAACUACGGGAUAUUUUGCAGAUUGGAUCAGUAUGCCAUUGCUAUGUUUGCUGAAAGUUUUGAAUUGGUACCGAGAACCCUGGCAGAGAAUGCUGGACUCAAUCCAAUGGAUAUUAUUUCUAAGUUGUAUGAAAAGCAUGCAUCUGGGAAUGCUAAAGUGGGCAUCGACUUGAAGGGAGACGACCCUGAGGAUGGUGUUUGCAAGGAUGUCUCAACCGUGAAUGUUUGGGACCUUUAUGUCACUAAGUAAGUCGCUAUUUACAAUUAUUUCUGGCUCAGUUCUGUUCUCUUUUGCAUCGAAAAUUAACCUCAAAUUCUUUUAUAAUUUACAAUUGUUGACUUUUUUUGUCAGGUUUUUUGCUCUCAAAUAUGCUGCAGAUGCUGCCUGCACUGUGUUGCGUGUAGAUCAGGUAAUUUACUAGAGGCAGAAAGCUUGAAAAUGAAAAUCGCACUUAAAAUAGUUUGCUGAUGGGAUUAGAUUCUCAUGCAAAGCUGUAUUUGUUGCUUAGGAUCGCAUAUGUAUUUCAUUUUCCAAACAUUUUCUUCCACUAAGCUCAGUAAUGCCGUUGAUUCAAUGUUUGCAGAUUAUCAUGGCGAAACCAGCUGGAGGUCCAGCGAGGAGAGAUCAACCGGCAGGAAUGGAUGAGGACUAAAUCUUGCAUGGUAUGAUUGAUUUCCCAUCUCUUGUAUCUCACCACCCAUAUUCGGACUUUGUUUAGGCAUCUAUUUUAUUAUUAUUAUUUUUUCUUUUUAGAUGCUAAAAUGUGCUUGAAAGAAUUUUGCAUGUGAUUUUAGAAUGUUUACAGUGGGGAGUAGUGGUGAUCUAUGUUUUUAGUGUAUUACCCUAACCUAUAUUAGGGCCUGGGGUAGGGAGUUAGAAGAUCGUCUCAUUCAUAUCUUUCUCGAUUUUGCAUGGAUGUUGGUUAUAUCAUAGCCUAUUUUACACGAACCCAUUCAUUUUCUCUUAGUACCUAUAUUUAACACUUAUGUUUGAUAUAUAUCUAGAUAUGUAUAUAAAGGGAUUAUAUCAGUUUCCAUUGAAUAAGUUUGUUUGAACAGACUUUAUUAAAGGGAUUACAUCAAUUUGGGUCAGAUAAAUUGAUUUGAAUAGACUUUUAUGCAUUCCUAGUGAGGGAGGAUUUAGUGAUAACUUCAAUUAUUAUGUAUUAAAUGGACAAAUCUAAUUCAGAAUAAAACUUGAGAUUUAGUUAUUUCGUGCAAUUUCUCUUUAAGAACAUUUAUUUCAGAAUUUUGAUUGUAAGGUUAUAACAUUCUCGCUGUACUUUUCCCACCUUUUACUUUUACAAUUAAUUAAGAGUUUUUUUGGUUAAAUUUUUUCACAAGUCCCUGUACUUUUUAUAAAUUUAAAAUUUAGUCCCUACAUUGUUAGCCACUAAAUUAUAAUAAAUUUUCAUUUUGGUCACUUAACUAAAGAAAGUUACAAUUUGGUCACUAAACUUUUCGAAAUUAUUUUUUUAUCACCCAAUUAUUACGUAGCACUUUUUUUUAUUGGUAUAAUAACAAUUUUAGUCAUCAAUUUUUAAACUUUUCUAUCAAUUUAAAGUCUGUGUUUUGACUAUUGGUAUUGCAAUCUAUUGUCACAUGGCAAAAUUUUGUAUUAAUAUUCCAACAAAAUUGAAGUUUGUAAACCUCAUGAUUUUUAACUUAUCAUACGUGAGCAUGUAAUGUUUUAGUUUUGAAGAUAAUGUACCAAUCAUCUAACUACUUUCCCAUGAUCCAUACUCAAAUUUCUCCAAUAUCUGAAAAAUGUAUGCAAUUUUUUUGCACAUAUAAACUUGAGCAUACAUUAGAUUCUCUGAAGCAUAGUGAUUUUUCUUUCAUUUUCUUAAAUCUUAAAAUCAAUGUUGAGACAUUAAUCAAGACUAAACUUGUCUCCUUUAAUGAUAUAAGUAUCACCUAAUCCACAAUCCUACAUGAGGGAGAAAAACAGAUCAAAUUUCAAGGGAACGACGAAGAUUUUUGUCAGCAAUUUCUCUAUACAUUUCCAUUUUUUCUUCCAAAUGAAAGCGCGUAGGUGUGGAAAUUUGGGGAUGAUAGAUGAGUGAUAGAUGUUGUCUCCAGGAAGAAUCCAAGAAAGAGUCCACAAAAUUGAGCCUACAAUAAUUAUAAGUGUUGGACCGUUUGUGUUUUACAUUAUCAUAUUUACUUCAUAAUUAUAAAGUAUUAACUAAUUGUGUCUUACAUGCUUAACUAGUUUCGUAUGUAACAUACAUCUAAUUAUUUUUAUUUCAUUAAUUAUAUAUUUAUUUUAUUAAUUAUUGUAUUUAAUUAUUAUUUAAAGAUAUAUGAUUAUUUAUUUAAAAACGUUUAUUAUUUUAUGUAAUGUAAAAUAAUUAAAAUAUUUUAUUAGACUUAACACAUAAUUUAGUACUUGAGUUUGACACUUUUUUUUAAUGCGAUACUUAUAUUAUUUUUUGGUCCAAUUAAGUAUUUGUAUUUGACAAAAGUUAUAUAUUUUGACACCCAAAACUAAUGAUGUUAAGUGUUUAAUUCGAGUUUUAGGGCUGGUUUGAUGAAAAUUAAUUGCUAAUUAUGUAUUUUCAUCAAACCAACUCUAAAACCUGAAUUAAAUCACAUCCAUUGGACUGUAUUUGAUAAAUUAUAUAUUAUAGUUUUCCUUUAUGUAGCUAAUGCAAUGUAAUAUUACUCAAAAUAAUAUUUAACAUAAUUGUCAGCAGCCUCUUGGCCUAUUUACAAAAGCUUGAUUUUGUAGGCACGAGAGUUUGGAUUCAAUUCUAAGCAACCCUAUUUUCCUUCUUCAAAUAUAUAUAAAAAAACUGAGCACGAUAAACUCUAAUAACAAUUAAGUGAUAAUUAUAAUGAUAAUUUUAAAUUUAGUAAUAGAAAAAAAUAAAUAUCUUUUUCAAACUCGUUGAUAUAUAUAUUACAAAUUAAGUAUUAAAAUUGUGUUUUACGUGUCAUAGCAUUUCACCACCAUUUGAUCUUAUCUUUUAUCUUCCGUGUACCUUUCUUCGUGUUUGGUGAAGGCUUCUUCAACUUUUUCUUUGUUUUCUUAAAUCGGAUGGAUCCACAUCGGGGGCCAUAGAUGAGCCUUAGAUGUUCUUUCCGAGAAGACUCCAAGAAGGCGAGAGCUGUUGUUAACAUUUAUAGAGUUUUUCUUGGUUAAAAUGUGCCAGAAGUCCCUGCAUUUUUUAUAAAAUUAAAAUUUAAUUCCUAUACCAUUAAUCACUAAAUUAUGGAUAAAUUUUUGCAUGUAUCUUCACCUUUAAAACUCAAAAAAACAUAAUAUUUCUUUCUAGACAUAGAUGAGGAAUUCGAAAGUGACGAUGACAUGACGAUUUAUGAGAAGAAAAAAAUAUAUGGAUAUAGUGUUCAAAAUCAGAAAAUAGAUGGCUCAAUACCUCAGAAACAAUGUAGAAACAAUAAGUAUAUGAACAUUAGGAAGGAGAAAAACAGAUGAAAUUUACAGGAAACAACAAAGGACUUGUCUAGGAAAUUUGUGUAUACGUUUCCCACCUUUUACUUAUAAUACCUAUGAAAUUUGAGUAUUGCAAUCUAUUGUCACAUGGCAAAAUUUUGUAUUAAUAUUCCAACAAAAUUGAAGUUUGUAAACCUCAUGAUUUUUAACUUAUCAUACGUGAGCAUGUAAUGUUUUAGUUUUGAAGAUAAUGUACCAAUCAUCUAACUACUUUCCCAUGAUCCAUACUCAAAUUUCUCCAAUAUCUGAAAAAUGUAUGCAAUUUUUUUGCACAUAUAAACCUGAGCAUACAUUAGAUUCUCUGAAGCAUAGUGAUUUUUCUUUCAUUUUUCUUAAAUCUUAAAAUCAAUGUUGAGACAUUAAUCAAGACUAAACUUGUCUCCUUUAAUGAUAUAAGUAUCACCUAAUCCACAAUCCUACAUGAGGGAGAAAAACAGAUCAAAUUUCAAGGGAACGACGAAGAUUUUUGUCAGCAAUUUCUCUAUACAUUUCCAUUUUUUCUUCCAAAUGAAAGCGCGUAGGUGUGGAAAUUGGGGGAUGAUAGAUGAGUGAUAGAUGUUGUCUCCAGGAAGAAUCCAAGAAAGAGUCCACAAAAUUGAGCCUACAAUAAUUAUAAGUGUUGGACCGUUUGUGUUUUACAUUAUCAUAUUUACUUCAUAAUUAUAAAGUAUUAACUAAUUGUGUUUUACAUGCUUAACUAGUUUCGUAUGUAACAUACAUCUAAUUAUUUUUAUUUCAUUAAUUAUAUAUUUAUUUUAUUAAUUAUUGUAUUUAAUUAUUAUUUAAAGAUAUAUGAUUAUUUAUUUAAAAACGUUUAUUAUUUUAUGUAAUGUAAAAUAAUUAAAAUAUUUUAUUAGACUUAACACAUAAUUUAGUACUUGAGUUUGACACUUUUUUCUAAUGUGAUACUUAAAGCACGUUUGGUUCGCUGUAAUGGAAUAGAGGCGUAAUAGCAAUUCAAUUGUUUGGUUGAAUGUAAUGGAAUAGAGGCGUAAUAGUAUUCUUGUGUUUGGUUGAAUGGAAUGGAGGUGUAAUAGCAUAAGGGAAAAAACCGAAAUGACUAGAAUACCCUUAGCAGAAAUUUGUUUAAGUAAAUGAUUAUUGUUAUUGUUAUUAAAUUUUAAUAAGAUUAUUAAUAUCAAUAAUAAAUAAUUUAAUCAUAUUUUAACAUAAUUAUUAUUAAAUAUAUUUUAAUUAAAAUAUAUAAUUUAAUAAAAUUCUUAAUAAUCAAUAUUCUUAUAUGAAUUUACUAAAAUCAUAAUAUAUGAUACUAUAAAAUAUAAUUUGAAAUAAUUAUUAUUAAAUAUAUUUUAAUUAAAAUAUAUGAUUUAAUAAAAUUCUUAAUAAUCAAUAUUCUUAUAUGAAUUUACUAAAAUUAUAAUAUAUGAUACUAUAAAAUAUAAUUUGAAAUAAUUAUUAUUAAAUAUAUUUUAAUUAAAAUAUAUGAUUUAAUAAAAUUUAAAAUAAUUAUUACUAAUAAAUUUUCUUAUAUGAAUUUGUAUAAUUUAAAAUAAUUAUUAUUAAAUAUAAUUUAACAAUAUAUAAUUUCAUAAAAUUAUUGAUAAUAAAUUUUCUUAUAUAAAUUUGUAUAAUUUAAAAUAAUUAAUAUUAAAUAUAAUUUAAUGAUGAUAUAUAAUUUCAUAAAAUCCUUAAUAAUAAAUAUUCUUAUAUGAAUUUACUAAACCAUAAUAUAACUUGAGAAUUAUAUUCUGCAUAAACAUAAUUAACUUAUAUUAACAAAAGGUUAGAUGAAAAUGAAAUUCUACAUCAUAAUCCAUAUGUUACAUAGUUUUACAACAUCAAAAAGUUUGAACAUUGAUUUUUAAUGGUCAGAAAGAAAUCUUCUGACCCAUUCCAACCGUGCAUCAGAAGGUAAACUAAAAAAAUGAGCAUUUGAGUUGAAUGAUUUGAAAUUUUACUCAAAGCUUGAUGCUGCUCAUCCACGGUUAAACUUUCAAUUUCCCAUAAGGUUGAAUAUAAAUUUGUAGCUUUCUGUUGGAUGAUCUGGAAUUCUUCUGACUUCUGUUGAACUACCACAUCGGAGGCAAUACCCCUACUAAUUUGUUCGCCAAUGGCCCGCAUGUUUUCGGCCAAUAAAGUGGCAGCAUCAUUAAAUGAAGAAGAAAUAUUAUCACGAGCAUCAAAAUAAUUUACACUUGUAAGCAUUCAACUAGUAUUAAGAUCAAUCACAAAUGAUUUAGACGGGCAUGAAAUCUCAAAUUUUGCAAGGCCUGAAGCCACAAUUGUUAUGCCCACAACGCUAAGUCAACAAGUUAUUGGUAUGUUACAAAAAAAAAUCAUUAAUUAACCGUGAAGAAAUCUAAACAAAUAAAGGAUUAUCAUUUUCCUAAGAUAGUGAAAACAACUUAUUGCUUUAGCAUUGCUAGCUUUGCUCUGGUUGCGAUAAAGAUUUUGAAAAUUUUAUUGGUAUGUUACAAUAAUUCUUUAUAUACAUAUUUAUAAUUUAUCUUUAUUUUUAAUAAAAUAUAUAUUACAUUUUAAAAUCAUUAAUUAAGUUAAAAAACUUACUUUAAAAUUUACAUUUUAUUUUCUAAUGCAAGUAUAAAAAGUAAAAAUGAUUGAAGACAAGAAAACGUUUAAAAAAAAGGUGAACCAACUAGGCAAACUAAUACACAUCAACACAAGCCCCUAUUAAUAGGAACUGGAGAAACAAAUCCAUAUUUUGUUUGAAAUGAAUUUAAAAUCAAAAUUGUAAGUGCCGACGUGUAAAACUGGUACCAAAAUGAUACAGACCACCACCAUAGUUUACCUGCCUACAUUAUCUAUGUCCUCUAAUUGGGGAGAAAGCAAAUAACAGAGGCAAGAAGAAAGAAAAUAUGUGUGAGUCUGUGCAAUGAACACAAAAAAAGAGGAAAAUUAAACAACAUCAAAGACACAACAAAUAAGAGCUACAGACCAAGAAAAAAAUAAGUCAACAAGUUCAAUUGUCAAUAUGAGUCUAUCAAAUGUUUCAUUUUCUCACUUUGGUCUCAAAAAAUUCAUAACCAUGUACAGGUACAAAUCUAUACAGUCUCAGUAUGAAUUGAUACCAUCCUACUAUACAGAAAAAGAAUAAACUAACAUAAAUCCCACUCCACUACUUGCAUCAACCUAAAUAAUAUCGGAUGCACAAAGAAAAUUAUGUUUAAGAUCAUCAUCAAUCCUAAAUCAAAAAUUUUCUUUUAUAACCAGAAGUCCACAAAACAGAAAGUGAACCAAUAAGCAAAAUCAUGUCCAGCUGAUAUAAAAGUUUCGCCAUCACUAGGUAAAAUAAGAGACAGAAAGAGACCCAGUAAAUCUUGGAAUGAAGGUAAUGAUAAAAACUAAUAUAAUCCCAUAAAAUAUAAAACUGCAAACAAGCCUGAAUGAAAGAAGCUUAAAUAUUAUGGAUUUCAAAACAAAAAAUUACAUGAAUAACAAUUGCAUAGAAACAUGGUGUGCAGGCAAUCCAACAUCAAGAUAAGGACUAGAUAAUUCGGUGAUAAAAUAUGAUGCAAAUAUUUGGUAUGAGCUAAAAACUAACAUACUUCAAGGGUUGAAUGGCAUAAAGCAUAUUCAGUUGAGGAUAGAUUAUCAUAGUUUUUAUGCAAAAUGAGAAUGCAAUAGAUCAGAGGCUUCAAAAGACAAAUAAUUCCUAAAGAAAACUCCACUCAUAGUAUUUUAACCUUUUACAGUUUAGAAGUUCCCUGCAGUUGUCAAGAUUAUUAAUCAGCAGUUCAUUUUUAAUGCAUGGACAGUAUCCUCAGAGACCAUUUCACAAGUAAAACUCCUUGCUUGGCCACGACAAAACAGAAAGUUCAGCCACAAAACUUCUUGCUUAGAAAUUAAAAUCCACCAUGUAAUUACGACAUUAUAAACUCAAUCAUACUUUAUCAUUAUUUAAUGGCUUGACCACACAUGAAGUUUGAAUGGCGAAAUAAAGGGAAAAAAAAAACUAAAAGCCUAAUCCACGCAGUUUUAACUUUCUACUCCAAACUAGAGUUAUUUCAACAAACAACUGAAGGAUACAAGAUAGAAUGAUAAUGCAGGAGAAUUGAAAAUUUAUCCCAAAAACACCCUAAUUUCAACAGACAAAACCCACCAUAGUUGAAGAACACAAAUCUGUUUUUUGUUGACAAAACAAUCAUGAGGAAGAAAAUAAAAAUCCGAAUUAAGUAAAAAAAGAGAAGAAAUACUUGCCGCUUCUGUUGAUGUUGGCGAAAGAUGCCAAGAUGCCAAGAUGAAAGUCGGCGAAAGAUCUGAGCGGGUGGAGGUUUGGUUUGCUGGCAACUGCUGUUGAUGUUGGGAGGGAGAGGGUGGGGUGGAGAUCAAUUUCGGCUGGGGAGGGUAAAACAGAGACUGAUUAGCUAAUCCUUGCUUUUGGAAGGGAUUAGAAAUCGUCGUUGAAGCAGAGAAAAUGAGGAAUACGUCCGUAACCUAAUAGGCCCGUAUUAGGGCAAUACAUUGAACCAAACACGGGAUUAAGUGGACCCACGGAAUAGGGGUGUAAUGGCUAAUCCAUUACACCCAACUAAACAUGGUGUUAUGUUAUUUUUUGAUCCAAUCAAGUAUUUGUAUUUGACAAAAGUUAUAUAUUUUGACACCCAAAACUAAUGAUGUUAAGUAUUUAAUUUGAGUUUUAGGGUUGGUUUGAUGAAAAUUAAUUGCUAAUUAUGUAUUUUCAUCAAAUCAACUCUAAAACCCGAAUUAAAUCACAUCCAUUGGACUGUAUUUGACAAAUUAAAUGCAAAAUUAAACAAAUCUAUAAUUGACACUAAAUUUAUUCUAUUAAAAAAUCAUGAAAAAUUCAAAGUUAAUAAUAUUAGCAAUUAACUUUCAUCAAAUCAAUUCCCAAGCUUGAACUAAACACUAAAAAGUUAAUCUCAUUACUUUUGAAUACCAAAAUAUAUAACUUUUGUCAAAUAUAUGUAACAAAUUGAACCAAAAAUAAAAAUAAAAAAUAAGAGUACCGCAUUAGAAAAAAGUGUCAAACUCAAGUACCAAAUUAUGCAUUAAAUUAUUUUAUUACAAGAUAUUGUUUAAUUAUAAAUUUCAAUAUUUAAAUUUAAAAAAAAGUGUAAUUCAAAAACAAAUGUAAAGUGAAAUUCAAUAUUUAUCUAAUUUUAUCUACUCAAAAUAUUUAUUCAGGCCCUAUUUGAUAAAUGGUUGAAAAAAAAUCAAGUAAAAAAUGAAUAUUUUCAACAGUUUUAUUUAUUUUAAUAUGUUUGAUAGCCGCUGAUAUAAACCACUUCAUAGAAUUUUUUUUCUUCAUUUUUUUUGUGAAUUACAAUAAUAUGGCAAAAUCCAAACAAGUACAACUAACAUGAUUCGAAUCCAAGCUAUUGUUUUAUUGUUUUAUUCAACAAAAUUUUCUAUGACACAUGAACCUUCAUUUUUUUAUAUUCUCGGUAUAAUAUUUAUUUUUCAUAAUGUUUAUAAUAUUUUAUAUGUAAUACUAUAAUUUACUACAAAUAUUUCAUAUUUAUAAUAACAUUAUUUAAUAUAUGAUUUUGCUUAAAAUAAUGUGCAAUGUUUAAAAAUUAUAAAAUAAAAUUGUUUAUAAUUUAAUAUUUAUAUUUAUCAAACAAUUUAAUUAUAUUUCAAGUAUAACACCCACCAUUGAAACAUCACUUCCCAAGCUUUCCAAGAAAGAAAAAUAUGAUCACAGUUCUCUUCAACUUAAUUGCACCAACAACAUUUGAUAGAACCUUAACUGUUAGAAUACCUCGAUCCCUUAAAAAAACAUUUUGAAGGUAUACCUUUCUGGAAUAACAGCAGAAAUAUGGUUUCGUCAAUAUGGGAUCUUUGUUAGCAGGAACUGAAGCCAUUUAAGUAGUGUUAAGGACCUAUAUAAACUACAAAAUGUAGCUAUUUAAAUACCAUUUAAGCAACACAAAAACAGAGUACAGGUUCCCAUGGCGUUUGAUGACAAAGAUAAAAGAUGAUUUUAUUUCGCCCAAUUACCUGCUUCUUCAUGGAGCAAUCCAACUUUCUCCACACUUUUGUCUCAAAGUUGGAUUAUAUUUUUUCAACCUAUAUUGAAAAUAUAGAUGUAAGUUUAUUACAUAUAACAAAAUAUUUAAUAUUUUGAGAGAUAGAGGUAUCCUAAUUGUAGAGCCACCUCUCUGUUGGCUAAACCAUUCUGGGAUUUCACUUCCAGGUAUAAUAACAUCAGUCUCUUGGUAAAUAGAACCAUAAAUUCCCAUGUAUGGGAGGGAAAGAAAGAGAGAUUAGUUAACCUUAUGAUGUUUUAUCAAAAAUGUUAGUGCACUGAUGUUCUCAGCCAAUCUGUAGCAGUUAAUGGCUUUAAUGGAAGCUAAAUCCAAUAAAUUGCAUUGUUACAAGCAGCAGCUCGAACACAUGAAGCAGCUAAAUCUAAAUAUGGGUAUUGAGACAUGAUCCUUCAAGAACUCUUUAAUACAUGAAAAAAAAACCUUUUGAAAAAACAAUCAACAUACACAUUUCAAAUACGUACUCAUAUCUAACAUGCACAUCUGACUUUAAAUUACUUAAGCCUAAAAAUACUAGAAUUAAUAUUUAGUGCUCUGGCAUUUUAUAAAAUUUAUGCAUUGUUAGCGAACCAAAUGAAAACACAUAAUGAAGGAUGAAAUCACUUGAAUUUAUUUUUUUAAAAAUUGAUUUACAUGUUAUAAUUUAGUUCGUAAAGUAUGAACAUUUGUCGACAAAAGUUUUCCUGACACUUUUAACUCCUAUUAUAGGUAAGAUACUUUUCAACAAAGUCAUGUUUAUAUUUUGUUAGAAUUUAGUGACUCGAAUCCUUAUUAAAAUGAAAUACUAUGGUAAAAUAAAAUAAAAGUAAAAUUCAUAUAGAACUACACUUUUUUUUUAUUUUAAAAUAAGGUUUUUCAACCUUAUUACACUUCAUCUAUUUGAUAUUGAUUAGAAUUAGGCGUUUCAACCUUAUUACGUUUUCCGGGUUCAUCAACACAUUUUUCUUCAACAAUUUUUCUUCCCAUUUCUUGCAACAAGGCAUGCAUCCUCAAAUAUUGGUUGUCAUCACUGACUUUUAUGAGGGAUUUCUUAAUGAGAAUAUCGUCUUCAAUAUCUGGAAAAAACCCACAACCAUCCAAUACUUUCAUUACCAAAUCUUUCUCCUUCCCAUUGAAAAAGCAUGCUAUAUCUAGAAAUAUAUUCUUCUCCCUUUCUUCGAAUCCAUACUUUCAUUAACCUCUGAUUCUUUUAUAAUUUACAAUUGUUGACUUUUUUUGUCAGGUUUUUUGCUCUCAAAUAUGCUGCAGAUGCUGCCUGCACUGUGUUGCGUGUAGAUCAGGUAAUUUACUAGAGGCAGAAAGCUUGAAAAUGAAAGUCGCACUUAAAAUAGUUUGCUGAUGGGAUUAGAUUCUCAUGCAAAGCUGUAUUUGUUGCUUAGGAUCGCAUAUGUAUUUCAUUUUCCAAACAUUUUCUUCCACUAAGCUCAGUAAUGCCGUUGAUUCAAUGUUUGCAGAUUAUCAUGGCGAAACCAGCUGGAGGUCCAGCGAGGAGAGAUCAACCGGCAGGAAUGGAUGAGGACUAAAUCUUGCAUGGUAUGAUUGAUUUCCCAUCUCUUGUAUCUCACCGCUCAUAUUCGGACUUGGUUUAGGCAUCAUUUUAUUAUUAUUAUUUUUUCUUUUUGGAUGCUAAAACGAGCUUGAAAGAAUUUUGCAUGUGAUUUUAGAGUGUUUACAGUGGGGAGUAGUGGUGAUCUAUGUUUUUAGUGUAUUACCCUAACCUACACUAGGGCCUGGGAUAGGAAGUUAGAAGAUUGUUUCAUUCAUAUCUUUCUCGAUUUUGCAUGGAUGUUGGUCAUAUCAUAGCCUAUAUUACACGAACCCAUUCAUUUUCUCUAAGUACCUAUAUUUAACAGUUAUGUUUGAUACAUAUCUAGAUAUGUAUAUAAAGGGAUUACAUCAGUUUCAACUGAAUAAGUUUAUUUGAACAGACUUUAUAAAAGGGAUUACAUCAGUUUCGGUCAGAUAAAUUGAUUUGAAUAGACUUUUAUGCAUUCCUAGUGAGGGAGGAUUUAGUGAUAACUUCAAUUAUUAUGUAUUAAAUGGAUAAAUCUAAUUCAGAAUAAAACUUGAGAUUUAGUUAUUUCGUGCAAUUUGUCUUUAAGAGCAUUUAUUUCAGAAUUUUGAUUGUAAGGUUAUAACAUUCUCGCUGUCAAAUAGAGGUGAACAUUUGAUAAUUUCAUUCUAAUCAUAAUCGUGCACCAAUUAUAAAGUCAGAGGAAAAUUGAGCACCAACCAAAUGGAAUUUGCUUCAAUCUAUCCUUUAUUUAAGUUGGAGGAAAAGAUGGUACAGAUGAGAUGAUACUUGAAAAGUUUAAUGUUGAAUUAAAAUGAAUUCAUUAUUCAUGUCACGUUAAUAUCAUUAAAUUAUCGAUUUAAUCAACAUUUGCGACAAAAAAAUCCAUAAUUUGACUCAAAAUAAAAUGUUGAGGUUUAAAUUGUUGAAAAGAAAAAAAAUGAGGGUCAAAUUGUUAAAAUUUAUAAACUCUAAGAACUUACAAAUUGAAUUUACAUUACAAUUAGAUUACUAUUUGAAUUUACAUUUUGAAAGCAACAAAUUGAAAAAAUUUCAUUUAAAAUAAUAGAACUUACAUUACUUUAUAUGUAAAAAAAAAAAAACUAAUUAUAUAUUAACAUAAUCUAUAUCAAAUUUUAAUUCUCAAAAUUCAUCCGAGCAUAUAAUCUCCCUAAAAUUUACUUUAUUAGACUUAUUUAAUUUUUAAAAUUUUAAACUAGUAAAUAUAAAAUUACACUUUAAUUUUCUUAAAAUUGAUAAAAAUUUGAUUAAAUUAUUUAAAAUUUAUAAAGAUUUAGACUAUUAAAAUAGUUUUAAUAUCGUAAAAAUUAUUAUUUAAUUUUAACUUCCCUAAAAAUUCUCAAAAUUCAUCUGAGCAUAUAAUUGCGUAAGUGUCUGCUUCCAUUUCAACUUGAUAACCUUUGUUGGUCCUUCGCUUGCACGAUCCUUUGAGCAGACUUUCAUGUUUUUACCGGUCUAAGGGAUAAACAUAAAACACCAAGAUUAUUUUUGUUGCAUUGAGAUGAUCUAUAUCACUGGUAUAUUAAUUUACUUCAAAUCAAGAAAUUUUUCUUAAUAUCAUAGAAAACACAAUCCUUGAAAAUCUUGCUCAUGUUAAACAAGAACAAAAAAUGAAUCUAUUGAAUUUUAAAAAAUAUAUUGGAUAUGAAUAUGUUUCUCACAUAGAAAAAUUUUUCCAAUUAAUUUAAAAGAGUAUACUUUAUACUUAUAUUUGAAUAUGUGUUAAAAAUAAAUGUCUAAACAUAGAUACUUUAUAAUAAAUAUAAAGUAAAUAGUUGAAAUAAUAUUAUUUGUACUUCAAGCCAUGAAAUUUAAAUGCUACUUUUAUUAAAAGGAAUUAAAUCUAUUUAAGUACUAGUAAGGAGUUAAAUUUAAUCUUUCAAAUAUAUAAAAACAAUUUUGAUAUAUUAAAUUGAACACAUAAAUAGAUCUCAAAUAAAAAUGAUGAUUUUUAACUCAAGUGAAAUUAGAACCUAAUCCUCAUUCGAGGAUUUUCACAUUUUUAUUACGUGCUUUGUUAUGGAAGAUAUUAUUUUUUCUAUUUUUGUCACAAAUUGAUUAUGUUUACUUCAGCUUACCAAUAAAAUAUAGAUGUAAGUGAAUAUAUAUAUAUACUGAAAAUAAAAAUUUAAUAAAAAAAAUGAAACUAAUAUGAAUGUAGACAUUUCAUGAAUUACGAAUGAAUUAAGUGACAAAAUUUUAAUGGUAUAAAAACCUAUGUUAUCAAUAUUUGCAAUAUGCAUAGAAUAUGCACUCAUGUUCAAUAUGAGUAUGAAUAAAGAUUUUAAUACUUUUUGAUAUAUAAUAGAAAGAGCAUAUCUCGUUAGUAAAUAAAUUUAGAAUGAUUACUUUGAAUGAAAUAAAAGCUACAAAUUUGUAAAAAAAAUAAAAAUCAAUAGGAGGUUGGUUAAUGUUGGUGUUAGAACAGAAACUGACAAGCUCAGCUUGUAUCUUGUGCAACAAGCCUCGAUGCUUGCUGAGCAGGCAAUCGGAUUCGAGCAAAGAAAAAAAGAAAACUGAAGAAAAAUGGAGAGUAUUUUUUUUGAUGAACAAAAUCUGAUUCAUUCAUAAUUUUUAAUAGUGGCAUAAUGCCAAUACAUAAAUCAAGCACUAAGCUUGUUCAAAACAGCAAGUAAUCACCUAAACAUUACCUACCUCCACUAAUUACAUAGAAACUUGAAAUCUAAACUUGAAAGCUUGUACAAAGCUGUGUUUACAGCUCACACAUAAGCUAAUUACAUCAAUCAUAUACCUAACAUAGUUCUAAAUGAACUAAAUUACAUUUCAUUAACUAAUAGUUACAAAAUGAACAAGAACAAACAAACUGAGCUUGCUGCUGUAGCUCCUUCCUUGCUCGAUCUUCAUGGUCUGCAUGUUGGCUAAUUUCAUCAUGCAGCAUGCUAGCCAACUUCAUCAGUUAAGUAGUUUACCACAGUUAAUGCUUCUUCCCCUAUUAGCGCACCAUAAAAUUGAAAAAUUUCUGCACCCGUUUUGGUUGCGGCCCUUCUUUCUUCGCUUCAUCGUAGAUAUUAGCUUUUCGUUUUAUGUGAGAAGUGCUAUCUGUUGAUCCAUCGUUGUGAGCAGGGUGUUGAUGGAUGUGUUCAAAAUUUGGAGAAGAUUGAGUGGUAUGGCACUGCAACUCUUUUAUUUCUUCCAAAUCUUUCUCAUACACUAUUCUAACACCACACUUCUUCACCUUAGGUCUGUAUUCAAAUAGAUGUGUGAAACACACCUCAAGCUCAUCCCAUUUCUGAUCUAAGCAAUCUGUUGCCCAUAAAUUAUUGGUUUCACAAUGACCAUUUUUAUCCUCCAUGGAAAUUGGAUAUAGUUUAUCACGCGACCAAUAACGAAGAAAAAGGUGAUCUUUCAUUAUGGGCUCGUUAUAUCUUUUACCCACCAACCAGCCGCUCCCAUCAAUCUGUCUACGAUUUCUACCUCGAAAAAUAGAUCCAUCACAGCUGGCUUGUUCAGAAUUUCUGCAACAGAUAAAUGUACUACAAUUGAUAACCUCGUCAUCCCUUGAAGCAUCAUUAUUGAUAAAAAUGCAGCAAGAAGCAACUCCAAUCCAUUGACUAUCUUUCCGAAGGGGUAUCUUAAUUGAAGAGUCAUUUUUUUGUUGGCUAAACCAUUCCGGGAUUUCACUUCCGGGCAUAACAAUAGUAAACAUUUUUAUUGAAUUUGCAGAUGCCUGCAAAAUAAAACACAAGUCGUUUGGUAACUAAAACCAUAAAUUCUCAAGUAUGAGAUUUUGUAAGGGAGAAUAAAGAGAUUGAUCGACCUUAAGAUAUUUUUUCAGCAGUGUUAAUGCAUUGAUAUUUUCAGCCAAUUUGAAGCAGUUAAUGGCUUUAAUGAAACCCGAAUACACUAAAUUGCAUACUUUUGAUGGACUUGCAACUACUUCAAGUGAAGAGCAAUCAUCUAUACUCACAUCUGCUAUACUUGUUAGAAGCUCUGGCAACGAUUUAAGCAUCUUGCAAUUUGAUAAUCCCAGUAAAUAAAGCCUGCUAAGUUGAGUAAGAGCCAAAGGAAUGGUGAUGAAAUUGUUACCCCUAAGAUAAAGAUGACUCAAAGAGGAUAGACAAUGAAUAUCUGCUUCACCAAGUGUGCACAUGUUGCAAUUUGACAAGUCAAGAAACUUAAGCUUCGAGAGCCGAGUAAGACAUGCAGGUAUGCUGAUGAAAUUGUUACCACUAAGAUCAAGAUCUCUCAAAGAGGAUAGACCAGAAAUAUCACGUGGAAUAUCUCCUUUACAAAGAUUGCAGUCCCUUAGAUUUAGCUUUCUUAAUGAACUCAAACCUGACAACAAAGGCAACAUCGGAGCUAUGGGAUUCGUCCUUCUUCCUUGGAUUACCUUGAAAAGAAAAGGCAAAUUUGGUCGUGACUUAUAUGAUGGUCCCUUGCAUCCACUGAAAGACAAAACUUUAAGAUUUUUCAAUUGAGAAAUGAAGGAUGAUGGUUCUUUUAUGGCUGUUUCACUCAAGUCAAGCUCUUCCAAAGAUUCUGCUUGCUGCAAAUUCUCUGGUAAAUAUUCAACUUUGAAACAACCAGAAAGAUGAAGAGUUUUUAGAUGUUCCAUUUUCCCAUCAAUAUCUGGUAACCUUGCAAGAUUUGAGCAACCUGAAAGAAUUAAUGUUUCAAGAGAUUCCAUUCCAAUUUUGGUUGGAAGACUCCUAAGACUUUUGCAGUCUCUUAAAUUUAAAAGUUUAAGGCUCUUAAGCACUCCGAUUGAUGGAUGGACAUCUACUAAUCUGGUACAACCUUCCAUAAUCAAAGCUUCAAGUUUUGGUGCUGUUGUGAAGUCAGGUGUCUUGAUCAGGUUUUGGGACCCUUUGAGGUUGAUCAUUUUCAACUUAAACAAGGGCUGUUGAAGACAAUAAUAAAUUAGGCCGAAGACAUAAUAAUGCUAAUUUUUUGUUUUUUUUUUUACCUUAAUCAAAGUUUAAUCAUUUAUAUUAAAAUAAGCUAAAACACAAGGAUAAGAUGAGUUAGUUCUUACUCUAUUCCCCUUCCAUAGUUGUUCAAUAUGACUAUAUGGUAAAAGAAGUGCAGCAAGAUUAUCUGGGUGGAAAUUUGAAGGCAAAAAUUUUAAAGGACAUUCUAUCUAAUUUAAAAGCCGUAGUUCAUUAGAAAGAUAUUUGAGAUGAUCAUCACAAUUUGAUACGCAAAACACUUUGAGCAAUCUCAAAUUUUUCAUCUUCGAGAAGGUAUCGGCGCUCAAAUUGAACAUCUUGCUCGAUUCCCUAAUAAUCAUGAGUAAAAUAAAAAUGAGCUUCAAAAUAUACAAAAACAUUCUAUAUCUAAAAGCUAUGUUGCAUUGAUAUUUUUUUAUGUACCCACAUUCAAUACUUAUAUAUGUAAUGCAUAUAUAAAUACGGUAUUGCGAUAUAAUUGAAUAUAUUAGACAAUACUUAAUCUAACACUUAUUUCACACUUUUAAUUACCUAAGCCUAAAAAACCUAGAACUAAUAUUUUUAUUUAUGUUUAGUUCAUUGAUGUGUAAUUCUAUACAUUACUAGCGAAAUGAUGGCAUUAUUUGGAUUUACUUUUGAAAACUUUUAAUGAUAUGUUAUGGUCUAGUUCAUUGAUAUAUACUAUCACUACAUCAUAUAUAAACCAUUAAUAUUAACAAAGACAAUGACAUUAAUUUUUUUAUAAUUUCUUUUGAAAGAGUACUGUGUUUUUUUUUAUAAAUUUCUUAAAUAUAAGAUUGAAAAAUUAAGCAUUAAAAAAGUGUUUGGUUAGGUGAAAAAGUGAAGGGAUAUGAGAAUAAAGUAUGCUUGGUAGAAAAAAAAUGAGAGAAAAAAGAAAGAAAGAGAUGAUCAUUUACGUGUAUGUUUUCCUACCAUUUAUUGCCGAUGAUCAUGCCUUCAACCAUUUCGGUAGCCUAGAAGUAAUCAAGAAUAGACAAUAAGAAGAUAAAAUAAAUGCUCUAAAUUGUAUGAUAAAACUUUUGAAACUUUACACACAUGUUCAACAUUAUCACAAUAUUUUGGUUGGAAUAUAGUAAAUAAAAUAUUUUUUAAUGAAAGUAAUUCAAUAAAAUUAAAGCUACUCAAUGUCACUUAAGGAUCAAUAUAUAAACCAAUUAGACUAAGCUUUGGAGUUACAUCAUAUAUUGAUAAAAGAAAUUUUUGUAUGUAAUUUUUGUUGAAUGAUUUACCGUAUUUUUUGUUAGGACAUGAUGGACAUCCCUUUUCUUCCAUAAUCUACAACGUUUUCCGAGUUCAUCAACACAUUUUUCUUCAACAAUUUUUCUUCCCAUUUCUUGCAACAAGGCAUGCAUCCGCAAAUAUUGGUUGUCAUUACUGACUUUUAUGAGAGAUUUCUUAAUGAGAACAUCAACUCCAAUAUCUGAAAAAAACCCACAACCAUCCAAUACUUUCAUUACCAAAUCUUUCUCCUCCCCAUUGAAAAAGCAUGCUAUAUCUAGAAAUAUAUUCUUCUCCCUUUCUUCCAAUCCAUCAAAGCUAAUUCUUAGUGUGUCAAGAAUUUCUUUGUUAGAAUCUUGUUUAAGUCUUUCGAUUGCACUUCUCCAUUGAACUAUAUCUCUACCGCACAAAAAUGAACCCAAAACUUCAAGAGCUAAGGGGAGACCAUCAGCAUAAUGUACAACUUGUUUAGAAAGCUCAAUGAAAUCAUAUUUCGGUGUUGUAUCACUAUCAAAAGCUUUCAAAUUGAAAAGCCUAAGUGCAUCGUUGGGAUUCAGUGUUGUAGGCUUAUACACAUCAUCGAUUCGAUGAGAUCUGAGCAAAUGUUCAUCUCUUGUUGUUACAAUGAUCCUACUCCCUAAAUUGAACCAAUCACGCCUUCCAACCAAGCAUUUCAAGUGUUGUAUGUUAUCAACAUCAUCAAGAACAACAAGAACCUUUUUACCUGACAACCUGUGGCUAAUUAUGGCAUCCCCUUCAUGAACAUUGAAAAAAUUGAAGCAUUCAUCCGGAAAGAUUUGGAAAGAAGUUGUUUCUGUAAAGAAGUUGUUUCUGUAAAGAAACAAGUCCAUGUUUGUUUGAAACUUCUCGAAUAUCAGCAAGAAAGCAUUUACCCUGAAAAUGAGCUAACAUUUGAGUGUAAGCAACCCUCGCAAGAGUUGUUUUACCGAUGCCACCCAUUCCGCAAAUUCCUAUAAUGCGGACAUCAUCUUCCCCAAUAUUUAUUUUCGAAUACAACUCCUCCAAAUGUAAACUAAUUCCAAUCAACUCAUCAUGAACAACUGGAUAUGUCUGACAUAGUUUUGCUGAUAUCUUCUUAACAACGUUCUCUAAUAAACUCUGAUUCGUGCCUACAAUGAAAUUAAAAUCCGAUAUGCACUUUUUCAUUUUUAGUUUAGUGAAUCAUGAAGUAUAAUAUGGUUGGAAGCAAACAAAAAGUAUGAAUAAGACAGUAAGAUAUAUUAUAGCAUCAAAAUACACAACUUGCUCGUUAGUUGAAAUAUGGGAAUUCUCAAUAAAACGCAAAAUUAUAAAAAAUAACAUGCAAUCCAAUAAAAAAACAAUUUUUUAGUCAUUAAAAUUAGGAGAUAGAGAAGAUAAGAAAGAAAUACCUAUUAUUUAAAUGCCAUCCCUUGAUGUUAGCCACUUCAGUCAAAGCAUUUCGCCACUUUUGGAUCUUGUCUUUAUCUUCCUUGUAUCUUUCUUCGUGUUUGGCAAAGGCUUCUUCAACUUUUUCUUUUUGUUUUCUUAAAUCGGAUGGAUCAACGUGGUAGAAAAUUGGAAAUACUUUAUGACCCUUGUCAUUUUUUUGUUUAACAAUCUCCGCAAGCUCCUCCAAGCACCAACCUGAAAAGGCAUAGGUCUCGGAAAAAACGAUUACCGAGCACCAUGAUUGCUGAAUUGCGUUGAAGAGUUCCGGUGCGAUCUCUUCACCAGUUUCCAACUUUGGAUCAUCUCUAAAAGUGACGAUCCCAGUUCUAUUUAGAGCAUCGUAGAGAUGAUCCGUAAAGUUCUUGCGAGUAUCUUCACCUCUAAAACUCAAGAACACAUCGUAGUUCUUUCUAGAAAUGGAUGAGGAAGUCGAAAGUAACGACGACAUGAGGAUGUAUGAGAAGAAAAAUAUGUGGAUGUAGUGUUCAAAAUCAGUCGCUCAAUACCUCAGAAACAGUAAGUAUAUGAGCAUAAGGAAGGAGAAAAACAGAUGAAAUUUCGAGGGAAGAACAAAGGGAGUAGGUGUGGAAAUUCGGGUCAUACAUGCUCUUUCCGGGAAGACUCCAAGAAGGUGAGACUUCACAAAAUGCAGCCUACAAUUUUUUUGAAAAUUAAAUUCAUUAAUUCAGCAGUAAGAAAAUAAUAAAUACUCGUUGUAAGAAAAUAAUAAAUACUCGUUGUAGAUGAUGAAGGGUAGACUCUAUCAACACAAUAAAAGUUUUAGUCUUAACAUCAAUAGAACAUCAUGACACGUUAACAAUUGAAUUUGUCACAACUCAAGUGCGACAUAUUUGGAGUAAUUGCAAACACUUAAUAUGAUAAGGAAAUCAACCUCGGAUGGUCCAAAGCAACGAGCAAAAAUUGACAAAAGAAUCGAACAUUCACCAAACUAGAGAGGACGACAACAAAAUCAUCCCUAAAAUCACUUAUAAAACUAAGAUUAUAUGCAUAAAUAUACUUAUUAAAUAAUGGAAAAAAUAUAUAAAACUUAACAGCACUAAAAUAGAUCCUACAAGUAUUAUCAAGUAACGUGUUGGACAGUUUGUGUUUUACUUUUUUUAUUUAUUUAUAUUAUCAUAUCUACUUUAUAAUCAGUAGCUUAUGUUACAUAUGUGAUUUUACGCAUUUAAUAUUUGAUUAAAUUUUCUUAAAUAUUAUACUUUUAAUUGAAGUAAUUAGUAUAAAAUAAUAUUUUUAUUUUAAUUAUUGAAUAUAUGUAAAAUGUAUCAAUUUAUCAAUUCAAACAAAUAUUAUAAUAGAAAAUUUUUAAAUAAUAAUUAAAUAAUUUUAAACAUAUUCAACAUAUAAUAUAGUUUUCUUUUAUGUAUCUAAUGCAAAGUAAUAUUAUUAAAAAUGAUAAUAACUACUUAACAUAAUUGUUAACAAGGCCUAUUUACAAAAACUGGAUUUUGUAGGUAUGAGAGCUUGGGUUCAAUCCUAAGCAACUCCAUUUCCCUCAUUCAAAUAUAUAAAAGAAUACUGAACCCAAUAAACUCUAAUAACAAUUAAGCGAUAAUUAUAAUUAUAACGAUAAUUUUAAAUUUAGUAGUAUAAAAUAAUAAAUAUCUUUUUCAAACUCGUUGUUAUAUAUAUAUAUAUAUAUUUAUAUUACAAAUUAAGUAUUAAAAUUGUGUUUUACGUGCCAAAGCAUUUCACCACCAUUGGAUCUUAUCUGUUAUCUUCCUUGUACGUUUCGUCGUGCUUGGUGAAGGCUUCUUCAACUUUUUCUUUGUUUUUCUUAAGUCGGAUGGAUCCACAUGGGGGGGCCAUAGAUGAGCCUUAGAUGUUCUUUCCGAGAAGACUCCAAGAAUGUGAGAGUUGACAAUUGGUGCCUACUUUAAUAACAACUAAUAUUUAUAGAGUUUUUCUUAGUUAAAAUGUGCCAGAAGUCCCUGCAUUUUUUAUAAAAUUAAAAUUUAAUUCCUAUAUCAUUAAUCACUAAAUUGUGGAUAAAUUUUUGCAGGUAUCUUCACCUCUAAAACUCAAAAAAAAAUAUAAUAUUUCUUUCUAGACAUGGAUGAGGAAUUCGAAACUGACGUUGAAGUGACGAUUUAUGAGAAGAAAAAUAUAUGUCGAAACCAUUUUUUGCUAAAAAGGGGUCGAUUUGGAUUUUGAAAAAAAACGAAUAUGAGAGUCGCCACCAAUCCUUUUUAAUGGGAUGUGAUCGGGUCACCUCCAAAAAUAAUUAUUUUAACAAACGAUUUGAUUUAUUAAAACAAUGAUUUUGGUCCACAGAAUUCAAAAGACGAGUUCGGGAGUCAAUUACGUAUGAGGAAUGAUUAGCACCCUCAUAACGCCCAAAUUGGUACCUAGUUAAUUAAUUAAUGUCUUGGUGUCGAAAAUUAAAAAUUUUGAAGAGAUUUAAAAAUAGGAUCUUUUUGUUAAAAUAUUGAAAAUUUUUCGAGAACAGGACAUAUUUCAUGUUAAUCGAGAAAAAGAAUUACAUCCCGUAAGUUAAGACACAAUGUCUUAGAUUCCCGAAGCGAGAAUAAAUGCCGAAAAUUUUACUUAUUCGAAAGAUAUUCGAUUAUCUCGGUUUAAAAAAGAAGAUCAUAUUCAGCAAGUUAGAACACGAUCUUUUAUUAAUUCCCGGUAUUAUUAAAAAAAAUUACUUAAAAAAAUUCGUAUAUUUGGAUUUGUCAAAAAAUCGAAACCCCGUAAAUUAGGACACAAUCUUAUCGAAUCAAAAAUACAAUCUCAAAAUACAAAGUUUACUAGUUUUAAAGACAUGAUUUAUACCUCGGGUAAAACUAAUGUAAUGUGACUUUAUAGGAAAAUGUAAGAAUAAAACACGAUGCUAAGGUGCAUAGAAUCAUAUACGCAAUAACAUAAACAAAAGCAAAAAUAAAAUACAUAAAUGAGAUGAUGAUAAAUAAUAAUAAAAAAACUAAAAUUAGAUAAAAAGAUAAACAAAUAUGUAAAUAAAUGGUACGUAAAACAGCUAAAAGAAAAUGAUAAUAUUAAUAAUAACAAAAAUAAUAAUGUUUGGAAUUAUAAAAGGGUCUAAAUAAAUAAAAAAUAAGAUAAUUAUUAACAGAAUAGUGAAUUAAUCUAAAAAGAAAUAAUAUAUGAUAAAAACCAAAAUCUUAAAAUUUUAGAUAAGUAAACAUAGAUAGAAUAAUAAUAAUAAUAAUAACAUCAAAUUACUAUAAUAUAAUAGUAAUGAACAAGUAAAUAUAAAAGAAACUAUAAUUAUUAUAAUAAUUAAGUCAAAAAUAACAAACAAACAAAAAAUAAGAGUAGAUAUUAGAUAAAACAUUUUAAAAUAAAUAAUAUAUAACACUUAAAAGAUAUAACAAUAAUAAAAGAGCCAUUUUUUUAAAAAAAUCUAAAAAAAGAAGAGAACUAAGGACGGGAUUGAAAUUGAGUCCAAAAUUCGGAGUUUAAAUUGCAGAUAAAAAGAAAGGGGUCCCCGGCGACCAAAAUAGGAUGCGUUCAAAGAACCGAGGGCUGAUUAGGAAAAUAUUCCCAUCCUUAUGCGCAACGUUUUGGCAUGGGCUAAAAAGAAACGCGCAGAAAAUCAUGUGGCCAAAUUAAAAAAACAAGAGCGACCAGAUUGCACUACGGUGAAAAAGCAAAGGGACUUGGCGCAUAAAUAUCAACUUUAGUGCAGAAACACGCGGACCCUGACGGUGGACGGGUUGGGUCGUGGGUCAGGGUCAAAACGUCGUCGUUUUGGCACUUGACCCCUAGUUCCAAAACGGCGCAAAUGUUUUUUUUAAAAACUUUCAUUUUUCUCCUUCCUCAGAAAAAAAAAAACUAGAAAACUCUUUGCCCUUCCCCUUUUUCCUCCGGCCUCUGAGUUUCUCCAGCCUCUGUUGUGCCGCCGCCGUGGCCAGUGGUCGGCGUUGCACAAAAUGGGCUUUUUGGCCCCCGUUGUACAGCGUCCUUGAGAGCCGAGCUCUUUCAACCCACAAGGAUCAGAAAAAAAUGGGGACUCUCGAGCCCUUUUGACCCGAAUUGGGUGACGGAGGAGAAGCCCUUCGAUAGCGCAUCCGCGGCCGUCCGGUGAGUUCCCUUUUCCCCCUUUUUAUUUCUUAUUUCAUUAUAUAAAAUAAAUAAAUAAAUAAAAACAGAAGGAAAUAAACCGAAUCCGAAGAAAAAUAUUCACCUUUCAAAAUCGUUCUCUUUUUUUUAUAUGUUCGUAAAAUAAAAAAAAACCCUGUUACAACUUUGUUCUAUGGCUUAUAUAGCCAUUUCAUACAUUUUUUAAUAUUAUUUUCUACGGUUCUUGUGUGGUCUUUGUUGUCCUUUCUCCUUUUUUCUUGCAGGCUGCGCUGGAGAAGGUGGGUAGAGGGUGUCUUUUGUGUUGAUGAAGUGACAGCUGCGGCGCUGAAGGAGCGGCAGCUGCAGAACAGUUGGUGGCUAGGGUAGGUUAGGGUUUCUGUCACUUGUUUAGGUUACGGGCUAGGUUUAUUUUGGGCUGAAUUGGGUUUGGGUAGUUGGGUUUAUAUUUGGAUCAAUUGUUUUGGACUUAUGGACUAUUUUAUUGAUUGGGUUGCUGGGCCGGGCAAAAUUUGAGUUGUACAAUAUAUAUAUAUAUGGAUAUAGUGUUCAAAAUCAGAAAAUAGAUGGCUCAUUACCUCAAAACAAAGCAGAAACAAUAAGUAUAUGAACGUGAGGAAGGAGAAAAACGGAAGAAAUCAUUAAACUUUUCAAAAUUAUUUUUUUGUCACCCAACUAUUAAGUGACACUUUUUUAGUUGGUAUAAUAUACGUGGAUGUAGUGUUCAAAAUCAGUCUUUCAAUACCUCGUAAACAAGAAGUAAAUGAGAAUGAGGAAGGAGAAAAACAGAAGAAAUUUUGCAGGAAACAACAAAGGACUUUUCUAAGAAAUUAGUGUAUACAUUUCCCACCUUUUACAUUUCCAAAUGAAUCUAUCUUGAUUAUAAUACAUAAGAAAGGGAGUCGGUAACAAUUAAUUAAGAUUUUUUUGGUUAAAUUUUUUCAAAAGUCCCUGUACUUAUUAUAAAUUUAAAAUUUAGUCCCUACAUUAUUAGCCACUAAAUUAUAAUAAGUUUUUGUAUUGGUCACUUAACUAAAGAAAGUUAUAAUUUGGUUAUAGAAUUUUUUGAAAUUAUUUUUUAUCACCCAAUUAUUACGUAACACUUUUUUUUAUUGGUAUAAUAACAAUUUUAGUUAUCAAUUUUUAUACUUUUCUGUCAAUAUAAAGUCUAUGUGUUUUGACUACUGCUUAGGGGGAUAGGACUAAUGGCUUAAAUCUACUUCUCCAUUGUCUUGGGAAGAUAAGAUUCACCAUCUUCGAUCUGCUCCACUACUGCUUAGGGUGGCAGAAUCUGUAAUCUUUGACCUAUUCCACUACUGCUUAGGGGGAUAAGACUAAUGGCUUCAAUUUACUUCUCCAUUGUCUUGGGAAGAUAAGAUUCACCAUCUUCAAUCUGCUCCAUUACUGCUUAGGGUGAUAGAAUCUGUAAUCUUCGACCUAUUCCACUACUGCUUAGGGGGAUAGGACUAAUGGCUUAAAUCUGCUUCUCCACUGUCUUGGGAAGAUAAGAUUCACCAUCUUCAAUCUGCUCCACUACUGCUUAGGGUGACAGAAUCUACAAUCUUCGACCUAUUCCACUACAGGACUUGCUAUCUUUAAUCUGCUUUGUUACAAACUAUGGUGUCUUCGAUCUGCUUCGCCAUCAGUACAGAAAAGCAAGAUUUGCUAUCUUCACUGAUAUGUUCUCUGGGGAACAUGACCUGUAUAAUCUGUUUUAUGAACCUAAUUGUGCCUAGUGAUUAGGAUGACAUGAUCAGAAUGAAUCAAAUGUUCCUAACUAGAUGUGUAUGAAUGACAUUUGAAUGAAUGCAAAAUGUCAUGAAGAUGAUUCCUUAAUGCUUAGGUUAUCAUCACGCAAAAGCUUAUUAAGGGUUUAUCACUGACGUGCUACAACGCCUUCUUGCUCGGCUGGCAUACUUAAUCUGAUUGUCCCCCACUGUGAACGUCAAAGUUCAAUCCACUAGGACAUAAAAUUUUUACCAUCAAUCUCCCACUAUAACCCAAGGGUAGAAAGAUAUGGUUUAUUUUUACCAUCAAUCUCCCACUAUAACCCAAGGGUAGAAAGAUAUGGUUUUUCACAAUCUUCUCUUAUCGCAAUUCAAGGAUACAGAAUGUGAAGCUCUUUGGUCCUUUACCCCAUUCCCAAGGUGUCAUACCAAAUGCUCAUGCACAAUUGCAAAAUUUUCUUCUACGAGAAAACCUUUUCUUAUCACUUGGUGAUCAUUGCUUGUUUGUUCAUUGAAGCUUUGUCACCAAAACAACAUCUUGUCAUUUUGUUCAAUCAAUGUUUUGACGACAAAAUCCAAAAGGACGGUCUUAAUUUAGACUCUUCCUUCUUAGAUAUUUCAACCUUUAAACUUGGUGUGUUCUAAACAAUAAUCAUGUUUCAGGUUCCUAUAUUAUUUAGAGACUUCUAGAGUAAUAUGCAAAACUUCCAUUGUGAAAGUAUUAUUAGUCCAUUAAUCAUUAUUCCAAUGCAACAUGCUUGAAAAAGAUCAUAACAAUGGAUGAACAUAGAAUUGAUUUGGGAGCAUAGCUCGAAAUGAAUAAAUUAUCAAGAAUAAAAGAGGAAUUGAUUGGAACAUGUAUCUUGAAAAAGAAUGAAGUAUUCCAAGAACAACAAAUUCAAUAUAUAAAUGAAUGUCAGGUGCCUCGGAUAUCACAGCUUGAACUUCUCUGUACAAACUUUUUGAAGACCUUUCUGAGUUUGACAUAUGUUUAGAAGAUCUACAGGACUUUGUCGAUGCUCCAAUAUGUUGCCUACCCUUUCCUGUUGAUUCAGGUAUAGCAAGAUCACCACAUGCCCCAAUUUGAUCAAAAUUUGAGCUACUCUGAUUACCUCAUGCCCCAUUUUGUUCCAAAAUUUGAGCCGCCCUUUUCGAGUUUUCAACUCAAAAUCCCCUUUGGUCUUAAGGCGCCCUUUGCGGGUUUUCACCUUGGCCUCUCCUUUUUCCUUUUCUUUUUUCUUCUUUUUCUUUUUCUUUUUUUUCUUUCUUUUUCUUUUUUUUCUUUUUUAAAAAUUUUUUUUAUUGAAUCUGAACUCAUAGUAUUAGACAUGUCCUCGUUAUCCCUUCCGAUCAAAAUUGACGCUUUUCCAGAUAAGGCCAUCCACACAAGGUUCUUCCCAGCUUGGUAUGAAGUUCUUUUUGUAUGGAAAGGAUCUUCUUCAAUACCAGGUCCUCUCAUGGAGUCCUCUAGGGCAAACUUCUUCUUUUUCCCUCUUUUUUUUUGUGCUUGCAUCAUUUGCUUUUGGCGCAUUUGACCAUGAUGGAUAACUUUGAACAUUCCUCUUCAAUCAGGAUUGGAUCCAAAAACUCAGAGAGAAAGACUCUUAUCUUUAACAGGCAAAACUGUAAUAAGCUAAAGAGAAAGAUAUUGCCCCGGUAGAGAUUUUUUUUGACGAUAUGGUGUUAAUCUUGAACAGACUACAAACUUCUGAUAUCGUGCUCUUGUUCAAAUUUAGUGCACUUUCAGAUAUAAUCCUUUUCAGUAUUUCAUACUGACAUGAUUUUUUCCAAAAAUUUACUGUUGACUUUGUGACAUUGGCAUAUAAAGUAGCUUCCACCCACUUAGUGAAGUAAUCGACGGCUGCAAAGAUGAAUUGUUGACUGCCAGAAACUUUUGGCAAGAUUGGCUCAACGACCUUCAUGCCCCACAUAGGGAGAAGUCGUGGAUUCCAAUGAUUCUUUAUAGGGUAGGAUCUAUUUUCCAUAUUAUUCUACCAUCCUCAAUAAGUCCAGAAAUAGGCUACAAUCUAUGUCAUUUUCAAAGUUGUGAGAUCCCUCUAAACACAUGUCUCGCUCAAAAGGAAAUUUUGAGUCUGUAGCAGUGUCAUUCAUGUCAUUGAUAUUUAGGGACCUAUUGUAAGUACAAAAGAAUAUACUAAGAAUAUAUGAAGUUAUGUACAAUAUGAUUAUGAAUGCAAUAAUGAUUUAGAAGAAAGAAUAAAAGAAUAAAAAUAAUCAUUCAUAAGAAAUGAAAGAAUAUUGGUUCAAAAAGAUCGCAAAGAUGCAUUCCAUUAAAAUAAUGACGUUUAGACAUAAGCCUAUUUCACAAAAGAGUUCUUAUUGCCUCUAGGUUAAAAGCAACAAGUGUGUUCUGAAUAUUACUCUAAGUAGGCUCUAAAUACUACAGGGAUUUCUUCCACAGUCCCUUCUUCAGAUAACAGAUGUGAACAUUCCCCAACUUCUUCAUGCAUUGUAAUCACUCCAUUAUCAAUCAUGAUUGGGUAGCAGAUCCCCUGCUACGUUUGUUCUUGAUGGCUCGCCAAAUUUUACGAUCCCCAUAUUAAUAAAUCUCUCAACCAACUUCUUGAAAGUAGUACAAUUUUCAAUCGAGUGCUCCGUAAUUACCGCAUGAUACUCGCAUUGGGCAUUCGCGUCGUACCAUUUAGGAUAUGGAGGUUGCAUGGGUUUUAGAUAAGAGGGAGAUACCAUAUGUGCAUCAUAUAAGUUCUGGUACAGCUCUCUAUAUGUCAUUGGGAUAAGUGUGAAUUUGGGUCUUUCUUCAUUUGGCCUUGGAUUAGUUUCCUGCCUUGAAGAACCUUGAUGGUUAGUGGUUACUGCUCUUGCUUGUCCCACCGUGAUUGAUUUAGAAUAGCCCUUGUUAAACACACUUGCAUUGUUUAUCUCGUGCUCUUUCUUCCUUGGAGUCGACCUCUGGGCACUUUCUCCUGCUUCUAUCUUGCCGCAUCUUAUGGCGUUCUCUAUCAUUUCCCCAGACAUCACUAUGUUUGAAAAGCUUUUAGUGGCACUGCCCAACAUGUGAUUGAGAAAUGGAGCUUUCAAAGUAUUGAUAAAAAGCAUGGUUAUCUCUUUCUCUAAAAGUGGUGGUUGAACUUGCGCUGCCACCUCCCUCUAUCUCUGAGCAUACUGUCGGAAGCUCUCAUUAGGCUUCUUUUCCAUGUUUUGCAAUACAAUUUGAUCUGGUGCUAUAUCCAUCACAUGUCUGUACUGCUUUAUAAAGGCUUGCGCCAAAUCUUUUCACGAGUGGAUGUUAGCCCAACUCAAUUAAUUGUACCAUCUAGCCGCUGACCCGAUCAAACUGUCCUGGAAGCAGUGAAUCAGUUGCUGAUCAUUGUUGAUGUAUCCGGCCAUCCUUCGACAAAACAUAGUGAUAUGAGCUUCGGGACAACUUGUUCCGUUAUACUUCUCAAAUUCUGACAUUUUAAAUUUGGGAGGGAGAACCAAAUUGGGUACCAAGCUCAAAUCUUUAGCGUCCAUUCCUCGAUGGUAAUCAGCAUUUUCCAUGGCUUUAAACUUCUCCUCUAGCCAUUUACAUCGGUCCUCUAAUUGCUUUGACAGAUCCACUUUUGAUUUUUCCACUUCUGCCACGUCAUCGGGAUCAAGAACCAUGAGAUUGGUACGAUUCUCUCUGGGAUUAUUACCUACUCCGAUUUGAAAGUUCAUUGGCAUUGAAAGACCCGUCUGAAACUGCUGGGAUCUGAUUGUAAUAGAGGAUUUUUGUGGGUAAAGCUUAGCUUGAGUAUGCGCGUGCGGAGGGGUAAAGCCUGGAGGGUAAAGGGGUUCAUCAUUAUUUCCCUCUUCAACAUCAACUAUAGGGUCCUUUCCCUUGUCAUUUCCUUCUCUCAAUAGCUGCGUUAACUUUGCCAUCAUGUCAUUCUGGGACUCUCGCAUCUUUUCUGUCAUCUUUUACUGAAUUCUUUCCAGCCACUCUUGUAUCUGAUCUUGCAUAUCUUUUUGGAGCUGUUCAAGCUUUUCUAAUCUCUGAUCCAUGUUCUUUGAUUUCGCUCGAGUUCCGUAAGGGUGUCGAUUUUCAAGGUUAACUAAAAUAAUUUUAUUCAAUUAGGGUCUUUUAAUGGUUCUUAAUGCACAUGAUGUUAUGUAAUGCAAAUGCAUGAAAUGAAUGCAGAAAGAGACGUUGAUUCUUGGUUCAAUUCUUAUUGGAACAACUUUACUAGAAAACAAAUCUCUUUACAUAAAGCGGAUAUAUAUACGGCUUUGCCGUCAUUCUAAGACAACGAUCCUUUUCUUCAUUCGUGCGUUAAGAUUAAUCUCACGAACUCUUCAAAAUAGACGUAUCCUCUAUCUCCCUUUUGCUUGAUCUGGGCUAUGACUCGUUGCUCGCUUAUCUUCGUGAUGCUCAUGGCUUCUCUUUAAGAAAGUUCAGCGGCUCUCGAAUAAUCUUUGUCAUCUUGAAUUCUCGGGCAACGGAGCAAUGGUCGUGUAGUCCUCCAUUAAACUAUCAUCCUUCUCUUAUCACGUUUUCUUAGACCAUAUUCGGACAAUCGUAUUAUUAUCCACUUUAUCAAGAAACCCAUUUCCUUAUGACAAGCUCUCUAUUUAACAACCGAACGUGAAUCAACACCUCUUUUUAUGAUGAAAAUGCAAUGCAAUCAUAACAAAAAAAAAACAGGUUAGUACAAAGUAAGAGCAAGCAAGAAUAAAUAGAACACCUAUUUGGGUGAAUACUAGGGGUUCGAAGUGGUUCUACCUAUGGUGGGCUCCUAAGGUUCACUACAUGAGGUUUGGCUCUAAAGUAAGGGUACCCGAACUAGUAGAUUCCUCGAUCUUCACCCAUUAUAGGCUCAUAUAGACCUAGUUCGGUUCAGGGGAAUACAUUUCCCUAUGGCUGCACGGAGAUGAAAAUCUCACGAAGACAUAGGUACGGAUGUAUCCCGGAAGCGAUUCACUAUCCCAUGCGGAGGUGAAAACCUCACGAAGGCGUAGUUUCUCACUCCCACUUAAAAAGGUGUGACCAAAGGUCAUGCAAUGCAAUAUGCAGCAAGAUACCAAAAUUUAAAUCAAUACAACAAUUACACCGAUGAGAAUUGUGAUAAAACGAGUGAAAUGCAAUGAAAGGAUCGUAUAUUUAAAUCAAGUUUUCAAUUUUCGACAAAAAAAAACAAAAGGUAAUCAACUCGUGGCUCGACUCACUUAUUUUGAAAAAGUCCCCAGCGGAGUCACCAAACUGUUGACACCAUUUUUUUUGGAUAAAAACAGGGUCGACUUGGGUUUUGAAAAAUGAAAACGAAAGUGGGAGUCGCCACUAAUCUUUUUUGAUGAGGUGUGAUCGGGUCACCUUUAAAAGCGGUUGUUUUUAAUAAACAAUUUAAUUUUAUUAAAACAACGAGUUUGGUCUACGAAAUUCAGAAAACGGGUUCGAGAGUCGGUUACGUACGAGGAAGGAUUAGCACCCUCGUAACGCCCAAAAUUGGUACCUAGUUGAUUAGUUAAUGUCUUGAUGUCGAAAAUCGAGAACUUGGAAAAAUUAAAAAUACGAUCCUUGUAUUAAAUAAAAAUUUGGGAAAAGAAGCAUAUUUCACGUUAAUCGAGAAAGAGAAUCAUAUCCUGUAAGUUAAAAUACAAUGUCUCAAAUUCCCGAUACGCGAAUGGAAAAUGCUUAUUUAAAAGAUAAUCCUGAAAACACUUGUGCAAUAUUUUAGCUCCAUCAUAUCAUAUCUUUCCCCAGCUUAAAAGAAGUUGAACUUAGUUUUCUUCAAAUAUAAAUAGUGGAAUUUGAGGUGAUGAUAAUCGAAUUUCAGCAUGAUUUCUCAAGGAUUAUUACAAAAAAUAUGGAGCUUCUGAAUUCGUUAAAAAAGAACAAGGUAAGCAAUUAUAGACAGUUGUUCCUUGGUUAAUUCUGUUGUUAAGGUGGAAAUGAUCACAGCAUUGUUAAGCUCUUGCAACUUCUAAACGGAGGCAAGGGCCCUGUUUGUACCAACAUCACUCUCGGAAAACACAAAAUUGCUGGAUAAAUCCCACAAUUCCACCACCCCUUCAUCAUGCAAACUUAUUGGUUUGACACCAGCUAGAAUGAGAUUCUUUGCUGCACAAUGAAGAAUAAAAAUUGAUCAGUAAUGGCAAUUUGCUUCUUCGCUAUGUGUAGUGUAGAGCAGUUAAUAAAAAUGAAGAAUAAACAUUGCCACCUAAUGUGGGGGAAAUGAAAGAGUAAAAAUAAAGUGCCCUUAAAACUAAUAUAUGUUGUAGUGGGCAAAAAUCAAGUCGGUUGCUGCAUAGAUAUGUCGCUGAACCAAUCGUCGCAACUCUUUGCCAAAUGUGCAUCAAUCCAUACAGUGCCACUACUCUAUAGAUAGCUCAUCAGCGUCUCUUAUCAUUUGCAUAUUCGAGGAAGUUAAUUUUUCUGGUUACAUUAGCAAGAGGUAAGGCUUAUCAGUGAAGAUGGAAGAUUACGGGUGCGGUAUCAGUUCGAUAGCCAUGAUGCUGUUGGUGGUUGCUCUGCCGUUUUUGGGUCCACUUGGAAUGCCACCGUUGCGGCCUCCUCCCGCUUACAUUUUCCUCAUCUUCGCUUUCGUCUUCCUCUUCCUUUUCAUCUACCUCUCUCAUGCCUCCAAAUGAUGAUCCAUGGCGAUUUCAUUUGCUUUCCAGUAUUAUUACUCUUUUAUUCAGUCGUUAUCUUAAACAAUACUAUUAACCGUACAAAUAUAUAUAUUUGAAGGAUGAUAUUUCAUACUCAUAUUAUGAGUAAAGAUAUCGAAAAUAAUUAUUUUAUGUAAACAACGUAAAUGUGUAAAAGAAAAGGAAUUAAUAGGACAAAGGUGGUUAAAUAGAUUACUAUAGUUAAUGCUUCUUCCACGACUGGCCAAUUAUAAAAUUGAAAACUUUUUACAUCUGUUCUGGUUGCAGCUCUUCUUCCUCCGCUUCCUCGUAGACAAUACGUUUUCGUUUUAUGUGAGAAGUGUUACCUACUGAUCCAUCGUCGUGAGCAGAGUGUUGGUGGAUGUGUUCAAAAUUUGGAGAAGUUUGAGCGCUAUGGCACUGCAACUCUUUUAUUUCUUCCAAAUCUUUCUCAUACACUAUUCUAACACCACACUUCUUCACAUUAGCACGGUGUCCAAAUCGAUCUACGAAAGACACCUCAAGCUCAUCGCAUAUUUUAUCUAAGCAAUCUGUUGCCCAUAACUUAUUGGUUUCAGUCACAAAAUUUAUCCUCCAAGGAAAAUGGAUAUAAUUUAUCACGCGACCAAUAACGAAGAAAAAUGUGAUCUUUUAGUAUGGGCUGGUUAAAUCGUUUACCCAACAACCAGCUUCUCCAAUCAAUCCGUCGAGGAUUUCUACCUCUAAAAAUAGAUCCAUUACCGCUGGCUUGUUCAGAAUUUCUACAAUAGAUAUAUGCUCCACAACCGAUAUAUUCCUCAUCCCUUGAAGCAUCAUUAUUGACAAAAAUGCAGCAGCUAGCAACUCCAAUCCAUUGACUAUAUUUCUGAAGGUUGAUAGGCAGCGAUAUUUUAAUUGAAGAGUCACUUGUUUGUUGGCUAAACCAUUCUGGGAUUUCACUUCCGGGCAUGAUAAUAUCAAAGAUUUUUCUUGAAUUUGCAAAUGCCUGCAAAACAAAACACAAGUCGUUUGGUAACUAAAACCAUAAAUUCUCAAGUAUGAGAUUUUGUAAGGGAGAAAAAAGAGAUUAAUCGACCUUAAGAAGUUUUUUCAGCAGUGUUAAUGCAUUGAUAUUCUCAGCCAAUUUGACGCAGUUAAGGGCACUAAUGAAAGCAGAAUCCACUAAAUUGCAUACUUUUGAUGGACUUGCAACUACUUCAAGUGAAGAACAACCAUCUAUCCACACAUCUUCUAUACUUGUUGGUAGCUCAGGCAACGAUUUGAGCAUCUUGCAAUCUGACAAUCUAAUAGAAUAAAGCUUGGAAAGUCGAAUAAUAGUUGCAGGUAUGCUGCUGAAAUUGUUACCCUUAAGAUUAAGACGUUUCAAAGAGGAUAGACCAGAAAUAUCACUAGGAAUAUCUCCUUCACAAAGACUGCGGUCCCUUAGAUUCAACUCUCUUAAUGAAGUCAAACCUGAAAACAAAGGCAACAUUGGAGCCAUGAAAUGCGUCCUUCCUCUUUGGAUUACAUUGAAAAGAGAAGGUAGGUUUGGUAGUAACUUAGAUGAUGGUCCCUUUCUCCCAUUGAAAGACAAAACUUUAAGAUUUUUAAAUUGACAAAUGAAGGAUGGUGGUUUUGUUAUGGCUGAUUCACUCAAGUCGAGCUCUUCCAAAAACUUUGCUUGCUGCAAAUUCUCCGAUAAAUUUUCAACUCUAUAACAACCGGAAAGAUCUAGAGUUUUUAGACAUUCCAUUAUCCCAUCAAUCUCCGGAAACCUAACAAGACUUGAGCAACCCGAAAGAAUUAAUGUUUCAAGGGAUUCCAUUCCAAUUUUGGUCGGAAGACUCCUAAGACUUUUGCAAUCUCUUAAAUCCAAAAGUUUAAGGCACUUAAGCACUCCGAUGGAUGGAUGAACAUCCACUAAUUUGGUACAACCUUCCAAAAUCAAAACUUCAAGAUUUGAUGCUGUUGUGAAGUCUGGUGUCUUGAUCAGGUUUUGGGACCCUUUGAGGUUCAUCAUUUUCAACGUAUACAAGGGCUGUUGAAAACAAUAACAAAUUAUAAUAAUGCUCUUUUUUUUUAUCUUAAUCAAAGUUUAAUUAUUUAUAUUAAAAUAAGCUAAAACACAAGGAUCAGAUGAAUUAACUCUUACUCUAUUUCCCUUCCAUAGUUGUUCAAUGCAACUGUAUGGUAAGAGAAGUGCAACAAGGUUGUCCGGUUGAAAGCUUGAAGGCAAUGAUCUUAAAGGGCAUCCUUUCCAAUCUAAAAGCCGUAGUUCAUUAGAAAGAUAUUUGAGAUCAUCACAAUUUGAGAGGCAAAACACUUUGAGCAAUCUCAAUUUUUUCAUCUUUGAGAAGGCAUCGACACUCAAGUUGAGCAUCUUACUCGAUUCCCUAAUAACCACGAGCAAAAAAAGAAAAAGGAAGAGUUUCAGAAGAUACAAAAAUAUUCAAUACCUACAAGCUAUGUUGCAUCGAUAUUGUUUUUUAAAGCACCCAUACCCAAUAAUUAUAUCUAAUGAAUAUCCGAAUAUGGUUUUGAGAUAUGUUUGAGCAUACCCAUGAUAGACAAUACUCUAUCUAACACUUGCAUUCGACUUUUAAUUACCUAAGCCUAAAAAAACUAGAAUUAAUAUUAAUAGUACAUAUUGAUAAAUUUAUAAGUUUUUUUACCUUUUAUUGUCGAUAAUCAUGCCUUCAAUCACUUCGGUAGCCUAUAAGUAAUCAAUAAUAGACAAUAAGAAGACUGAUAAAACUUUUGAAAAUUUACAUACACAAUCUUUUGGUGGAAAUAUGGCAAAUAAAAUAUUUUGAACAAAGUAAAACAUUUUCUAAUGAGAGUAAUUCAAUAAAAUUAAAUGCUUAUAUUACAAAUUCUUAUUAAUAUUUAUGAUCAACAAAUGAAAAUCAUCUUAAAGCUACUCAAUGUCACUUAAGGAUCAAUAUAUAAAUCAAUUAGACUAAGCUUUGGAUUUACAUCAUAUAUUGAUAAAAAAAUUGCAUGUAAUUUUUGUUGAAUGAUUUACCGUGUUUUUUGUUAGGACAUGAUGGACAUCUCUUUCGUUCCACAAUCUACAACGUUUUCUAGGCUCAUCAACACAUUUUUCUUCGACAAUUUUUCUUCCCAUUUCUUGCAACAAGGCAUGCAUCCACAAAUAUUGGUUGUCACCAUCGACUUUUACGAGAGAUUUCUUAAUGAGAACAUCAAUUCCAAUAUCUGAGAAAAACUCACAACCAUCCAAUACUUUCAUUACCAAAUCUUUCUUCUCCCCAUUGAAAAAGCAUGCUAUAUCUAAAAAUAUAUUCUUCUCCCUUUCUUCCAAUCCAUCAAAGCUGAUUCUUAGUGUGUCAAGAAUUUCUUUGUUGGAAUCUCGUUUAAGUCUUUCGAUUGCACUUCUCCACUGAGCUAAAUUUCUACCACACAAAAAAGAACCCAAGACUUCAAGAGUUAAGGGGAGACCACCAGUGUAAUUUACAACAUGUUCAGAAAGCUCACUGAAAUCAUCUUUUAGCAUUGUGUCACUGUCAAAAGCUUUCAAAUUGAAAAGCCUAAGUGCAUCGUUGGGAUUCAAUGUUGUAGGUUUAUACACAUCAUCGAUUCGAUAAGAUCUGAGCAAAUGUUCAUCUCUGGUUGUUACGAUGAUCCUACUUCCUAAACUGAACCAAUCUUGCCUUCCAACUAAGCAUUUCAAGUGUUGUAUAUUAUCAACAUCAUCAAGAACAACAAGAACCUUUUUGCUAAACAACCUAUGGCUAAUUAUGGCAUUCCAUUCAUAAACAUUGAAAAAGUUGAAGCAUUCAUCUGGCAAGAUUUGAGAAAGAAGUUGUUUCUGUAAAGAGACAAGUCCACAUUUAUUUGAAACUUCUCGAAUAUCAGCAAGAAAGCUUUUACCUUCAAAAUAAGGCGACAUUUGAGUGUAAACAACCCUUGCAAGAGUUGUUUUACCGAUGCCACCCAUUCCGCAAAUUCCAAUAAUGCGGACAUCGUCUUCCCCAAUGUUUAUUUUCGAAUACAACUCCUCCAAAUGUAAGCUAAUUCCAACCAACUCGUCAUGGACAAUUGGAUAUGUCUGACAUAAUUUUGCUGAUAUCUUCUUAACAAUGUCUCCGAUAAACGCUGAUUCGUGCCUACAAUGAAAUAAAAAAUCGCUGCUAUCUUUCAAAUGCACUUUUACAUUUUUAAUUCAGUGAAUCGUGAAAUAUAAUAUAAUUGGAAGCAAACCAAAAGCUAGAAUAAGACAGCAAGAUCUGUUAUAGCAUCAAAAUACACAACUUGCUCAUUACUUGAAAUAUGAGAAUUCUCAAUUAAACACAAAGUUGCAAAAAAUAACAUGCAAUCCAAGAAAAUAUACAAUUUUUUAGUCAUUAAAAUUAGGAAAUGGAGAAGAAAAGGAAGAAAUACUUAUUAUGUAAAUGCCAUCCUUUGAUUUUAGCUACUUGAGUCAAAGCAUUUCGCCACUUUUGGAUCUUGUCUUUAUCUUCCUUGUAUCUUUCUUCGUGUUUGGCGAAGGCUUCUUCAACUUUUUCAUUUUGUUUUCUUAAAUCGGAUGGAUCCACAUCGUAGAAAAUUGGAAAUACUUUAUGUCCGUUAACAAUUUUUUGUUGAACAAUCUCAGCAAGUUCCUCCAAGCACCAUCCUGAAAAGGCAUAUGAUUCCGAGAAAAUGAUUACCGAGCACCACGACUGCUGGAUCGCUUUGAAGAGUUCCGGUGCGAUCUCUUCGCCAGCCUCCAGCUUUGGAUCAUCCCUAAAAGUGAUGAUACCACUCCUCUUUAGAGCAUCGUAGAGAUGAUCCGCGAAGUUCUUGCGGGUAUCUUCACCUCUAAAACUCAAGAAAACAUCGUAUUUCUUUCUGGAAAUGGAUGAGGAAGUCGAAAGUAACGAUGACAUGACCAUGUAUGAGAAGAUAAAUAUAUGUGAAAGGAGAAAAACAGAUGAAAUUUACAGGGAGCAACAGACGACUUUUCUUAAAAAAUUCUGUAUAUGUUUCCCACCUUUUACUUGUCCAAUAAAUUCGUGGGCCAUAGAUGAGUUAGAUUUUCUUAUAGAUUUUCAGAGUUUUUUGUUAAAAUUUGCCACAAGUCCCUGUACUUUUUUAUAAAUUUAAAUUUUAGUCCCUAUACUAUGGGUAAGUUUUUAUAGAUUAAAAAAGUUUUAAUUUGAUCAUUGAACUUUUCAAAAUUGUUUUUUUGUCACCCAACUAUUAAGUGACACUUUUUUAGUUAGUAUAAUAACAAAUUUAAUCCUCAAUUUUUAUACUUUUUUGUCAAUUUGACCCUAAUUUUAUAUAAAAUAAUAAAAAUUGAAAUUCAUUUUAAAAAAAAAUUAGAGAACUCUAAAAUUUUAAAUUAAAAUAAAAGUAAAUAAAAAUUUCAAAAAUAGAUAAAUGAGAAAGUGAGCGAAAACUGUUUAUAAACCUUCCAAAAUUUCUCUCAAAUUAUUGGUUCUAUUUUUUUUACCUCUUUUGUUUCAUGGUUCUAGAAAAUUUAAAAUUUAAUUUGUUUUUACUAUUUAAAUUUAUAAAAAAUAAUUAAAAUUUUGAAUCGAGUCUGCAAAAUAAAAAUUUUAUGGUAUAAUUUGUUUUUUUUUCUAGAAAAUGGCAUUAGAGUCUAUUUCUUAAGCCUCUGUAAUAUUAAUUCUAGAUGUUCUUCAAGGACAUAAAACUUAACUUGAAGAUAUUACUAAUUUAGUUUUAAGAAACAUUGAAGAAACACGUAAUAAUCUAACAUUUUUUGGUUUUGUUCUAUUUUUAAUUUAUUCUAAGAUUCUAUUGAAUAAUAAUUUUCUAUAUUUCCCAUACAGUUCUUCACAAAUUAAGAGAUAUUCGUGGACAGAUGUUCAGUAGCAUGUAUUGGGGUUAUGAAGUCAAACGAAUAAGUUGUGAUUUGGGCCCAUACCAUCUCCAUUUCAGUUUUCAUUUUUAAGUUACUAUUAUUUUAUUUUAUCUUAAUUUCUUUUCAUCAUUCUUUUCUUUUUGCUUUUGAUUGUUGGAAACUUGGAGUACUUGGGCAUUCCCAAGCCUCGCUUUGGGACUUCUUGAUAGCACACCGGCCUUAUAGCAAAUUAAAUGGGAUAUAAACAUUGUGACAUUAAUCUCAUAUUUUGAAAGUUUUCAGAAUCAAAUUGGUGAUUGAAUUAAUUAACUCAUUGGUUUUUUAUUACUUCAUUCGAUUUAAUUAAUUAAAUUAUUAAAAAUUAUAAAUAUUAAAAUAUUACAUAAUAGUAAAAAUCAAUUUAACUGUUGAUUCAACAUGUUUCGAGCUGUUUGUGAGUUGUAAAUACACUUUCAGAAAAUCUCCACCAUAUCACAUCUUUCCCCAGCUUGAAAGAAGUACAACUUAGUUUUCUUCGGAUAUAAAUAGUGGAAUUUGAGGUGAUGAUAAUCGAAUUUCAGCAUGAUUUCUCAAGGAUUGUUACAAAAAGUAUGGAACUUCUGAAUUCAUUAAAAAGGAACAAGGUAAGAAAUUGUAGACUGUUGUUCCCUGGUUAAUGCUGUUGUUAAGGUGGAAAUUGAUCACAGCAUUGUUAAACUCCUGCAACUUCUAAACAGAGGCAAGGGCCCUGUUUUUACCAACAUCACUCUCGGUAAACACAAAAUUGCUGGAUAAAUCCCACAAUUCCACCACCCCUUCAUCAUGCAAACUCAUACCUCUACAUUGACAUGAUGAAAGACAACAAUAUGCAAUAAAAGAUCUAAGAGAAAAAACCAACGUUAUGUCAUGAAAAAGAACAACCCCCCCCCCAACCCAGUGGAACCUCCUGUUAAAAUUAAUCACUAAUGGCAAUUUUCUUCUUGCUAUGUGUAGUGUAGAGAAGAAUAAAAAUGAAGUUAAUAAAUGUUGCGGAAAGGAUCGAUUCGAGAACUCCGAUAUGACUACAAGUAAAUUGACCGGAACGAAAAAAUAAAGUGAACACAAGGAUUUACGUGGUUCGGCUUUAAUGCCUACGUCCACGGGCAGAGGCGAAAAGAAAUUUCACUAUAACAAGAUGAAGAUUACAAGUGUUUUACACUCAAGACACAACCCGAGAACCUCACAACUCUCAACCCCUAUAGAAAACCCGAAAGCUAAAAUCCUAGCUUUCAAAGAACAAGCUUUGCUCUCUCUUGGUUUGGGAUGAUUUAUAUGGCUAAUGAACCUCUCUAUUUAUAAGAGAGUUCAAGGACAUAAUUGUCCAAAACUUUGGCAAAGAUUUGUGGUUGAAAAUGGACACCAACAACCAUCCACUAAUCCACUACCACCAACAACCCACUACCAACAACAACAAUCCACUACCAAUUUUAAGCCAUUUCUUAACAAAUCUCCACCUUGGCUUGAAAUUUACCAAGCUGAACAUCAUAGUGAAUUCCUCGAACUGGAUCACCUCUUCCAAACGCCUCUCUGGCGCUAAUCAAUCCCGAAUACCUAUCAAGUCCAAGCAAUGCUUGAACUUAUAUGCAGGGAUCACCUUAGUUAACAUAUCUGCAGGAUUCUUCUCGGUAGCAACCUUGCUGAUAACAAUGUCACCUUGCGUAACAUGUUCCCGAACAAAAUGAUAUCUGACAUCAAUGUGUUUGGUCCGUUCAUGAAACAUCUGAUUUUUAGUCAGAUGUAUGGCACUCUGGCUAUCGCAAAAUACAACAGUGAAAUCCUGUUGUAAACCCAAACUGCUUACUAGACCUUUCAUCCACAAUGCUUCUUUCACUGCUUCUGCUAACGCCAUAUAUUCCGCCUCAGUCGUAGAUAAGGCUACGGUAGACUGUAACACAGCUUUCCAACUAAUGGCUCCUCCAGAAUAAGUGAAAACAUAACCCGUCAGAGAUCUUCUUUUGUCCAGAUCUCCAGCAUAAUCAGAGUCCACAUAGCCCGUGACACUGCUAGUGCAGUCACUCUGAUCAUAUACCAAGCAUAAAUCUGCAGAACCUCUCAAGUACCUGAGAAUCCAUUUCACGGCCUGCCAGUGUUCCUUGCCAGGACAACUCAUGUAUCUGCUGACCACACUAACUGCAUGUGAAAUGUCUGGACGAGUGCAAACCAUUGCAUACAUCACGCUUCCAACUGCACUCGAGUAUGGAAUGUGAGACAUUUGCUGCUUUUCUUCAUCAGAUUGUGGUGACAACUCUGUAGAGAGUUUGAAAUGUGGUGCCAACGGAGUACUCACAGUUUUCGCUUUAUCCAUGCCGAAGCGUUGAAGAACCUUUUCAAUGUAGUUCUUCUGCGACACACGAAGCUUGCCCGCCUUGCGAUCUCUGUGAAUAUCCAUGCCCAAAAUUUUCUUGGCAGCACCCAGAUCCUUCAUCUCGAACUCACCACUCAACUGCGACUUUAACUUGUUGAUUUCCGACAUGUUUUUGGAAGCAAUUAACAUGUCAUCAACAUACAGCAACAAAUAAAUGUGCGAACCAUCUGAGAGCUUCCGAUGAUAGACACAAGCAUCAUAGUCACAUCUUGUGUAACCAUGCUGAAUCAUGAAGCUAUCAAACCGCUUGUACCACUGCCUUGGGGAUUGUUUCAAUCCAUAUAAAGACUUCUUUAAUAGACAGACAUGGUCUUCUUUACCAGGAACUGUAAAACCCUCUGGUUGACGCAUGUAGAUUGUUUCCUCGAGCUCACCAUGCAAGAACGCCGUUUUUACGUCAAGCUGCUCAAGUUCUAGAUCAGACUUGGCCACCAUGGCAAGUAAUAUACGAAUGGAAGAAUGCUUUACGACUGGGGAGAAAACUUCAUUGUAGUCAAUCCCCUCUUUCUGAGUGAAGCCUUUAGCAACCAAUCGUGCCUUGAAUCUAGUUGCUUCAACCCCUAGGAUGCCUUCCUUUUUCUUGAAGACCCAUUUGCAACCAACUAUCUUCUGGUUACUUGGCGGCUUAACCAACUCCCAAGUAUGGUUCUUGUGAAGAGAUUCUAUCUCCUCACUCAUAGCAAUUGCCCACUGUGCCGACUCAUCACACGUGACAGCCUCAUUAUAACUGGAAGGUUCUAUACCAAUGGACUCCGCCACACUGAGCGCGAAAGACACCAGAUUAGCGUAACGCGGAUUUGGUUUGAUUUGUCUCUUCGUUCUUCCAGUGGCAAUGCUAUAUGGUUUUUCUUGAGGUGACUCAUCUUCAUCGGAAUCUUGCACCUCAACUUGAUCAUCCUGGACUGAAGUACCUUCCGUAGGAAUUGGAGCGUCCACCUGACACUCCACCUGCUUCUCAACACCGUGAUCUCCCAUUCUAUCUGACUCCUCCUUUUCCCGGGAAUUUGUGGUGGAUCGAAGCAUGGAUGACUCAUCAAAAGUCACAUCUCUGCUGAUGAUGAACUUGGACGAAACCGGAUCAGGACACCACAACCUGUAUCCUUUCACCCCUUGGCCGUAUCCAAGAAAUAUGCAUUUCUUCGCCCUCGGUUUGAGUUUUCCCUCAUUUACAUGAGCAUACGCAGGGCAGCCAAACACUCUUAAACCAGAGUAAUCAGCAGGAGAACCAGACCAUACUUCCUCAGGAGUCUUCAGCUCAAUAGCUGUUGACGGAGAUCUGUUAACCAAAUAACAAGCAGUAUUAACAGCUUCAGCCCAAAAUUCUUCACCGAGCCCAGCAUUUGAUCGCAUGCAACGAGCUCGCUCCAAGAGAGUUCUAUUCAUGCGUUCUGCAACUCCAUUUUGUUGUGGUGUUCGACGAACAGUGCGGUGUCUCACUAUUCCUUCAUUUUUGCAGAACUCAUUGAAUUCACCUGAGCAAAACUCCAAGCCAUUAUCCGUCCGGAAUCGCUUGAUCUUCUUUCCUGUUUGAUUUUCGAUCAAAGCUUUAAAUUGCUUGAAGUUGAUGAGAACCUCAUACUUGCUCUUCAGAAAAUACACCCAAACCUUUCUCGAGUAAUCAUCGAUAAAGGUAAGCAGAUAUCUGUAACCACCUUUAGAAAUUGUCGGAGAAGGCCCCCAAAGGUCAGAAUGGAAGUAAUCCACUGUGCCUUUUGUCUUGUGAAUCCCAGUGCUGAACUUUACCCGAGUCUGCUUACCGAAGACGCAGUGCUCACAGAAAUUCAACUUUCCUGUACUCUGCCCAGACAAUAAUCCUCGUUUGCUUAGCACCGAUAAGCCUCUCUCGCUCAUAUGCCCGAGCCGCAUAUGCCAUAACUUCGUGGUGUCAGAAUCUAGAUCAUCUGAUGAUGACACUCCCGCAACACCUGUAACCGAGGAACCAUCGAGGAAGUAAAGGCCCCGCUCCAAAUUACCACGUAUCACAGUCAAAGCACCCGAGAAUACCUUGAGAACUCCACCUUCAGCAGAGUACCGAAAGCCUUUCUUGUCCAACGUACUCAAAGAGAUCAAAUUUUUCUUCAUUUCUGGAAUGUGCCGAACAUCAGUUAGAGUUCUAACAAUACCGUCAAACAUCUUUAUACGAACUGUGCCAAUCCCCAUGACUUGACAUGCGUGGUCAUUUCCCAUUAGUACUGAACCAGAAUGCUUCUCGUAUGUUGAGAAUGCAUCUUUCGAAGUACUUAUAUGAAAUGUAGCUCCCGUAUCAAGAAUCCAUCUCCCACCAGCGUAAGAGUCGGAUACUGCAAGAACGAUCUCGGCAUCACUUGAAGAAUCUGCAUCAGCUACAUUCGCACGAUCAUUUUGUUGCUCCUGUGAUUCUGAUUUCUCCUUCCUUUUCGGACAAUCUACCUUCAUGUGCCCGUACUUCUUACAGUAGUAGCACUGUAUUCUCUUCUUGGACUGCGAUCUAGGAUGGCUUUUACUUGAACUUCCACCCUUUGCCUUGGAUCUUCCUCGAGCAACCAAGCCUUCGCCUUCAUUGUUUUCGACCACCUUACCAGUGAUUUUCUUCCUCAACUCACUGGAACUUAAGGCAUUUUUCACCUCCUCUAGAGUCAGGUCAUCACGACCGUACAUCAUUGUAUCAACAAAAUUCUCAUACGAGGGAGGCAAAGAACACAAAACAAUUAUUGCUUGGUCCUCAUCAUCGAUUUUGUUAUCGAUAUUAUUCAAAUCCAUGAUAAUGGAAUUGAAUUUAUCCAGGUGCUGGGAAACAGGUGUACCUUCCUCCAUCUUCAGGGCAUAGAGUCUUUGCUUGAGGUAGAGCCGGUUCGUCAAUGACUUCGUCAUGUACUUGCUCUCUAACCGGAGCCACAAACCGGACGCGGUUUUCUCAUCCGCUACUUCUCGUAGCACUUCAUCUCCUAGACAUAGCAGAAUAGCACUAUGUGCUCUUUCUAGCAUGUCAUCCUUUUGCUCUUCCGAAAGCGUGCUUGGUAAUUUAUCUUUACCAGACAAUGCUUUUAGCAAUCCUUGUUGAACCAGCACUGCCCGCAUCUUGAUGCGCCAUAAACUGAAACUAUUUUUCCCGGUAAAUUUCUCGACAUCAUACUUAGUCGAUGAAACACUUGUAGCCAUAAUUUGGAACCUUUGAAUGAAUGAUAAUAUUUUCUUCCUGAUGUGAAAGAUCAGACAAAGCUGCAGUCACAGGGCAAUUCAGAAAAUAUUAUCACUCCUUCAACUACGCUCUGAUACCAAUUUGUUGCGGAAAGGAUCGAUUCGAGAACUCCGAUAUGACUACAAGUAAAUUGACCGGAACGAAAAAAUAAAGUGAACACAAGGAUUUACGUGGUUCGGCUUUAAUGCCUACGUCCACGGGCAGAGGCGAAAAGAAAUUUCACUAUAACAAGAUGAAGAUUACAAGUGUUUUACACUCAAGACACAACCCGAGAACCUCACAACUCUCAACCCCUAUAGAAAACCCGAAAGCUAAAAUCCUAGCUUUCAAAGAACAAGCUUUGCUCUCUCUUGGUUUGGGAUGAUUUAUAUGGCUAAUGAACCUCUCUAUUUAUAAGAGAGUUCAAGGACAUAAUUGUCCAAAACUUUGGCAAAGAUUUGUGGUUGAAAAUGGACACCAACAACCAUCCACUAAUCCACUACCACCAACAACCCACUACCAACAACAACAAUCCACUACCAAUUUUAAGCCAUUUCUUAACAAUAAAUAAGCUGUUUCAGCCAUUGGCAUAGACAUUGCCACCUAAUGUGGGGGAAAUGAAAGAGUAAAUAUAGUACAAGGAAGAUUACAGAAUCUCUUUAACUAUCUAUUUAUUAAUUCAGGCAUAAAUAUAUUGCAGGUCUAAAAUAUGAAGGUAAACCUUCGAACAAGAGAUAAGUAAAAAACAUAUUCUUGGUGCAUGGAUAUCCCGUGAUUAAUCCUCCAUUUAAGUGUCUAAGAAAGUAAGAAUUCAAUCCAAUUAAUUCCUCAAUCAGCCCAAUUACAUAAGCAUGCAGCCUACCUCUACUCUAGUAGUACUAUACAAUACAGCAUCCAACGUAUCACAGAAGAAAAUCAUUAGCAGCAACAUGUUGAAUGUGCGAUAGAGUGGGCACUAUUAUCAGGUUAUCCUAUAACUUUUAUUUUAAGCUGAAUCCUCUUGUUUUUUUAUUUUUUGCAAAGUCAGCGAAAUACACUGAAUCCCCUUGUUAGAACACUAUUCUUACCGGCCGACGAAUUAAUAAGCUUGAAAUUGGAAAAAUCUUAUAGAUCCCCUCUUAUAUGCCUCUGACCCAAACAUACAAGCACAGAAUCAUCACCAGAUCAAAGUUUUUGACUAAGAACUAGCGUAAAGCUAGUGAGGUUACAUAUACACUCAUAACGCCUAAAAACCCAAGAAAUAAUAAAAAAAACCACCUGUAAAUAACUCCUAAAUCAACUCAUUAUAACGAAUUUCAAAACACUAAAAUUUAAUAGAAAACUAAUAUAUGUUUUAGAGGGCAAAAAUCACGUCGGUUGCUGCAUAGAUAUGUCGCUGAACCAAUCUUCGCAACUCUUUGCCAAAGGUGCAUCAAUCCAUACAGUGCCACUACUCUAUAUAUAGAUCAUCAACGUCUCUUAUCAUUUGCAUAUUCGAGGAAAUAAAAUUUUCUGGUUACAUUAGCAAGAGGUAAGGCAUAUCAGUGAAGAUGGAAGAUUACCGGCGCGGUAUCAGUUCGAUAGCCAUGAUGCUGUUGGUGGUUGCUCUGCUGUUUUUGGCUCCGCUCGGAAUGCCACCAUUGCAGCCUCCUCCCGCUUACAUUUUCCUCAUCUUCGCUUUCGUCUUGCUCUUCCUUUUCAUCUACCUCUCUCUUGCCUCCAAAUGAUGAUCCAUGGAGAUUUCAUUUGCUUUCCAGAAUUAUUAUUCUCUUCUAUUCAGUCGUAUCUGAUGAUAAUAUGCUUUGCUCGGGAUAUUAACCGCCAAUAAUACACGGUUAUUUGUUGUUUUCAGUCGUUUAUUAAUUAAUUAUAUGAAUUUGAUGGAAGAAUGUUUGGGUUUAUGUAGGACGUAAAUAAAUCAUGCAAUGCAUGCAUACUUAUGUUGCGACACGAUGCCUUUCACUAAUAUGGUUCUUUCUUUCACUCCCAUUGACUUACGUACGUUGCAUGCGUUGUCCCUUCAUGCCGUCUAUUUACUACUGGAUUAAUAAUGUCGUUAAUUCAUCAAUCAUGUCUUAAAAAUCAAUUUAAGUAUGGAGGGACUAAAGCUCUUUUUUCGCUAGUCUUCUUAUGUAAAUUUAAUUUACUCAGGUUGUGCUCAUGAACUUAGAUUCAAAAUAUGGAUUUAAAUUUAGUCUAUGCUUCCUGCUGCAGUUGUGGUUAACUUUCAAGAAAGUACAUAUUCAGGAAAGCCAAACAAUUCAAGAUCACUUAAAUUGUACGGAUCAUACGUUGUCAUCAACAGUAGUAGAUAACAAGUAGGUGGAAAAUUGCAUAUAUGGGUAAUUAGAGAAGUAGCAGGUAGAGCUGGAAAAAUAGAUGGAUCGUACAUGAGAGAGCAAGCAUUUGGGUUUUCGUCGCUAAAAAUUUGAGGAUAAGCAAACUCGGAGUAGUACUUGGAUGGGUAAUAUUCACUUCGUUCCAUAUGUCACUCAUCUUCUUGCCAUCGUCUCCAUCCAUCUCCUUUGCCUUGAUCUUCUUCUUUCUUCUCAUCUGCAUCUUUCUUCUUUUCUUCCCUUCGUCAUUCACUAUACAUUAAUUAUGGUAUUAUACAAAGAAAAAAAAGCGCCAACUACGGAUCCAGUGGAAUUUGUAGUGGAGAUUCCGUUAAAAUCUUGAGACAUAAAAUUUUACUAAAUUUCAAAAAUAAAAUUUGAAAUAUUUGAUGGAAUUUUGAAAUUAAUGAGUUAUCAAUUUUGAGCAUUGUAAGGAUGCUAUAACCUUUAAUUUAUAAAAAUUGAAAGGGGUUUAUAAAAUGUGAUUUUAUAGAUGGCGGAUUACACAUGGCCAACAAAGAUUUGUUUUAUUAUAUGUGAAUAGUUAAAAUUGAAAUUUAAAAAUAAGAAAUCUAAUAUUUAACUAUGAUCCCGUUUUGAAAAUUAAUAAAUUAUCAAUUUUGGGCGUCGUAGUCGUAGGAGUACUAUAACCUUUUCUACCCAUAACUGAUUCUCCAACCUAAUUUUUCUCUAGAUUUAAACACGGAUCUUAAAAUUGUUCUUAAAGGCAUUUUAAAAUUUCUUUAUAAAAUUUGAUUUUAUGGGUUACUGGUCACAUCUAGUAAAAAUAGAUAGUGAUGAGUUUUAAUUUGAAACAUUCAUGCAUUGUAAUUUAAUUACUAUUAGAUUCCUUGAUUCAUUUAUUCUAAAAGCAUUCACGCUUUACUCGACCAAAGUCAUCCAUUCAUGGGAUGCCUUCCUUUGCACUCAAGCAAUGCUCGACUUGGAAGGCACUUGGAAGGCAAUCGAAGUUGCUUGUGGUAGAAGGCCGAUCGAAGCCAGAGCGCUGGUAGAUGAAACCUUUCUCGCUGACUGGAUAAUGGAUUGCUAGGAUAAAGGAGAUAUUCUGGCCGCUGUCGAUGGGAGGUUGGGAAAGAAGUUUGUGUCUUAUGGUCGCGCCAUUCCUCCAACUACAGAGUCGCUUGUGUCUUAUUCAUCAUACAAAUAUUUUUUUUUUAAGGAUUUGUGAUCCAAAUUCAAAAUAUUUGGUGAUAGAGCGUACUGCAGCUUCAAAGGCCAAAGUUGUUGUAAAUUUACAACAAUUGUAUAAAGUGUUGCAUAAGCCCUCGAAGCCCCCAUGUUCUUGUUGGAGUUGGAAUCCUCAUUUGUAACAGGCACUGUAUCAAAUAUUUCAACCAUUAAUCAAAAACUUGUUUUUCAGGGAAUUGAUUUUUUGCAUCUGAAUCGAAGGUUUGAAAAGUUAAUCUUAUCAUUUUUUAUUUAUUAAAUGUGUCGUAUUUAUAUCAAGGAUUGUCGUAUUUAUAUCAAGGGUUUUAUUUUAAACUUUUAAUUUCAAAAUGCAUUUUGCCUUCUUUGAUUUAGUACUCUCUAUAUCAAUUUCAUGUUUGUGAAAUUCAUCCAUUCUAAAUGCAUUUUGCGUUCUUUGAUCAUCAACUAUAUCAAUUUCAUGUUGGUAUUAUGAACACCGAUAUAUUUGUACGAAAUGGCUAGUGAAGUAGUUUACACAAUUAUUGCUUCUUCCCUUAUCGGCCGGCCGUUAUAGAAUUGAACAUUUUUUGCAUCCCUUUAGGCUGCGGCCCGUCUUCUUCUGUUUCCUCGUGGAUAUCACGUUUUCGUUUUACAAGGGAAGUGCUGCUUGCGGAUCCAUCAUUUUCAAUAGUGAUGAUGGAUAUGUUCAACGUUUGGAGAAGAUUGAGUGGUAUGGCACUGCACCUAUUUUAUUUCUUCCAAAUCUUUUGUUGUACAUUAUUCUAACACCACAGUUCUUCACCUUAAGAGAAGAAGACCUUUUUGAGUCUUGGAAAGACAUCUCAAGCUCAUCGCAUUCAUGAUCAGCAAUCCAUUGUCCAUAAAUUCUUGGUUUCACAUUUAUCCUUCAAGGAUAAUGGAUAUAAUAAUUAACGCGAGAAAUAACGAAGAAAAAGGUGGUCCUUUGUUAUGGGUCGUCGAUCAAAAUUAAGGAAACUGGAAUCGACCUCUUGAGGAUUUUUAACUUGAAAAACAGAUCCAUUACUACUAUGUUGUCCAGAAUUUCUAGAAUGGAUAUAAGUUGGACCACCGAUAACUUUUCUCUUGGAAUCACCAUCAUCGCCGAAAAUGCAGCAGAAAGCAACUCCAAUCUAUUGACUGUCAUUCUGAAUAUUUAGAGGCAAAGGUAUUUCAAUUACAGAGCCGCCUCUCUGCUGGCUGAACCAUUCUGGGAUUACAUUUCCAGGUAUAACAACAUCAAAUCUUUUUCUUGAAUUCGCAAAUGCCUGCAAAUUAAAACAUCAGUCGUUCUUGAAUUUGCUAAAUAAAAUAUCUGUCACAUUUAAGUCAUUAAACAAGAAUUUUGAAAGAUGAAAAAUAGAAGCAAAAACCGUAUGUUGGAUUGAGAGAAGAAGAUGACUUAUCUCAUUACUUGAAUAAGUAACAUAACAUAUACAUAAAUAGUUCUAUUGCAUUGGAAGAAAAUAAACAUUGCUUGUGCAAGUAAGCAAGCUGUAAAAUCAGCUUAAUGAUAACAUAAAGCCUAUUAAAUCUGCUAAGUACAUGGCUGAACCUCAGCAAAACAAAAAGUUACAAUCAAAUCAAACAUAAGUCACAUGUUAAAAAAGUUAAAUGACCGAAAUACAGCAUGGAGAUUUGCAUGUUGCUGCAUUGUUGCUUGGACACUUGCAUGCUGCUGCAUUGUUGCCAACUUUCAACACUCCUCCUUGGCUACAAAGUAGUAGACUCCAAUUUCCUUCCUCAGAUACUCAAACCUUGUGGCAGCUAAUGGCUUGGUCAAAAUGUCUGCGAGCUGAACCUCCGAGCAGCAAUGAAUCAAGUUGACUUCCUUUAACAAUUCUGCCUCCCUUACAAAAUGAUACUUGAUCUUGCCAUGAAAUACAAGAUUCUUGGCAACGGCAACAGUUGACUGAUUAUCUACUUUGAUAUCUGUUGCUUCCACUUGAUCAACAUUCAAGUCACUUAAAAGCUUUCUAAGUCAAAUUGCUUAAUUAACAGCAAUAGCAGCUAUAACAUACUUUGCCUCUGCAGUGGAUUGAGUUACUGUCUGGUAUUUCUUAGAACUCUAACUAAAAACUGCUGAGCCUAGAGUGAAAAAGUAGCCCGAUGUACUCUUCAUGUCAUCAACUGAACUAGCCCAGUCAUUGUUUGAAUAGCCAACUAGUUUCAGUUCUUCAGCUUUCACAAACUUCACUCCAUAGCUUAAGGUUCCUUUGACAUACCUUAGGACCCUUUUGGCAGCCUUGAAAUGAGCAAAAUUACAAUAAUGCAUGAACCUCGAUAAAUGGCUAACUGCAUAUAUGGUGUCUAGCCUUGUUGUUGUGAAAUAGAGCAGACAACCAACUAGACUUCUAUUGCUCUUCUCAUCAACUCGAGCAUGUCACUGUUGCUGGAGAGUUUUUCUCCUUGUGCCACAGGAGUGUUAGCAGGUUUGCUAUUUGUCAUGCAAAUCUUGCUUAAAUUUUUUGAAGCAAAAGACUGUUGGCUUAUGAAGAUGCCAUGUUCAUUCUAUUUCACUUCCAUACCAAGGAAGUAGGUCAUCAAUCCUAGAUUAGUCAUCUUGAAAACAUCUUGCAUUUGCUUCUUGAAUUCUUCAAUCAACUCACUUCUACAACCAGUAACCAACAAGUCAUCCACAUACAGAGACACAAUCAACAAGGUUUCUUUCUCAACCUUCUUUACAUAGAGUGUAGGCUCAUUAGUUCUCUUCUCGAACCCCAGCCUUGACAGGUAAGCAUCAAUCCUGUCAUACUAGGCCCUUGGAGCCUGUUUUAGGCCAUACAAGGCCUUCUUGAGCUUGUAAACCUUGUGCUUUUCACCAAGAACCUUGAAUCUAUCAGGUUACUCAACAAAGAUCUCCUCAUUGAGAAAUCUAUUCAGAAAACUGAUUUAACAUCCAGCUGAUGCAUUUUCCACUGCUUCUGAGCAGCUAAGGCAAACAACAACCUUAUGGUGUCUAGCCUUGCAACUGGUGCAAAUGUUUUAGAGAAAUCGGUGCCAUACUGUUGACUAUCCCUUUCACAACUAGUCUUGCCUUGUGCUUGUUCAGUGACCCAUCUGCAUUGUUCUUGGUCCUGAACACCCAUUUUACACCAAUAACUUUCCUAUUUACUUGCAUGUUAACCAGCUCCCAUGUGUCAUUUUUGUGAAUCAUCUUCAUUUUUGCCUCUAUUGCUUCUUUUCAAUAGCCUUCCUUUGCAGCCUUAUCAAAGUUAGAAGGCUCAACAAUGGUCAUAUCACACCUAUCGUAGAUGUCCAUAAUAGUCAUUGUACCUCUAACAGAUACAUCAUCAUAAUCAUCCUCAAUUUUAGCUUCAGUCUUAGCAUGCUACAAAUCAAGAUCAUGCUGGUCUUGCUCAAACAAGCUUGCAUUUGCUCCAUCCCAUUUCCAACAGUUGCCCUCAUUGAAUUUCACAUCUCUGCUUAUAAUAAUCUUCUUGGUGGAUGGAUCAAAGACCCUGUACCUUUUUUAUGCUACUAUAGCCAACAAAGACUCCAGGUAUGGACCUUUUUUCUAGCUUGGUUCUCUUCUCAACUGGCACCAAUGUGUAGCAUAUGCAGCCAAACACUUUCAAGUGUGAAACAAUUGGCUUAUGUCCAAACCAAACUUCAAAUGAAGUUUUACCUUUGACUGCAUUAGUUGGCAGCCUAUUUAGCAAAUACACAAAUGUAUUACUGCCUCGGCCUAAAAAUUGUUAGGCAUUUUGCCUUCAAACAAUAGACCCUGGCCAUAUCGAGAACAGUCAUGUUCUUUCUCUCACAAACACCAUUAUGUUGUGGUGUGUAAAUGAUGAUUAAUUGGUGCUGAAUUCCAGCUUUAUCACAAAUCUUCUGGAACCUUUGAGAUACAUAUUCAGUCUCAUUAUUAGACCUCAAUAUCUUUAACUUGCAACUGGCUUGAUUCUCAGCCAAUGCCUUGAACUUGUAAAAGAAAUCAACCACAUUUGACUUUUGUUUUAGAAAGCUUACCCAACAAAAUUUGGUGCAAUCAUCAAUGAACAAUGCAAAAUACCUACUGUCAUUCAAAGAGGAGGUCUUCAUAGGUCUACAAAUGUCUGUAUGGACCAAUUAGAGCCUUUCUUAAGCUCCCCAAGCUCUAUUAAAAGGAAAAGGUAGUCUGGUCUGCUUGCCAAACUGGCAGACUUCACACACAUCAUUUCUAGGCUCGAUCUUGGACAUGUCUUCAACUAGGCUCAUCUUGUGCAGUAAACUUAGUGAAUUAUAGUUCACAUGCCUCGGCCUCUUGUGCCACAAACAUGAUUCAUCAGUUAGAGCUAUAUGUGCCUUUGCUUUUAACUGAUUCACAAUGCAUAGCUACUGUCACUAGCACUUGAUCAAAAGCAUCCUUAAUCAGACAAGUCUUUUCUUCAAAAAUAAGGGAAUAACCCUUCUCUAACAACUGACCAACAUUAAGUAGAUUCUAGUUAAUAUAAGGUACAAAAAGAACUUCUAAAAUAGUUUUGUUACCUGACUGAGUGCAGAUCACAGCCUUGCCUUUACCUUUGGCCUCGAUAAACUCACCAUUUUUAAUUUUGACUUUGGACACAAAACUGGUGUCUAGCUCCCUGAACAUGCCUUUAUCUGAAGCUAUGUGAUGAGUGUAGCCACUGUCAAUUAACCAAUUCUUCCUAACUUUGCUUGAACUUGCAAAACAAGAGGCAGUGAAAUCAUACUCCUCUUGAGCUUGAAUAUCCUCAGUAGCUUGAGCUUGAUUCUGUUGCUGUGGUUGUGUUUUUGCUUUGUUCCUGCAAACUUUUUUCAAUGUGGCCAAGUUGCUUGCAACUUCUACAUUGAAUGUUAGGCCUGUACCAACAGUACUUUUCUUAGUGAGUUGACUUUUCGCAGUGAGUGCAUGGUGGAAACUUCCUUUUAGUAGCAUCCUUCUUUCUUUUUUCUUUCUUUUCUGACCAAGGCCUCUUGCCCUUGUUGCUUGAGCUCGAGCUUGAGCUUUCUCUGCUUCUAUCUUGAAAGGCUCCUUCAGAAUUCUCCUCCAUUCUAUUUGCUCUUCUUUGCUCUUGUGCAUAGAGAACAUUUAUCAGCUUUGUCAAGGGUAUAGCUGAUAGGUCCCUAGAGUCCUCCAAAGAAGAGAUUUUUGACUCAUACUUCUCUGGAAGAGUUGUAAUGACUUUUUCAACUAUCCUUUUGUCACUGAACUAAUCCUCAAGAAGCCUUAUGUUUUUUACUGUAGCCAUAAUCCUGUCAGCAUACUAGUUGAUGGUUUCUGACUCUUUCAUCUUCAGAUUCUCGAAGUCCCUUCUCAGGUUUAUCAACUGCUACUGCCUGGUCUUAUCUGACCCUUGAAACUCUUCCUUGAGUCUGUCCCAAGCCUACUUUGGAGUGUCAAAAGCCAUUAUCCUUAUGAAGAUCACAUCUAAAACUCCAUUUUGAAGGCAUGACAUAGCCUUAUACUUUUUGGCACAGUCCUCAUUGUGCUGCCUAAUUUGAGCUAUGGUUGGAUUAGCACUCAAAGCUGGUGGCUCUAUGUCAGCUAGAACAACGCUCCACAAAUCAUGAGCCUGCAGAUAUAUCUUCAUUUUCACAGCCUAAAUGUUGCAGUUUUCACCAGCAAAGAUAGGUGGUGGUGGUGGUGAGAAACUCAUUCUUCUACAGCAACUAAAAUAAGCCAACAAAAACAACUUUUGUUUCUUUUCUUUCAAGCAUGAGUCACUCAAGGGAUAGCUUAUAGCAAAAUGCCCUCAAAGAUGAUAGGCUCUUGAUACCAUUUGUUGAGUUUAAAUCAUUAAACAAGAAUCAAAACAAAGAAUUCGUGUUUGAGAGAUGAAAAAGAAAAGUAAAAAUCAUAUGUUGGAUUGAGAGAAGAAGAUGACUUAUCUCAUUACUUGAAUAAGUAACAUAACAUAUAAAUAAAUAGUUCUAUUAUAUUAGAAGAAAAUAAACAUUGCUUGUGCAAGUAACCAAGCUGUAAAAUUAGCUUAAUGAUAAUCUAAAACCUACUAAAUCUGCUAAGUACAUGGCUGAACCUCAACAAAACAAAAAGUUACAAUUAAAUCAAACAUAAGUCACAUGUUACAAAAGUUCAAUGACUGAAAUACACCAUGGACAUUUGCAUGCUGCUGUAUCGUUGCCAACUUUCAACAAUAUCGGCAGUUCUGUAACUAAAACCAUGAAAAAAGAGAGAGAGAUCAAUCUACUUUAAUAUUGUUUUCAGCAAUGUUAUUGCACUAAUGUUCUUGGUCAAUCUGUAGCUAUUACCGGCCAUAAAGUAAGCCCAAUUAUGUUUCCAAUCUGUUGUCAUCCUUGUUAGAAGCACAGGCAACAAUUCAAGCUCACUGCGAUUUGACACUCCAAGAUAUUGAAGAUUGGAAAGACGAGUAAGAGACGCAAGUAUGCUGGUGAAAUUGUUACCACUAAGAACAAGAUAUCUCAAUGAGGAUGGACCAGAAAUAUCGCUAGGAAUAUCUCCUUCACCCAUAUUGCAGAGGCUGCAAUUUGACAACCUAUCUUUAAGCUUGAAGAGUUGAGCAAGAGAUGCCAAUAUGCUGUUGAAAUUAUUACCGCUAAGAUCAAGAUCUUCCAAAAGAGGAUAGAAAAGAAAUAGUACUAGGAAUAUCUGCUUCACCAAGAUUGUAGUCCUUUAGUUUCAAGUUCGUUAAUGAACUCAAACUAGAUAAUGAAGGUUGCAUUGGAGCUAUGGAAUUCAUCCUUCUUCUUCGGCUUACCUUGAAAGAAGAAAGGUGAUUUCUUUUUAACAUAGACAGACCCUUGCAUCCAUCGAAAGAAAAAACUUUAAGAUUUUUCAAUUGAGAAAUGAAGGGUGGUGGUUCUUUUAUGGCUGUUUCACUCAAGUCAAGCUCUUCCGAAGAUUCUGCCUGCUGCAAAUUCUCUGGCAAAUGUUCAACUUUAUAACAACCAAAAAGAUUAAGAGUUUUUAGAUGUUCCAUUUUCCCAUCAAUCUCUGGAACCUUGGCAAGAUUUGAGCAACUGGAAAGAAUUAAAGUUUCAAGGGAUUCCACUGCAAUUUUGGUUGGAAGACUCUUAAAUCCAAAAGUUUAAGUCUCUUAAGUAGUCCAAGCGACGGAUGAGCAUCUACUAAUCUGAUACAACCUUCCAUAAUCAGAACUUCGAGAUAUGGGGCUAUUAUUAAUGGUAGUAACAUUUUAAUUAUUUUAAUAUACUUUUAUUUUUAGAAAUUUUGUACCAUUCUUUUGUUUCAUGUCAUGUUCGAAAAAGAGUUUGAAUAAUAGAUUUGGAGUACGAAAAAAUGGCUCAUUUAAUAUUAUAAUAAUAUUUGUUACAUGUCAAAUCGGUUUCAUGUCGUCUUAAUAUCUGGAAUUUGUUUUCUAAUUAUUAUUAUUAUUAUUAUUAUUAUUAUUUUAAAACAUUGUUAUACGUUCUUAUCAUCUUCGUUCUUUUUUAUAUAAUGCCUAGAACUAUCCGUAGUCCCUCUCUCACCCUUAAAUAGGAGGAUAACGCGCUUCAGCAUACUCAAACUCACGUCCUCCUGCACUAGUAACAAUAUUGAUGCCAAUCGAGUUAGGACUCAAACCCACGUGUUCUUAAACGACUAGGUUUGACGACCCUAGGAAGUUAUCAUAGGCUAGACGAGGUCAGGAGAUAAGCGAGUAUAAACCAAUCGAUUACUUAAUUAGAGCUCGGGAGGUAAUAAUUGACUAAUUAGUAGCUAAUCUAUCCUAAAACCCUAAUCUGAAGUUUAUUACAAAUCUUGAAGCGAGUUAAUCUUCCUGAUUGGUUUAUUAAUUUUAGUGGAUUGUUAUUUUUCUUAUUUAAAUUCUCUCAUUAAUCUAUUUUAUGGUUUAUCUUAAUAUAGAGAUUAAUUACUACUACUUAGACUUAUUAUUGUAAAAAAGUUUCCGUAAAUUUAUUCCAUCCUCUUAGGUACGGUCCUCAAAAUACUUCCAAAUAUUUUAUUGUACUAACUUUAUUAUACUUUGACCCGUGCAUUUGCAAACACCGCUAUUCUAAAUUCUUAUAUAUUUUUGGUGUAUUAUUUUAAUAUAAACAAUAACCCCUUUACCACUCCCUUGGCCCACUUUAGCUACAGACCCCUGCUUCAAACGAAUUGGGUCAGUGGUCCGACCUUCCCCACUACCUCCAGCCUCAACGAAGACACCCUUUCCUUUUUUAUUAGCUUCCAGAAUUAUCUCCCUUAUUUCCUCCCAUCAUUCCCCAAUAUCAUUGACAGAAUCAAGAACUUUAAAUCUGGAAUCCCCAAUCAAAACCCCCGAAUUAGCGUUGCCUGGCUUCCAAGGAUCCCUAAAAUUACGCCUUAACUUUCUCUCCACAAGCAUCCUUGGUCCGUAGACUGGUGACUCCUCUGGUCUAUCAUCUUCCACCAUCACCUGCCAUAUCCGCCAUAGAGUGUUUCGCAUAAGCCCUCGAAGCCCCCCUGUUCUUGUUGGAGUUGGAAUCCUCAAUUGUAAAAGUCGCUGUAUAAAAUAUUUCAACCAUUAAUCAAACAAUAACAGAGAAACUUAACUAAAUAGGAGAAAAAAUCAAUUUGUACGAAAGGGCUAGUGAAGUAGUUUACACAAUUAUUGCUUCUUCCCUGAUCGGUCCGUUAUAAAAUUGAAAAUGUUUUGCAUCCUUUUAGGGUGCGGCCCUUCUUCCUCUGUUUCCACGUCGAUAUCACGUUUUCGUUUUACAAGGGAAGUGCUGCCUGCGGAUCCAUCGUUUUCAGUAGAGUGAUGAUGGAUAUGUUCCAAGUUUGGAGAAGAUUGAAUGGCAUGGCACUGCAGCUCUUCUAUUUCUUCCAAAUCUUUCUCAUACAUUAUUCUAACACCACACUUCUUCACCUUAACAGAAGGAUACCCUUUUGGAGAAGAUUGGAAAGACAUCUCAAGCGAUAAAUUAUUGGUUUCACAUUUAUCCUUUAAGGAUAAUGCCGAGAAAUAACGAAGAUAAAGGUGGUCCUUCGUUAUGCAUCGUCCAACAAAAUUAAGGAAACUGAAAUCGACCUUUCGACUAUUUUUAACUUGAAAAACAGAUCCAUUACUACUAGAUUGUCCAGAAUAUCUAGAAUGGAUAUAAGUUGGACCACCGAUAACCUUUAUCUCGGAACCUUUAUCAUCGCCGAAAAUGCAGCAGAAAGCAACUCCAAUCCAUCGACUGUCAUUCUGAAUAUUGAGAGGCAAAGGUAUUUCGAUUACAGAGCCGCCUCUCUGUUGGCUGAACCAUUCUGGGAUUUCAUUUCCAGGUAUAAUAACAUCAAAUCUUUCUCUUGAUUUCGCAAAUGCCUGCAAAUUAAAACAUCAGUCGUUCUUGAAUUUGCAAAAUAAAAUAUCGGUGGUUUUGUAACUAAAACCAUGAAAAAGAAUAGAUCAAUCAAUCAACCUUAAUAUGUGUUUUCAGCAAUGUUAUUGCACUCAUGUUCUCAGCCAAUCUGUUGCUGUUAAUGGCUAAAAAGUAAGACCAAUUAUGUUUCCAAUCACUUGUCUUCCGUGUUAGAAGCACAGGCAACGAUUCAAGCUCUCUGCAAUUACACACUCCAAGAUAUUGAAGAUUGGAAAGACGAGCAAGAGACGCAGCUAUGCUGGUGAAAUUGUUACCAUUAAGAUACAGAACUUUCAAUGAGGAUAGACCAGAAAUAUCACUAGGAAUAUCUCCUUCACCCAUAUUGCACAGGCCGCAACUUGACAAACUAAGUUCUUCAAGCUUGGAGAGUCCGGUCAGAGAUGCCGGUAUUCUGUUGAAAUUGUUAUCUCUAAGAUCAAGAAAUGCCAAAGAGGAUAGACAAGAAAUAGCACUAGGAAUAUAUCCUUCACCAAGAUUGCAGCCCCUUACUGCCAACUUUGUUAAUGAACUCAAACCGGAUAAUGAAGCUAGCAUUGAAGCUAUGGAAUUCAUCCUUCCUCUUUGGCUUACCUUGAAAAGAGAAAGGAGAUUUCUUUUUAACUUGCACGGACCCUUGCAUCCAUCGAAAUAUAGAACUUUAAGAUUUUUCAAUUGAGAAAUGAAGGAUGGUGGUUCUUUUAUGGCUGUUUUACUCAAGUCAAGCUCUUCCAAAGAUUCUGCUUGAUGCAAACUCUCCGGCAAAUAUUCAACUUUAUAACAAUCAUAAAGAUGAAGAGUUUUUAGAUGUUCCAUUUUCCCAUCAAUCUCUGGAAACCUUGCAAGAUUUGAGCAACCCGAAAGAAUUAAAGUUUCAAGGGAUUCCAUUCCAAUUUUGGUUGGAAGACUCCUAAGACUUUUGCAAUCUCUUAUAUUCAAAAGUUUAAGUCUCUUAAGCACUCCAAGUGAUGGAUGAACAUCUACUAAUCUAGUACAACCUUCCAUAAUUAAAACUUCGAGAUAUGGGGCUGUUGUGAAGUUUGUUGUCUUGAUGAGAUUUUGGGACCCUUUAAGGUUGAUUAUUUUCAACUUAUACAAGGGCUGUGGAAAACAAUAAUAGAUUAGAGAGAAAAGAGAAAACAACAUAAUUAACCUCAUUAUUAUUAUUAUUAUUAUUAUCUAGUUCAGAUUUUAAUCGUUUAUAAUAUUAAACAAAUUAAUUGGUUAUAUUAAAAUAAGCUAAAACAUAAGGAUUAGAUGAAUUUAAUUCUUACUCUAUUUCCCUUCCACAGUUGUUCAAUGCGACUAUAUGGUAAGAGAAGUGCGACAAGGUUGUCCGGUUGAAAGCUUGAAGGCAAUGAUCUUAAAGGAUAUUUUGUCCAAUCUAAAAGUCGUAGCUCAUCAGAAAGAUAUUUGAGAUCAUCACAAUUUGAGAGGCAAAGCACUCUGAGCAAUCUCAAUCUUUUCAUCUUCGAGAAGACAUCGUCACUCAAAUUGAGCAUCCUGCUUGAUUCCCUAAAAACCACGGGCAAACAGAAAAUGAGCAUUAAAAUAUACAAAAACAUUCAAUACCUAAAAGCUAUGUUUCUCCAAUACUAUUUUUCAAGGACUUUUAUCCGAUACUUAUAUCUAACAUAUGUCCAAAUAUAAGCAUUGAUAUAUGAUCCUUCAAGAACUCUUUAAAUACAUGAAAAGGACUUUUAAAAAAAUCAUACAUACCCAAUUUAGACAUAUAUAUAUAUAUCAAACACUCACUUUUGACUUCGAAUUACUUAAAGCUUUAGAAACUAUAAAUAAAUCUUGAAUUAUAUUAGUGCAAUGAUAAUGCGUAAUUCUAUUUUUAAAAACUUUGAUGACAUAUUAAAAUCUUACUCUCUGUGAUAUACUAUCCGUACAUUAAAUAUAAGCACUUAAUAUUAGCAAUGAUAUAUCUCUAUCGUGUUUCUUUUGAAAGAUUAAUGCGUUGCUAGAUAAAUUUCAUAAAAAUAAUAUUAAAUAUUAAGCAUUAAAGGUAUUUUCAUUGAUUUUUAUUGGAUACUUUUACUAAAAAAAAACACCAAUAACAAUAUUAAUAAUACACAUCAUAAAUGUAUAUAUAUAUUUUCUUACCCUUGAUUGUCGAUGAUUAUGCCUUCAAUUAUUUCCGUAACCUAAAAAAAGUAAGAAUAGAGACUAAAUUAUUUUAAUUAAAGUAAAACAUUUCCAAUGAGAGGAUGGAAUUAAUUACUUAUUUUUUCAAAUCCUUAUUAACAGUUACCAUCAACAAAAGGAAUUCAUCUCAAUGCUAUUGAACGUCACUUUUUUAUGGACUGCUAUAUUAAUCAACUGUACUAAGCCUUACUCCAUUUUAUUCCAGAAAUAAAGUAAAACAUUUUCUAAUGAGAGUAAAUCAAUCAAAUUAAACACUUAUUUUAUAAAUCCUUAUUAAUAUUUAUAUUCAACAAAUGGAAAUUAUCUUAAAGCUACUCAAUGUCACUUAAGGAUUGAUAUGUAAACCAAUUAAACUAAGCUUUGGAUUUACAUCAUAUAUUGAUAAAAAGAAAACUUUAUAUGUAAUUUUUGUUGAAUGAUUUACCGUAUUUUUUGUUAGGACAUGAUGGACAUCCCUUUCCUUCCACAAUCUGCAACGUUUUCCAGGUUCAUCAACACAUUUUCUUCAACAAUUUUUCUUCCCAUUUCUUGCAACAAGGCAUGCAUCCGCAAAUAUUGGUUGUCAUCACCGACUUUUAUGAGAGAUUUCUUAAUGAGAACAUCGAUUCCAAUAUCUGGAAAACAGUCACAACCAUCCAAUACUUUCAUUACCAAAUCUUUCUCCUCCCCAUUGAAAAAGCAUGCUAUAUCUAGAAAUAUAUUCUUCUCCCUUUCUUCCAAUCCAUCAAAGCUAAUUCUUAGUGUGUCAAGAAUUUCUUUGUUAGAAUCUUGAUUAAGUCUUUCGAUUGCACUUCUCCAUUGAAUUAUAUCUCUACCGCACAAAAAUGAACCCAAAACUUCAAGAGCUAAGGGCAGACCAUCAGCAUAAUGUACAACUUGUUUAGAAAGCUCAAUGAAAUCAUAUUUCGGCGUUGUAUCACUAUCAAAAGCUUUCAAAUUGAAAAGCCUAAGUGCAUCGUUGGGAUUCAGUGUUGUAGGCUUAUACACAUCAUCGAUUCGAUAAGAUCUGAGCAAAUGUUCAUCUCUUGUUGUUACAAUGAUCCUACUCCCUAAACUGAACCAAUCACGCCUUCCAACCAAGCAUUUCAAGUGUUGUACGUUAUCAACAUCAUCAAGAACAACAAGAACCUUAUUUCUAGACAACCUAUGGCUAAUUAUGGCAUUCCCUUCAUGAACAUUGAAAAAAUUGAAGCAUUCGUCUGGAAAGAUUUGAGAAAGGAGUUGUUUCUGUAAAGAAACAAGUCCAUGUUUGUUUGAAACUUCUCGAACAUCAGCAAGAAAGCAUUUACCUUCGAAAUGAGGUAACAUUUGAGUGUAAGCAACUUUUGCAAGAGUUGUUUUACCGAUGCCACCCAUUCCGCAAAUUCCUAUAAUGCGGACAUCGUCUUCCCCAAUGUUUAUUUUCGAAUGCAACUCCUCCAAAGGUAAACUAAUUCCAACCAACUCAUCAUGAACAAUCAGAUAUGUCUGACAUAGUUUUGCUGAAAUCUUCUUAACAACGUCUCCGAUAAACUUUGAUUCAUGCCUACAAAGAAAUUAAAUUCUGAUGUUAUCUUUCAAAUGAACUUUUUCAUUUUUAGGUAAGUGAAUCAUGAAAUAUAAUGUAGUUGGAAGCAAACAAAAACAAGAAUAAGACAGCAAGAUCUGUUAUAGCAUCAAAAUACACAACUUGCUCGUUAGUUGAUCUAACGCCCACUUCAGAUUUGUUAAAUUUUGUCAUCAAUCAGUAUUUGUAUUAGUGGUUUAGUGUCUUAGUGUUGUUUGUGAGGUCUUGGGUUUAAGUCAUGUUUUUAUUUUGGGGAAUUAAAUUAUUUUUGUUAGACCUAGGUUAAUUGUUUUGGUUGGUGGUGUGGGAUUGGGUUUUGUUUUAAACUCUUAAAAAACGAUGGUAAGUUAGCAGGUUGUUGGAUUAGAUUUGAGAGGGAUUUUGUUCUUAUUUUUAUUCUUUUAUUCUUUUUAUUUUAGGUUGUUGGCUUCUUUACCUUCUUGUUUCGGUUCUUUUGUUACUUCUUUAUGGUGUAGCUUCUAUUUGGUUGGCCCCAAUCCUUAGCGGUAAGGUUCUAUCAUCUUUUACUGUGUUCUUUUGUGAAAUUGUUCGUUGGGCAUUUGGGGAUUUCGGAAUUUUGUUUGUAUGGUGCGAAAUUUGUAUUUUUUUGUGUUAUCUAAUUAAUCCGCUAUGUUUUAGGAGAAGUUCAAGAUGCGUUUUGUGUUCCUCCAGCGACUUAGGAUUUGCAUAGAAGCUGUUCGUUUAAUGGUAAGUAUGUGGAUGUAUUUUUGGAGGGUUGUAUAAGCUCGGUUGUGGUCAAUUCUUUGUUAGAUUUCGCAAAUCAUUAUUAAAAUUGGUUGUGUUAAUUGUCAAUUUAGGUGGGGGAUUACUCAUUUUUGGAAUCGUAUUCGGAUGUGUAAUGACCCGAAAAACAACAAAUGACAAAAGUUGAAAAACUGCACUGUCGACGCCACAUGGCCCUGUGAGAAAUUAUGUAGCCACAAAGUCUGGGCCAUUUGGACCCGUGUUGCCCACACGGUCGUGUGUGAGACUGUAUGGGCCCAAUAUUUUGAAUUUUCCCUAGUGCCAUAAACAUCAUUUGGGUCGAACGUAUGUUAUAAAUUAAGUAAAAUCUAUAAUAUGCUAUGUAUGAUCUGAUAUACGGUAAGCAUGACUUGAGUUUGAUAUUAAGCAUGUAUGACAUAUACAUUUUCGACAUCUAUGAUUACUAUAUGUUUGUGCAUUUGGGGAUGGGAUUGUGUAUAUGGAGGAAGUGUGAACAGAUAUAUUUCUACCGUAUUUGGUGGCACAACCAUACAUAUUUAUGUAAACGGCGAUAAAUCGCUUAAUAAACUGGCAACUCAACUACAAAUAAUUUGAAAAGUGUCAUACCGACGCUAAAUGGUGUGUAGGGAUGGAUGAGUAUAUAAUGUCAUAUAUGGUGCCUUGGGAUGAUCGGAGAUGAUGUGUAGCGGGUGGGGGUAGAACUAUAAAUUUGCAUCUAUUAUGUUCUAAUAAGCUCUGUUUCUAAUAUAUGUAUGUCUAAAUGAUUUCUGUAUGUGAUGUUACACAUUGGGUUUCGAAAACUCACUCUCUGUUUGACUGUCACUUUCAAGUAACCCUCAAACUUAGGCGGACUAGUGCGAUUGAAGCUUGGUUAUAAUAUUUUGAUUUCUUCUAACUUACUUAAAAUUUGGAAUUUACGUGUUUUAAAAAAUUUGGUCUGUCUUUGGUCAUUUUGGGACUGUUUAAAUUAUUGGACUUUACUUUAUGAUUUUAAUUGUUUUAUUGUUUUUGGUGGGAUUAUAAUAUGUUAUGUGAAAUGUUGAUUUAAAAAUAUUAAACUGUGUUUUAAAAACUGUACUUAAAUAAGAUUUUUCCCCUGCAAACUCAAAUGUUUUAAAAAUAUACUUAUGUAUAAACGACGAUUUUAAUAAUCAGAUAAGAAAGAUAAGCUUACAAACAAAUCAGAUUUUUAUGUAACGAAAGUUAACGACGUUUUGUAAAACUAAUGUACUCAGGGUUUUUAUAUAAUUUACAGUAAUAUCUCCGGAUCUAACCAUAACGUUUAGACCAAGUUUAGAGUGUUACAACUAAAAUAUGAUAAUUCUCAAUUAAAAACAAAGUUAUAAAAAAUAACAUGCAAUCCAAAAUAAUAAUAAUAAUAAUUUUUUUAGUCAUUAAAACUAGGAAAUAGAGAAGAAAAGAAAGAAAUACCUAUUAUGUAAAUGCCAUCCCUUGAUGUUAGCCACUUCAGUCAAAGCAUUUCGCCACUUUUGGAUCUUGUCUUUAUUUUCUUUGCAUCUUUCUUCGUGUUUGGAGAAGGCUUCUUCAACUUUUCCUUUUUGUUUUCUUAAAUCAGAGGGAUCCACAUCGUAGAAAAUUGGAAAUACUUUAUGACCCUUGUCAUUUUUUUGUUUAACAAUCUCGGCAAGCUCCUCCAAGCACCAACCUGAAAAGGCAUAGGUUUCCGAAAAAACGAUUACCGAGCACCAUGAUUGCUGAAUUGCGUUGAAGAGUUCCGGUGCGAUCUCUUCACCAGCUUCCAACUUUGGAUCAUCUCUAAAAGUGACAAUCCCAUUUCUAUUUAGAGCAUCGUAGAGAUGAUCCGUAAAGUUCUUGCGAGUAUCUUCACCUCUAAAACUCAAGAAAACAUCGUAUUUCUUUCUAGAAAUGGAUGAGGAAGUCGAAAGUAAUGACGACAUGAGGAUGUAUGAGAAGAAAAAUAUAUGUGAAUGUAAUGUUCAAAAUCAGAAAACAGAUGGCUCAAUACCUCAGAAACAAAGUAGAAACAGUAAGUAUAUGAGGGAAAAACAGAGGACUUCGUAAGGAAUUUCUGUGUACUUUGCCAAAUGAAUCUAUCAGUAUAAUAAUAGCUAUGAAAGGGAGUAGGUGUGGAAAUUCGGGGUUAUAGGUGUGGAGCCUACAAUUAUUAUAAAGUGAAGUGUUGGAAAUUCUAUUGGAAAUUUGACGUUUUACUUUAUUAUUCAAAAUAAUAACUAAUUAACUAAUAUUUAUUAAGUGAUAAUUAAUAUACUUAAAAUUCUAUUAAAAAAUAAUUCUAUUUUAUAUCAAUAAAAUUAACAUAACUUUUGUUUAUGUCAAAAAAAAAAUUUAAUAAUGAUAAAUUAUAAUUAUAAUUAUCACAAAUUUUUUUCCCUAUAUUUUAUUCUUAAGGUUCUAUUGAAGUUAUAACUCAAUUUUAACAUUAGUACAAGUUUUUUAAAUUAAUAAUUGUAAUUAUUUUUAGAUGGGUAAUUAUCACAACUUCUAUUAAAUUAUACUUAUUUUAUUUUGAUAAAAUGCCUAAAAUUAUCCAUAACGCUUCCCCAACCCUUAUAAAUGCACUUCAACAUGCUUGAACAUACAUCCUCUUGCAUUAGCAAUAAUAUCGAUGUCAACCGAGAUAAACUCAGUCAGCAAUUAUAAUUUUUUUAAAUGUAUAAUUAUCAAAAGUUUUAUUUUGUUUCAACUUUCUUUAACCAAUAAUUCUAAAUUAAAUAUUAUAAUUAUUUUUAAAUAUAAAUUUAAUAAUAUGAACGAAAAAAAAUGGUAUUCUCGUCAAUUCAAAAUCAAAAUUCCUAUUAAAUUAUAAUUUAUUUUUAAAUAUGAAUUAGUAAUAUAAAAAAAAUAGAGGUUAUUUUCAAAAUUAUUUUCAAACUCCUUGUUAUAUAUAUAUAUACAAAUUACGCACUCAUCUUCCUUUCUAAUAAAUUAACAAGUGCCAAAUUAUUCAACUCCGCUUGAUUAGUGCUGUUCAAAUCUGCUUUAACUUUACCUCCAUAAUACGCGGAGACCACGAAAAGCACUCAUUCCUUAAUACCAUAGUUCCCACGACGCCACUAUUGAAAACAAAGGCAUUUCUAUUGGUCAAAAGUCUCCAGCGGGCCAUAGCAAAAAGAUUACCCCAUUCACAGAAAAAGCAGCUUGAGUUUCGGAGAAAUUCACCGUUCUCCCAUUUCCUAGUGCCCAAUAGACACCAUCCACUACAUCUUCCCAAAUAUUGGACAAAGCCCUCCAGAAAAAAGUUUCUAUCUUUUCUUGAUUGGUUCAACAUUCAUUAAAAUAGUUUCCAAGGCUCUUUACCCAUUGCCUUAACAAAUUUGCAUUGGCUGAAAAUUUUCAACUUUGGUGGCAACAACUUCAAUAGAGAAAUUCCAUCAUGGUUUGGUCACUUUGCUGAGUUUCGAGUCUUACAGUUGCACAUUAACAAUUUCAGUGGCACUAAAAAAUAUAUAAACCAACACUUUAGUUUUAGCUCAUUCGUACAUCUCACAAAGAAAUUAAGGAUGAGGAGAUAUCUAACUCUAUUAUUCGCCAACUAUGGGAUUAUGGAGGUGACUAUGAGUUUUUUACACCAAUUAAGAGUUGCAUUGAAAAUCUUACAUUUUUUAGGAAUAUUAUUAAAGCAGGUUAUUCCAAUUAGCUUAUCUAAGAAGUUGGCUUAAUUGACAUCAAUUAAUUGGUAGAUGGCUCAAUUGUCAUAAAUAGAAAAAAAAUAUUUACUCUUAACUUUGCUAGAGCUAAACUUAAUGGUUAUUGUUUUAAAGUCAUGCUUCAAUAUUUAAACAAUUGUUCAUAGAAAUUGAAUAAGAAUGAACGAAUAAAACAAUAGCCAUGAAUUGCUUACAUUUGAGAUUGUUAUCAUCGAGAUACCAAGUGUUGAGCAUAGUUAAAAUUUCGAUUUCUGUAGGUAUAUAUACUUCCCUCUAAAUUGUUGAUAUACAAGGAUAAAAGCUUCAACUUUUUGCACUUGAAUAAGCUAUUUGGAAUUCUAUUAAAAAUUUGAUUCUCACUCAAUUUUAACUUUUCUAGUUUUGACAAAAUUUCCCAAAUAGAUGGAUAAGACCAGUGAAGUUGUUAAUGUGCAACUAUAAGACUUGAAGUUCAGCGAUGUGACCAAACGACAAUGGAAUUUCUCCAUUGAAGUCGUUAACCCCAAACUUCAAAAAUUUCAGUCGAUACAAAUUUGUUAACGCAAUAGGGAAAGAACUAUGGGAACUGUUUUCAUGAAUUUAGAGCCACGCAAGGAAAGAUAGAUUUUCCAAUUGAGAUGAAAUGGUGCCUGCGAUAUUCAUGCUUGAUAAAUUUAGAGUGGUGAUUUUGUGGUGUCUGGAUCCGUAUGUGAGACCAAUUCGGUUAUAAAUAGAGGUAGAAGUAGACCAAUUUGAUUAUUAAGAGGUUGUAAGGAUCAUGAGUUAUAUGAGAAUUCAGUUCUAGAAUGGCAGGUUGAUCAGUGGUGAUUUUGGGUGAAUUCACAGACAAAAUAGCCUCAAAGGUUACUAUUUGGCAGAGAAUGAGAUACACUGUAAAAGCCAAUUCCACUAAUUAUCCUCUUGGAUUUCAACACCUGAUAAGGCUCUCACCCAAAAAAGAGCUCUAAGCUUGGCAAGAAAGAGAGUCUCUUCAACCAGAACAAGUUUCGCAUUAAAAGUAAAAUCGUUACGCGGCAGUCAUAUCGACCAUAACCCCGCUGCACAGCAGAGGAGCCACCACUGUUUAAUAUCACCAUUAAACAUCCAGCCAUUGCAUUCAACAAAAAAAACAAGGAUUGAUGGUGAUAGACAGCCUUCAAUCCCCCCACAACGACAAAGUACAGUACCAAAAAUUACGCAUCAAGGAACAACUAAACAAUAAAUGGUCUGACGUUUCCAGAUCAGAGCUACACCAAGCUGGGAAGUUGAGAAUGAGAUCAAAGAAAUGCAAGAGAAAGUUGAUACUUUGCAAGAUCCCAGUUCGUUCAUCGCCGAGGGAAAAGCUUAUAAUUAUUCUCUUCUUUUAACAACAUAUUAUCUUUAAUAUUUAAAACAAGGAUAAACUGCACUUUUAGUUUUCGUUUUGUCCCCAAGUAACAAAAUGAUAACAUGGUAUUAAUUAUGUAAAUGGUUAUUUUUAAAUCCUUAAUCAUAUGGUCCCCCAAGGUUUUUACAUUGUUUUGUUUCUUUUGUCACCCAACCGAUAGUUGAGUAACAAAAUAAUAAUAUGACAUUUUUUAAUUGUCAUAAUAACAAAUUUAGCUCUUAAUGUUGAUAUAUUCUAUCAAUUUGGACAUGAUUAUAUAUAAAAGUUAUAAAAAAUUAAAACAAUAAAAAAUUCAAAAAAUAUAUAAAAAUAAGUAAGAAUUCAAAAAAAUUAUAUAAAAAAUUAAAAAAAUGAUGAGAGAUACAUAAAAAUAUAAAAAAAAACUUCAAAAUUUUAAAAAUAAAAAAUUGUUAAAAUUAUAAAAAUCAGUAGCCCACCACCACACAUCAGUCAACAUCUGAUAUAUAUUUUUUGUGUUUCAAGUGUCAAUUGCCAUGUAAAUCACUAGUGGUUUAUAGACAUGACAAAGGUUCACGACUAUUGUAAAAUCCCAUGAGCAAAUAGAAGUUGUAAAUUAAUGUAUAUAUAUAUAUAUAUAAUUAAAAUAUCUAUUAAUAUAUAUAAAUUUGUUGUCCUUAAUGAUCAUUUUGCAUUUUUAUUACAUAUCAUCUCACCAUCAUAAGUGAGUUAUUGAACCAUCAUAAGUGAGUUUACCUUCAAUAACAUAUCUCAUCAUUAAUUUUAUCUCACUGCUAUAGUAUUUAAUUUUAUUACUACCUUAAAUGUAUAUUUAAUCUCUUUAGAAAUAAUUUCACCAUUCAUCCAAAUAAACCUUGUGUAAGUCUCUAGGAUCUUAUUUCCUUUUCGCUCCAUAGCAAGGCAACUAUUAAUUUAUUUGUAGCCUUAAAAAAUUUUAAUUUUAGGAAAAAGGUCAAUAUAUAAAAGUCUUAAAUUUUGUUAUCUAUAUAUAUAUAUAUUAUAAAUUAUCACAUGAUAAGUUCUUUUUACUUUAGAUAUAUAUAAUAAGGGGAAGGAUGACAUGUAAGACUAACAUAAUUUUGCAUGCUUUCUUAACUCUAUUUUUGUAAUUGAUAUUUUAUAUUCACAUGUAAUUAUUAUCUAUUGUUAUUUCAAAUCAAUUAAGUAAAUUAUAAAAUGAUCAUUAAAUUAUUAAUUUUUUAUUUAAUCACUAAAUUUUUUGAAAUAAAAUAUUAUGAUCACUUUUCCGUUAAUUACAGUUUAUUAAUUUAAUAAUAAAUUUAGCCUUCAAAAUCUACUUUUCAGAAAAAAAGUUAUUAAAUGAAUAGUGAGGUGUUAAGGAAUUGUAUACAAUUAUUAAAAGAAGUUUGAUAGGUAAAUUAGAGAGGACAGAGCUUUUGAUGAUAUCUAGUGACUGAGAUUUGGAGUUUAGAUACACAAGGUUGACAUGAAGCAAUGGUGGAGUUGGAAGGCAGUGUUAUUAAAUACUAAAUAAUUGUUUUGUGAAAAUGGGAUAUUUUUACUUUUUUAUCCAUUACAUAUCACUGUUCCUGUCUUCCUUUCCAUGUUUUUGUAAAAAACAGAUUCCCACCAUUCUUUUCUCUUUGGUAAAUGUUGAUUGCUGAGAGGACAAUCUUUUUGCACAUUCCCGAACUCUAUGGACAUGAUUUUUUGCAUCUCAAUCAAAGGUUUGAAAAGUUGAAAUUAUAUUUAGGAUUUUAUUUUACUUCCAAAUGAUAUCCUAGUAUUGAACUUUCAUGCUCGUAUUAUGGACACGAAUAUACAUUAAGAAUACUUAAUUAUGGUAAAUAAGAAUCUAUUUGUACGAUUAAACAAAAACAGGGAAAAAGAGAAACUUAAUUAAAUAGAAGAAAAAAUCUUGAAAAGGCUAGUCAAGUCGUUUACCACAAGUAGUUUAACAUUUGAUAAUUUCAUUCUAUUGGUUUUUAAGUUGAAUACUUCAUUCAUUUGAAACAAUCAUAAUUGUGCAUCAAUUAUGAAAGAAGUCAGAAGAAAAUUGUGCACUAAUCAAAUGCAAUUUUCUUCAAUUUUAUCGUGUCUUUGAGUUGGAGGAAAAGAUGGUCCAAUUGAGAUACACUUGAAAAGUUUAAUGAUGAAUUGAAAUGAAUUCACUAUUAUGUCAUGUCAACACUGUUAAAUUAAUGGUUCAAUCAGCAUUUUGCGUUAAAAAAUUCAUAAUUUGACUUAAUAAAAUGUUGAGAGCCAUAUUACUAAAAAGAAAUGAAUACGGGUCAACUUGUCAAAUUUUAUAAACACUAAGAAUCUUUUUUUUUUAUCAUUUUGCCUAAUUUUAAAGGUUUUAUUUACAUUACAAUUAAAUUACUAUUUGAAUUUGCAUUUUAAAAACAACAUUCAUUUCAAUAUGUAUAAUUUACAUUACAACAUUACAUGAUAAAAACAACUAAUUAUAUUUUGCUAAUUCCCUAAAUUCGUCGGAGCCUAUAAUUGCUAAAGUGUCCGCUUCCAUUCCAACUUGAUGACUUUUGUUGGUCCCCCACUUGCAUGAUCCUUUGAGCAGACUUUCAUGCUUCCAUUGGUCUAGGGGACAAACAUAAAACACCAUCACUAUUUUUGUUGCAUUGAGAUCAUCUAUAUUAACUUACCUCAAAUUGAGAAAUUUUUGUUGAUAUCACAUAAAUACAAUCAUUGAAAAUCUUACUCAUAUCGACCAAAAAUCAUAUUUUUAUUUCUCUAAACAACAACAUUAGACAAUAACAAAAAUGAAAUUAUAGAAUUUUGAAAAAAAAAUUGGAUAUGAAAAUGUCUCUAACACGAAAAAGAUUUUCCAAAUAAUUAAAAGAGCGUACUUUAUUUUUAUAUUUAAACAAGUGUUAAAAAUAAAUGUCUAAACUUAAAAAACUUUGUGAAAAAUAUAAAUUGAAGAGUUGGAAUAAUAUUAUUUAUACUUCAAGCCAUGAAAUUUAAAUGGUUCUUUUGUUAGAAGGAAUUAAACCUAUUUAAGUACUAUUAAAGAUUUAUAUUUAAUCUUUUAAAUGUAUAAAAAAUAAUUUUGACUGAUUAAAUUAAACACAUAAAUUGGUCUCAAAUAAAAAUAAAAUGGUUUUUAACUCAGCCGAAAUUAUGAUCUAAUCCUCAUUAAAGGAUUUUCACCUUAUUAUUACCUGUAUCGUCGUCAAAGCUAUCUACUUUUCUCCACAUUUCUAUCUCAAUUGAUUAUAUUUACUUCAACCUAAAAAUAAAAUAUAGAUGUAAGUGAAUAUAUAUAAUGAGAAUAAAAUUUUAAUAAAAAAAACCAAUCAAAAUGUACACAUUUCAAUUAUGUAAAAAGAAAUGAAUUAAGUGAAUAAAAUUUUAAAUGGUACUUUUUUUAAAAAAAAUUAGUACAUAAUAAAAUGAUCAUAUCUCAUAUGCAAAUAAGUCUAGAAUGAUUACUUUAAAUGAAAUAAAAGAUGUAAACAAGGUAAAUGAGUAAAAAAAUUUAGUAGGACAAGGUUGGUUAAGUAAUUUACCAUAGCUAAUGCGUCUCUCCGGAUUGGCCAAUUAUGAAAAAUUGAAAAAAAGUUGCAUCCGUUUUGGUUGCGGCCCUUCUUCCUCCGCUUCAUCGUAGAUAUUUGGUUUCUAUUUUGUGUGAGAAGUGCUACCUACUGAUCCAUGGUUGUGAGCAGAGUGUUGGUGGAUGUGUUCAAAAUUUGGAGAAUAUUGAGUGGUAUGGCACUGCAACUCUUUUAUCUCUUCCAAAUCUUUCUCAUACACUAUUCUAACACCACACUUCUUCACCUUAACACAUCCCAUGAAAGACACCUCAAGCUCAUCGCAUUUUUUAUCUAAGCAAUGUGUUGUCCAUAAAUUAGUGGUUUCACAGUCGUCAUAUGUAUACUCCAAGGAAGGAUAUAAUUUAUCACGCGACCAAUAACGAAGUAAAAGGUGAUCUUUCAUUAUUGGUUCACGCAGCCCCCAGCCUCUCUCAUCAAUCCGUCGAUAAUUUCUACCUCGAAAAAUAGAUCCAUUACAAUUGGCAUGUUCAGAAUUUCUACAAUAGAUAUAUGCUCCACAAUCGAUAUAUUCAUCAUCCCUUGAAGUAUCAUUAUUGACAAAAAUGCAGCAGCAAGCAACUCCAAUCCAUUGACUAUCUUUCUGAAGGCUGAUAGGCAGGGGUAUGUUAAUUGAAGAGUCACUUGUUUGUUGGCUAAACCAUUCUGGGAUUUCACUUCCGGGCAUAAUAAUAUCAAACAUUAAUCUUGAAUUUGCAAAUGCCUGCAAAAUAAAACACAAGUCGUUUGGUAACUAAAACCAUAAAUUCUCAAGUAUGAGAUUUUGUAAGGGAGAAAAUGGAGAUUAAUCGACCUUAAGUCGUUCUUUCAGCAGUGUUAAUGCAUUCAUAUUCUCGGCCAAUUUGAAGCAGUUAAUGGCUCUAAAGGCAGUCGAAUCCACUAAAUUGCAUACUUCAAGUGAAGAACAACCAUCUAGCCAAACUUGUCUUAACCUUGCCGACAUCUCAGGCAACGAUUUAAGCAUCUUGCAAUAUGACAAUCCAAGAAACUGAAGCUUGGAUAGUCCAGUAAGAGAUGCAGGUAUGCUGAUGAAAUUGUUACCACUAAGACCAAGAUGUACCAAAGAGGAUAGACCAGAAAUAUAACUAUGAAUUUCUGCUUCACCAAGAGUGCACAUGUUGCAAUUUGACAAGUCAAGAUACCCAAGCUUCGGGAUUCCAAUAAGAGAUGCAGGUAUGCUGAUGAAAUUGUUGUUGUUCCAAUAGGGUCGGAAGCGUGUAAAUUAUUGUACUAAAAAAUCACACAAAGUUCAAUUCCCAGGGAAGAGAGGUGGAUCACAUGGAUCUCUUAAAUACCAAGUCUUUCCUUAGUCAGAAUAUCCCUUCUAUAGUAAUUUAAUAGCACAAUUAAAUACUACUAUUAUACCCUCAAAUAUUGAAAGAAAAAUAGGACAAAAAGAACAUAAGAGUUUUAACGAGGUUCGGUAAAUUAUACCUACGUCCUCGGGCACUAACACCAGAUGAUAACUUUACUAUCUCCAAAAUAUUACAAACAAAUAGAAUUCCUUAAGAAUUCUCAAAUGGGAGAAGAGAGAAAACUAAGAGAGAAAGAUUGGUUGGGAUGAAUUGAAAUGAGAAAUGAGAAGGCCUAUUUAUAGUUGAGGUUCAAGGACCAAACAAUAAAUAGCCCAUUAUCUCAAGGACCAAAAAAAAAUUAUCCCUUGCCACUUUUCCAAAGUUGGUGGUUGUCAUUAUUGAUUGUCUCCCAUUAAUGUUAAUGGCAACCAUUAUUAAUUGUCUUCCAUUAAUGUUAACAAUCUCCACCUUGAAGAUUUGAUUAGGAUAAUCACAUCUUUACACACUUCCUUCAACUCCCCAAAUUCGAUAAAGCUAUCUUUUGUAGUGCCUACAAAUGCGCUCUCGAGCGCCAUACACCUGAAGGUGCUCAAAUUCUCAGGAUGUUAAUCAAGUUCAAACAAUGAUUAAACUUGAUUGUUGUUACCACCUUGGUCAUCAUAUCUGCGGGAUUAUCUGCUGUCGGAAUCUUCUGAAGUAGAAUUUUUCCUUUUUCAAAGACUUCCCGCACAAAGUGAUAUCUUACGUCGAUAUGCUUGGUUCUUGAAUGAUAGACUUGAUUUUUCGCUAAAUGAAUAGCGCUCUGACUGUCACAAUAUAAACUUAUGUGACUUUGAACAACUCCUAAGUCUUUCAACAAUCCAUUAAGCGAAAUAGCCUCCUUAACAGCUUCUGUAACUGCCAUAUAUUCUGCCUCUGUAGUAGACACAGCUACUGUAGACUGUAAGGUAGACUUCCAACUCACUGGGGCUUUCGCAAGAGUAAACAAAUACCCCGUAGUUGAACGACGUUUAUCUAAAUCACCAGCAAAGUCGGAAUCAACAUAUCCAACUACAAACUGACCAAGUGCUUCAUCCUGUUCAAAAAUUAAACCAACAUCUACGGUUUUUCGAAGAUACCGUAGAAUCCAUUUCACAGCUUGCUAAUGUCCUUUUCCAGGAUCAUGCAUAUACCUGCUCACAACUCCAACAACUUGUGAAAUGUCAGGCCUCGUACACACCAUCGCAUACAUCAAACUCCCAACUGCAUUAGCAUAUGGGACUUUCGCCAUAUAUUCUCUUUCUUCUUCAGUUUUCGGAGAUAAUUGAGAACUAAGUUUCAAAUGAGAAGCAAGUGGGGUACUUACAUGUUUUGUGUUUUCAUUUACACCAAAACAUUGUAAUACCUUUUUCAGAUAUUGCUUCUGAUUCAAACAAAGCUUGCCUCUCUAUCUAUCUCUACUUAUCUCCAUGCCGAGAAUCUUCUUGGCCUCACCUAGAUCUUUCAUCUCGAACUCUUGAUUCAACUGAGCCUUCAGCUUAUCAAUCUCUUUUUGCCACUUCGAAGCGAUUAACAUAUCAUCAACAUACAAGAGUAGAUAAAUGAAAGAUCCGUCAUGCAGCUUCUACAAAUACACACAAUUGUCAUAUUUGCUUCUUGUGUACUUCUGCCUUCUCAUAAAGCUAUCAAAUCGCUUGUACCACUGCCUCGGGGAUUGCUUCAAUCCAUAUAGCGAUUUGUUCAGCUUACAAACCCAAUUUCUACCACCAGCAUAUGUGUAUCCUUCGGGCUGAGUCAUAUAGAUCUCCUCUUCUAACUCACCAUGCAAGAAAUCCGUCUUAACAUCAAGUUGAGCUAGCUCCAAAUUCAACUGUGCUACCAAGGCCAACAAAAUUCUAAUGGAGGAAUGCUUCACAACAGGGGAAAAUACAUCAUUGUAGUCAAUUUCCUCCUUCUUAGCAUAGCCUUUAGCUACCAAUCUUGCCUUGUAGCGAAUAUCCUUCUUGCUAGGAGAUCCAUCUUUCUUUGCGAAUACCCACUUGCAUCCGAUUGCCCUUUUACCUUUCGGUAAUUGCGCCAACUCCCAAGUAUUGUUCUUCUAGAGAGACUGCAUUUCUUCAUCCAUGGCGCUUUUCCAUUUAUCACUUUCUAAGCUUUGCAUUGCUUCUUGAUAAGUGAUAGGAAUAUCAUCAACAACGGGAAGGGCGUAGGCCACCAUAUUAGUAAAUCGAGCAGGUUCAUGAAUUUCUCUCCGUGGCCUUGCAACUGCAACUGGUUCUGGUGUACUUAGUGGUUCUUGGGUCAGAACCUCUUCAACCUCUAAUUCCUCCAUUGUGGCUGGAGAAUUAGACUUAUUAACUGGGCAAAUCCCCAUCUACUCAAACUCCACCUGUUUUGGAGUACACUCCACCUGCUGUGGAGUAUUGCUCGUCUGAAUAUCUUUAUCUGCUACCUUUUUCAAUGUGGCAGAUUCAUCAAAGGUAACAUCUCUACUACAGAUCAUUUUCUUUGUGCUUAAGCACCAAAGACGAAAUCCCUUCACUCCAGAAGUGAUUCUCAUAAAGAGAGCUUUCUUUGCCCUCGGAUCUAACUUUGACUCCUGCACAUGGUAAUAUGCAGUGGAUCCAAACACAUGUAAGGAAUCAUAAUCUGUAGCCGGUUUUCCAGACCAUACCUCCAUAGGAGUUUUUCUUUCUAAUGCAGAUGAUGGUAAACGAUUAAUAAGAUGGCCAGCGUAUGUCACAGCCUCAGCCCAAAAUUGCUUGCCCAACCCAGCAUUGGACAACAUACAUCGAACUUUCUCCAGCAAUGUUCGAUUCAUACGCUUUGCCACUCCAUUCUGUUGUGGUGUAUCCCUAACUGUGAAGUGUCGAACAAUACCAUACUCUUGGCACACAUCGAAGAACGGAUCACUUUUAUAUUCCCCUCCGUUGUCCGUCCUAAGCCGCUUGAUUUUCUUGCCAGUCUGGUUUUCGAUCAUAGUUUUCCAUUUAAGAAAAACUCUAAGCACUUCAUCCUUAGUUCUCAUGGUAUACACCCAAACUCUUCUGGAAAAGUCAUCAACAAAAGUAACAAAGUAGUGUUUUCCUCCCAAUGAAGGUGUCUUGGAAGGCCCCCACACAUCUGAGUGAACAUAUUCCAAAAUACCUUUUGUAUUAUGGAUAGCAGUAUCGAAUUUCACUCUCUUUUGCUUUUCCAGAACACGAUGCUCGCAAAAUUUUAAUUUGCAAGCCUUUGCACCUUUCAACAAUCCUUGCUUUGCCAGAAUUUGCAAGGAUUUUUCGCUGGCAUGUCCCAACUUCAUAUGCCACAACUGUAUUGAGUCCAAUUCUUUGUUGCCGGAAGCUGCAGCGACUGCUCCAAUAACUGUACUACCUUCGUAGUAAUACAAGUUAUUUUUCCUGAUGCCCUUCAAUAUCACAAGUGCGCCAGAUGUCACUUUCAAAACCCCAUCUCUCAUAGUAACAACUGAACCAUUGGAUUCCAGGGCUCCCAAUGAGAUGAGAUUUUUCUUCAAACUGGGCACGUACCGAACAUCAGUCAGAACUCUGGUUGAUCCAUCUUUAUUCUUUAAUUGGAUUGAACCUAUCCCAACAGUUUUACAGGCAUUGUCAUUGCCCAUAUAAACAACUCCUCCAUUUAGUUCUACUAAAUCAGAGAACCACUCCCGGUUAGGGGACAUAUGAUAGGUACAACCCGAAUCCAAUAUCCACUCAUCUGAAUGGAACGACGAUGAUGAUGCAACCAGUGAUAGUUCAGAGUCACUGGUAUCAUGCUUUGCAACACAAGCAUCUACAGCAGCUUUUCCCUUAUUCUUCAGCUUUGGACAAUUUUUCUUCCAGUGGCCUUUCUCAUGACAAAAAGCACAUUCAUCUUUCCCGAGUCUGGACUUUGACUUUGAUCUCCCAUUUUGAUUUUUCUUCCGAGUGUAUGAACGACCUCGAACUACUAAAGCUUCUGUAUCUCUGAUUGAGUUUUUCUGUUUGUCCUUCUUUCUCUGUUCAUAACUGUAUAAGGCCGCACAGACUUCGCUCAGAGAUAUAUCACUCCUGCCAUGAAGUAGAGUAGUUUCUAGGAACUCAAACUCCUCAGGAAGUGACCCCAACAGCAUCAAAGCCAAAUCUUCAUCUUUGAAUGUCUCAUCCAUAUUCAGCAAAUCAGUGACUAACUGAUUAAAUUUGGUGAUGUGAUCAUUCAUUAUGGUACUUGGGACGUAUGUGAAGCGAAACAGUCUUUUCUUCAAGUGGAGCUUAUUUUGACUGUUUUUCUUCAAAAAUUUUUCUUCAAGUGCCACCCACAACUUAUUUGCAGAAGUCUCAUUUGAAAAAGCAUACCUCUACUCUCAAGAAAGGCAUGAUCGAAUUGUGCCACAUGCCAACCGAUUGAUCGCCUUCCAAUCUUUCUCCUGUACAUCAUCUGGUUUCUCUUCAUCAAUGGCAAUGUCUAGACCCUGCUGAAAAAGGGCAUCUAGAACCUCACUUUGCCACAUACCAAAAUGGCCCGUGCCAUCAAAGAUCUCCACGGCCAAUCUUGCAUUUGCAAUUGUCGGUCUUGUCCACAUGGACGAUGUUGAAGCUCCUACACCGACCGUUUUCUCCAUAAUCUUUCAAUAUACCUAAGGAAAUCUUUUCUGAUGUGGAAGAUCAGUUUAAACUGCAACCACAGAGCAUACUACGAUUAACCUUCGGCUCUUGAUACCACUUGUUGUUCCAAUAGGGUCGGAAGCGUGUAAAUUAUUGUACUAAAAAAUCACACAAAGUUCAAUUCCCAGGGAAGAGAGGUGGAUCACAUGGAUCUCUUAAUACCAAGUCUUUCCUUAGUCAGAAUAUCCCUUCUAUAGUAAUUUAAUAGCACAAUUAAAUACUACUAUUAUACCCUCAAAUAUUGAAAGAAAAGUAAGACAAAAAGAACAUAAGAGUUUUAACGAGGUUCGGUAAAUUAUACCUACGUCCUCGGGCACUAACAUCAGAUGAUAACUUUACUAUCUCCAAAAUAUUACAAACAAAUAGAAUUCCUUAAGAAUUCUCAAAUGGGAGAAGAGAGAAAACUAAGAGAGAAAGAUUGGUUGGGAUGAAUUGAAAUGAGAAAUGAGAAGGCCUAUUUAUAGUUGAGGUUCAAGGACCAAACAAUAAAUAGCCCAUUAUCUCAAGGACCAAAAAAAAAUUAUCCCUUGCCACUUUUCCAAAGUUGGUGGUUGUCAUUAUUGAUUGUCUCCCAUUAAUGUUAAUGGCAACCAUUAUUAAUUGUCUUCCAUUAAUGUUAACAAUUGUUACCACGAAGAUCAAGAUGUUUCAAACAGGAUAGACCAGAAAUAUCACGUGGAAUAUAUCCUUCACAAAGAUUGCAGUCCCUUAGACAUAGCCGUCUUAAUGAACUCAAACCUGACAAGAAAGGCAACAUUGGAGCCAUGGGAGUUGUCCUUCUUCCUUGGAUUACCUUGAAAAGAGAGGACAAAUUUGGUUGCAACUUUGCUUGCUGCAAAUUCUCCGAGAAAUUUUCAACUCUAUAGCAACCAGAAAGCUCUACAGUUUUUAUACGUUCCAUUUUCCCAUCAAUCUCCGGAAACCUUACAAGACUUGAGCAACCCGAAAAAAUUAAUGUUUCAAGAGAUUCCAUUCUAAUUUUUGUCGGAAGACUCCUAAGACUUUUGCAAUAUCUAAAAUUCAAAAGUUUAAGGCUCUUAAGCACUCCUAUUGAUGGAUGAACAUCCACUAAUUUGGUACAGCCUUCCAAAAUUAAAACUUUAAGAUUUGAUGCUGUUGUGAAGUUUGGUGUCUUGAUCAGGUUUUGGGAACCUUUGAGGUUCAUUAUUUUCAACUUAUACAAGGGCUGUUGAAGACAAUAAUAAAUUAGAGAGAAAAGAGAAAACAUAAUAAUUCUCAUUUUUGUUUUUGUAUUUUUACCUUAAUCAAAGUUUAAUAAUUUAUAUUAAAAUAAGCUAAAACAGAAGAAUAAGAUGAGUUAAUUCUUACUCUAUUUCCCUUCCAUAGUUGUUUAAUGUGACUAUAUGGUAAAAGAAGUGCAACAAGGUUGUUUGGUCGGAAGCUUGAAGGCAAGCAUCUUAAAGGAUAUCCUGUCCAUUCUAAAAGCCGUAGAUUAUUAGAAAGAUAUUUGAGAUCAUCACAAUUUGACUGGCAAAGCACUUUGAGCAGUCUCAAGUUUUUCAUCUUUGAGAAGGUAUAGGCACUCAAAUUGAGCAUUUUGCUUGAUUCCCUAAUAACCAUGAGUAAAACAAAAAUGAGAUUCAAAAUAUACAAAGACAUUCAAUAUCUAAAAGUUAUGUUGCACCGAUAGAUGAUCAAUUUCCAUUGUAAUGAAAAAAACAAAAUCAUUCCAAAUUGGAAUUAGAAGGAAGACAAUGAGAGAGAUAUUUUAUUUUCAAAUGUUUUAUUUUCUUUCCUUCUCGCUUUUCGCUAUACCAAGCAAUAGUGAGGAGGAAAAUAUAUUUUCCAUUCAAUUUUCUAUCUUUCCAAUCAAGUUUUCCAUCUCUUUAGUUUUCCACCCUUUUGAUUUUCUUUCCACUCUGCCAAGCAAAGCCAAAAGGUUUUUUUUUUAUUGGAUUUUUUACAAAAAAUAAUAACAAUACUAAUAGUACAUAUUGAUAAAUUUAUAUGUAUGUUUUCUUACCAUUCGUUGUCGAUGAUCAUACCUUCAAUCACUUCGGUAGCCUAACAGUAAUCAAGAAUAGACAAUAAGAAUACAAAAUAAAUUAUCUAAAUUGUACAAUAAAACUUUUGAAAUUUACAUAUAAGUUCAACAUUAUCACAAUCUUUUAUAGGAAAUAAAAUAUUUUCAAAUGAGAGUAAUUCAAUAAAAUUAAACACUUAUAUUGCAAAUCAUUAUUAAUAUUUAUAUUCAACAAAUGGAAAUUAUCUUAAAGCUACUCAAUGUCACUUAAGGAUUGAUAUGUAAACCAAUUAAACUAAGCUUUAGAUUUACAUCAUAUAUUGAUAAAAAGAAAACUUUGUAUGUAAUUUCUGUUGAAUGAUUUACCGUGUUUUUUGUUAGGACAUGAUGGACACCCCUUUCCUUCCACAAUCUACAACGUUUUCCAGGUUCAUCAACACAUUUUUCUUCAACAAUUUUUCUUCCCAUUUCUUGCAACAAGGCAUGCAUCCGCAAAUAUUGGUUGUCAUCACUGACUUUUAUGAGAGAUUUCUUAAUGAGAACAUCGACUCCGAUAUCUGGAAAAAACUCACAACCAUCCAAUACUUUCAUUACCAAAUCUUUCUGCUCCCCAUUGAAAAAGCAUGCUAUAUCUAGAAAUAUAUUCUUCUCCCUUUCUUCCAAUCCAUCAAAGCUAAUUCGUAGUGUGUCAAGAAUUUCUUUGUUAGAAUCAUAUGGUCCCCCAAGGUUUUGACAUUGUUUUGUUUCUUUUGUCACCCAACCGAUAAUUGAGUAACAAAAUAAUAAUAUGAUAUUUUUUAAUUGUCAUAAUAACAAAUUUAGCUCUUAAUGUUGAUAUAUUCUAUCAAUUUGGACAUGAUUAUAUAUAAAAGUUAUAAAAAAAUUAAAACAAUAAAAAAUUCAAAAAAUAUAUAAAAAUAAGUAAGAAUUCAAAAAAAUUAUAUAAAAAAUUAAAAAUGAUGAGAGAUACAUAAAAAUAUAAAAAAAAUUCAAAAUUUUUAAAAUAAAAAAUUGUUAAAAUUAUAAAAAUCAGUAGCCCACUACCACACAUCAGUCAACAUCUGAUAUAUAUUUUUUGUGUUUCAAGUGUCAAUUGCUAUGUAAAUCACUAGUGGUUUAUAGAGAUAACAAAGGUUCACGACGAUUAAUGCAAAAACCCAUCAGCAAAUAGAAGUUGUAAAUUAAUAUAUAUAUAUAUGCCAUUAAUGGUUUAACGAGUAAAAUAUCUAUUAAUAUAUACAAAUUUGUUGUCCUUAAUGAUCAUUUUGUAUUUUUAUUACAUUUCAUCUCACCAUUGUAAGUGGUUUUGUCUUCAAUUACAUAUUUCAUCAUUGAUUUUAUCUCACUGCUAUAGUAUUUAAUUUUAUUACUACCUUAACUGUAUAUUUAAUCUCUUUAGAACUAAUUUCACCACCCAUCCAAAUAAACCUUGUGUAAGUCUCUAUGAUUAUCUUAUUUGCUUUUUGCUCCAUAGCAAGGCAACUAUUAAUUUAUUUGUAGCCUUAAAAAUUUUUCAUUUUAGAAAAAAAGUCAAUAUAUAAAAGUCUUAAAUUUUGUUAUCUAUAUAUAUAAUAUAAAUUAUCACAUGAUAAGUUCUUUUUACUUUAGAUAUAUAUAAUAAGGGAAGGAUCACAUGUAAAACUAACAUGACUUUGCAUGCUUUUUAAUUCUAUUUUUAUAAUUGAUAUUUUAACAAAUCAACUGUUAAAUUUUAUAUUCAUAUAAAUUUUACACAGUAUAAAUAUAUCUCUCUUUUAUUAUUUCCGUUGAAUUCAGCGACAACUUUUUAGAAUAAUAUGACUUCAAAUUGGUUAAAUGAAUUUCUAGUUUUAUAUUCAAAUUUUAUCUUUCAACUUAUUAGUAAUUUUAAAAAAAAAAUCAAAUUAUACAAUGUCCCUUGCAAACAAAUGAUGGCAGUUGGUUGUUCUUUAUAUCUCCAAGCAAAUUAAAUCUCUUGGUCUAAGUCAAGGUAUUCACAAUUGGUUAAUGCAUUGAUUGAGCAUCGUCUAGGAAUCUCAUGCCCUCUCUUUCUAUCAAUGGUUUCCUCUCAUUUUCCCUUUAAGGUGAUGGUUUUUAUUAUUCUUCUUCUUUUAUGAAAUGUGAUGGUUAAAUCCUUUUCCUCUUAUGGCAGUAAAGAUAUGAAAGGCCAAAAUACAAUUUAAAAUAUAAUACAAGGUCUGCUUUGAUACUUUUACUUAAUUCCACUGUGCAUCCCGUUUUUGUAGUGCAUAUGUCAAUAGCAAGCCAACUAUUUAUAUUUGUAGUCUUACAAAAUUGACUUUUCAGAAAAAGUCCAAAGCAAUCUCAAUUUAACAAAGUCUUAAAUUUUAUUAUCAAAGUAGUGUAUUAUCGGGUUAAAUUUUAAGUUAUUUGUGAUGUUAUAUUCAAGUAAGUAAUUAUUAUCUAAUGUUAUUUCAAAUCGAUUAAAUGAAUUAUAAAAUGAUCACUAAAUUAUUAAUUUUUUUAUUUAAUCACUAAAUUUUUUGAAAUAAAAUAUUUUAAUCACUUUUCUGUUAAUUACAGUGUAUUGAUUUAAUAAAAAAUUUAGCCUUCAAAAUCUAUUUUUCAAAAAAAAAGUUAAAUGAAUAGUGAGGUGUGAGGGAAUUGUAUACAAUUAUUAAAAGAAGUUUGAUAGGUAAAUUAGAAAGGACAGAGCUUUGAUGAUAUCUAGAGACUGAGAUUUGGAGUUUAGAUAUACAAAGUUGAAAUGAAGUAAUGGUGGAGUUGGAAGGCAGUGUUAUUAAAUACUAAAUAAUAGUUUGGUGAAAAUGGGAUAUUUUUACUUUUUUAUCCAUUCAGACAUAUUACUAUUCCUGUCUUCCUUUUCAUGUUCUUGUAAAAAACAGAUUGCCACCGUUCUUUUCUCUUUGGUAAAUGUUGAUUGCUGAGAGGACAAUCUUUUUGCACAUUCCCGAACUCUAUGGACAAGAUUUUUUGCAUCUCAAUCAAAGGUUUGAAAAGUUGAAAUUAUAUUUAGGAUUUUAUUUUACUUCCAAAUGAUAUCCUAGUAUUCGUAUUAUGGACACGAAUAUAUAUUAAGAGUUCCAUCACAUCAAUCACUGUUGCGGAUAUAAAGAAUACUUAAUUAUGGUAAAUAAGAAUCUAUUUGUACAAUUAAACAAAAACAGGGAAAGGAGAAACUUAAUUAAAUAGGAGAAAAUAUCUUGAAAAGGCUAGUCAAGUAGUUUACCACAAUUUCUGCUUCUUCUCUGAACAACCCAUUAUAAAAUUGAAAUUUGUUUUCAUCUGUUUAGGUCCUCUGUUUCCUCGUGGGUAUUACGUUUUCGUUCUACAGGGAAAGUGCUACCUGCGGAUCCAUUCUUGUCAGUAGAGUGAUGAUGGAUAUGUUCAAAGUUUAGAGGAGAUUGAGUGGUAUGGCACUGCAAAUCUUUCUCAUACAUUAUUCUAACGCCACACUUCUUCACCUUAAAAGAAGGAAACCCAUCUGCGCCUUUGAAAGACAUCUCAAGCUUAUCGCAUUCAUGAUCAGAGCAAUCCAUUGUCCAUGUAUUGUAAUUCACGCGAGAAAUAACGAAGAAAAAGGUGAUUGUUCGUUAUGGGCUGCUCAUAUUCCCCACCUAAACCAAUGAAACUGGGAUCGACCGUUCGAGGAUUUUUAACUUGAAAAACAGAUCCAUUAUGACUAGAUUGUCGGGAAUUUCUAUAAUGGAUAUAAGUUGUACUACCGAUAGCCCUUUCAUCGGAACCUCCAUCAUUGACGAAAUUGCAGCAGAAUGCAACUCCAAUCCAAUUUGUUUGGUAUAUGUGAAACGCUUUGUGAGUUUGUUUUUUAAAAUAAAGGUAAAUUUCAACAAUUAUUUUUUAAUCAUCAUUAUUAAUACAUUGAAAUCACAUUCAAUGUAUGUUAGUGAUUAUGAAAAAUUGGAAUGUGACAUACUCUUGAUGUGUUUAGAAAAUGUUAUAGUUAUAGAAAAAAUUAUAUAACCAUCAUGGCAUUGGUUGAGUUUGUUAAACUUAAAAGUUUUAGAAAUCCAAUGUUAUAGGUUUUAAUCUCAAUUUUAUAUAAAAAGAUAAAAAUAAUUACUAUAAUAAUAUUUGUUACUUUUAAAAAUAUUAAAUUUUCUAGUCAUUUUCCAAAUAAGUUAAUAUCUAAUUCACUUAUGAUUGAUAAGUAAAGUAUAAUAUAAAUUAUGUUUGGUUAAAAAUAAAAUUAUGUGAAAAUGAUAUAUAUUUAAAUAUAGAAUAUAUCAAAUUUUAUAUAAGGUAAGUUAUUAAUAUAGUAAAAUUGGAAGUAAUUUAAAGAUAAUUAUUAUAUUAGAAAAUAUAGGCAUUAAAGUUGAGGCAUUUUAAGAAGUUUACCAAAUUUUAUAUAAUGUAAAUCAUAAACACUGUUCCUUAAUACCACCGCGCACGAUUAGCGCUGUUGGAACCGUUAGUUCCCUGCUUUAACUUUAUCUCCAUAACAUGCCGAGACCAUGAAAGGCACUCAUUCCUUAAUACCAUAUUUAGUUCCCGCAACGCCACUACUGAAAACAAAGGCAUUUCUAUUUUACCAAAGUUUCUAGCAGCCAUAGCAAAAAGAGUACCCCAAUCAGUUCCUUCCACAGAAAAAGUUCUUUGAGCUCCGGAGAAACUCACUGCUCACUACUGCAAAUCAAACUUUUAGCGGAGUUAUUUGCGGCGUUUACAUCAAAACGCCGCCAAAGUUGCACAUUAGUGGCGGUUGUAAACAAACGCCGCAAAAGAUUGGAUCAAUAGUGGCGUUUGAAAGAAAAAACGCCGCAGAAAAUCAGAAUUAAAUAAACGCCGCAAAAACUCGAGCAGAAAAUCAAAACACAUCGUUUUACUUUAGCUUCUAGUCGAAUUAGCGGCGCUCUUCUAGAAACGCCGCUAUAGGUAGAGUAUUAGCGGCGAUUCCGAAAAAGCGCCGCAAAAAUGUUAAUCAGUACGCAUCGUUUUACUUUAGCUUCUAGUCGAAAGCUAUAUGUGGAGUAUUAGCGGCGCUUGUAAAAAAGCGCCACAAAAAAUGUUAAUCAGUACGCAUCGUUUUACUUUAGCUUCUAGUCGAACUAUCGGCACUUUUCUAAAAACGCCGCUAUAGGUAGAGUAUUAGCAGCGCUUGAGUAAAAGCGCCGCAAAAUGUAAAUCAAAACACAUCGUUUUAUUUUAGCUUAUAGUCGAAUUAAAGUCGAGAUCUUUAGCGGCAUUUUUUUUCAAAUAAACGCCGUAAAAUUUUUCAACAUUGUCAAUAGCGGCGAUUUUCACGGCGUUUGUGAAAGCGCGGCAAAUAGCUUUAGCGGCGCUUAUAAAGCCACUAAAGGACAAAAAAAUGCCGCUAAAAGUCUACUUUCCUGUAGUGGCUCUUCCAUUUCCUAGCGCCCAAUAGACACCAUUUACUACAUCUUCCCAAAUAUUGGACAAAGCCCUCCAGAGAAGCGAGCAAUUAGAAGGAUGUAUUGAAGCCGACCAUCUACUUAUUACCCCAUACUUGAUUCCAAGGACUUCGACCCAUAUCACAUUCACGUUAGAAAUGACAUUAAAAGCUACCUUAAUCAUGCAAGCUUUAUUGUGGUCUCGUACUUUCCUCAACCUAACUCCACCGUUCUUCAAAGGCAUACAAAAUUUAUACCAGCUCACUAAAGUUGGUUUCUGAUUGCCAAAUGUUGACCCCAAAUGAAUCCUCGAACCAGCUUCUCAUUUUUGUUGCAAUUGUUUAAGUGAUCAACUAAAAUAAGACCGUACAAAGAUUGAUCGGUCUAAAAUGAGAUAGUAAUUCCGGUCUUGCCACCUUGGGAACCAACACAAUAAGAGUUUGAUUCAAAAUAGAGGCAAACAUUUGAUGAUUUCGUUCUAUUGGUUUUUAAUUUGAAUUAGUCAUUCAUUUAAAACAAUCAUAGUUGUGCAUCAAUUAUGAAAGAAGUCAGAAGAAAAUUGUGCACUAAUCAAAUGCAAUUUUCUUCACUUUUAUCGCGUCUUUGAGUUGAAGGAAAAGAUGGCCCAAUUGAGAUACACUUGAAAAGUUUAAUGAUGAAUUGAAAUGAAUUGAAAUUAAUGGUUCAAUUAGCAUUUUGCAUUAAAAAAUUCAUAAUCUGACUCAAUAAAAUGUUGAGAGUCAAAUUACUAAAAAGAAAUGAAUAUGGGUCAACUUGUCAAAUUUUAUAAACACUAAGAACCUUUUUUUAUCAUUAUGCCUAAUUUUAAAGGUUUUAUUUACAAUACAAUUAAAUUACUAUUUGAAUUUACAUUUUAAAAACAACGUUCAUUUCAAUAUGUAUAAUUUGCAUUACAAUACAUGAUAAAAACAACUAAUUAUAUUUUGCUAAUUCCCUAAAUUCGUCCGAACCUAUAAUUGCUAAGGUGUCCGCCUCCAUUCCAACUUGAAGACUUUUGUUGGUCCCUCACUUGCAUGAUCCUUUGAGCAGACUUUCAUGCUUCUAUUGGUCUAGGGGACAAACAUAAAACACCAUCAUUAUUUUUGUUGCAUUGAGAUCAUCUAUAUUAACUUACCUCAAAUUCAGAAAUUUUUGUUGAUAUCACAUAAAUACAAUCAUUGAAAAUCUUACUCAUAUUGACCAAAAAUCAUAUUUUUAUUUCUCUAAACAAUAACAAAAAUGAAAUUAUAGAAUUUUGAAAAUAAAAAUAUUGGAUAUGAAAAUGUCUCUCACAUGGAAAAGAUUUUCCAAAUAAUUAAAAGAGUGUACUUUAUUUUUAUAUUUGAACCAGUGUUAAAAAUAAAUGUCUAAACUUAAAUACUUUGUAAAAAAAUAUAAAUUGAAGAGUUGGAAUAAUAUUAUUUAUACUUCAAGCCAUGAAAUUUAAAUGCUACUUUUGUUAGAAGGAAUUAAACCUAUUUAAGUACUAUUAAGGACUUAUAUUUAAUCUUCUAAAUUUAUAAAAAACAAUUUUAACUGAUUAAAUUGAAUACAUAAGUUGGUCUCAAAUAAAAAUAAAAUGGUUUUUAACUCAGCUGAAAUUAUGAUCUAAUCCUCAUUAAAGGAUUUUCACCUUAUUAUUACCUAUAUCGUCGUCGAAGCUAUCUAUUUUUCUCCACAUUUCUAUCUCAAUUGAUUAUAUUUACUUCAACCUAAAAAUAAAAUAUAGACGUAAGUGAAUAUAUAUAAUGAGAAUAAAAUUUUAAUAAAUAUCAAAAUGUACACAUUUCAAUUAUGUAAAAAGGAAUGAAUUAAGUGAAUAAAAUUUUAAAUGGUAUUUUUUUAAAAAAAAUUAGUAUAUUAUAAAAUGAUCAUAUCUCAUACGGAAAUAAGUCUAGAAUGAUAACUUUAAAUGAAAUAAAAGAUGUAAACAAGGUAGAUGAGUAAAAAAUUUUAGUAGGACAAGGUUGGUUAAGUAAUUUACCAUAGCUAAUGCGUCUUCCCGGAUUGGCCAAUUAUAAAAAAAUUGAAAAAAAGUUGCAUCCGUUUUGGUUGCGGCCCUUCUUCCUCCGCUUCAUCGUAGAUAUUAGGUUUCUAUUUUAUGUGAGAAGUGCUACCUACUGAUCCAUGGUUGUGAGCAGAGUGUUGGUGGAUGUGUUCAAAAUUUGGAGAAGAUUGAGUGGUAUGGCACUGCAACUCUUUUAUCUCUUCCAAAUCUUUCUCAUACACUAUUCUAACACCACACUUCUUCACCUUAACACUGCAUCCCAUGAAAGACACCUCAAGCUCAUCGCAUUUUUUAUCUAAGCAAUGUGUUGUCCAUAAAUUAGUGGUUUCACAGUCAUCAUAUUUAUUGUCCAAGGAAGGAUAUAUUGUAUCACGCGACCAAUAACGAAGUAAAAGGUGAUCUUUCAUUAUUGGUUCACACAGCCCCCAGUCUCUCCAAUCAAUCCGUCGAUAAUUUCUACCUCGAAAAAUAGAUCCAUUACAGCUGGCUUGCUCAGAAUUUCUACAAUAGAUAUAUGCUCCACAACCGAUUUCCUGUUUGUCAUCCCUUGAAGCAUCAUUACUGACAAAAAUGCAGCAGCAAGAACUCCAAUCCAUUGACUAUCUUUCUGAAGGUUGAUAGGCAGGGGUAGGUUAAUUGAAGAGUCACUUGUUUGUUCGCUAAACCAUUCUGGGAUUUCACUUCCGGGCAUGAUAAUAUUAAAGAUUUCUCUUGAAUUUGCAAAUGCCUGCAAAAUAAAACACAAGUCGUUUGGUAACUAAAACCAUAAAUUCUCAAGUAUGAGAUUUUGCAAGGGAGAAAAUGGAGAUUAAUCGACCUUAAGCUGUUUUUUCAGCAGUGUUAAUGCAUUCAUAUUCUCGGCCAAUUUGAAGCAGUUAAUGGCUUUAAAGGAACCCGAACCUGAUAAAUUGCAUACUUCACGUAGUGUUAAUGCAUUGAUAUUCUCAGCCAAUUUGAAGCAGUUAAUGGCUCUAAAGGCAGCCGAAUCCACUAAAUUGCAUACUUCAAGUGAAGAACAACCAUCUAGCCACACUUGUCCUAACCUUGUCGGUAUCUCAGGCAACGAUUUAAGCAUCUUGCAAUACGACAAUCCAAGAAACUGGAGCUCUGAUAGUCGAGUAAGAGAGAAAGGUAUGCUGAUGAAAUUGUUACCACUAAGACCAAGAUGUACCAAAGAGGAUAGACCAGAAAUAUAACUAUGAAUAUCUGCUUCACCAAGAGUGCACAUGUUGCAACUUGACAAGUCAAGAAACUCAAGCUUCGAGAGUCCAGUAAGAGAUGCAGGUAUGCUGGUGAAAUUGUUACGACCAAGAUCAAGAUGUUUCAAAGAGGAUAGACCAGAAAUAUCACGUGGAAUAUCUCCUUCACAAAGAUUGCAGUCGCUUAGACUUAGCCGUCUUAAUGAACUCAAACCUGACAAGAAAGGCAACAUUGGAGCCAUGGGAGUUGUCCUUCUUCCUUGGAUUACCUUGAAAAGAGAAGACAAAUUUGGUCGCAACUUUGCUUGCUGCAAAUUCUCCGAGAAAUUUUCAACUCUAUAACAACCAGAAAGCUCUAGAGUUUUUAUACGUUCCAUUUUCCCAUCAAUCUCCGGAAACCUUACAAGACUUGAGCAACCCGAAAAAAUUAAUGUUUCAAGAGAUUCCAUUCUAAUUUUGGUCGGAAGACUCCUAAACUUUUACAAUCUCUUAAAUUCAAAAGUUGAAGGCUCUUAAGCACUCCUAUUGAUGGAUGAACAUCCACUAAUUUGGUACAGCCUUCCAAAAUUAAAACUUCAAGAUUUGGUGCUGUUGUGAAGUUUGGUGUCUUGAUCAGGUUUUGGGAACCUUUGAGGUUCAUUAUUUUCAACUUAUACAAGGGCUGUUGAAGACAAUAACAAAUUAGAGAGAAAAGAGAAAGCAUAAUAAUUCUCAUUUUUGUUUUUGUAUUUUUACCUUAAUUAGAGUUUAAUAAUUUAUAUUAAAAUAAGCUAAAACAGAAGGAUAAGAUAAGUUAAUUCUUACUCUAUUUCCCUUCCAUAGUUGUUUAAUGUGACUAUAUGGUAAAAGAAGUGCAACAAGGUUGUUUGGUUGGAAGCUUGAAGGCAAGUAUCUUAAAGGAUAUCCUGUCCAUUCUAAAAGCCGUAGUUUAUUAGAAAGAUAUUUGAGAUCAUCACAAUUUGAUAGACAAAGCACUUUGAGUAGUCUCAAGUUUUUCAUCUUUGAGAAGGUAUCAGCACUCAAAUAGAGCAUCUUGUUCGAUUCCCUAAUAACCAUGAGUAAGACAAAAAUGAGAUUCAAAAUAUACAAAGACUUCAAUAUCUAAAAGUUAUGUUGCACCGAUAGAUGAUCAAUUUCCAUUGUAAUGAAAAAAAAAAUCAUUCCAACUUGGAAUGAGAAGGAACACAAUGAGAGAUAUUUUAUUUUCUUUCCUUCUCACUUUUCGCUAUACCAAGCAAUAGUGAGGAGGAAAUUAUAUUUUCCAUUCAAUUUUCCUCUUUCCACUCAAGUUUUCCAUCCCCUCAGAAAACCAGAAGGUUUUUUCUUUUGUUGUUUUUUAUUGGAUUUUUUACAAAAAAACAAUAACAAUAUUAAUAGUACAUAUUGGUAAAUUUAUAUGUAUAUUUUCUUACCUUUUAUUGUCGAUGAUCAUACCCUCAAUCACUUCGGUAGCCUAAAAGUAAUCAAGAAUAGAUAAUAAGAAUACAAAAUAAAUUAUCUAAAUUGUAAAAUAAAGCUUUUGAAAUUUACAUAUAUGUUCAACAUUAUCACAAUCUUUUGGUCGAAAUAUAGGAAAUAAAAUAUUUUCGAAUGAGAGUAAUUCAAUAAAACUAACCACUUAUAUUACAAAUCAUUAUUAAUAUGUAUAAUCAACAAAUGGAAAUUAUUUUAAAACUAAUAUGUAAGCCAAUUAGAUUAAGCUUUGAAUUUACAUCAUAUAUUGAUAAAAAGAAAAUUUUGUAUAUAAUUUUUGUUGAAUGAUUUACCGUGUUUUUUGUUAGAACAUGAUGGACAUCCUUUUCUUUCCACAAUCUACAACGUUUUCCAGGUUCAUCAACACAUUUUUCUUCAACAAUUUUUCUUCCCAUUUUUUGCAACAAGGCCUGCAUCCGCAAAUGUUGGUUGUCAUCACUAACUUUUAUGAGAGAUUUCUUAAUGAGAAUAUCGAUUUCAAUAUCUGGAAAAAACUCACAACCAUUCAAUACUUUCAUUACCAAAUCUCUCUUCUCACCGUUGAAAAAGCAUGCUAUAUCUAGAAAUAUAUUCUUUUCCUUUUCUUCCAAUCCAUCGAAGCUAAUUCUUAGCGUGUUAAGAAUUUCUUUGUUAGAAUCUUUUUAAGUCUUUCGAUUGCACUUCUCCAUUGAACUAUAUCUCUAUCGCACAAAAAUGAACCCAAAACUUCAAGAGCUAAGGGGAGACCACCAGCAUAACAUACAACCUCUUCAGAAACCUCAAUGAAAUCAUCUUUUGGCACUGUAUCACUAUGAAAAGCUUUCAAAUUGAAAAGUGUAAGUGCAUCGGCUGGAUUCAAUGUUUUAGGCUUAUACACACCAUCGACUCCGUAAGAUCGGAGUAAAUGUUCAUCUCUUGUUGUUACAAUGAUUCGACUCCCUAAACCAAACCAAUCACGCCUUCCAACCAAGCAUUUCAAGUGUUGUACAUUAUCAACAUCAUCAAGAACAACAAGAACCUUUUCACUACACAACCUGCGGCUAAUUAUGGCAUUCCCUUCAUGGACAUUGAAAAAAUUGAAGCAUUCAUUAGGCAAGAUUUGAGAAAGAAGUUGUUUCUGUAACGAAACAAGUCCACAUUUGUUUGAAACUUCUCGAAUAUCAGCAAGAAAGCUUUUGCCUUCAAAAUGAGGUGACAUUUGAGUGUAAACAACCCUCGCAAGAGUUGUUUUACCGAUGCCACCCAUUCCGCAAAUUCCUAUAAUGCGGACAUCAUCUUCCCCAAUGUUUAUUUUCGAAUACAACCCCUUCAAAGGUAAGCUAAUUCCAACCAAUUCAUCAUGAACCAUUGGAUUUGUCUCACAUAAUUUGGCUGAUAUCUUCCUAACAACGUCUCCGAUAAACUCUGAUUCAUUCCUACAACGAAAUAAAAAAUUGUUUCUAUCUUUCAAAUGCUCUUUGUCAUUUUUAGUUCAAUGAAUCAUGAAAUAUAAUAUAGUUGGAAGCAAACAAAAAGCAAGAAUAAGACAGUAAGAUAUAUUAUGGCAUCAAAAUACACAACUUUCUCGUUAGAAUUCUUAAUUAAACACAAAAUUAUAAAAAAUUACAUGCAAUCUUGAAAAAAACAAUUUUUUAGUCAUUAAAAUUAGGAAAUAGAGAAGAAAUGAAAGAAUUACCCAUUAUGUAAAUGCCAUCCUUUGAUCUUAGCUACUUCAGUCAAAGCAUUUCGCCACUUUUGGAUCUUGUCUUUAUCUUCCUUGUACCUCUCUUCAUGUUUGACAAAGGCUUCUUCUACUUUUUCUUUUCGGUUUCUUAAAUCGGAUGGAUCCACAUGGCAGAAAAUUGGAAAUACUUUAUGUCCGAUAGCGUUUUUUUGUUGAACAAUUUCAGCAAGCUCCUCCAAGCACCAUCCUGAAAAGGCAUAGGUUUUUGAAAAAAUAAUUACCGAGCACCAUGAUUGUUGAAUUGCUUUGGAGAGUUCGGGUGCGAUCUCUUCGCCAGCCUCCAGCUUUGGAUCAUCCCUGAAGGUGACGAUCCCACUACUCUUUAGAGCAUCAUAAAGAUGAGCCGUGAAGUUCUUGCGAGUAUCUUCACCUCUAAAACUCAAGAAAACAUCAUAUUUCUUUCUAGAAAUGGGGGAAGAAGUCGAAGGUAACGACAACAUGAGGAUGUAUGAAAGGAGCAGGAUAUCUUUAUCUGGUUUUCAAAAUCAGAAACUAGAUCGCCCGAUCCUCGCAAAGAAACUAGAAAAAGUAAGUAUAUGAGCAUAGGGGCGGAAAUUAGGGGCAAAGAUGAGUGAUGGAUGUUCUUUCCAAGAAGAAUCCAAGAAGGUGAGAGUUGGCACGGUGGAGGCUAUUAAAAAUGUUGGACGGUUUGUAUUUUACGUAUUUAAAAAUUAUAGCGUAGGUAAGAUUAUGACAAUAAUCAUUAGAAUAUAUCUUUAAUAAUUAUCCUUCGUUAUGGGCUGGUUAAAAAGUUUACCAAACAACCAACUACUCGCAUCGACACGUGGAAAAGUUCUUUCUCGAAAGACAGAUCCAUUUCGACUGGCUUGUCCAGAAUUUCUACAAUGGAAGCAUCAUCACUGACAAAAAUGCGACAGGAAGCAACUCCAACCCAUUGACCAUUCUGAAUAAUGAGUGGUAGAGGUAUCCUAAUUGUAGAGCCACCACUCUGUUGGCUAAACCAUUCUGGGAUUUCACUUCCAGGUAUAAUAACAUCAAACAUUUGUCUUGAAUUUGCAAAUGCCUGCAUAAUGAAACUUCAGUCGCUUAGUAAAUAAAACCAAAAAUUCCCAAGUAUGAGAGGGAAAGAAAGAGAGAUUAAUUAACCUUGAGAUGUAUUUUCAACAAUGUUAAUGCAGUGAUGUUCUCAGCUAAUCUGUAGCAGUUAAUGGCUUUAAUGGAAGCUAAAUCCAAUAAAUUUCAUACUUUUGAUGGACUUGCAACUACUUCAAGUGAAGCACAACCAUCUAUGCACACUCUUGCUAUACUUGUUAGAAGCUCAGGCAAGGAUUUAAGCUCUUUGCAAUUCAUAACAUAAGAAGCUUAAGCUCUUUGAGUAAGAGACGCAGGUAUGCUGAUGAAAUUGUUACCACUAAGAUCAAGAUCUGUCAAGGAGGAUAGGCAAGAUAUAUCACUAGGAAUAUCUCCUUCACGAAGAUUGCAGUCCCUUAGCUCAACUCUCUUAAUGAACUCAAACUUGACUACGAAGGCAACAUCAGAGGCAUAGAACUUGUCCUUCCUUUUUGGGUUUCCUUGAAAGGAGAAGGAAGAUUUUGUUGUAACUUUGAUGGUCCCUUGCAUCCAUUGAAAGACAGAACUUUAAGAUUUUUCAAUUGAAAAAUUAAGGAUGGUGGUCCUCUUAUGCUUGUUUCACUUAAGUCAAGCUCUUCCAAAUAUUCUACUUGCUUCAUAUUCUCUGGCAAAUUUUCAACUUCACAACAACUAGAAAGAUUAAGAGUUUUUAGACAUUCCAUUUUCCCUUCGAUCUCCGAAAACCUUACAAGAUUCCAUUCCAAUUUUGGUUGGAAGACUCCUAAGACUUUUGCACCCUCUUAAAUUCAAAAGUUUAAGCCUCCUAAGAACUUCCAAGGAUGGAUGACUUCUACAAUUCUUGUACAACCUUCCAAAACCAGAAUUUCAAGAUUUGGGGCCAUUGUGAAGUCUGGUGUCUUGAUUAGGUUUAGGGACCCUUCAAGGUUGAUCACUUUCAACUUAUACAUAGGCUGUGAAAAACAAUAAUAAAUUAAAGAGAAAAGAGAAAAAAUAAGAAAACUUAUUUUUGUUGUUUAUUUUUAUCUUAAGCUAAAACAUAAGGAUUGGGUGAAUUAAUUUUACUCUAUUUCCCUUCCAUAAUUGUUCAAUGCUACUGAAAUGGUAAGAGAAGUGCAACAAGGUGGUCCGGUUGGAAGCUUAAAGGCAAGAGUCCUAAAGGAUAUAUUAUGUAAUCUAAAAAUUUUGUUUUCAUUGAAAGAUAUUUGAGAUCAUCACAAUUUGAAGGCCAAAAGACUUUGAGUAAUUUCAACUCUUUUAUUUUUGAGAAGACAUCAACAUUCAAAUUAAGUGUCUUGCUCGAUUCUCUAAUAACCAUGGACGAAACAAAAAACUUAGCUUCACAAAAGCAUUAAUACCUAAAAACUCUGUAAAUCUAAAUAUGGGCAUUAAGAUAUGACUCUUCAAGAAUUCUUUAAUACAUGAAAAAAUCUUUUGAAAAAUGAACAUACCCAUUUUGAACAAUUAACACGCACAAUUGACUCCGAAUUACCUAAAUCUAAAAGUACUAAAACUAUUUUCAUUUAUAUUUGGUGCACUUGCAAUGUAUAAUUUUAUGCAUUAUUAGUGAAGCAAAUGAAGAUGCAUAAUUAAGGAUGAAAUUACUUGAAUUUAUUUUAAUAAUAUUUAAUGACAUGUUAUAAUCUAGUUCAUAUUGUCAAUUUAUCAAAUAUAAACUUUUAUUUUUCAUAAAAAAGAAACAUCUCUCUCUAUGUUUUUUUUUUCUGAAAGAAUAAUGUGUUACUUGAUAAAUUCAUAAAUUAGCAUUCAAAUAUUAAGUAUUAAGUGUUUUUUUUUCAUUAUAUAUUUUUUACAAAAUAAAACUAAAUAAUAACAAUAUUAAUAAUACACAUCGAUAAAAGUAGAUAUAUACUUUCCUACCUUUUAUUGUGGAUGAUCAUGCCUUCAAUCAAUAAAUAGGUUUUUUUCUCAAAGCUAGUGAAUAUCACUUUUUAGGGAUUGUUAUAUAGAUGAAUUAGAAUAAGCUUUAAGUUUAUAUUAUAUAUUGGUUAGAGAUCCAAUAAAAAAAAUUAGUAUGUAAAUUUUGUUGAAUGGCUUACUGUGUUUUUCGUUAAGACACGAUGGAUGUCCUUUUUUCUCACAGUUUGUAACGUUUUUUUGGUUCAUUAACACAUUUUUCUCUAUUAUUUUUUCUUCUCAUUUCUUGCAACAAAUCGUGCAUCCAAAAAUAUGUGUGAGUUCAUUGACUUUUAUGAGAGAUUUUUUCAUAAGAACAUCAAUUCCAAUAUAUGGGAAAAACUCACAACCACCCAAUACUUUGGUUACAAGAUCUUUCUCUUCUCCAUUGAAGAAGCAUGCUAUAUCUAGAAAUAUAUUCUUCUCCCAUUCUUCCAAUCCACCAAAGCUUAUUUGAAAUCUAUUGAGAAUUUCUUUAUUAGAAUCUAGUUUAAGUCUUUUGAUUCCACUUCUCCACUGAGAAGCCUCUCUACCGCACAAAAAAGAACCCAAAACUUCAAGAGUAAAUACCACUAGCAGAAUGUACAUCAAGUUUAGAAAGGACUAAAUCGUAACAAUUUGGACUAAUUUGAAUAGAACUAAGAACUUAGGUAGUGAUGCCCCUAAAGGAAUAUUAAGAUAAAGUGAGACUGGAAGGUAAUCUUGUCGUGCACCCGUUCAUUAGUCCCGGAUUAUCCGAUGUGAUUGGAAGAUAUACUAGACCUAAUCUGUCAAAGCUGGUAAAUUUAAGAUCGGAAGAUAAAAUAGAGUCACUUGAUAAUUACAUGAUUUAUGUCAUUGGUCCAAGAUUUGGUGAACCGCACCGAAGUCAACCAACCCCCGUUAGUCAUUUGCUAGAUAGUCCCUCUAGUUUACAUUUCUUGUAAUUUAGUCCCUAAAGUAGAAUAUUUAAUUUUCUUGCAAACUUAUCUUUUAUGAAUCACCGCAAUAUAAAAUUGUAUUAAUAGCCACUUAGCCUCCAUUGUGUAUGCUAGUUAUUGGUCAAUCACCUGUUCAUUUGUGUUCAAUCCUUAGAAUACUUUAGCAUUCAUUGUAACAUUAUAAAUAUUAAAACUGACGUGUAAGCUUGCAAUAAAAUUGGGCUUUUAAAAUAGUUAUAUAAAUUCAGUGUUUUAAGCGCAUGCACGUAGCCGGUCAGUAGUCAAUCUCACCCCAUUAGCCACCAUGACAUGAAGCUGACUAAAGUGCUCCACUAAUAAAUCCAACCUUUUAACCAGCUUAGAAUCUAGAAAAUUGUGUGUACUUCCUGAGUCAACCAGGAUAAUGACGUUGGAGUGACCAAUACUUGCUAAAAGCUGCAUAGUGUUAUGUCUCUAUAAGCCUUGAAAGGUGUGUAAGGAUAAAACUGGGGCAGUGGGUUUCAUUUCCAGUUCUAACACUUUCAGUUGUUCAGGACAUUCUUAGAAUUCUUCAAACACUGGACUCUUGCUUCCACCCUCAUGAAGUUCCACAACCAGCUGAUAAAGUUGAGGCUUGGUACACUUAUGACUUGGGGUGUAUUUGGAUGCACACCGAAAGCAAAGUCCCUUCUUCCUUCUCUCUUCUAUUUCAGCUUGAGAAAACGGUUUGGUUUGGAAUUUCUACCUCGAGUUACUAUUUGGAGGUCCACUUGGCCCUAUCGAGUUACUGUGGUGAUGUUGCACCUUGGGACCAGGAAUUAAGGGACUAAGGUGACUUAUUCCCCUUACAUUCAAACUCUUCUUUGGGAACUUAGCCACGACACGUUUAACCUAUCGAGCUAAUUGAUAGCCCUGCACCUGUGUUUAAGGCUUGAACAACCGUAGAUACUGUCCUAUCUCAGAUUUAAGAUUGCAAGUGAAAACACUGAGGACAUAAUCCUCAGUUAGAUGUAACUAAUUAAGCAAACUUACAAAACGGUCAUGGAAAUGGUCCACUGACCCUUGCUCAUUGAGUGAAACAUGUUCUAACAUAGGGUCUAAGAAGGAGUUAGAUCUAAAACGAUCCCUCAACCCUCGAACAUAUAUCUCCCAGGUCAGGUGAUAUAUUCCUCCCGUCUUUGCACAAAAGUGAUGCCAAUCUAGGGCUUUACCUUCUAAGUGCAACAUUACCAUUCUAACCUUGGUCUACUCUAUUAUAUUUGCAGCUUCAAAGAAUUGUUCUGACUUGGACCACCAACCUCAAUAAUCUGUCCCAUCAAAUCAUGGGCAUUCUAGUCGAAGAGUUUUGUUGACAGAGUCCACAAGACCAACUUGAGAAAGAGUAUUCAUGUUUUCCAAAGCUGACACAGGUGAUAAUGUAAGUGGCUCUUUGGAAGGGAACCUAGGAGGAGAGCCUCCCAUAAUGCCCUUGUCUUGAACUCUUCCAGUUACACUGGUAGAAGCAUUUUGACCAAAAUGGUGUUCAAAAAGAGAGUGCAGCCCAGUUCGAAUCUCACCUUUGAUACUUUCAUGAAAAUCCUUUAACCGAGAUUCAAUCUUAGCGUCAAUUUAGCUAACCUCUAAUUGCAUCUGAGAGAGCUCGUGUUGCAGCACUCCCAUCUCUUUUUGUAACCUAGUGGUGACUCUAUCAUUUGCCAUAAGAACCGAAUUCAACUCUGAUACCUUUGUCAUGGGAAAAUCUUUAGGGUAGAAGAGAAAUAGGGUAGCAAGAGGAAGAAAAAGGAGUUGAGAGAAAUUAGAGAGAUAGAAGGAAAGGAGUGGAAAAGUCAAGGGAUAUGAGGAUGAAUUGUCCUUAGUAAAGAAGGAAAGUGAGAAGAAAAAAAAGGGGGAGAAAUAAAUAUUUUAUACUAGUGAGAAGGGAAAUGUAUUAUCUUUCAACUUUCUGUUUACUCUACCAAGCAAGUCAAAAGGUCUUUUUCUUGUUAUUUUUUAUUGGACUUUUUACAAAAAAAAUAAUAACAAUACUUGGAGUACAUAUUGAUAAAUUUAUAUGUUUCUUUUCCUACCUUUUAUUGUCGAUGGUCAUGCCUUCAAUCACUUCAGUAGCCUGAAAGUAAUCAAGAAGAUAAAAUUAAUGCUCUAAAUUGUACAAUAAAACUUUUAAAAAUUUACAUACAUGUUCAACAUUAUUGCAAUCUUUUGGUCGAAAUACAGUAAAUAAAAUAUAUUCUAAUGAGAGUAAUUCAAUAAAAUUAAACAUUUAUACUACAAAUCAUUAUUAAUAUUUAUAAUCAACAAAUGAAAAUUAUCUUAAAGCUGCUCGAUGUCACUUAAGGAUCGAUAUAUAAAGCAAUUAGACUAAGCUUUGGAUUUACACCAUUUAUUGAUAAAAGAAAAUUUUGUAUGUAAAUUUUGUUGAAUGGUUUACCGUUUUUUUUGUUAGAACAUGAUGGACAUCCUUUUCCUUCCACAAUCUGCAACGUUUUCCAGGUUCAUUAACACAUUUUUCUUCAACAAUUUUUCUUCCCAUUUCUUGCAACAAGGCAUGCAUCCACAAAUAUCGGUCGUCAUCAUCGACUUUUAUGAGAGAUUUCUUAAAGAGAACAUCAAUUCCAAUAUCUGGGAAAAACUCACAACCAUCCAAUACUUUCAUUACCAAAUCUUUCUUCUCCCCAUUGAAAAAACAUGCUAUAUCUAGAAAUAUAUUCUUCUCCCUUUCUUCUAAUCCAUCAAAGCUGAUUCUUAGUGUGUUAAGAAUUUCUCUGUCACAAUCUUGUUCAAGUCUUUCAAUUGCACUUCUCCAUUGAACUAUAUCUCUACCGCACAAAAAUGAACCCAAAACUUCAAGAGCUAAGGGGAGACCAUCAACAUAAUGUACAACAUGUUCAGAAAGUUGAUUGAAAUUAUCUUUUGGAGUUGUAUCACCACCAAAAGCUUUCAAAUUGAAAAGCCUUAGUGCAUCGUUGGUGUUCAAUGUUGUAGGCUUAUACACAUCAUCGAUUCGAUAAGAUUGGAGCAAAUGUUCAUCUCUUGUUGUUACAAUGAUCCUACUACCUAAACUGAACCAAUCACGCCUUCCAACCAAGCAUUUCAAGUGUUGUACAUUAUCAACAUCAUCAAGAACAACAAGAACUUUUUUGCUAGACAACCUGCGGCUAAUUAUGGCAUUCCCUUCAUGAACAUUGACAAAAUUGAAGCAUUCAUUUGGCAAGAUUUGAUAAAGAAGUUGUUUCUGUAAAGAAACAAGUCCACAGUUGUUUGAAACUUCUCGAAUAUCAGCAAGAAAGCUUUUACCUUCAAAAUGAGGUGACAUUUGAGUGUAAACAACCCUUGCAAGAGUUGUUUUACCGAUGCCACCCAUUCCACAAAUUCCUAUAAUGCGGACAUCGUCUUCCCCAAUAUUUAUUUUCGAAUACAACUGCUCCAAACGUGAACUAAUUCCAACCAACUCAUCAUGAAGAACUGGAUAUGUCUGACAUAAAUUUGCUGAUAUCUUCUUAACAAUGUCUCCAAUAAACUCUGAUUCAUGCCUACAAUGAAAUUAAAUUUCGAUGCUAUAUUUCAAAUGCACUUCUUCAUUUUUAGUUCAGUGAAUAAUGAAAUAUAAUAUAGUUGGAAGCAAACAAAAAGCAAGAAUAAGACAGCAAGAUCUGUUAUAGCAUCAAAUGACACAACUUGCUGCUUAGUUGAAAUAUGGGAAUUCUCAAUUAAACACAAAAUUAUAUAUAAAAAAAUGCAAUCCAAAAAAAAAAAUUAGUCAUUAAAAUUAGGAAAUAUAGAAGAAAAGAAAGAAAUACCUAUUAUGUAAAUGCCAUCCUUUGAUGUUAGCUACUUGAGUCAAAGCAUUUCGCCACUUUUGGAUCUUGUCUGUAUCUUCCUUGUACCUCUCUUGGUGUUUGGCGAAGGCUUCUUCAACUUUUCCUUUUUGUUUUCUUAAAUCGGAUGGAUCCACAUCGUAGAAAAUUGGAAAUACUUUAUGUCCGUUCACAUUUUUUUGUUGAACAAUCUCAGCAAGCUCCUCCAAGCACCAUCCUGAAAAGGUAUAGGUUUUUGAAAAAACGAUUACCGAGCACCAUGAUUGCUGAAUUGCAUUGAAGAGUUCAGGUGCGAUCUCUUCACCAGCCUCCAGCUUUGGAUCAUCUCUGAAGGUGGCGAUCCCACUCCUCUUUAGAGCAUCAUAAAGAUGAUCCGUGAAGUUGUUGCGAGUAUCUUCACCUCUAAAACUCAAGAAAACAUCAUAUUUCUUUCUAGAAAUGGAGGAAGAAGUUGACGGUAACGACAACAUGAGGAUGUAUGAAAGGAGAUGGAUAUCUCAAUCUGGUGUUCAAAAUCAGAAAAUAGAUCGCCCGAUACCCACAAAGAAACUAGAAAGAGUAAGUAUAUAUAUGAGCAUAGGGGCGGAAAUUAGGGGUCAAAAGAUGAGCAAUGGAUGUUCUUGCCAAGAAGUAUCCAAGAAGGUGAGAGUUGGCAAAAUGGAAAUUACGUAAUAAUUAAAAAGUUGGGCGGUUUGUAUUUUACGUAUUUAAGAAUUAUGUAGAAUUAAUUUAUGGGCCGGUUAAAAAGUUUACCAAACAACCAACUACUCGCAUCCACACGUGGAAGAUUUCUAUCUCCAGAGACACAUCCUUUUCGACCGGCUUGUCCAGAAUUUCUACAAUGGAUAACAGCUCUGGAGAUGAUAACUCUGGCAGGGCAGAAGUAGAAUUUUUUUUUAAGGUACAAAAUUAAUUUGUAACUUUUAUUAUAGUAAAAAUAUAAUUUUAUAAUUUUAACAGUUUAUAUCUUUAUAAUAUUUAAAAUAUUAAAUUAAAUUAUUAUAAUUUUUAGGAGGGUCAACGUGUAAUUUUAUUUUUACUAAUUUAAAAUUUUAAAAAUCUUAAAAAACUUAAAUAAAAAACUUUUCAUUUUAAGAGAAGGGAACCCUACUAUCCCCUAGAUUCACCUCUGUAUCUCUGAGAAGCAUCAUCAUUGAUAAAAAUGCAACAGGAAACUACUCCCUUCAUUUGUCUUGAAUUUGCAAAUGCCUGCAAAAUAAAACUUCAGCGCUUAGUAAAUAAAACCAUCAAAUUCCCUUCAUGGACAUUGAAAACUUUUGUAGCUAAAUACGCCUGAGAUUUUGCUCCUGAUUCAUCAUGUCUUAUCUGCCUGCCUUUGCCUUUCCAUUUAUUCUUUGAUAAAUUUCUGUUCUUCAUAUUUCUUCUAUUGAGAGGACAUUUGCUCCUCCAUAACUCUUAUUCUCUUCUGCAUGUCCAAAUAUUGCUAACUACCAGAUUGAUUAUGUUAGAACCUUUGAUCCAUUGGUGAUGCUUCGGCAUGGUGUUUAAUUUUUGGGGUUAUAAUACCAUGGAGGAGUAUUGGUAAAACUGAUGGUAUGAAAUUUGUUGGUUUUAAUUUUGUGGGGGAUAUUGUUGACCAACAUGCAUUAGAUCCUGGUUUGAUUUCUUAGUUUGCUCCAUAUUUGCUUCGAUACUCUGACCAAUGAGGUUUGUAACUUGAUCAUUGGCAAGGUCAAACUCAAUAAUAGGAGGAUCAUUAGGAUCUGGAUGUUUCAUGCUUGUCCAUGCUCACCGCACCAAUUGUUAACUAGUGAGGUGAACAAAAGGAAGAAGAUGUUGGCUUGAUGAAGGAGGGAGUGCGAAGGUUGGAAGGAAUUUUUGGCCUCGUGGAGGUAGUUCAGAGGUUUAGUGAGAGAAGUAUGUAAGAGUGGACCUACGUGAGUUGUUUGCAUGACCCUUUUAUAGUGAGGACAAACUUAGUUAUGUUUCCUAAGAUUGAUGAUGUGGAAGUCUAAUUUGAUAUCUUUGCAGUGAUGGUGAUAUGAUGUCUUAGGAUGAAACAUGUUAGGACAGCUAGCAAUUAAUUACUCUGGGUCUCUACAUAGUCCUCAUUUGUCUUAGUGGAGGUGCAUAGUUCUAAAGUUCAUCAGGUUGUGAUACGAGGACCAAUUACUGGUCCAUAGACUAGCUAUGGGUUUGCUAGGCAUGAACUAGAUGUGAGUCCGCGAUAUCGUUGGUUCCAUUAGAAGACACUUGUCAAACUAUUUAUGAGUGUUCUAUGAGGUUCGCGACACAAAUAAAACCAUUAAUGCACAAUGUGAAAAUUUUUGUCCAAACAAGUUUAAAUGAUACUUCUAUUAGCAGGAAUUAAAGCCGUAUAAAUAAUUCUAAGGACCUAUAUAUAAGCUACAAAAGGAAGCUAUUUAAAUACUAUUAAAGCAGGGAUUGAAUCACACCAAAACACAUUACAGACAUCCAAUGGUACAUUGUCAUGCUUUUUCUUUUUUUUUCCUAGUAAGUAUUCAUGUUUAAUACUAUGCUCGACUUACAUAUAGUUAAUAGACUAAAUUGGAAACAUAUCACAUUUAAUAUAUAAACAAGUAUCAAUUGUGAUAUUCCCCAAUAAAAAUGAAAUGGUGUUCUAUUUAGAGAAAUAGCAGCAAUCGAGCGUUCUCCACAUUUUUGUUACAAAGUUGAACCUACAAAGAAAAUAUAGAUGUAAGUUUAUACAUACAUAUAAUGUUGAGCAAAAAAAAAAAAGUUUAUGCAUAUAACAUAAAAUGUAUUAAAAAAUCCAUUAAACUUUACAAGUUUCAAUCAGGUACAAAAGAAUGAAUUAUAUGAAUAAAAAUUUAAAUGGUAUAAAAAAUUAUGUUCUACAAAUUCGAGAUACGUGUAGAAUAUGAGUUUAGUGUUUAACAUGUUCAUACACAAAAUUUAGAAUUAGUUAUAACGUUUCAAGAAUAUUACCAAAUCCUAUGUUGAGUAAAGAUGUCCAAAAUGAAUACUUCAAAUCAAAUAAAAGACGUGCAUAAAAUAGAUUAGUAUGUCUAAAAAAUAAUUAAUAGUCGAUUGAGUUUUAGCUCGAUUGAUUUCAAUAUUUUUGUCAAUACAGGUGUAAAAAUAGAACAUUGGUAAUGACAAUGUAUCACAAAGAAAAAGAGAGAAAAAUAAAGAACACAUAGAUUUUACGUGGAAACCCUUUCGGAAAAAAAUUCACAGAAGGAGAAGAUAAUACACUAUGCCGAAUUCGAAUGAAUACAAGAGGAGUAGACUAUGUCUAUUUAUAGACUUGUAAAACCAUAUUUUAAUAAGAGUGUAGUAAGAUUGAAAUGUCUUAUUCUAAUUAAUAUCAAAUAGAUGGAGUUUAAUAAGGUUUAAAAACCUUAUUCUAGAAUAAAAUAAAAGAAGUGUAGUUCUAUAUGGAUUUUACUUUUAUUUUAUUUUACCAUUGUAUUUUAUUUAAAUAAGGAUUCAAGUCACUCAAUUCUAACAAUAUCCACCUUGACACGAAUUCUCAAUGAACAAGUUCUUCAUUGCAAACUCUCAACGAACAAGUUCUUCACCUCUUUCAUAAAACCCCAUUAAAGGUUUAACUUCAACAAUGAACACCAACCAAGUCUAAGCAAUGCAUAGGAAGUGACUUAGUCAUCAUAUCUGUAGAAUUUUCAUGAGUAUUAAUUUUGCUCACAACAAUAUCACCACGAGCAAUAAUAUCAUGAACAAAAUGAUACCGGACAUCAAUGUGUUUUGUUCUCUCAUGAAACAUUUGAUCUUUUGUAAGGAAGAUGACACUCUGAUUGUCACAAAAUACUGUACUGAUUUGAAGGUCUUCAUUGAGUUCACUAAAGAGUCCCUUCAACCAAAUAGCUUCUUUACAAGCCUCAGUAAUCGCCAUAUACUCAGCUUCAGUGGUAGACAAAAUGAUUGUAAUUUGCAAAGUGGCUUUCCAACUGAUUGCACAACCUCUGGUUGUAAAGACAUAACCCAUGAGAGAUAUUCUUCUAUCAAGGUCUCCAGCAAAAUUAGCACCAAUAUACCCAAUGACUCCACAUCUAGUUCUUCCAAACUGUAAGCAAACAUCAGUAGUACCUAGUAAGUAUCUUAAAAUCCACUGAACUUCUUUCCAAUAUUUUUUACCAGGAUUCACCAUGUAUCUACUAACUUCACUGAUUGCAUAUGAUAAAUCUAGACGUGAACAAACCAUAGCAUACAUGAGAGAUCUCACUGCACUAGAGUAUAGAAGAUGUGACUUGUACUCAAUCUCAUCAUAUGAUUGUGGAGACAAAGCUGAUGAAAGUUUGAAAUGGGCUGCUAAAGGAGUAUUAACAGGCUUAGCACUCUGCAUAUUGAACCUGCAAAGAACUUUCUCAAUAUACCCCUUCUGACUUAGGUACAAUUUACUUGCUUUUUUUGUCUUUAAAAAUCUCUAUACCAAGUAUCUUCUUUGCUGGUCUCAAACCUUUCAUCUCAAAUCUUUCACUUAGUUGGCCUUUGACCUUUCUUAUCUCUUAUUUAUCUUUCGCUGCUAUCAACCUAUCAUCAACAUAAAUGAGUAGAUACACAAAAGAAACAUCAUUGUUUUUCUUAAAGUAAACACAACUGUCAUAGCUACUUCUUUUGAAAUCAUGAGAAGUCAUAAAGAAAUCAAACCUUUUGUACCAUUGUCUUGGUGACUAUUUCAAAUUGUAAAGGGACUUUUUUAGCAAGCAAACAUAGUCCUCUUUUUCUGAGACUAUAAAACCCUCUAGUUGUUGCAUGUAAGUAUCAUCCUCAAGUUCUCUAUGCAAAAAUGCAGUUUUUACAUCUAACUGUUCAAGCUCCAAAUCAUGCACGGCCACAAUACCAAGCAAAGCUUGAAUCGAACUAUGCUUCACAACUGGGGAGAACACAUCUGUGAAGUCCACUCCUGGAAUUUGACUGUAACCCUUUGUAGCAAGCCUUGUUUUAUAUAUGGGUUCUUCAACUCUUAGAGUCCCUUCAUUCUUUUUAAACACUCAUUUACAACGAACAAUCUUUUUACCUUUAGGAAGUUUCACAAGAUCCUAUGAUUUGUUUUUGUGGAGUGAUUCCAUCUCUUCUUGCAUAGUAAACAUCCAAUUUUCUAAGUUUUCACAGCUAACCGCCUCAAAAUAAUUAGAUGGCUAUUGGUUUGCAUCUAUAUCUUCAGCCACAUUUAAAGCAUAAGCAACUAGAUCAGCCUCGGCAUACUUCUUUGGGGGUUUAAUUUCUCUUCUAGUUCUGUUUUUGGCAAUAAAGUAUUAUAGCGAAGAAGCAACUUUAUUCUGAAUUUUUGUACUGGCUUGAGAAGUCGACUCUAUUGUAUAUUCUGGAUUAAUCUGAUACUCCACCUACUUUUGAUUUUCUUUAUUGGAAAAGUCUUUAAGAGAUAAGUUAGGUAGCAUAGUAGUUUCAUCAAAAACAACAUCUCUACUAAUCACAACAUUUCUAUUUUUAGGACACCAUAACUUAUACCCUUUUACACUAUCUUUAUAAUUAAGAAAAACACAUUUAAUGGAUCUCGGUUCCAAUUUUCCAUUAUUAACAUGAGCAUACGUACGACACCUAAAGAUCUUUAAGUCAGAAUAAUUAGCAGGAUUACCAAGCCAUACCUCUUGUGGAGUCCUUUUCUCAAUGGAAACGAAUGGAGAUCGAUUGAUCAAAAAACAUGCAGUAGAGGUUGCUUUGGCCCAAAACGACUUUGGUAAGUUGGCAUUUGACAACAUACAUCGAACCUUCUCCAUGACCAUUUUGUUCAUUUGUUCUACAAUGCUAUUUUGCUGUGGAGUAUGACAAACUAUCAAGUGUCUCACGAUCCCUUCUGACUUACAUAGUUAAUUAAACUCAUCAAAACAGAACUCUGAGCCAUUGUCUUUGCGGAUGUAUUUUAUUUGUUUUCCCGUCUGUUUUUCAAUCAUAGUUUUUCAAGACUUAAAUGCAGAAAACACAUCGCUUUUUUGUGUAACUCACACCCAACCGUUUGAUUGUAUCAAUUAAACGCAGUUUGUAGAGUAACUCAUCAUCCAUCACUACCUUAAUCAUCCUCCUUCUUCUUUCAAUUCUUCAUGUUAUAGUUUAGUUGUAGCAUCAAUGUUCUGUAGAAUUGUAAUGUAGGACAAGAUUUCCAUGAACUAAACUAUAUCAGAUGUUACACAAUACGAAAUCAAUACAAACAUGAAACAUAUUUGCUCAUGUGCACACACUUGUAUAUACGUGAUUUAAGUUAAACAAUAUAUUAGACAUGGCAUGAUUAAUAGCUGAUUAUAAAAUAAAGGUAUUUAGUUAGGACGCUUCUGGUUGGACAUGGAUCCAUGAAUUGAAGAAGGAAGCUUUGAUGAAGACAUUUCGUUAGCUAGUAACUAUGUAUGUUGGAAACCCUACGAAAUGAGAUGAAGUGGUGUGAGGCAAAGAGCUCCUAUGUUGACGUAUUUAUACAACUUUCUCAGCAUGUGAAAAUCCUACAUUUACCUAUACAUCUGGAAAUUGAACAGUAGGAUUCGGUAAAAAUCAAAUCGCAUAGUGCCUUAUUAAUUAUUUUUUAAAUUUAAAAAAAGAAGAAAGUUAUUGAGAUUAUUUAAAAAUUUUGUAAAAAUAAAAAAUAUAUUAUAAAAUUUUAAAAAUUAAAAAUUAAAUAUUUAAUUAUUGAUUUGACAUCCACAUGUAUGUCCACGACAACAAAUUAAAUGUUUGAUUAAAAAAUUCAUCCAGUUUGGGUGAUUAGAAAAUUAAAUAGAGGGCUAAAAAGAUUUGGUUUUUUUUUUUGUAAUGUUGGAAGCCUAAAUAUGUCAUUAUACCAAAUUAAUUCAAUCAAUUAAAAAUAUAACUAAACUAUAAACAAAACAAUUUUUAUAUGUAAGUCAAUCAUAAGUGAAGUGAUAAAUAAUUUGUAUUCAAGUUUUAAGUUGAUAUUGACAUUGUUGCCAGUGUAGGAGGAUGUGAGUUCAAGCAAGCUGAAGCGUGUCAUCCUCCUCUUUAAGGGUUAAGAAGAGAAUAUAAAUAGUUCUAGGCAUCAUAUCAAAAAAUAAUUUUCAGUUGACGUCAAAAUUUAAUUUCAUCCUCAUCCUUAUAAAAAACUACUUUUUUGAAAAACAAAAUUUAAUGAAGUAUUAAUAAAGAAAUGAAAAUGUAAAUGGUUUUGAAAAAAUUUACUAUUGCUAGCAAGAAGUGCAUUGCUAAUAGAGACAGAACACUAAGAAAUUGGUGCCUAAGUUGGUGGCCACUUCUUUAGGCACUAAACGAGAAAAACAGAAAAACAAGCGAAUAUGAUUACGCAAUUCAGUUACUCUACGUCUGUGGAGCCUAGCUCAGUUAAAAGUUUGUACUCUUUUAAAAAAUUACAAAGUGAACCCUAAUUGUUGGAAAAGAAAUCUAAUUUGAAAAUGGUUUUCUUGCCCAGUAGAAAAUUAAAAUUUUAAAAACCGACCCAGUUUGUGAUAUUUAUAGCAGUAAACCUUAGACCGAAAUUAUACCUAUGUUUUUGGUUAAGCGAAUCCUAGACAUUUUUCGACUUUCAACUAAACGAGUUACGUGAUUAUCAAGUGAAUUUUUUUAAAGAAAAUUAAAAAUGUCACGCAAGAGAAUUUAAUAGAAAAAUUUUAACAAGGGUAACGAUCGAUCCUGAAUUUUUAAAUUCAAAAACUAGAAAAUUAUGCUCCUAAAAAUAAAAAUAGAGGACUAAAUUUCAAAUGUAAAAGUAUAUAGAGAUCUAGUGUAUAUUUUAAUAUUCAAAUUUUUACUCUUUAAUUUGACACAAAUAAUAAUUAACCUAACAUGGAAUGUGGGUCGAGUCCAUACUAGUUUUGGUUAAAAGCCUAAAAAAGUGUUAUAUUUCUGUUUUUCCUACAAAACUUUGUUGUCGAGAGUUUAAAUUUUACAUUUAAUUUAUCUAUAUUACAAUGAUUAAUAUAAUAAUAUCUUAAUGGGUUGAGUAGAAUGGUUCAACAAGUACAAAGAUGAUGAAGGAAACUUUAACAUGUCCUUAACAAGUGAUGUGAAAGGCUUACUAGAAUUAUAUGAAGCUUCACAUUUACGUGUGCAUGGGGAAGAUAUACUUGAAGAAGCUCUUGGUUUCACCACCACUCAUCUAGGUUUAGCCAAAGCUGCUGGCGCUAUCGAAUAUCCCCUUUCAGCCUUAGUCUCCCACGUUCUACAACCCAUCCGCAAGGGCUUGCCAAGGUUGGAGGCUAGGCGAUUCAUUUCCAUUUACCGAGACGAUGCUUCACAUAACAAAACACUGUUGAAGUUUGCAGAGUUGGAUUUCAACUUGUUACAAAUUUCACACAAGGAUUUCAAGGCAAUAUAUUACUCCUUCAACAUUCAAUAUUAAUUGUUUAUCCUAAUUUAAAAGGACUAAUUGAUACCUAAUGAUGAACUAAACAUAGUUAGGCUAAUUUGAGUUUUGUUUCAGGUGGAGGAAAAGUUUAGACUUACCUACAAAACUACCUUUUGUUCGAGAUAUAUUGAUAGAAGCUUACUUUUGGGCACUGGGAGUGGAUUUUGAGCCACAAUACUCUUUUGCUAGGGAGAUAUUAGCAAAAAAAAUGGUCAUGACAUCAAUAAUGGAUGACAUAUAUGACGCAUAUGGCACACUUGAAGAACUUCAACUCCUCUCGAAUGCAAUUCAGAGGUUAGCAACUUCACACGAUUCAAUUUUAAAUUUGAAAGUUGAUUCAGUUAGUUCAUGUAAUCAUGUAUAAAAAACAUUACUCAAUAUGUUUGAUUUUGAACUUUUCUCUAAUUGAUUUUGCAGGUGGGAUGCUGAUUAUAUAGAUCAACUCCCAAAAUACAUGAAGUCAUUUUACAAGCCAUUGUUAGAUCUUUUUGGAGAAAAUGAGUAGGCAAUGAUUAAGCAAGGAAAAUAAUGUUAUGUCAAAUAUGCGAAAGAUUAUACAUUCGUACCUUAUCUCAUUUUUUAAAUAAUUUUACAUAAGCCGUAAAAAUUAGUAACCCCUUUCUCCUUUUCUCAUAUAUUAUAUGAGGAAAAUGACAAGUAGUGUUGGCAAUGAAGCAAGGUGGAGUGGGACUAUUCACCUUAACCCCAUCCAAUCUUUAUAUCUCCUACCUUGACACCACUCCAAACAUGAUUUUAUUUGAAAUUUCAUAUCCAAAAAAUUUUUUUUUCUCAACUUUACCCAACUCACACAAAAAUAUUAAAUAAUUUUUAUGUUGUAUUACUUUUUACAAUAUCAAAUAAAAUGCAUAUUAUAAAAUCAUAUAAAAAUUUAAAAUAUCUAACUAAAAAAUAAAAAAUUUAAAAUCUUAUAAAAUCUUAUAGAAGUUUAAAAAAUUUAUAAUUAAAAUAUAUAAAAUUAGUUAUGAAAUUAAAAAGGUAUUUUGGUAAUUUUUUAAGAUAGUGCAAGUUUAAGUAAAACCUUAUCUCUGCCCAAACUCUAAUUUUCAUAAAAAGAAAAUAUGUUUUAUAGGGUUGGAUCGAAACAUAUGGAUUUGGGUCAUUUUUAUUAUCCCUAAAUAUACAUAUAUGUUUAACAUGAUUAUAUUCCAUUUUAUAUAUAUAUAUAUAUUUAUAUAUGAAGGAUUAUAAGUUGGGUACUUAUAUACUCUAAACUUGAAAAUUUAUUAUGACCUAAAGGUAAUGACUUUUUUUCUUCUUCUUCCUUUUUAUAGUUUAAACAAUUGUGUGAAUGCUAUUUUGUGGAGGCCAAAUGGUACAAUGAAAACUUUGUACCAACAAAGGAGGAGUAUAUGAGGAACGCGGUUUUAUCUGUUGGUUAUAUCAUGUUAACCGUCACAUCUUUUAUUGGAAUAGGAGAUUUUGUGACACUUGAGAUUUUUAAUUGGGCAUCUAAGAACCCUAAAAUCACUGAUGCUUCUUCCGUUGUUGAUCGUCUCAUGAAUGAUGUUACUUCACACAAGGUACCUUUUUUUCCCGAAUUUUGCAAGAGUAUUUUCAAUAAGUUAUAUUUGAUGAAUAAAACUAAUAUAAAUAUAUAGUUUGAGCAAGAGAGAGGGCACUGUGCAUCAGCUUUGAAUGCUACAUGAGAGAACAUGCAGUUUCAGAAGAAGAAGCAUGUACUGAAUUGAAGAAGCAAGUGGAGAAUGCUGGGAAAGAUAUCAACCAGGAAAUGAUAUUUGGUCAGAUAUCCAAAGUUGUUCCAAGGCCGGUUCUUACACGAGUUCCCAAUUUUACGAGAUUGGAGAUGAGUACACACAUGCUGGGAAAAAUACAAAAGAUGGGAUAACUGUUUGCUCAUUGAUCCAAUCUCAGUCUCCUAUUGAGGAAUUAAGACUCUAUAUCAUCUAGCGAUCCCUUUCCUGUUUGUGUUGCUUUUAUAUGUUAUAUGCUUUUAAGAUGUUAUUUAAAUCCUAACAUCUCAAUAAUCCAUGGUGUAUAUUUAUGUUACUCUUUUUUACUAUGUUUUAUGUCGUAUUUUGAUAAAUUUUCAAAUCUCAAGAUUUCUUGAGACUUAAAGGGUUGGUGAAUGAAUCAAGGCGUUGUUAUUUAAAUGGGUUUUAUGGUUGUUCUUUUGGUGCAGUUCUGAUUGUGUCUCAACUGAUUUUUGUUUAUGAGAUUUUAGUGCAAGGGAUCAUGAGUGGUAGUUGUGUUGCAAAGGGCUAAUCCUUACAGUAUAUCAACAUGGGAUGAUGGUGAAUGAACCUUGGCUUUAAAGUUUUUUAGGUGUUAAAGAUGGUAAGUAUGUGACUGCUUAAGAAAUUAAAGGUAUGGGUUUUAAAGAAAAUGGGUGGAUGGAAGGAAUUGUGGGCAAUCAGCAGUGCAUUUUACUGGAGGAGGGAAGUGCAACUGGUAGGGGAUUUCUAAGUUUUUAGAAUGGUUUGCAUGUAAAUUUUGGAGUUCUAAAAAAAAAGAGAGUUAACUUAAAUCACUUUUGAGAUGAAUUUCAAUGGAAAUGUGAAAUUCCCAACUAUAUGUUUUCUAAAAUGAAGAAACAAGAGAGAGAAAAUCUAACUAUUUUGCAAAGAGAAAAAGAAGAAGCCAUUUUUAUAUUACCCACAUUGCAUCGAGAAAUUAUUUUAUGGACCUUUUUAUCACAUCAUCUAGGGUUUUUUACACAAAUAAUACAAAAAAAUUUUAAAAAAUACCAAAGUAAUACAACCAUUUUAUUAUGUACCAAAAUGGUACAAACAGUAAAAAACCUAGUCGAGGGCCUGCCACAGGCGGCACCUGUGUCAUGUUUUCCUGGGGCUCCCCAAUUUGUUUGUUUUUGUUGUUUAAGGUUUAUGAUGUGAUUGGUUUUGAUUUAAUUGAGAUUUAAUUUUAAAUUUAUUUUUUUGCAAGGUAUUAUUUGAUUAAAAAUAGAUAUUAAGAUAUGUUUAUAUUUAUCUAUAUUUUCAUUCAUUCAUAAUUUAAUUUUAAUUUUUAGGUUAUGUACAUUCUAUGUUUUAUUAUUUAUGUUAUGUACAUACUAUGUCUUAUUAUUUUAUCAUUUAUGUUAUUAUUUAUGUUUUAUUAUUUAUGUUAUGUUCAUUCUAUGUUUUAUUAUUUUAUUUAAUUUAUUUGUUAAGUGUAUUUUAUGUUGAUUAGAUAUAUUUUUUAUGAAACUUAUUUAGCAUGUUGUAAUGAUAUUUUUUUACAAAAAUAGUAUUAAAAAUAAAAUAUCGAAAAAAUAUUUUUAUGACAAAAUAAAAUACAAAAAGAAAUAAAAAAAUGAAAAUAGUAUAUUUACUGAAAGUAAUAAAAUUCGAAAAAAAGAAAAUUACGAACAAAGGGUCAAAAUAAAGGUUUUUUACUAAAUUUAUAAUAAAACACACUAAAAUAAUAUAUUUUAGACAUUAUGUACUAAAAUAAUAUAAAAUAAUAAAAUACAAAAAUAGUAUAUUUUUUGAAAGUAAUAAAAUCCGAAAAUAAGAAAAAUACGAACAAAUGGCCAAAAUAAGGGGUUUUUACUAAAUUUAUAUAAAAAAACACCAAAUUAAUACAUUUCUAAUUUUAUGUACUAAAAUAAUAUAAAAUAAUAAAAUACAAAAAUAGUAUAUUUUUUGAAAGUAAUAAAAUUCGAAAAUAAGAAAAAUACGAACAAAUGACCAAAAUAAGGGGUUUUUACUAAAUUUAUAUUAAAAAAACACACUAAAUUAAUACAUUUCAAACUUUAUGUACUAAAAUAAUAUAAAAUAAUAAAAUAUGAAAAUAGUAUAUUUUUUGAAAGUAAUAAAAUCCGAAAAUAAGAAAAAUACGAACAAAGGGCCAAAAAAUCGGGAAAACAUGGCACAGGUGUCGCUUGUGGCAAUGGCAUCUUUGGUGCUGCCUCUGCCACUGGCACCUUUGGUGCCGCCUAUGGCAGACCCUCGACCAGGUUUUUUACUGUUCAUUUUGGUACAUAAUAAAAUGGUUAUAUUAUUUUGGUAUUUUUUAAUUUUUUUGUAUUAUUUGUGUAAAAAACCUCAUCAUCUAUGGUCCCACCCAAUUAAAAGAAGACGCAUCAUCUUUGAUUCCACUUCUCCACUGAGAAGCAUCUCUACCGCACACAAAAGAACCCAAAACUUCAAGAGUUAAGGGGAGACCACUAGCAUAAUGUACAACAAGUUUAGAAAGAAUAACCUUUUUACCUUUUGGAAGUACAAUAUCCCAUGUUUUGUUUUUGUGGAGUGAUUUCAUCUCUUAUUGCAUAGCAAACAUCCACUUUUUUUAGUCUUUAAAGCUAACCGCCUCAAAAUAAUUAGAUGGCUUUGGUUUGCAUCUAUAUCUUCAGCCACAUUUAAAGCAUAAGCAACUAGAUCAGUCUCAGCAUACUUCUUUAGAGGUUUAAUUUCUCUUCUAGUUCUGUUUUUGGUGAUAGAGUAUUGUGGUGAAGAAGCAACUCUAUUCUAAAUUUUGUACUGACUUGAGAAGUCGACUUUGUUGUAGAUUCUGGAUUAAUCUGAUGCUUCACCUACUUUUGAUUUUCUUUAUUGGAAGAGUUUUUAAGAGAUAAGUUAGGUAGCAUAGUAGUUUCAUCAAAAACAACAUCUCUGCUAAUCACAACUUUUCUAUUUUCAGGAUACCAUAACUUUUACCCUUUUACACUAGCUUUAUAACAAAGAAAAGCACAUUUAAUGGAUCUCAAUUCCAAUUUUCCAUUAUUAACAUGAGCAUACGUAGGACAUCCAAAGAUAUUAAAAUUAGAAUAGUCAGCAAGAUUACCAAACCAUACCUCUUGUGGAGUCUUUUUCUCAAUGGCAACGGAUGGAGAACGAUUGAUCAAAAAACAUGAAGUAGAGGGUGCUUUUGCCCAAAACGACUUUGAUAAGUUGGCAUUUGACAACAUACAUCGAACAUUCUCUAUGAUCGUUCUGUUUAUUCGUUCUGCAAUGUUGUUUUGCUAUGGAGUAUGAUAAACUGUCAAGUGUCUCAUGAUCCCUUCUGAUUUGCAUAGUUUAUUAAACUCAUCAGAAUAUAACUCUAAGUCAUUGUCUGUGUGGAGGUAUUUUAUUUGUUUUCCCGUCUAUUUUUCAAUCAUAGUUUUCCAAGACUUAAAUGUGAAAAACACAUUACUUUUUUGCUUCAGGAAGAACGCCCAAACUUUUCUAGAAAAAUUAUCAAUAAAUGUUAGCAUAUAAUUAGCUCCACCUCUCGAAGGCAUUCUUGAUGGCCCUUACAGAUCAGACUGAAUAUACUCCAACAUCCCCUUUGUGUUAUGGAUUUCUCUGGUGAAUCAAACUCUCUUUUGCUUCCCAAAAAUGCAGUGCUCAUAAAACUUCAGUUUGCAAAUUCCUUGCCUAUCAAGAAGUACUCUUUUGCUCAAUUCUGCCAUGCCAUUCUCACUUAUAUGCCCUAGGCACAUUUGCCAAAGUUUAGUAAUAUCAUCAUCUGAUAAGGAAGAGGAAGCGACAGCUGCAUCACCAGUAACAGUAGAAUCUUGCAAAACAUAUAACUUGGUAGUCUUUCUCUGCCCUUUCAUCACAACGAGAGAACUUUUGGAAAUAUUCAAAACCCUAUUUUUAGCUGUGUAUUUGUACCAUUUUGAAUCAAGAGUACCCAACGAAAUUAAAUUUCUCUUGGAACAUGUCGUACAUCACUAAGUGUUCUAAUAACUCCAUCAAAUAUCUUAACUUUUAUUAUUCCAACACCUGCGAUUUUACACGAAGCAUUAUUUCCCAUCAAAACAACACCUUCAGACACUGUUUCGUAAGUUGUAAACCAAUCCUGAUUGGGACUCAUGUUGAAGGUGUAGCCUGAAUCAAGGAUCCACUCCUCGCUCACUUUAGAAUUGUUAAAAGAAGUGACUAGAAGUUCACCAUCGCUGUAGUCUUCUACAACAUCAGCUUUACUGGAAUUUUCUGUUGAUUUCCCUUUUGAUUCGCAGCUUCCCUUUUGAUCUUGUUCUCUAGCUUAUAGCACUCAGAUUUAAUGUGCCCUUUCUUCUUGUAGAAGUUAUAAGUUUAACUUUUGUUUGAAGACUUCGAUCUACCCUUAGAUUUACCGAGAGGAUUCCCACGAUCAUCAUCAGUAUUCCGAUAUUGUCUCUCACGAACAAUAAGACCCUCUCCCUGAGAGUCAAUUUUAACCACAAGAUGCUCCAUCUUAUCAUACGAGGUUAAAAAAUCGUAAACCUCAUCAACUGUGAGAGACUCGUGGCUAUAUAAAAUCGUGUCUCUAAAAGUUGAAUAAGACGGAGGCAACGAACAAAGUAGAAUCAACCUUAGAUCUUCCUUAUCAUACUGAACCUCCAUGGCCUCCAAGUUUGAAAGAAUUUCUGUAAACACUGUUAAGUGUUCGUGCAUAGACGCACCUUCCUCCAAACGAUGAGCAUAAAUACGCUGCUUCAUCUGUAGCUUGCUGACUAGAGUUUUUGACAUACAUAUUUAUUCCAGCCUCUUCCAUAAUACAAUAACGGUCUUCUCUUUCAUCACAUCCUGUAAAAUUUCAUUGGACAAAUACAGAUGUAACUGUGUUAACGUCGUUCGGUCCUUGCGCUUCUUCUCUUCCUCCGUGAAUGUGAAAGGCUUCUUAUCUACCCUUAGCAGAGCUUCUUCUAAGUACAUCUAUGCAAGAACUGCUUAUAUCUUUAUCUGCCACAACGCAAAUCUAGUGUUGUGAUCCAACAGCGUAAUUUCAUACUUCAAAGACGCCAUUACCGUAAUUGAGAUGAACAACCCAAAAGCUCUAAUACCAAUUUGUAAAAAUAGAAUGUCGAUAAUGACAAUGUAUCGCAAAGAAAAAGAGAGAAAAAUAAAGAACACACAGAUUUUACGUGAAAACCCUUUUGGGAAAAAACCAUGGCCAGAGGAGAAGAUAAUUCACUAUGUCUAACUCUAAUGAAUACAAAAGGAGUAGACUAUGUCUAUUUAUAGGCUUGUAAAACCAUAUUCUAAUAGGAGUGUAGUAAGAUUGAAACACCUUAUUCUAAUCAAUAUCAAAUGGAUGGAGUUUAAUAAGAUUUAAAAACUUUAUUCUAGAAUAAAAUAAAAGAAGUGUAGUUCUAUAUGGAUUUUACUUUUAUUUUAUUUUACCAUUGUAUUUUAUUUAAAGAAGGACUCGGGUCACUCAAUUCUAACAACAGGAGAACUUGGGUUUGAGUGCGCUAAAUCGCAUUAUUCUCCUAUUUAAGGGUUGGGGAGGAGCUAUGGAUAGUUCUAGACAUUAUAUUAAAAAAAGAAUAGAUAUGCUCCGAACCUAUAGAGAGAUAUAUAUUGACAAGUUAGUAGUUCAUUAUAAAAUUGAAACUGUUUUGGUUGUAGCCCUUCUUCCUCUGUCUCCUCGUAGAGAUUAAGCUUAUGCUUUUGUUUUACAAGGGAAGUGCCACCUAUUGAUCCAUCAUUAUCAGCAGAGUGUUGAUGGAUAUCUUUGAAAUUUGGAGAAGAUUGAGUGCUAAGGCUAUGUUGCUAUUUUAUUUCAUCCAAAUAUUUCUCAUACACUAUUUUAACACCACACUUCUUCACCUUAACACCGGGACCAAUUGGCUUUGUGAAAGACAGCUCAAGCUCAUCGCAUUCUUGAUCUGAGCAAUCUAUUGUUGAUAAAUUCUUGGUUUCACAUUCAUCUCCCAAGGAAAAUAGAUAUAAUUUUUCACGCGACCAAUAAUGAAGAAAAAGGUGAUCCUUCGUUAUAGGAUGGUUAUUUUGUUUACCUAACAACCAGCCCAAGCAGUCACUCUCAUCAACUUGUCUGGAAUUCUACAAUGGAUAACCGCUCUACAUGUGAUACCCGCUUCAUCUCUAGAAGCAUCAUCAUUGACAAAAAUGAAACACUCGAAAGCUCCAAACCAUUGACUAUCAUUUUGAAUAUUGAGAGGUAGAGGUAUCUUGAUUGAAGAGUCACCUAUCUGUCGAUUAAACCAUUAUGGAAUUUCACUUCUAGGUGUAAUAACAUCAAAUAUUUUUUUUUUGAAUUUGUAAAUUGCUGCAAAAGAAAACACUGGUCGUUUGGUAACGAGAACCAUAAAUUAUCAAGUAUGAGAUUCUAUAAGCGAAAAAUAAGAGAGAUCAAUUAACCUUCAGUUUUUUCAGCAAUGUUAAUGCAUUGAUGUACUCUGCCAAUCUAUAACAGUUAACCACUUUAAUGAAAGUCGAAAGCGCUAAAUUGGGUACUUCCAAUGGACUUGCAAGUUCAUCUACGUCAAACGAAGCACAACCAUCUAACCGCACAUCUUCUAUACUUGUUAGAAGCUCAGGCACUGAUUUAAGCUCCUUGCAAUUUGGCAAUCGAAGGGUUUGAAGCUUGGAAAGUUGAGUAAGAGUUGAAGGAACGCCAUUGAAAUUGUUACCACUAAGAUCAAGUAAUAUCAAAGAGGAUAAACCAGAAACAUCACUUGGAAUAUCUGCUUCACAAAGAUUGCGAACAUUGCAAUUUGACAAUCAAAGAUAUUGAAGCUUGGAGAGUCACAUAAGAGACACGGGUAUGUUGCUAAAACUGUUACCACUAAGAUCAAGUUUUUUCAAAGAGGAUAAACAAGAAAUAUCACUAGGAAUGUCUCCUUCCCGAAGAUUGCUACCCCUUAGAUUCAACUCUCUUAAACGGGACAGGAAGGCAACAUCAGAGCCAUGGAAUUCAUUCUUCCUCUUUGGAUUACCUUGGAAAGAGAAGAAAGAUUUCUUUGUACCUUAGAUAGUCCCUUGCAUCCAUUGAAAGAAAAAACUUCAAGAUUUUUCAAUUAAAAAAUGAAGGAUGGUAGUUUUGUUAUAGUUGUUUCACUUAAGUCAAGCUCUUCGAAAAAUUCUAAUUGCAGUGAACUAUGGCAAAUUUUCUAACUUUAUAUAACAGCCAGAAAGAUCAAGAGUUUGUAGGCAUCCCAUUUUCCCAUCAAUCUCUGAAACCUUACAAGAUUUGAACAACCGAAAGAAUUAAUGUUUCAAGAGAUUCCAUUCCAAUUUUGGUUGGAAUACUCCUAAGAUUCCAUCCAAUUGUUGUGGUCAUAGGUGGCGAUUAUAGUGGUGAGAGGUUCGUGUCUUUAAAGUGUAAGAGUGAAGGAAACAAUCAAGAUGUGUGUGAUUAAGUAGGUUUAUUUAGUAAUUGUAGAAAAUAGUACACACUUUUAACUGAGUUAGGCUCCACAGACGUAGGGGUAACUAAACUGCGUAAUCAUCUUCGUGUGUUUUGUGUGUUUUUUUGUUUUUCUUAUUUAGUACUUGAAGAAGUGCCCACUAACUUAGGUACCAAUUUCUUAGUGUUGUAUCUCUAUUAGCAACGCACUUCAUGCUAGCAAUAGUAUUUUUUUUUCAAAACCAUUUACAUUUUUAUUUCUUUAAUGAUUCAUUAGUUUUUGUUUAAAAAAAGUUUUUCAUAAGGGCAAGGAUGAAAUUAAAAUUUGACGUCAACUUGAUUUUUUUUUUAUAAUGGCUAAAGCUACUCAUAGUCUCUUCCCAACCCUUAAAAAGGAGAAUAACAUGCUUCAGCUCACUUAAACUCACAUUCUCCUACACUGGUGACAAUGUCAAUGUCAAUUUAAAACUUGAAUACAAAUUAUUUAUCUCGUCACUUAUUAUUCAAUUACAUAUAAAAAAUUGUUUUGUUUAUAGUUUAGUUAUAUUUUUAAUUGAUUGAACUAGUUUAGUUUAGCUAUACAAAAACUUGAUGACAUAUUUAGGCUUCCAACAUUACAAAAAUAAAAGUCUUUUUAGCACUCUAUUUAAUUUUUCGCCUCUCUUUAAUCCUCAAACUUAAGUUUAUUUUUUUUGUCAGAUCACAGCAAAAGUGAUCAAACGUUUAAUUUGCUAAUGUGGAACAAAUAAUUAAUUUUUAAUAUUUUUUGAAUUUUUAAAAUAUUAUAAUAUAUUUUUUAUUUUUAUAAAAAUUUUAAAUAAUCUUAAUAACUUUCUAUUUUUUUGGAAAUUUUUAAAAUUAAUUAAUAAGGCAUUAUGCGAUUUGAUUUUUACUGAACCCGACUGUUUUAGCUUUCACUAAAAUACUGCCAGCUCUACCAACUUGUUUGCAAGUCCUUGACACAAUAAUUUCACAUUUAUCACCCUUAAUAAUUGCGAGCACCAAAGCCAAUUUCAUUGCUUGCCCCAAAUAAUUGCAUGUGUUUUAGUUUAAUUACAAAUAUUCAAGCUUGUUGAAAGUUAUACUAAAUUCAAUUGCUUAAAAUGUUUGACUUAUUAAUUAAAAUUAUUAAAUAUAUAAUUACUUACUUUAUUCUAAUAAAUAUGACUAAUAACAAAGGUGGUAUGACAAAGAUAUACAUAACGUGGUGUUACAUGGUGCCAAAGAAAAUGCCCAGUUUCCUACCACAAAAUGUGCAUGGCAACAGUUUUCAUAUUUAGAUAUUGAUAAUUUAUUCAACGUUAUUUUUGGGCUACGAUAAUUACUUUGUGAAUUUCUAGUCUGUUAUGGAAGAUUAUACUGCUAUGAAGUACGAAUUAUUGGUAAUUGAUUUGGAUUGAAAUUUCUCAUUGCAAUCUCUUGGAUUAUAGACUUUGUUAUGGAUCGUGAUUCUUCUGAUGAGCUGUCAAGAGUCUAUUUUUACUUCAUAUGUCAUUAUUAUAUUGUAAUAAUCUUAUGGUAUUAUUGUUUUAUUGGGAUUGUAUUAGAUCUCCUAUUACAAGCAAGUCUCGAAAUCAAUGUCUAUAUAUUUGAGAGACUUACCUAGGAAAAUGUAUUGAUAUUUUAAGCACUUAAUCUGUUCUUAAGAGAAUAUUUGUGUAAGAGUGUUCUUAGAGUAAAACCUAUCGUUGUGGUUUUACUUGUUGUGGUCAUAGGGGGUGAUCAUAGUGGUGAGAGGUUCGUGUCUUUAAAGUGAAAGGAUGAAGGAAACAAUCAAGAUAUGUGUGAUUAGGUAGGUUUACUUUGUAAUUGUAGAAAAUAGUACAUACUUUUAACUGAGCUUUGAUCCACAGACAUAGGGACUGAAUCGCGUAAUAAUCUUCGUGUGUUUUAUGUGUGUUUUUGUUUUUCUCAUUUAGUGCUUGAAGAAGUGCCACCAACUUAGGCACCAAUUUCUUAGUGUCGUGUCUCUAUUAGCAAUGCCCUUCUUGCUAGCAAAAGUAUUUUUUUUCAAAACCAUUUACAUUUUUAUUUCUUUAUUAAUAAUUCAUUAAUUUUUUUUAAAAAAGGUUUUAUAAGGGCAAGGAUGAAAUUAAAAUUUGACGUUAACUAGUUUUUUUUUUGAUACAAUUCCUAGAAUUACUCAUAAUCCCUUCUCAACCCUUAAAGAUGAGGAUAACAUGCUUCAACUUGCUUGAACCCAGAUCCUCCUACACUGGCAACAAUGUCAAGAUCAACUUAAAACUUGAAUACAAAUUAUUUAUCACUUCACUUGUGAUUCAAUUACAUAUAAAAAUUGAUUUGUUUAUAGUUUAGUAAUAUUUUUAAUUGAUUGAAUUAAUUUGGUAUAUUGACAUAUUUAGGCUUCCAACAUUACAAAAAUAAAAGUCUUUUUAGCCAUCUAUUUAAUUUUCUGCCUCUCAUUAACCCUCGAACUUUCUUUUUUUGUCAAAUUACCUCAAAAUAGACGGAAAAAUUAUCAUCCCAAGUGAAACUUAGUUCACUAGAGUUGUGGGGGAGCUCACUAGUUAACCCAACGGAUUGAUUGACAAUAAGUCCUUCGGAACUAUGGUAAGAAAGGGGAGUCCAUCAUGAACUAUACAUAUUAGAAAAGAUUGCCAAAGUGCAUGGUCCUUUCUCAUAGGCCUUAUCAGUAGAUAGGCCUCACAAGUAGAAUACUUGAGUAUCUGUCGGGAAUAUGGUGCUUACAAUUUUCGAACAAGACACCUAGAAACCACCAAAAUCCUAUUGUAAGGAUAUAAGUUCGACCAGAGACUUAAGGUAUUAGCAGUCAAACCACCAUUUAGGAAAAUCGAAAGACGCAUAAAAGGCCAAUAGUUCAGAUAAGACGUUAAAGUCUGAGUAUAAACAAUGAGUUAAAGCAUUUUAUUUUCUUUUAAAGAUUUUACCCUAGUAAAGAAGGGACAGGAUAUGAAAUUUGGUAGUAAAGAAACUCACUAAGUUCAAUCGAACUUACAAAGGUUUUGACCUGUGGUUGCAGGAUCUGCAGAAUAAGGAACUCGAGGAGGGACCAAGUUAGACCGUGUUGGAUCAAUGAGCACUGUUAGAAAAGUGUUGUGCACAUAUGAAGAGGGUACCUUUAAAGGAGUCGCCUUGAGGUGGAACAUAUUGUAGUUAUGAAGAUCCAUUAGAGUUUGAGUUUGAAGAUGUAAACUUUUUUUUAUUUUAAGGAUUUUGUUAUAAGCAAAUAGUUACUACUUAAUAAAGUUUGUCUCGUAAUCUAUCAAGCUUACAAUUUUAUAUUUAGUCCAAAUCGGCCCAUUUGUGGCACACCACACCCGAAUUCGGUGGUUAGGUCGGGUGAGUGUGUCACAAAACGAAAUGAAUAGAAAUAGAAAAAUGGGAAACAUUCAGAAAAUGAUUAUGGUUUUCUCUGAAAUGGAGAAAUGGAAUCAUUUUGGAAAUGAAUGUGGGUUUCUCAAUAUGGAAAUAGAAAUAAAAAUGAAAAUGAGAAAUGAUACAUUUACAAAUGUACAUGGAUUACUUAGAAAUGAUUGAAAGAAUGAAUUUAUGUUUUUAAGUAGUUUUAGAGCCUGAAAAUGAAAAUAAAUAAUUCGAUCAUAGUGAACAAGUUGAGUUUUGAAAUAUCAAAUAUAUUUUCUCGAAAUUUAACAGGAGUAAGAUCGCCAUAAUUUUAUUGGGGGUAAAAUAGGAAUGAGAAAAUUAAUUAAUUAAAUAUAAAUAUUAAAGUUUAUUUUGGUAAUAGAAAAACAAAUAUUGGAUUGGAUCGAAUUAUAAAGUAUUGGAUUAAAAGCCUAGAAAGUACUUAUAAUUAGACUCAAUACAGAAGAGGCCCAAAAGCCCCUUAUGUAAUAAAAGAGGGACGACAAAGCCUAGUAUAUUUAACUAGGGUUGCUGCCCCCUACAUCUUAGUUGAACUAGGAUUUUGUUUCUCUAGUGAAAAUAAACUUUUACAACUCUACCAGGGUUCUACCUUCUCUUAUUAUAAAUAGGUGGCACCGAUAGCGCAGAAAACACAACUUUGAGAGAUUAGUACUAGGCCGAAAAAUAUAGAGAGUUUUAUUCUCAAUUAUUAAAUAUAUAUUUUUCUGAAAUAUCAAUUCUACUUGUUUCUAUCUGAGAAAAGAGAUUUUUUUUCACCCCAAAAAUAACAGAAAACUUUUUCUAGUUCCGUGUUUUGAUUCGAUUGGUUCAAGCCCACACUUGAAGCAGUUCAUGGUACGAGAAUAGCGAAGAAGAUCGUUUGGUUGAAAGUCAAAAAAUGUUUAGGAUUCACUUAACCAAAAACAUAGGUAUAAUUUCGGUCUAAGGUUUACUGCUAUAAAUAUCACAAACUGGGUCGGUUUUCAAAAUUUUAAUUUUCCACUGGGUAAGAAAACCGUUUUCAAAAUUUUAACCAAAAACGGUUCACUUUGUAAUUGUUGAAAAGAGUACAAACUUUUAAUUGAGCUAGGCUCCACAGAUGUAGAGUAACUGAAUUGCGUAAUCAUGUUCGUGUGUUUUUCUAUUUUUUCUCAUUUAGUGCCUAAAGAAGUGCCUACCAACUUAGGCACCAAUUUCUUAGUGUUCUGUCUCUAUUAGCAACGCACUUCUUGCUAGCAAUAGUAAUUUUUUUCAAAACCAUUUACAUUUUUAUUUCUUUAUUAAUACUUCAUUAAUUUUUUUUUUCAAAAAAGUAGUUUUUUAUAAGGACGAGGAUGAAAUUAAAUUUUGACGUCAACUGAAAAUCUUUUUUUUGAUAUAAUGUCUAAAACUAUUUAUAGUCCCUUCUUAACCCUUAAAAAGGAGGAUGACAUGCUUCAGCUUGCUUGAACCCACAUCCUCCUACACUGGCAACAAUGUCAAUAUCAACUUAAAACUAGAAUACAAAUUAUUUAUCACUUCACUUAUGAUUCAAUUACAUAUAAAAAUUGUUUUGUUUAUAGUUUAGUUAUAUAUAUUUUUAAUUGAUUGAAUUAAUUUGGUAUAAUGACAUAUUUAGGCUUCCAACAUUACAAAAAAAAAUCUUUUUAGUCCUCUAUUUAAUUUUCUGCCUCUUUAACCCUCGAACUUUUUUUUUGUCAAAUGACCCUAAAAUGGAUGAAAUUUUUUAUCAAAAGUUUAAUUUGCUGUCGUGGACAUACACGUGGAUGUCAAAUCAAUAAUUAAUUAAUUUUUAAUAUUUUUUGCAUUUUUAAAAAUUUUAUGAUAUAUAUAUUUUUUUACAAAAUUUUUAAAUAAUUUCAAUAACUUUCUUUUUUUUAAAUUAAAAAAUUAAUAAGGCACUAUGCGAUUUGAUUUUUACCGAAUCCUACUGUUCAAUUUCCAGAUGUAUAGGUAAAUAUAGGAUUUUCACAUGCUGAGAAAGUUGUAUAAAUACGUUAACAUAGGAGCUCUUUGCCUCACACCACUUCAUCUCAUUUCGUAGGGUUUCCAACAUACAUAAUUACUAGCUAACGAAAUGUCUUCAUCAAAGCUUCCUUCUUCAACUCAUGGAUCCAUAUCCAACCAGAAGCGUCCCUCAGCCAACUUUCAUCCUAACAUUUGGGGGGAUAUUUUCCUUUAUUGUUUAGAUACAUAUGUGUGUCUGCGCAUAAGUAAAUACCUUUAUUAAUGUUUAACUUAAAUCACAUAUAUACAAGUGGUUGCACAUGAGCAAAUAUGUUUCAUGUUUGUAUUGAUUUCGUAUUGUGUAACAUGUGAUAUAGUUUAAUUCAUGGAAAUCUUGUCCUAUAUUACAAUUUUGCAGAACGUUGAUGCUACAACUAAACUACAACAUGAAGAACUGAAAGAAGUAAGGAGGAUGAUUAAGGUAGUGAUGGAUGAUGAGUUACUCUACAAACUGCGUUUAAUUGAUACAAUCAAACGGUUGGGUGUGAGUUACCAUUUUGAAAGACACAUCGAGGAAGUAUUGCUCAAAAUUUAUGAGCAUGACUAUAAAGAUGACCAAACUCUCGAGACUACUUCUCCUCAAUUUCGAUUGCUUAGAGAGAAUGGAUUUGGUGAUCGUUGUGGUGAGUCCAUUUUCCUUCCUAUUUUUUUUUAUUUUUUUGAUUCAACAAAAUCGUCCAGCUCCCUUGCCAGUAACUUUAAUUGAUGAUCCAACCCAAUAAUAAUUGUUAGAAAUGGAAAUGACUUCUUUUAGGUUUCUUUUUCUAAAUAAUUAUUUUUUUUGUCUAAUUUGUUAGGGCCUUGUAAUCUAUUUUGGACUUUCCUCCUGCACAAAGGGUGUUUAAAUAAUCGGUUUGGUUAUUAACCGAACUUAAUUAUUAUUAACUGAAUUACCCGAAAGAUAAAAAUCUUUAACCGUUAACUGAACUGGAUUUUUUUUCAAAUACAUUAACUGAAUUGAAAUAUUUCAGUUAAUUUGAUCGGUUAACCUAAUUAAUUCGAAGCCUAUCGAGAAUUUCUUUGCUAGAAUUUCGUUAAGUCUUUCAAUCGCACUUCUCCAUUGAGCUACAUCUCUACCGCACAAAAAUGAACCCAAAACUUCAAGAGCUAAGGGGAGACCACCAGCAUAAUGUACAAUACGUUUAGAAAGUUCAAUGAAAUCAUCUUUCAAUGUUGUUUCACUACCAAAAGCUUUCAAAUUAAAAAGCCUAAGGGCAUCAUUAGGAUUCAAUGUUGUAGGCUUAUACACAUCAUCAACUCGGUAAGAUCGAAGCAAAUGUCGUUACAAUGAUUCUACUUACUAAACCAAACCAUCACGAUUUCCAACCAAGCAUUUCAAGUGUUGUAUGUUAUCAACAUCAUCAAGGACAAUAAGAACCUUUUUCCUAGACAACCUGUGGCUAAUUAUGGCAUUCCCUUUGUGAACAUUGAAAAAAUUGAAGUAUUCAUCAAGCAAUAUCUGGGAAAGAAGUUGUUUCUGUAAAAAAACAAGUCCACGUUUAUCUGAAACUUCUCGAACGUCAGCAAGGAAGGUUUUACCUUCAAAAUGAGGUGACAUUUGAGUAUAAGCAAUUCUUGCAAGAGUUGUCUUACCAAUGCCACCCAUUUCGCAAAUUCCUAUAAUACGAACAUCAUCUUCCCCAAUGUCUAUUUUCGAAUACAACUCCUCCAAACGUAAACUAAUUCCAACCAGCUCAUCAUGAACAUCAGUAUAGGUCUGACAUAAUUUCACUGAUAUCUUCUUAGCAAUAUCUUUGAUAAAUUCUGAUUCAUGCCUACAAGGAAAUAUGAUUUAAUUCUUUUAAAAAAAUUGUUGAAUCAUAAUAUAGUUUGGAGCAAACAAAAAGCAAGAACAAGAAAGCAAGAUCUGUUACCACAUCAAAAUACACAACUUUCUCUUUAGUUGAAAUAUUGAACUUUACAAUUAAAUAUGUAGUAACUAAAAUUGAGUUCGAAUUUUAUAUUUUUUAAAUAUUAUUAUUUCUUAUUUUUGUAAUUUUAUUAUUAAUUAGAAUUAUAGCUAUUAUUUAUUAAUAAAAGGGAAGGGAAAGAGUUAAAAGAGAGACAGAAAGACACACCCAGCGACAGGGUGAGCCAAUAGAAAGACAGAAAUAAAACAAAGAAAUUAACAAUAUUGUUAAUUUCAAUUCAAAAAAGAGUCUAGCUACCUAAAUACUGUUCCGACAAAACAAAUAGGAAUAUUGGAAAUAAACAUAUAUAUAUAUAUCAAUUCAAAAAAUAACAAUAUUGUUAGACACUAAAACUAGAAAAUAGAGAAGAAAGAAUGACCUGUUAUUUAAAUGCCAUCCCUUGAUGUUAGCCACUUCCCUCAAAGCGUUUGGCCACCUUUGGAUCUUUUCUCUAUCGUCCUUAUAUCUCUCUUCAUGUUUUGCAAAGGCUUCUUCAACUUUUCCCUUCUGUUUUCUUAAAUCGGAUGGAUCCACUUAGUAGAAUAUUUUAUGUUCCUUAUCCUUUUUUUGAUGAACAAUCUGAGCAAGCUCCUCCAAGCACCAAAUUGAAAAGGCAUAGGUUUUUGAAAAAAUCGAGCACCAUGAUUGUUGAAUUGCUUUAAAGAGUUCAGGUGCGAUCUCUUCCCCGGCCUCCAACUUGGGAUCAUCUCUAAAAGUGACAAUCCCACGCCUCUUUAGAGCAUUGUAGAGAUGAUCUGUGAAGUUGUUGCGAGUAUCUUCACCUCUAAAACUCAAGAAAACAUCAUAUUUCUUUUUAGAAAUGGGCGAUGGAGUUGAAGGUAACGACAACAUGAGGAUAUAUGAGAAGAAAAAGAUAUCUCAAUUUGGUGCUCAAAAUCAGAAAAUAGUUCGCUCAAUACCACAGAAAGAAACUGGGAACAAUGGGUUGAUGAGGAUAAGAAAGAGAAAAGCAGAUCUACAAAUAGAUGAGGGAUGAUGUUCUUUCCAAGAAGGUGAGAGUUGAUUUUAUAUCGGAUAUAUAUAAUAGUGCUAUUAAAUUAUUUGUAUACAAUUAUUGAAUGAAGUUAUCAAACAUAAACUCAGUGAGUCACACGGUCUGGACACACACCCAUGUGUGUCACCUGUGUGACUCUAAUAUGAAUUUAGUGAGUUACACGGCCUGGACAUACGCAGUGUGUCUCACCCGUGUGACCCCUACCUCUCAUUACCUACACACAGCCUCUCCCACGCCCGUGCGUCUACAAAUUCAAAGUCAAGGAGUUACUCGGCCCGCCACACAGCCUUCCACAUAGCCGUGUGACUCACACGGCCAGCGCACGCGCCCGUGUGCAGUCGACACUCCCGAUUCUGGCGAAGAAAAAAACACAGAAAAAGAGGGGUUUUGGCACCCACCUGUUACCCAAUGCUGAAGAAGCACCCAAUUAUAAAAUCCAAGCCUAAAACAAGUUCAAAACACUCAAUUCAAUAAAACUUCCACAAAAUACGCAAGCACCAACAAUCCAACUUCGUCGAAACUUUCGACUCACUACACGAAACAAGUGAAAGAUUACUUAUCACGGAUUCCUAGUACUCACUCAAUUCCUAAGUAAACGAUAGGCGUUAGGCAUCUUUUGAAUUCCUCCCUAAUGUAUCGAAACAACGCAUAACAAGUUAUCAGACCUCAAGACUUAUGAAAACCCCAAAUUCACAAUGACAGACUUUAUGAAAAUAUCGACUUAACUUACCUUGAAACACACCAGAACAAGCAAAAACGCGUCUAACGAAGCAAUUUAUACGAAAGAACAGACAAUAAAAGAAAAGAAUUAAGGAAAUAUGAACAGAAAAGAAAGAAAGAAAAAGAACAAUUUGGGAAAGAAAAAAAAUGAAGAAGAACGUCAAAUCCAAGAGGGAAGGACAUUUAAAUUUCAAAUCAAUUUUUACUGAAUAUCCAAAAAUAAAAUCAUUGUUGCAAACGCUAUAACUUGAACGUAGAAUUAGAGAGUAGACAGACAUUUAACCGGUGAACCAGCAAGUUUAUUUUUGACAUAAGCUGCACAAAACUAAACUUAAACAAAGAAUCCUAAGUUAAGGGUUCAAGUAAGAAAUUUAACAAAAUUCUGAAAUUUAUGUAACACAAACCUCAAACCUUUAGUGAGCAAACAAAGCACACAACCACAGAAGCAAACACAUUUUCAUUGACACAACUUAGCAAUUAAAACUCCAAUUUUGGAGCGUUACAAUGUUGCAAAGCUAGUUUGUAACAAGACAUAUAUAUAAAUUGAAUUCAAACCAUGCAUAAAAGUACAAACCAUAUUCGUUUCUCGUCUACGACUCUCGCAUUUCCUUUUUAUCGAGACAAUCUAACAUCAUCUUUAGCUAUGUACAAUAAUAUAAGUAUAGAAAUGAUAUUAGUUUUUCAUCCAAUCACAUUAAAAACAAAUAAUCAAACAUAUUUUGCAUUUUAUUCAUUUUAGUCAAAUACUCAUAUUUUCCAAUAUUUAAUAGCGGAUGAAAAUCUGAUUUCAUAUAUCCUUUCAUUAGAGACAUUAUACUUUUUAUCUAUAGCAUAAUUUAUUAAAAAUUUUCAAUUUAUUAAAUUCAUCCCUAAGGCCACAAAAUUAUAUUUAAAGCUUAACUUGAUUUCUAACUUAAACCUUAACAUGAUUUAAGUUUACUAACUAACAAUCUCUUCAAUUUCAAGCUUAAUUUUAUCAAUUAUACAUCAAUGAUAACUUGACAAUUAAAGAAAUCGAUGCAUGGGUAGCUAAACCAAACUCUAAUGAUUCAAAAUUCAUAAAAAUCUUAAGGAAAGAACUUAAUUACCUUGAUUAAUUUUGGAUUAAAAUGGAAAAGAAAAGAAAGAAGUUUUUCCUUCUUCUUCUUAGCUUGGGACGACCAAACACAAUAAGAAAGAUAACUUCAUCUUACUCUCCACACACUUUUAAAAUCUUAAUUAGAUUAAUUAAUCAUCAUUAAUAAUAUAAUUUUAAUAAGUGUUUUAAUUAAUCAAGUCAAUUAAGAUAUUUGGAUGUAAUCUUACUAUUGCACUAUCAUAUUUUGAUAAUGAUCAAUUUAUUUUAAGGUCCUUAGAUUAAUUAUUAAUUAAGUCCUCAAUUAUUUUCUAAAUUAAAAUUUAAUAGCGAUUAAACUUUUAAAAUUUACGGCCUAAACUUUAAUUAUUGAUUUUCUUGACUUAAUUACCGGUUCUUUAAUAUAUUUUUAUACUAACUUUGUCAAUACUUGUAUUCAUAUUUUCUAUCUCUAAGUGAAUAUAUAAUGAAAAAAUUUUAAUAAAAAAAUGAAACCAAUCAAAAUAUACACAUUUCAAUUAUAUAAAAAAAUGAAUUAAACGAUUAAAAUUUUAAAUAGAAUAUGAGCUCAUGUUCAAAAUGAGUAUGAAUGCAGAUUUUAAUUUUUUUUGGUAUAUAAUGGAAAUAUCAUAUCUCAAAUGCAAGUAAAUUUAGAAUGAUUACUUUAAAUGAAAUAAAAAAUAUAAACAACGUAGAUAUGUUAAAAAAAUUAUUAGGACAAGGUUGGUUAAGUAGCUUACCACAGUUAAUGCUUCUUCGACUGACCCAUUAUAAAAAGUGAAAAACUUUUGCAUCCGUUUUGGUUGCGGCCCUUCUUCCCCUGCUUCCUUGUAGAUAUUAUGUUUUCGUUUUAUGUGAGUAGUGCUACCUACUAAUCCAUCGUUGUGAGCAGAGUGUUGGUGGAUGUGUUCAUUGAGUGGUAUGGCACUGCAACUCUUUUAUUUCUUCCAAAUCUUUCUCAUACACUAUUCUAACACCACACUUCUUCACCUUGGCACUGCGUCCAAAUGGAUCUAUGAAAGACACCUCAAGCUCAUCCCAUUUUUUAUCUAAGCAAUCUGUUGCCCAUAAAUUAUUGGUUUCACAGUCACCAUAUUUGUCCUCCAAGGAAGAUGAAUAUAAGUUAUCACGAGACCAAUAAUGAAGAAAAAGGUGAUCUUUCAUUAUGGGCUCCUUAAGUCGUUUACCCACCAACGAGCCUGUCCAAUCAAUCAGUCGAGGAUUUUUACAAUAGAUAAAUGUUCGACAAUUGAUAACCUCGUCAUCCCUUGAAGCAUCAUUAUUGACAAAAAUGCAGCAAGAAGCAACUCCAAUCCAUUGACCAUCUUUCCGAAGGGGUAUCUUAAUUGAAGAGUCACUUUUUUGUUGGCUAAACCAUUCUGGGAUUUCACUUCCGGGCAUAAUAAUGUCAAACCUUUUUAUUGAAUUUGCAAAUGCCUGCAAAAUAAAACACAAGUAGUUCGGUAACUAUAACCAUAAAUUCUAAAGUAUGAGAUUUUGUAAGGGAGAAUAAAGAGAUUAAUCGACCUUGAGAUGUUUUUUCAGCAGUGUUAAUGCAUUGAUAUUCUCAGCCAAUUUGAAGCAGUUAAAGGCUUUAAUGGCAGCCGAAUUCACUAAAUUGCAUACUUUUGAUGGACUUGCAACUACUUGAAGUGAAGAACAACCAUCUAUCUCCAUAUUUCUUGUGGUUGUUAGAAGCCCAGGUAACGAUUUAAGCUUCAUGCAAUUUGAUAAUGCAAGCACUUGAAGCCUGGAAAGUUGAGUAAGAGCCAAAGGAAUGGUGAUGAAAUUGCUACCUCUAAGUUUAAGAUAACUCAAAGAGGAUAGACCAUGAAUAUCCGCUUCACCAAGAGUGCACAUGUUGCAAUUUGACAAAUCAAGAAACCAAAUCUUCGAGAGUAGAGUUAGAGAUGCAGGUAUGCUGAUGAAAUUGUUACCAAUAAGAUCAAGAUCUAUCAAGGAAGAUAGGCAAGAUAUAUCACUAGGAAUAUCUCCUUCACGAAGAUUGCAGUCCCUUAGCUUCAACUCUCUUAAUGAACUCAAACUUGACAACGAAGGCAACAUCAGAGGCAUAGAAUUUGUCCUUCCUUUUUGGGUACACCAGUUAAUAUAUGAUUUCCCAUCAUCUCCAUAUACAUCCAUAACAUUCCCAUAUUCAUUCUCAACCUAUAUAUAUACAUUUUAUUUUGAUAUUCUUUAAAUAUAUAAUAAAAAUAAAUUUAAUAAAACAUAAAAUUUUAUCAUAUAUACCUCAGCAAGAAUGAUGUUUCCUCCUUGGAUGCAAAUAGUUUCUCUUUUUUGACCAUAUCAACUAUCAAAGUUAUGGAAUUUUUCAUUUCAUUCUAAAAAAAUAAAAAAAUAAAAAAAAUUAAAGACAUUAUUUAUAUAUAAAAAUUUACUGAAAAUUAAAAGAAUUACCAUAAAAACAUCAUUUUUAGUAUGGAGAGAAACUCCAAGCAUGUUAUGCAUCCAUACAGGAAAGCCUCCAAUAAAAAAAAUAAAACUAUUAAUACUGAAAAAAAUAGUUAAAUAAUUUAUGAAAUAACAUAAUUAGUUAAAAUUUUAAAAUAAAUUAAUUUACCAAUAAUUUCACUCGGCACAAGUAUAAGAUCCAAUUCGAAGAAUUGCAUAUAAACCUUGGUCUUGAAUCACUUUAAGAAAUCGAAGAAGAUCAAGAUUUUCAUUAAAAUCAUAUUGAUGACGAGCUGGUUCAUGCGCAUUUCAAAAUACAUAUGUUUCAACUACAUCCAAUCCACAUUCUUUGGCUUUUCUUAUAAGAUCCAGCCAUAUCUAAUAAAAAUUUAAAAAAAAAAUCAAUCAAUCAUUCAGAUUCAAAUUACAAAAAAUAUCCCGAAUAACUCAAUUGUAAAUUAUUACCUGAGCAGUACUUCUCAGAUAAUGAAUCGAACCCAAAAAAAUAAUUCUAUGAUUUCCAUCAAUUAUGAUAGAUCUUGAAUCAUAAGUGACAUUAAGCUCGUUCGAAUAAAAUAGGAUGAAACAAAAAAUAAGAGAAAAACUAAAAUAGUGAAUAUAUUCAUUUUUUUUCCCAUCUACUAAAGCUAAAAAGAAGUGUUGAUUGAAAAAUCAGUAGAGUAUGAUAACGUAUUUAUAAGCGUAGUGAUUGAAUUCUAUCAAAUACUUGAUUUUCAAAAGAUAUUUACUUUGAUUUAUUUGCUGUUUUAAAUAGAUUUAUAUAAUCAGUGAUAUGAGAUUAAAUCAGCAAAUUGUGUUGAAAGUUGAGUUUUAGCUCUAUGUAACAGCAUUAAUUAAAUAUUUUUGAUAAUUACAUAAUUUUUUUUAAUUAUAAUUAAUUAGAGUAUUGCUUUCAUACAGCGGGAGUCAUAGGUAAAAUUUAUUAGAUACCGUCGAUCCCGGUGUCUAAUAAGUUUUUCUAUCCACCUUCUUUUAUUGAUUUUUUAUCUUUUUAUCCUAUUCUAUUUCUGUUUUCAAUUUUUAAAUUUUUCGUUCGAUCAAAAUCCGAUUUCACUUUUGAUUAUAUUUGAUUCUAUUUAAUUGGCAGAAUCAACAUGAGAUGUAUAAACGAAAAUUUUGUUUUUAUGGAAAUUCUCCAACUUGUUACGAAAUCGCGUUGAUAACCUCGACUCGUAUCCUAGCCUGUCUGAGAGCUAGAUUUGCCUCAAUUGUUUGCCUCUUGCCUUCAGCUUUCCUCAAGUUAGCUUGCUGAGCUUCUUGUGGACUCAUAUAUAAAAUUCUCGUUUAUUAAAACUUGUAGAGUUCUAGUUAAAUUAAAUUAAGAUUUCUUUCAUCAAGCUUUUUGAUGAAUAAGGAUUAUAUACCGAAAAGAAUAAGCGAGCAAUUAGUAAAGGGUAUAUCCAUAAUAACUUUUUACAUCGCUGGUAAAUGAUACGACACAGUCACGAUUCAGCUAUAAUAUUAUCCAUAAUAACUUUUCACAUUGCUAGUACACGAAUCAUAGUAGUUGCCAUCCCAAAGGAUUGUUAGUAGAUCAAUCUUGCUAACACCUGUUAGAGAAAACAGGAUGAAGUACUUCCCUGUGUAACACCAACAAUGGCUCUAAUCCGAAAAAGAGAUUGCAUUUAAAGUUGUUAGCAAACUCAUUCAUUCCUAGCUACCCACAAUGACCAUAACAUAGCGCCAUAGAAACAAGCCAUUUCCUCUUAACAUUCCAAACAUGCAGCAACAUUCAUACACAACAUUUCAAGGAAUCGCACACAUAACACCCCACCAUUGAAACAACACUCCCCAAGCUUUCCAAGAAAGGAAGUAAGAAAGAAAAAUAUGAUCACAGUUCCCUUCAACUUCAUUGCACCAACAACAAUUGAUGGAAUCAUUAAUUGUUAGAAUACCUCGAUCCCUUAAAAAAUAUUUUGAAGGCAUACCAUUCUGGAAUGAGAGCAAUAGGAAGCAUUGCACCUUUGAUGCACCAAUGAGCCCUCAGAAUCAAGAGAAAACACAAAUUUCUUUACAGUAAAUUUCCCUUUGCUGUCCACCUCCCACAUUCGCCUUAUUACAUUAAUCACUGGAUCCAUACAUAGCCAAUUUCCAUACCGAUGUUCCCUCAAGUAAGCUUUAAUCACACCGUGGUCUCAAAAUAGUUUGCUCAAGGACUGGUGUUCCAGAGAAGUCAUCCCUUGGAUUAUUGCAGAGUAGAAUGAUUUGUGAUAUGGUUUUGUCAAUAUGGGAUCUUGUUGGGGUUUUUGUAAGAGCGGAGGAAGAAAAACAGGAAACAAGACAAGACAGCAAGAUACAAGAAAAAAAUUUUACUUGCUCACAAAUGUGCAGCAAGGGAGCUUAUGGCUGAUAGCUCAUUUUUGCUCACUUAUUCAAUAAGAAAACAAUACAUUUAUAGUCAAAUACAUCACCAAAUACUACCUAUUACCAUUAAGUAGCCUAGUAACUUGAUAAGCAUUGCUUGUACACAUAAACAAGCCACCUAAACUAGUCAUUCAACACCUAAUGUAUCAAGUUGUCAUCAACUUGUUCAUUAUCAACUAGUUUGAUUACAAUGAAACUAAGGAGAAAACCUUGCUGUUACAGCAAGCAUACGUACUGCAGCAUGUUUACAAGCUGCAUGCACUUCAACCAAAAAUAUCACAGCAGCAUGGUUGGCCAAUUUUCAACAGAUCUUCUGUUAGCAUGAAUUGAAGCCAUUUAAGUAGUAUUAACUAUUAAGGGCCUAUAUAAACUACAAAAUGAAGCUAUUUAAAUACUAUUUAAGCAACACCAAAACAGAGUACAGGUUCCCAUGGCGUUUUAUUUAGCGAAAAUAGUCUGAUGACAAAGAUAAAAGAUGAUUAUAUUUCACCCUAUUACCUGCUUCUUCAUGCAGUGAAAAUAUAGAAGUAAGUUUAUACAUAUAACAUAAAAUUUAAUAAAUAAAUAAAUAAUAAAUUUCAUUAAACAGUACAAGUUUCAAUCAUGUAAAAAUUAAUUAAUUAGAUGAAUAAAUUUUUAAAUGUAUAAAACACUAUGUUAUCUUUCAAACAAAACAUGUCAUUCGAUACAAGUUGGUGUUCAACAUGUCUAUACUCAAAAUUUAGAGUUGAUUACAUAAUUUGAAGAAUCAUAUUUCAUACUCGUAUCAAAAUAUAUGUUGAGUAAAGAUGUUCAAAAUGAAUACUUUAAGUAACAUAAAAGAUGUAAAUAAGGUCGAUAAAAAGGUCUAAAAACAGAAUUUAUAGGGCAAGGCUAGUGAAGUAGUUUACCACAGUUACAGCUUCUUCCUCGAUCGGCUCAUUAUAAAAUUGAAAAAAUUUUGCAUCCAUUUUGGUUUUUGUUUUACAAGGGAAGUGCUACCUAUUGAAUCUAUUGAUCCAUCGUUAUCAGCAGAGUGUUGAUGGACAUCUUCAAGAUUUGGAGAACAUUGAGUGGUAUGGAUAUGCAGCUCUUUUAUGUCUUCCAAAUCUUUCUCAUUCACCAUUCUAACACCACACUUCUUCACCUUAACACAGGGAACAUCCGGGUCUGUGAAAGACAAUUCAAGCUCAUCGCAUUCCUGAUCUAAGCAAUCUAUUGUCCACAAAUUAUUAAUUUCACAUUCACCACAUUUAUCCUCUAAGGAAAAUGGAUAUAAUUUAUCACGCGACCAAUAUCUAAGAAAUAGGUGAUCCUUCGUUAUGGGCUGGUUAAAACGUUUCCCAAACAACCAACCACUUGCAUCGACACGUCGAAGAUCUGUAUCUCGGAAGACAGAUCCAUUUCGACCGCCUUGUCCAGAAUUUCUACAAUGGAUAACAGCUCUGCAGUUGAUAAACUUAUCCUGGUAAGCAUCAUCAUUGACAAAAAUGCAACAGGAAGCUACUCCAAUCCAUUGACUAUCAUUCUGAAUAUUGAGUGGUAGAGGUAUCCUAAUUGUAGAGCCACCUCUCUGUUGGCUAAACCAUUCUGGGAUUUCACUUCCAGGUAUAAUAACAUCAAACAUUUGUCUUGAAUUUGCAAAUGCCUGCAAAAUGAAACUUCAGUCACUUGGUAAAUAAAACCAUAAAUUCCCAAGUAUGAGAGGGAAAGAAAGAUUAAUUAACCUUGAGAUGUUUUUUCAACAAUGUUAACGCAUUGAUGUUCUCAGCCAAUCUGUAGCAGUUAAUGGCUUUAAUGGAAGCUAAAUCCAAUAAAUUGCAUACUUUUAACGGACUUGCAACUACUUCAAGUGAAGCACAACCAUCUAUGCACACUCUUGCUAUACUUGUUAGAAGCUCAGGCAACGAUUUAAGCUCUUUGCAACUUGAUAACAUAAGAAGUUUAACCUUGGGAAGUCGAGUAAUAGACGCAGGUAUGCUGAGGAAAUUGUUACCACUAAGAUCAAGAUGUGUCAAGGAGGAUAGGCAAAAAAUAUCACUAGGAAUAUCUCCUUCACGAAGAUUGCAGUCCCUUAGCUUCAACUCUCUUAAUGAACUCAAACUUGACAACGAAGGCAACAUCAGAGGCAUAUUUGGUCGUAACUUAGAUGAUGGUCCUUUGCACCCAUUGAAAGACAGAAUUUUAAGAUUUUCCAAUUGAAAAAUCAAGGAUGGUGGUUCUGUUAUCGCUGUUUCACUCAAGUCAAGCUCUUCCAAAAACUCUACUUGCUGCAAAUUCACUGGCAAAUAUUUAAUUUUAUAACAACUAGAAAGAUCAAGAGUUUUUAGAUGUUUCAUUUUCCCAUCAAUCUCCGGAAACCUUACAAGACUUGAGCAACCUGAAAGAAUUAAUGUUUCAAGAGAUUCCAUUCCAAUUCUGGUUGGAAGACUCCCAAGACUUGUGCAGUCUCUUAAAUUUAAAAGUUUAAGCAUCUUAAGCACUCUGAUUGAUGGAUGGACAUCUACUAAUCUGGUACAACCUUCCAUAAUCAAAGCUUCAAGUUUUGGUGUUGUUGUGAAGUCUGGCGUCUUGAUCAGGUAUUGAGACCCUUUGAGGUUGAUCAUUUUCAACUUAUACAAGGGCUGUUGAAGACAAUAAUAAAUUAGAGAGAAAACAUAAUAAUGCCCAAUUUUGUUUUUGUUUUUCUUUUUUUACCUUAAUCAAAGUUUAAUCAUUUAUAUUAAAAUAAGCUAAAACACAAGGAUAAGAUAAGUUAAUUCUUACUCUAUUUCCUUUCCAUAGUUGUUCAAUGUGACUAUAUGGUAAAAGAAGUGCGACAAGAUUGUCCGGUCGAAAGCUUGAAGGUAAAUAUCUUAAAGGAUAUCUUGUCCAAUCUAAAAGCCGUAUUUCAUUAGAGAGAUAUUUGAGACCAUCACAAUUUGAUAGGCAAAGAACUUUGAGCAAUCUCAAUUUUUUCAUCUUUGAGAAGGUAUCGUCACUCAAAUUGAGCACCUUGCUCGAUUCCCUAAUAACCAUGAGCAAAACAAAUAUGAGUUUCAAAAUAUAUAGAAACAUUCGAUAUCUAAAAGCUAUGUUGCAUCGAUAUUGUUUUUUUAAGUACCCACAUCCUACACUUAUAUCUAAUGCAUAUCUGAAUAUGGUAUUGAGAUAUGAUUGAACAUAUUAGACAAUAGUCUAUCUAACACUUACAUUUGACUUUGAAUUACCUAAGCCUAAAAAACUAGAACUAAUAUUUUGAAUUACGUUUGGUGCACUGAUGUGUAAUUCUAUGCAUUACCAGUGAAUCAAAUGAUGGCAUGUUAUAGCCUAGUUCAUUAAUAUUAGCAAAGACAAUAACAUACAUCUCUUUACAAUUUCUUUUGAAAGAGUAAUGUGUUUCUAUAUAAAUUUUAUAAAUAUAACAUUGAAAAAUUAAGUAUUAAGGGUGUGUUUCAUUAGGUGGAAAAGUGAAAAGAACAUAAAUUUUAAGUCUGCAUUUUGCAUCCUAAUGCAUAAAAAUCAAUCAUUUCAAAUUGAAAUAAUCAAAAUUAUGCUCUCUUUUUUUCAAAUGUUCUAUUUUUUCUUUCCUUCCACUUUCCACUAUAUAAAGCAAUAGUGAGAAGGGAAAUAUAUUUUCCAUUCAAUUUUCCAUCUUUCCUACCAAGCACACCUAUAGAAAGAAAAUUAUUUUUUCUUUUCCUUCAAAAUUUCAUCCUUCCAAUUUUUUAUUCACUAUACCAAGCAAAGCAAAAAUGUUGUUUUUUCAUUGUUUAUUAUUGGAUUUAAAAAAAAUAAUGACAAUAUUAAUAGAACAUAUUGAUAAAUUUAAAUGUAUGUUUUCCUACCUUUUAUUGUUGAUGAUCAUGCCUUCAAUAACUUCGGUAGCCUAAAAGUAAUCAAGAAUAGGCAAUAAGAAGACAAAAUAAAUGCUUUAAAUUGUACGAUAAAACUUUUGAAAAUUUACAUACAUGUUCAAUAUUACCACAAUCUUUUGGUCAAAAUAUAGUACAUAAAAUAUUUUGAACUAAGUAAAACAUUUUCUAAUAAGAGUAGUUCAAUAAAAUUAAACACUUAUAUUAUGAAUCCUUAUUAAUAAUUAUAAUCAACAAAUCGGUACGUAAACCAAUUAGACUAAGCUUUGGAUUUACAUCAUAUAUUGAUAAUAAAAAAAAUUGAUGUAAUUUUUGUUGAAUGAUUUACCAUGUUUUUUGUUAGGACAUGAUGGACAUCCCUUUCCUUCCACAAUCUACAACGUUUUCCAGGUUCAUCAACACACUUUUCUUCAACAAUUUUUCUUCCCAUUUCUUGCAACAAGGCAUGCAUCCACAAAUAUUGGUUGCCAUCUUCAACUUUUAUGAGAGAUUUCUUAAUUAGAACAUCAAUUCCAAUAUUUGGAAAAAAAUCACAACCAUCCAAUACUUUCAUUACCAAAUCUUUCUUCUCCCAAUUGAAAAAGCAUGCUAUAUCUAGAAAUAUAUUCUUCUCCCUUUCUUCCAAUCCAUCAAAGCUAAUUCGUAAUGUGUCAAGAAUUUCUUUGUUAGAAUCUUGUUUAAGUCUUUCGAUUGCACUUCUCCAUUGAAUUAUAUCUCUACCACACAAAAAUGAACCCAAAACUUCAAGAGCUAAGGGCAGACCAUCAGCAUAAUGUACAACUUGUUUAGAAAGCUCAAUGAAAUCAUAUUUCGGCGUUGUAUCACUAUCAAAAGCUUUCAAAUUGAAAAGCCUAAGUGCAUCGUUGGGAUUCAGUGUUGUAGGCUUAUACACAUCAUCGAUUUGAUAAGAUCCGAGCAAAUGUUCAUCUCUUGUUGUUACAAUGAUCCUACUCCCUAAAUUGAACCAAUCACGCCUUCCAACCAAGCAUUUCAAGUGUUGUAUGUUAUCAACAUCAUCAAGAACAACAAGAACCUUUUUACCAGACAACCUGUGGCUAAUUAUGGCAUUCCCAUCAUGAACAUUGAAAAAAUUGAAGCAUUCAUCCGGAAAGAUUUGAGAAAGAAGUUGUUUCUGUAAAGAAACAAGUCCAUGUUUGUUUGAAACUUCUCGAAUAUCAGCAAGAAAGCAUUUACCCUGAAAAUGAGCUAACAUUUGAGUGUAAGCAACCCUUGCAAGAGUUGUUUUACCAAUGCCACCCAUUCCGCAAAUUCCUAUAAUGCGGACAUCGUCUUCCCCAAUAUUUAUUUUCGAAUACAACUCCUCCAAAUGUAAACUAAUUCCAACCAACUCAUCAUGAACAACUGGAUAUGUCUGACAUAAUUUUGCUGAUAUCUUCUUAACAACGUCUCUAAUAAACUCUGAUUCGUGCCUACAAUGAAAUUAAAAUCCGAUAUGCACUUUUUCAUUUUUAGUUUAGUGAAUCAUGAAGUAUAAUAUGGUUGGAAGCAAACAAAAAGUAUGAAUAAGACAGUAAGAUACAUUAUAGCAUCAAAAUACACAACUUGCUCGUUAGUUGAAAUAUGGGAAUUCUCAAUUAAACAAAAAAUUAUAAAAAUAACAUGCAAUCCAAUAAAAAAAACAAUUUUUUAGUCAUUAAAAUUAGGAAAUAGAGAAGAUAAGAAAGAAAUACCUAUUAUUUAAAUGCCAUCCCUUGAUGUUAGCCACUUCAGUCAAAGCAUUUCGCCACUUUUGGAUCUUGUCUUUAUCUUCCUUGUAUCUUUCUUCGUGUUUGGCAAAGGCUUCUUCAACCUUUUCUUUUUGUUUUCUUAAAUAAGAUGGAUCAACAUGGUAGAAAAUUGGAAAUACUUUAUGACCCUUGUCAUUUUUUUGUUUAAAAAUCUCCGCAAGCUCCUCCAAGCACCAACCUGAAAAGGCAUAGGUCUCGGAAAAAACGAUUACCGAGCACCAUGAUUGCUGAAUUGCAUUGAAGAGUUCCGGUGCGAUCUCUUCACCUGUUUCCAACUUUGGAUCAUCUCUAAAAGUGACGAUCCCAGUUCUAUUUAGAGCAUCGUAGAGAUGAUCCGUAAAAUUCUUGCGAGUAUCUUCACCUCUAAAACUCAAGAACACAUCGUAUUUCUUUCUAGAAAAGGACGAGGAAGUCGAAAGUAACGACGACAUGAGGAUGUAUGAGAAGAAAAAUAUGUGGAUGUAGUUUUCAAAAUCAGUCGCCCAAUACCUCCGAAACAAUAAGUAUAUGAGCAUGAGGGGAGAAAAACAGAUGAAAUUUCGAGGGAAGAACAAAGGGAGUAGGUGAAUCUAUCAGUACAAUAAUAUCUUUGAAAAGAGAGUAGGUGUGGAAAUUCGGGGUCAUAGAUGCUCUUUCCGGGAAGACUCCAAGAAGGUGAGAGUUCACAUGCAGCCUACAAUUUUUCUGAAAAUUAAAUUCAUUAAUUUAUUGAGAACCAUAUAAUCUAGGCGAAACUCAUAGUAGAUGAUGAAUAGUAAACUCUAUCGAUACAAUAAAGGCUUUAGCCUUAACAAUAAUAAAACAUCAUGGCAUGUUAACAAUUAGUUUUGUCACAACUCAAGUACGAUAUAUUUAGAGUAAUUACAAACACUUAAUUUGAUAAGGAAAUCAACCUUGGAUGGUCUAAAGCAACGAGCAAAAAUUGACAAAAGAAUCAAACAUACGCCAAAUUAGAGAGGACGACAAUAAAAUCAUCUCUAAAAUCACUUGUAAAACUAAGAUUAUAUGCAUAAACACAAUUAUUAAAUAAUUAAAAAAAAUAUAUAGAACUUAACAACACGAAAAUAGAUCCUACAAUUAUCAUCAAAUAACGUGUUGGACGGUUUGUGUUUUGUUUUUAUUAUUAUUUUAUAUUAUCAUAUCUACUUUAUAAUCAGUAGCUUAUGUUACAUAUGUGAUUUUACGCAUUUAAUAUUUGAUUAAUUUUUUUAAUAUUAUACUUUUAAUUGAAGUAAUUAGUAUAAAAUAAUAUUUUUAUUUAAAUUAUUAAAUAUAUGUAAAAUAUAUUAAUUUAUCAAUUCAAACAAAUAUUAUAAUAAAAAGUUUUUAAAUAAUAAUUAAAUAAUUUUUAACAUAUUCCACAUAUAUUAUAGUUUUCCUUUAUGUAGCUAAUGCAAUGUAAUAUUACUCAAAAUAAUAACUACUUAACAUAAUUGUCAGCAACCUCUUGGCCUAUUUACAAAAGCUUGGUUUUGUAGGUACGAGAGCUUGGGUAUAAUUGUCAGCAACCUCUUGGCCUAUUUACAAAAGCUUGGUUUUGUAGGUACGAGAGCUUGGGUUCAAUCCUAAGCAAUCCUAUUUUCCUCCCUUAAAUAUAUAUAAAAAAACUGAGCACAAUAAACUCUAAUAAUAAUUAAGUGAUAAUUAUAAGGAUAAUUUUAAAUUUAGUAAUAUAAAAAAAUAAAUAUCUUUUUCAAACUCGUUUAUAUAUAUAUAUAUAUAUAUAUUACAAAUUAAGUAUUAAAAUUGUGUUUUACGUGUCAUAGCAUUUCACCACCAUUUGAUCUUAUCUUUUAUCUUCCUUGUACCUUUCUUGGUGUUUGGUGAAGGCUUCUUCAACUUUUUCUUUGUUUUCAUCCACAUCGGGGGCCAUAGAUGAGCCUUAGAUGUUCUUUCCGAGAAGACUCCAAGAAGGCGAGAGUUGCUGUUAACAUUUAUAGAGUUUUUCUUGGUUAAAAUGUGCCAGAAGUCCCUGCAUUUUUAUAAAAUUAAAAUUUAAUUCCUAUACCGUUAAUCACUAAAUUAUGGAUAAAUUUUUGCAGGUAUCUUCACCUCUAAAACACAAAAAAACAUAAUAUUUCUUUCUAGACAUGGAUGAGGAAUUCGAAAGUGACGAUGACAUGACGAUUUAUGAGAAGAAAAAUAUAUAUGGAUAUAGUGUUCAAAAUCAGAAAAUAGAUGGCUCAAUACCUCAGAAACAAAGUAGAAAUAAUAAGUAUAUGAACAUGAGGAAGGAGAAAAACAGAUGAAAUUUACAGGAAACAACAAAGGACUUGUCUAGGAAAUUUGUGUAUAUGUUUCCCACCUUUUACUUUUCCAAAUGAAUCUAUCUUCAUUAUAAUACCUAUGAGAGGGAGUCGGUAACAAUUAAUUAAGAGUUUUUUUUCAUUUUCUUAAAUCUUAAAAUCAAUGUUGAGACAUUAAUCAAGACUAAACUUGUCUCCUUUAAUGAUAUAAGUAUCACCUAAUCUACAAUCCUACAUGAAGGAGAAAAACAGAUCAAAUUUCAAGGGAACAACGAAGAUUUUUGUCAUCAAUUUCUCUAUACAUUUCCAUUUUUUCUUCCAAAUGAAAGCGCGUAGGUGUGGAAAUUGGGGGAUGAUAGAUGAGUGAUAGAUGUUGUCUCCAAGAAGAAUCCAAGAAAGAGUCGACAAAAUUGAGCCUACAAUAAUUAUAAGUGUUGGACCGUUUGUGUUUUACAUUAGCAUAUUUACUUCAUAAUUAUAAAGUGUUAACUAAUUGUGUUUUACAUGCUUAACUAGUUUCUUAUGUAACAUACAUCUAAUUACAUCUAAUUAUUUCUAUUUCAUUAAUUAUAUAUUUAUUUUAUUAAUUAGUGUAUUUAAUUAUUAUUUAAAGAUACAUGAUUAUUUAUUUAAAAAUGUAUAUUAUUUUAUGUAAUGUAAAAUAAUUAAAAUAUUUUAUUAGACUUAACACAUACUUUAGUACUUGAGUUUGACACUUUUUUAAUGCGAUACUUAUGUUAUUUUUUGGUCCAAUCAGGUAUUUGUAUUUGACAAAAGUUAUAUAUUUUGACACCCAAAACUAAUGAUGUUAAGUGUUUAAUUCGAGUUUUAGGGUUGGUUUGAUAAAAAUUAAUUGCUAAUUAUGUAUUUUCAUCAAACCAAUUCUAAAACCCGAAUUAAAUCACAUCCAUUGGACUGUAUUUGACAAAUUAAAUGCAAAAUUAAACAAAUCCAUAAUUAACACUAAAUUUAUUCUAUUAACAAAAUCAUGAAAAAUUCAAAGUUAAUAAUAUUAACAAUUAACUUUCAUCAAAUCAAUUCCCAAACCUGAAAUAAACACUAAAAGGUUAACAUCUUUUGUAAUGACCCAAAAUUCACGGGCAUAGGAAAAGUACAUUAUCGGGCCUCCGUCUUAGUAAACUGAGUCAUAAAUAAUUAUUAGAAGUAAUUAUGAGUUUAGUUGAGUGCUUAAUUAGGUAUUUAUUAGGUGAAUUUAGUCUAAUUAAGAAUAAUUAGGAAAAAGAACUAAAUAGAGUAAAGGGUAAAAGUUUAAUUAUAGAUCAAAAGAAAGUAUAAAGGAUCAAAAUGGGAAUUAAACCAAUUCAUAAGAAUGAGGCGGCAUAAGCUGAGUAAGAUUGAAGAUUUUUAUGUGAUAUUUUCUAUUAAAAUUUCAUUAAUAAUCAUUAAGGUUUGAUACUAAAUAAUAAAUUAUAUUAAUUAUUAUUAUUAUUAUUAUUAUAUUAUGAAAUAAGUUAAACAAAGACAAAUGGAUGGUAGUGAUUUAAUACAAAUGUAUUGAUAAAAGUAUAUACAUUUGUAAUAAUUAUAUUAAAUUAUUAGAUAGAUAUUUAUUAGAUAAAUAAUUAAAUUAUAAGAUUUUUUUGUGUGAUAAAUAAAAUAAAUGAUGAUAAAUGUAUGGUAUAGAUGAUAUUGUAUAUUUAUAAAUAAAAUAUAUAUGUACAUUUGUAAUAUUAUUAUUUGUUGUUAAAUAGAUUUUUAUUAAAUAAAUAAGAUAAUUGAUAAAUAAAUGGUAUAAAAUUUAUACAAGUGUAAUAAAAUAAAUAUGUACAAAUGUAAUUAAACAAUUGGUUUACUUAAUAUUUGAGCUUAAGAUAUUUUAUAUUGAUAUUAUAUUAAUUAUUUAGUAAUUAAAAAAAACAACAAAAGAAAUAAAGCAAAGUAAGUAAAAAUAAAAGAAAGAAAAAAAGAAACAAAAGAAGAACAGAAACAGAGAAUGAAACGAAAACAGGGGAAGAAAAAGGGAAAGAAAAGAAAAGGGGAAAAUUGGGAUUUUAAAGCUUCAAGUUUAAUUGGUAAGCUAAAUUUAGCCUUUUUCUCUUAAUUUUGAUGUUUUAGAAGCUUUAAAAUAAAGUUUUGUUGAAAUUAAGUGGAGGUUAUGGAAGUUCAUAGGUUUUUGAACAUGAUUCAUGUUGAACAAGUUGUUAAAUAGGGGUUUAGUUGAUAGAAUUUCUAGUUAGAAUCAAUAAAAGGAUUAAAUUGUAAACUAGGCUAUAAGUUUUACAUAGUUGGGAUUAAGUUAUAAGAAGUCUUAAAUUAGGGUUUAAUUAUGAAUAUUGAAUAGUUGAGUUAAAUAUGGCAAAUAAUUAAGUAGAAAAGAAAUAUGAAUUAAGCUAGAAAAGUAAGUAAGCUUAGUUAGAAUUAAAUUGGGAAUAAGUAGGAAUUGAAUAAAAUUUAAUUAUUAUUAUUUUUUUAUAAUUUAAUGCUGUAAUUAAUAGUGAAAAUAAUUAUUAUUUUCGUAGCUAACAAAGAACUCGAGGCAUCGACAUCGAAAGGAAAGGAGAAAGCUAUCGAGGACUAAAACGACAGAUUUACGGUUUGUAUUACUAUAAUUCAAAUUAUUUAUUAUUUAAUGCUAUAUUUAAAUUUAUAUGUAUGAUAAGUGAAAUAUAAGGUAAGUAUUAUUAUUAAGUUGAAAGAAAUUCAAUUGAAUGAUGAAUAUAUGUGUGGAAUUGAAAUGAAUAUUGACUUGAAAAUGGAAAAGUGAAUUUUGAAUUAAAUUGUGAUUGAAAGUGAAAAAGUAAAAUUGAAUUGAAAUGUGAAUUUGGAGACCCUAUUAACUAGUCGGGCUGAGUCGGAUAUAGUUGGCUUGCCAUAGGAUUGAAAGAGUUCAGGGAUACUUCGACCUCGAGUCGAUGAGACACUGGGUGUCACUAUAUUUCUUCGGAUAGAUUCGAUGAGGUACUGGGUACCAACUUUCUUUGGCUUCGCCGAUGAGACACUGGGUGUCAACUAUUGCUUCGAACUAUCCGAUGAGGUACUGGGUGCCAUACUGUAGCGUUUGGUUGGAUCCGUCAAAGUCCAAGUUUUGUUAAUAGGGUAAAUAAUGAAAUGAUAAACUGAAUGAGUUGAUCAAUCGAGCUAUUGAAAUGAAACUAAUAGUUGAAUUGUGAAUUGAAAUGUGAUAUGAGAUUGAGAAAUGAAUCUAAGGUUCAUGAUGUGUCCAAGUUCCAAAUUGUGGAUAUAUGAUAUUAAUUGAUGAAUUGUUAUUGUAGAAAUAUGAAAUUUGAGUUUAAAUUUGUAUGUAUGAUUUUAUGCAUUACAUGUUUAUUAAUAUUAUAAUUUGAAUUAUGGUAAUACUUCUGAGUAUGAAAUACUUAGCGUACAGUUGUUUCCGUGCGCAGGUCAUUAGAGUUCAAGGUCUAGUUCAGCAUCCAGAAAGAUCCCGACUCCAUCAAGAAAAUUUUGGUGAUGUAUUUCUUCUUUUUGCUUAAGUGGCAUGUACUAGGUGAUUGUACACGAGUCGUAUACAUAUAUAUAUGUUAAAUGAUCUUGGUUGUAAAUAAAUGGUUAUAAUCUUUUAGAUGAUAAAUAAAGUUUAAAGUUAUAAAUUAUUAAACUUAGUAUUAAAUCUUGAAAUGAAAUGAAAGAUAUGAAUUAGUUUUUUUUUACAUGUUAACUUUAACAUUUUAUAAUUAAAGUAGUAAAUCAAUUUAUUAAGCAUGAUUUAGUAGCGUUUUAAAGUAUAAAAUCAUUGAUUGAAAUAUUGGUAUUGGUUUGUUUUUGGUUUUAAGUUUGCAGGGGGUUUUAUGUAAAAAUAAGCAGAAAUACUGUCGAAAUUUUAAAAAAAUAAAAAAUGAAUGAAGCCAAUUAACAUAAAUUUAUAUGAAUUUAUGAUUCUUUUAUAUAUGUUCGUUAUUCAUCUAAGAAUUAUUUGUAAAUUGUCUGAGAUGUCCAGUAAUACCUCGUAACCCUGUUCCAGUGUCGAUUUAGGGUUAAGAGGUGUUACAUUGUUACUUUUGAAUACCAAAAUAUAUAACUUCUAUCAAAUAUAUGUAACAAAUUGAACAAAAAAAACAAGAGUACCACAUUAGAAAAAAUUGUCAAACUCAAGUACCAAAUUAUGCAUUAAAUUAUUUUAUUACAAGAUAUUGUUUAAUUAUAGAUUUCAAUAUUUAAAUUAAAAAUAAGAGUUUUGUUUGGUGGGAUGUUUUCUUACUGCUAGUGUGGUCCACUUUCCGACGAUGAAGAAUACAUUGGCAAAUUUGUGGCAUCCUUUAAGGUGUGUGCAGAUCUCGAAUAUGGGAGAGAAUAGAUAUUUGUUUAGAUUUUUCAAUAAGGUGGACAUUGAUAGGGUGAUUAAUGGAGCACCAUGGGCUUUCAACAAUCAUUUGUUAGUGUUCCAUCAUUUGGCUAUUAAUGAAGAUCCCAUGCAAGUACCAUUGAUUUUUCGUGGUUUUGGGUUCAAGUACAUGAUAUUCCCCUAGGAUUUUUCUUUGAAGCAGUGGCAAGAUAGUUUGAUAAUUUUAUUUGAGAAUUUUUUGGAUUAUGAUUUGAAGCAGAUUUCGAGAGGUGUUAGUCAAUAUUUGUAAAUAAGAGUUAAAUUAAAUGUGAGAUCCCCAUUGAAAAGGAGGAAGAAAAUUUUGGUUUCCUUAUCAAGUUUCAUAUAUACGAGAUUUCAGUAUGAAAAAAAUCACAUUAUUCUAUUUCAUAUGUGGCCUUUUAGGGCAUGGAGAAACUUUUUGUCUAGUUAGAUUUGUCACACCCCGAGUUUGGUGAAUCCGAAUUAUGGCAUAGAGUUGUAAAGAUUAUCUAUUUGACGUAUUAUAGUUCGCCAUGUUUGGUCUUUUGGCGAGUACGAUUGGGUGUAAUGUACCUGCCGCUUAGGAGAUUAAAUAUUUUUGUCUCAAAUUAUUAAGUGAUUCUAGUAAAGGAUACCGCCAAAUGUUUAACACCGUGGUUUGUCUGAGCAUUGUGCUAGUUAAGUUGAACAUGAUCUGGUUAAGAAUCAACUGGAUUGGCUGGUCAAAUAUUUAUUGAGAAAGGACUUUCAUUUAUGUUUCUCUUAGAACUUGUAGGCCAUUAAGAAGGACAGUUCUAAAUGUAUUAACAUCUGUUAAGUUCCCACACUAAAUGUAUUGACAUCUGUUAAGUUCCUGCAGGUUGAAUGGGUUAUAUAUAUGGGUGAGAAGGUCUAUUGAGAAUUCUUCUUCUAUUUCUUCCUUCAAUAUUGUUCUCUGUUUCUUCAAAUUAAGUGCUAUUUCAAUCUCUUCAAGUUAGAUGUUAAGAUGCUGGGAUUAGUUAGAGGUCACUCUAUCUCUUAGUAAGUAAUAUGGCUUUGCAUGUUAAGUUUUGAAGGAUUUAUGAUGUUAAGAGUUUACUGAGCAGUAGGACUAAAACAAGGUCUUGCAUGGGGUUUAUCUAUGAUUGAGAUGUUGAAAAUCUGUGUAUAAGGAUUUUAAUGGUGAAAUUGUGUUCUUUGAGUAGCUGUUGCUGCUAGGCCAAGAAAGAUGUUUGAGUUUAGAGCUUUGAACUACAGUUGGUGAGUAUCAGGUGAGUGUUUAUCUUGACUCUUGCAUGUUUACUGUUUAGAUAUAAACAAGCAUAAGUGAUAAUGAUAUCUUUGAAGAUUGUUAAGAAUGUGAAAAAUAAAUGAUGAUAUAUGUGGUUAUGAUGGAAUGUAUAAAACUCGGUGUGAAUAGAAUGUUGUUCGUAAGUAUAUAUGUAAGAAUCAAAUAAGUAUGAAUAAUUUGAGAAGUGGGGUUGGAGUAACAUUAUUUUGUGGUGCCUCUGGUAUGACAGGUAUAUUGCUAACUAGACUGAUAUAUCACAAUAUGAGUGUAUGUGUAAGAUCAUGUGGUGGAAACCCAUGACACUAUGAUAUGAAAACACCCAUGGUGUAUCCUCUAGUGAAACAUAGUCUGGAUUGGCAGGACACGAUACAUGAAGUGAAUAAGUCCGUGUGUUUGAGCCCAUGGCAAGAUGUGUUUGUAUGAAUACUCAUGGUGAUGCCUCCGUUAUGAUAAAAACUGGAUUGGCAGAUCACGACAUAAGGUUUAAGUAUAAGACCAUGACUAAGGAACCAUGACAUCUUCUGUGAAAGUCCGUCGGGACAGUAAACACGUGAUUCUAAAUUUGUCCUAUAUGGCAUAAUCAACUAAGCCUUUGUGGCAUAUUUUUUUUGGUCCUUGUGGCGUGUUCGACCAAGUCUUCUUGAGAAAUUGUUGAAGUCAACCCCCAUGCAGCAGCCAAGGUGACCAUGCAAGGUGGCCAUGCAGGGAUCGUGCUUUAACAGUAAACCGAAACUGCAUUGUUUCAUUUGGUUACUCAAAUGAACAUUUUGUAUUUUAGUUUGUUUUGAACUAAGUUGGUAACUUUAUUUUGAUGUAAUUAGGUGCUGAAUGACAAGUUUAGGUAGAAGUUUAUGUUUUCAAUCAAGUUUACCAAGUUACUAGGCAAUUUAGUGGUGUUAGGUAUGUUAUUAGGUGGCAACUUGUUUGUUUUGCUGUUGUUAUCUCAUAUAUAUGUAUUGGUAUUAUGCCUUGUAAAAAAGUAAAUGAAAAUUCAGCUCAUUUUCAUUCAAUUUUAUCUCUUUCUUUUCUGUUCUCCAUUGCAAAAUUUCUUUCUUCUUCAAUAGUUUAUUCAGCAAGGCUCGACACUUGCUGUGUAAGCAAGCUGAAACCAUCUUGCUAUUACCUCUUGCACCAACAAUUGGUAUCUAGAGCCGUUGUCUUAGUGGACCUGUUGCUUCAAACCAAGGAACCUGAUGGCUUCUUCAGGAUUUUCACCAGCAGCCCCACCAGUCUUCAAUGGAGAAAGCUUUCACAUAUGGCUGGUAAAGAUGAAGACUUACCUGCAGGCUUUUGAUCUGUGGGAAGUUGUUAACACAGAUGCUGAGCCAGCACCACUGAGGGCUAAUCCCACAGUAGCUCAGAUCAGACAACAUGCUGAUGAGAGGACCAAAAGGCACAAAGCCAUGUCCUGCAUUCAGAACUGUGUAUCAGAUGUCAUCUUUACCAGAAUUAUGGCCUGUGAGACUCCAAAACAGGCCUGGGACAAGCUUAAGGAGGAGUUUCAAGGCACUGAGAGAACAAGGCAACAGCAGCUGUUGAAUUUGAGAAGGGAUUUCGAGAAUUUGAAGAUGAAGGAAGAAGAAACAGUGAAGCAGUAUUCAGAUAGAAUUAUGGCAGUGGUUAACAGUAUAAGGCUCCUAGGUGAGCACUUUGAUGAGGCAAGAAUUUUGGAGAAAGUCCUCUCCACUUUUCCUGAGAAAUAUGAAGCAAAGAUAUCCUCCCUAGAGGACUCAAGAGACCUUGCUAGCAUCUCUUUGACUGAGUUAAUCAACACCUUCUAUGCUCAGGAACAAAGGAGAGCUAGCAGAGCUGAAGAUCACCAAGAAGGUGCAUUUCAAGCCAAGGCCAGAGAAGCCUCGAGCACCAAUGCUCAAAGAGGCAAAAAGCCUUGGAAAAGCAGGCCUAAGCCUGAUGCUGCAAGGAGCAAUGACCAGCCCCGCAGAUAUUGCAAGAAGCUAGGCCAUCCAAAAGACAGAUGUUGGUUCAGGCCAGAAGCAGUAUGCCAGCACUGCAAGAAGAAUGGCCAUGUUGAAAGGGUUUGCAAAAAUAGAACCAAGCCAAGGCAGAGCCAAUUUCAACAACCAAUGGUUGAAGCUCGAGUAGCUGAGGACAGUAGUGACCAAGAGGAGCAGGUCUUUGCUGUUUCUUGCUUAACUGCUGAGAAGAAAUUUUCAAAAGGUUGGCUAUUGGACAGUGGUUGCACUAACCACAUGUCACCAGAUGCCUCCUUGUUUAAAACCUUGGAUAGAAGUUGCAAAACCAAGGUCAAGGUUGGAAAUGGCCAGUUUAUAAAGGCUGAAGGAAGAGGAGAGGUGCUGAUAUGUACUCCUACAGGUAACAAGGUCAUACCAAAUAUGCUUCUGGUGCCUGAGAUUGACAGAAACCUUCUCAGCAUAGCUCAAUUGCUUGAGAAAGGUUAUUCUGUUGUAUUCAAGGAUAAAAAGUGCCAUAUUGCAGAUCCAAGUGGAUCAAGCCUUAUGACAGUCACAAUGACUGAUAAAUGCUUUGAGGUUCAUUGGUCAAAUGACUCAAAGUCAGCAUAUACAGCCUCUAUAGAUGACUCCAAACUCUGGCAUAGAAGGCUUGGACAUGCCAACUUCAGGUCAAUGGGUCGAAUGGCCAGUGAGGGCUUGGCUGAGAACUUCACCAACUCAGUGGAGUAUGAUGAUGUGUGUGAGGUCUGCCAGAUGGGGAAACAGGCAAGAUUGCCAUUUUCUACAAAUGCAGCAUGGAGAGCUACUGAAAGACUGCAGCUGGUGCACUCUGAUGUAUGUGGCCCGAUGAGGACUGAAUCACUCAGCAAAAAUAGGUAUUUCAUCCUCUUCAUUGAUGAUUUUACAAGGUUUUGCUGAAUUUUCUUCUUAAAACACAAGUCUGAGGUAGCUCAAGUGUUUGUGAAGUUUAAAACUGCUGUAGAGACAGAAACAGGUUGCAAGCUGAAAUCGAUAAGGUCAGACAAUGGCACUGAGUACACUUCAGCUCAGUUUCAAGCCAUUUGCAAUGAUGCUGGUAUCAAACACCAGCUUACAAAUGUCUACACACCUCAGCAGAAUGGGGUAUCAGAAAGAAAGAACAGAAGCUUGAUGGAUAUGGCCAGGUGCCUGCUGUUUGAGAAGAAACUGCCCAAGACCAUGUGGGCUGAGGCAGUAAACACUGCUGUCUACCUUCAAAAUAGGCUUCCUACUAAAGCUCUUGUAUCCAAAACACCUUUCGAGGCUUGGUCUGGUUUCAAGCCUUCCUUGGCACAUCUGAAGGUUUUUGGUUGCCUGUGUUAUGCACAAAUACCAGCAGCAAAGAGAGAUAAGCUCUCUGAAAGGGCUCAACCAGGUGUUCUAGUAGGCUAUAGCUCAGUUAAAAAGGGCUAUAGGGUGCUGGAUCCUUUGACAAACAAAGUCCAAGUGAGCAGAGAUGUCAUCUUUAACGAGAAGGCUUACUGGAAUUGGGAGAAGAGUAAACCAGAAGCUGCUUCAGAAGACCUGGUGCCUAAUCAAGCUGAACUCGAGCACCUUGGUCCUGAAAUGGAUGUUGAUGAUGUGCCUGUGAGAGGCACAAGGCCCCUAGAUGAGAUUUAUGAAAGAGCACAAGUUGCUAUAGCAGAACCUAGUAGUUUUGAAGAAGCUGAAGCAGAUGAAGGUUGGAAACAGGCUAUGGUUGAUGAAAUCAACAUGAUUGUGAAGAAUCAGACAUGGGAGUUGGUUGAAAAGCCUGCCAACAGAAAGACCAUUGGUGUAAAAUGGGUCUAUCGAGUGAAGCACAAUGCGGAUGGAAGUUUAAACAAGCUAAAGGCCAGGCUAGUUGUAAAGGGCUUCAGUCAAAGGUAUGGUCUGGACUACAUGGAAACAUUUGCUCCAGUAGCCAGACUCGAUACAAUCAGAUUGCUGAUUGCAGUUACUGCUCAGAACCAGUGGACAAUCCACCAAAUGGAUGCCAAGUCUGCAUUCCUCAAUGGAUUCUUAGAAGAGGAGAUAUACAUCGAGCAACCCCCAGGUUUUAUAAUUCCUGGUAAGGAACAUUUGGUGUAUAGGCUAAGAAAGGCCUUGUAUGGCCUAAAACAGGCCCCUCGAGCCUGGUAUGCUCGAAUUGACUCAUACUUGGUCAGUUUGGGAUUUGAAAGGAGUGCUAGUGAACCAACUCUUUAUGUUAAGAAGGAUCAAGCAGAAACACAGCUUAUUGUGUCUCCUUAUGUGGAUGAUCUCCUUGUAACAGGAGGAGACAAGACUAUGUUACAAGAUUUCAAAGGAAAAAUGAAGGAAAUGUUCGAGAUGUCAGAUUUGGGGUUGAUGACUUAUUUCCUUGGAAUAGAGAUACAACAAGCUGAUCAAGGAAUCUUUUUGGGACAAAAGGCAUUUGCUUUGAAAGUUUUAUCCAAGUUUUCAAUGCAAAAUUGCAAGCCAACAUGCACACCUAUGGCAGUUGGCAUAAAACUGUCGAGCCAAGAAGAACAUGAGCCUGUCAAUGAAUCAUUUUAUAGGAGCCUUGUUGGUUGUUUGCUGUAUUUAACAGCCACAAGACCUGACAUUCUAUUUGCUGUGAGCAUACUAUCAAGGUUCAUGCACUGCUGUAACCAGCAACAUUACAAGGCUGGGAAAAGGGUGCUAAGAUACAUCAAAGGUACCUUAAACCAUGGAAUACAGUUUAGAAGGGCUGAAGAGUUGAAACUGAUUGGCUACACUGAUAGCGAUUGGGCUGGUUCAAAGGAUGACAUGAAGAGCACUUCUGGCUAUGCUUUUACACUUGGCUCAGCUAUGAUUUGUUGGAGCUCAAGAAAACAAACAAUGGUGGCUCAAUCGACAGCAGAAGCAGAGUAUGUAGCAGCUGCCAAUGCUGUUAAUCAAGCUAUGUGGCUGAGAAAAAUUUUGAGCGAUUUGAAUCUACAGCAGAAUGAAGCAACUGUGAUACAUUGUGACAACAAGUCAGCAGUUGUUAUUGCUAAAAAUCCUGUCUUCCAUGGUAGGACAAAACAUUUCAACAUUAAACUCCAUGUGAUAAGAGAAAUGGAACAAGCUCGAGAGAUCGAGCUAAUUCAUUGCAGCUCAGAAGGUCAGAUCGCCGAUAUCUUCACAAAAUCACUUGGUACAUCGAGAUUUCUAAACCUAAGGAAGCAACUAAGAGUCUGCUGCAUAGAAGCUGAGGAGGAGUGUUGAAGUCAACCCCCAUGCAGCAGCCAAGGUGACCAUGCAAGGUGGCCAUGCAGGGAUCGUGCUUUAACAGCAAACCGAAACUGCAUUGUUUCAUUUGGUUACUCAAAUGAACAUUUUGCAUUUUAGUUUGUUUUGAACUAAGUUGGUAACUGUAUUUUGAUGUAAUUAGGUGCUGAAUGACAAGUUUAGGUAGAAGUUUAUGUUUUCAAUCAAGUUUACCAAGUUACUAGGCAAUUUAGUGGUGUUAGGUAUGUUAUUAGGUGGCAACUUGUUUGUUUUGCUGUUGUUAUCUCAUAUAUAUGUAUUGGUAUUAUGCCUUGUAAAAAAGUAAAUGAAAAUUCAGCUCAUUUUCAUUCAAUUUUAUCUCUUUCUUUUCUGUUCUCCAUUGCAAAAUUUCUUUCUUCUUCAAUAGUUUAUUCAGCAAGGCUCGACACUUGCUGUGCAAGCAAGCUGAAACCAUCUUGCUAUUACCUCUUGCACCAACAGAAAUGAUGACUACCGGUCUUCUUUAUGGUAAGUCCUGGAUGUAUUCUGGGUAUGUUGUGAUAUGAUCAAGUUAUAUCAUUAAAAAUAAUAACCUACUUGGGAAGACAAGGAUAAAUUACUCAAGAGUUUUCCCGAUUACAACCUUGAGGACUAGGUUCUUUCCAAUGGGGGGGACUAUUGUUGUAAACAACAAGGACAUUGGCUUAAUAGAUCAACAAGAUUCAACGGAUGCUGGGACUAAGCAAUUGGGACAAAGAAAUCCAAAGAGAAUAACACGUACAAUGAGGCCACCUAACAAAUAUAAUGACUUUGUAAUGGAUCCACAUUAGCAUUGACUUAAUGAUUUUGUUGUGCGAGAGGAGUGGGUAUAGGUAGCAAGAAAGGGAAGGAAAAUGGCAUGUGUAUUCUGUUGCAAACUAUCAAUUUCUUCUCAUCCACUUCUCUAAUUUUCUCAUCUCAUUCUUAUGUUUUUCCUUCAAUUUUCCAAUGAUGGAACAUAAUUAGCAAUAAAAACUUCAAUUACUCUUGGUUUUCUUCUUAAUCUAGUGUUUAUUUAGCUAGUGAUUAUUACAUAGUUUAAAAUUCAACACUUCAGCAAAAUAUGUUUUUUAAAAUAUUUAUAUUAAUUAUUUAAAAAUAUUUAAUUUUUUAUGUUAUGCACCAAUAUAUUAACUUUUUAAAAUAUUAUUUAAAAUAAUUUUUUUUUCUUUCUAUUUAUCCAUUUCAGAUUAAUUUAAGUUAUACAAAGCUGCUUGAUAGUUUUCACUUGGCCAAGUUAAAGGUCUCGUUGCUUUUUGACUUGUAUUGUUGUGUUCACUUCGUGUUAGGUGGCUGUGUUUGCAACUGGUGUUGAUUCAUCUGCUACUGAAACAAAAGGAACUGUUUUGAUUCACUCUGCUGAGCAGGUAAAUUAUGAUAAUUUUUUAAUUCUUUUUAAAAAUAGGAGAUCGUAUGAAAGAAGCAACCGAUUAGAAGGCAAAUUGUUUUGAAUGCAUUCCUGUUAUUUUAAAAUCUGUGGUUUUGGGCAAUAUGGGCAUAAUGAUUUUCUUAUCUCACGCUGUCCGUCUUUACAUUUUGUAAAUUGGUAUAGGGUGCUUUUGUUGGUCAAAUAUUCUAAAUGUGGAAGGCUUCUCUUUAUGUUUUUUUUCUUACAGCUAGAGAAUUACGCAAAAACUGAAGAAGCUAAGGUUGAGGAGUUCAUUAAAGCAGUUGCUGAUUCUGGUGCCAAAGUUAUCGUUAGUGGUGGAGCAGUCGGGGAAAUGGCAUUGCAUUUCUGUGACCGUUACAAGUACAUCAAGCUUCCUUCCCAUAUUUCCAACUCUUUACUUUGCUCUUUCUUGUUUUGAUUUGAUAUUAAGCCCAUGAUGUUGACUAUGUUGUGUUGAUAGAUUCACCUACUUUUUGGAUUCAAAAUUAUUUCAAUUAUUUUGCUCUCUUGGUCAACAUCUCUGAUACGUGAUUUUAUUUGGGCAGGUUAAUGGUCUUGAAAAUUAGCUCAAAGUUUGAACUACGACGCUUCUGCCGCACAACAGGCACUUCUGCUCUUGUGAGCAUUCUAUCUAGAUUAUGUUAUAAGAAAAAAGAUCAUAUCUUUUGAUUGCAAUCUAAUGGGCCUUUAAUUCUUCUGACAGCUGAAACUCAGCCAACCAAAGCCAGAUGAUUUGGGAUUUGUUGAUUCAAUUUCAGUUGAGGAAAUCGGUGGUUCUCGGGUAUGUUUGAAGAGGUGGAUUUACUUAUAUUUGGUUCCUAGUCCUUGCCUCACUCUAUUUUGCCUUUGCCAAUUUAAUGUAGGUUACUGUUGUGAGAAGUGAAGAUGGGGGUAACAAGGUUGCCACUGUGGUUCUGCGAGGAAGUACUGAUAGUAUAUUGGAUGAUCUUGAAAGAGCUGUUGAUGAUGGAGUCAAUACAUAUAAGGUUUUUUUUUUUUGCUGAUCUUUUUCUUUGAAUGCCAUAUAAACCUCACCUGCUGAAAUUGUCUUUUCCAUUUUUUCUGGAUGUAAAUUCCGAGGAAAGAAUCAUUAUCCCAUUCUUAAUGCCCAUUCAUUUUUGGUCAGGCAAUGUGCAGGGAUAGUCGUAUAGUACCUGGAGCUGCUGCUACAGAAAUCGAGUUGGCGAGAAGACUGAAAGAGUUCUCCUUCAAGGAAACAGGGUGAUUUGUUUUUUCCGUGUGCUCUUCUUAAUGCAAAAUGCCAUCCUGCAUGUGUUGUUUCAUAUUUAAGCUGCAAGUUUAUGCAUUACACUUGUAUGAAUGACAUGAACACAUUUGUGGCGUGAUGGAAUUCUACCCAAGGUAGUCAGUACCACACUGGUUGGUACGACCGGAACCGGUGCAAAACCGACCAUCAUGAUUCUACCUGCUGAACAACUAGGUAUUCAGGCAUAGUGCUGGAGAGGUGUCAAAUGAGUCAACUUCUGCAUUGUUGGCUGUCAAGUUAUUUAUAUCUUGCAUUGGUCAUGUUCAUUCUGAUAGCUGUGUUGAGAAUCUCCUACAGGUUUUUGGGAUUUAUUGUAGAUUAGAUGAGUACUAGAAGAAGCUAUUAAUAUUAACUACGGGAUAUUUUGCAGAUUGGAUCAGUAUGCCAUUGCUAAGUUUGCUGAAAGUUUUGAAUUGGUACCGAGAACCCUGGCAGAGAAUGCUGGACUCAAACCAAUGGAUAUUAUUUCUAACUUGUAUGAAAAGCAUGCAUCUGGGAAUGCUAAAGUGGGCAUCGACUUGAGGGGAGAUGACUCUGAGGAUUGUGUUUGCAAGGAUGUCUCAACCGUGAAUGUUUGGGACCUUUAUGUCACUAAGUAAGUCGCUAUUUACAAUUAUUUCUGGCUCAGUUCUGUUCUCUUUUGCAUCGAAAAUUAACCUCUGAUUCUUUUAUAAUUUACAAUUGUUGACUUUUUUUGUCAGGUUUUUGGCUCUCAAAUAUGCUGCAGAUGCUGCCUGGACUGUGUUGCGUGUAGAUCAGGUAAUUUACUAGAGGCAGAAAGCUUGAAAAUGAAAAUCGCACUUAAAAUAGUUUGCUGAUGGGAUUAGAUUCUCAUGCAAAGCUGUAUUUGUUGCUUAGGAUCGCAUAUGUAUUUCAUUUUCCAAACAUUGUCUUCCACUAAGCUCAGAAAUGCCGUUGAUUCAAUGUUUGCAGAUUAUCAUGGCGAAACCAGCUGGAGGUCCAGCGAGGAGAGAUCAACCGGCAGGAAUGGAUGAGGACUAAAUCUUGCAUGGUAUGAUUGAUUUCCCAUCUCUUGUAUCUCACCACCCAUAAUCGGACUUUGUUUAGGCAUCUAUUUUUUUAUUAUUAUUUUUUCUUUUUAGAUCCUAAAACGUGAUUGAAAGAAUUUUGCAUGUGAUUUUAGAAUAUUUACAGUGGGGAGUAGUGGUGAUCUAUGUUUUUAGUGUAUUACCCUAACCUAUAUUAGGGCCUGGGGUAGGGAGUUAGAAGAUCGUCUCAUUCAUAUCUUUCUCGAUUUUGCAUGGAUGUUGGUUAUAUCAUAGCCUAUUUUACACGAACCCAUUCAUUUUCUCUUAGUACCUAUAUUUAACACUUAUGUUUGAUACAUAUCUUAUUGGCAACCAUGCAAUCUUUGACUUUUCAAAGAUAUGGGUGUCAGGAUAUUGGCACCGAAAAUCUGAGCAUUUAAGGCACCGAAAUUGGGUUGAAAUUUGGAAUGGAAUAAUUGCAAUUUUGGUCCCUAAUUGUAUAGGGACUUUGCAAGUUAAUCCUUGAACUUCAACUAUAAAUAGGCCUAACUAUUUCUCAUUUUACACAUCCCACAUAUGCCAUUCUCUACUUAAGGCAUUGUUCUCUCUCCUUAUUUGUAAAUUUUCACUUGUAUUUUGGAGUGAAAUAUAUUUGGUAGUGCCCGAGGACGUAGGCAAAAUUUGCUGAACCUCAUUAAAAUUCUAAUGUUCUUUAAUUUUGCAUAUUUUGUGAGUGUGAUUGUAGUGAUUUAUUGUGCUAUUAAAUUACGAUAGAGGGAUAUUCUAGCUAGGAAAGACCUGGUACUUAAGUGAUCCUCGCGAUCCACCUCUCUUUCCUGAGAAUUGAACUUAGUGUGAUUUUUUAGUACAAUAAUUUCACUCUUUUACACGCUUCCGCGCAACAUAUCUAGAUAUGUAUAUAAAGAGAUUAGAUUAGUUUCGACUGAAUAAGUUUGUUUGAACAGACUUUAUAAAAGGGAUUACAUCAGUUUCGGUCAAAUAAAUUGAUUCGAAUAGACUUUUAUGCAUUCCUAGUGAGGGAGGAUUGAGUGAUAACUUCAAUUAUUAUGUAUUAAAUGGACAAAUCUAAUUCAGAAUAAAACUUGAGAUUUAGUUAUUUCGUGCAAUAAAUUUGUCUUUAAGAACAUUUAUUUCAGAAUUUUGAUUGUAAGGUUAUAACAUUCUCGCUGUAAAAUAGAGGUGAACAUUUGAUAAUUUCAUUCUAAUCAUAAUUGUGCACCAAUUAUAAAGUCAAAGGAAAACUGCGCACCAGUCAAAUGGAAUUUCCUUCAAUCUAUCCUCUAUUUAAGUUAGAGGAAAAGAUGGUCCAGAUGAGAUGAUACUUGAAAAGUUUAAUGUUGAAUUAAAAUGAAUUCAUUAUUCAUGUCACGUUAAUAUCAUUAAAUUAUCGCUUUAAUCAAUAUUUGCAAUAAAAAAUCCAUAAUUUGACUCAAAAUAAAAUGUUGAGGGUUAAAUUGUCGAAAAGAAAAAAAUAAGGGUCAAAUUGUUAAAAUUUAUGAACUCGAAUAACCUGCCUAGUUUAAAAGGUUUUAUUGACAUUACAAUUAGAUUACUAUUUUACAUUUUGAAAAAUCAAAUUGAAAAAAUUUCAUUUAAAAUAAUAUAAUUUACAUUACAUUAUAUGGAAAAAAAAACAACUAAUUAUAUAUUAACAUAAUCUAUAUCAAAUUUUAAUUCUCAAAAUUCAUCCGAGCAUAUAAUCUCCCUAAAAUUUACAUUUUUAGACUUUUUUUUAUUUUUAAAAUUUUAAAUUAGUAAAUAUAAAAUUACACUUUAAUUUUUCUAAAAUUGAUAAAAAUUUGAUUCAAUUAUUUAAAAUUUAUAAAGAUAUAGACUAUUAAAAUAGUUAAUUGUAUUUUUACUAUCGUAAAAAUUAUUAUUUAAUUUUGACUUCUCUAAAAAUUCUCAAAAUUCGUCCGAGCAUAUAAUUGCGUAAGUGUCUGCUUCCAUUUCAACUUGAUAACCUUUGCUGGUCCUUCACUUGCACGAUCCUUUGAGCAAACUUUCUUGUUUUUAUUGGUCUAAGGGAUAAACAUAAAACACCAAGAUUAUUUUUGUUUCAUUGAGAUAAUCUAUAUCACUGGUAUAUUAAUUUACUUCAAAUCGAGAAAUUUUUCUUAAUAUCGUAGAAAACACAAUCGUUGAAAAUCUUGCUCACGUUAAAUAAAAAUAAAAAAUGAAUCUAUUGAAUUUUAAAAAAAUAUAUUGGAUAUGAAUAUAUUUCUCACAUAGAAAAAUUUUUCCAAUUAAUUAAAAGAGUAUACUUUAUAUUCAUAUUUGAAUAAGUGUUAAAAAUAAGUAAAGAGUUGGAAUAAUAUUAUUUAUACUUCAAGCCAUGAAAUUUAAAUGCUACUUUUAUUAAAAGGAAUUAAACCUAUUUAAGUACUAUUAAGGACUUAUAUUUAAUCUUUCAAAUAUAUAAAAACAAUUUUGAUAUAUUAAAUUGAGCACAUAAAUAGAUCUCAAAUAAAAAUGAUGAUUUUUAAUUCAAGUGAAAUUAGAAUCUAAUCCUCAUUUGAGGAUUUUCACAUUUUUAUUACGUGCUUUGUUAUGGAAGAUAUUCUUUUUUCUCCGCAUUUUUGUCACAAAUUGAUUAUGUUUACUUCAGCUUACCAAUAAAAUAUAGAUGUAAGUGAAUAUAUAUAUAUAGUGAAAUAAAAAUUUAAUAAAAAAUGAAACUAAUGUAGACAUUUCAUGAAUUAGGAAAGAAUUAAGUGACAAAUUUUUAAUGGUAUAAAAACCUAUGUUAUCAAUAUUUGCAAUAUGCAUAGAAUAUGUACUCAUGUUCAAUAUGAGUAUGAAUAAAGAUUUUAAUACUUCUUGAUAUAUAAUAGAAGGAUCAUAUCUCGUUAGUAAAUAAAUUUAGAAUGAUUACUUUAAAUGAAAUAAAAGCUACAAAUGUGUAAAAAAAAAAUCAAUAGGAGGUUGGUUAAGUAGUUUACCACAGUUAAUGCUUCUUCCCCUAUUGGCGCACUAUAAAACUGAAAAAUUUCUGCAUCCGUUUUGGUUGCGGCCCUUCUUCCUCCGCUUCAUCGUAGAUAUUAGCUUUUCGUUUUAUGUGCGAAGUGCUAUCUGUUGAUCAAUCGUUGUGAGCAGAGUGUUGAUGGAUGUGUUCAAAAUUUGGAGAAGAUUGAGUGGUAUGGCACUGCAACUCUUUUAUUUCUUCCAAAUCUUUCUCAUACACUAUUCUAACACCACACUUCUUCACCUUAAUUCCGUAUCCAAAUAGAUUUGUGAAACGCACCUCAAGCUCAUCCCAUUUCUGAUCUAAGCAAUCUGGUGCCCAUAAAUUAUUGGUUUCACAAUGACCAUAUAAUUCAUCCUCCCAGGAAUGUGAAUAUAAUUUAUCACGCGACCAAUAACGAAGAAAAAGGUGAUCUUUCAUUAUGGGCUCGUUAUAUCUUUUACCCACCAUCCAGCCGCUCCCAUCAAUCUGUCUACGAUUUCUACCUCGAAAAAUAGAUCCAUUACAACUGGCUUCUUCAGAAUUUCUACAAUAGAUAAAUGCUCCACAACCGAUAUGCUCGUCAUCCCUUGAAGCAUCAUUAUUGACAAAAAUGCAGCAACAAGCAACUCCAAUCCAUUGACUAUCUUUCGGAACGGGUAUCUUAAUUGAAGAGUCACUUUUUUGUUGGCUAAACCAUUCUGGGAUUUCACUUCCGGGCAUCAUAAUAUCUAACUUUUUUCUUGAAUUUGCAAAUGCCUGCAAAACAAAACACAAGUCGUUUGGUAACUAAAACCAUAAAUUCUCAAGUAUGAGAUUUUGUAAGGGAGAAUAAAGAGAUUAAUCGACCUUACGAUAUUUUUUCAGCAGUGUUAAUGCAUUGAUAUUCUCAGCCAAUUUGAAGCAGUUAAUGGCUCUAAUGAUACCCCUAUCCUCUAAAUUGCGCACUUUUGAUGGACUUGCAACUACUUCAAGUGAAGAGCAAUCAUCUAUACGCAGAUCUGCUAUACUUGUUAGAAGCUCUGGCAACGAUUUAAGCAUCUUGCAAUUUGAUAAUCCCAGUAACUUAAGCCUGCUAAGUUGAGUAAGAGCCAAAGGAAUGGUGAUGAAAUAGUUACCCCUAAGAUAAAGAUAACUCAAAGAGGAUAGAAAAGAGGAUAGACCAUGAAUAUCUGCUUCACCAAGUGUGCACAUGUUGCAAUUUGACAAAUCAAGAAACGAAAGCUUCGAGAGCUGAGUAAGAGAUGCAGGUAUGCUGAUGAAAUUGUUACCACUAAGAUCAAGAUGUAUCAAAGAGGAUAGACCAGAAAUAUCACGUGGAAUAUCUCCUUUACAAAGAUUGCAGUCCCUUAGAUUUAGCUUUCUUAAUGAACUCAAACCUGACAACAAAGGCAACAUCGGAGCUAUGGGAUUCGUCCUUCUUCCUUGGAUUACCUUGAAAAGAAAAGGCAAAUUUGAUCGUGACUUAUAUGAUGGUCCCUUGCAUCCACUGAAAGACAAAACUUUAAGAUUUUUCAAUUGAGAAAUGAAGGAUGGUGGUUCUUUUAUGGAUGUUUCACUCAAGUCAAGCUCUUCCAAAGAUUCUGCUUGCUGCAAAUUCUCUGGUAAAUAUUCAACUUUGAAACAACCAGAAAGAUGAAGAGUUUUUAGAUGUUCCAUUUUCCCAUCAAUCUCUGGAAACCUUUCAAGAUUUGAGCAACCUGAAAGAAUUAAUGUUUCAAGAGAUUCCAUUCCAAUUUUGGUUGGAAGACUCCUAAGACUUUUGCAGUCUCUGAAAUUCAAAAGUUUAAGGCUCUUAAGCACUCCGAUUGAUGGAUGGACAUCUACUAAUCUGGUACAACCUCCUAUAAUCAAAGCUUCAAGUUUUGGUGCUGUUGUGAAGUCAGGUGUCUUGAUCAGGUUUUGGGACCCUUUGAGGUUGAUCAUUUUCAACUUAAACAAGGGCUGUUGAAGACAAUAAUAAAUUAGGCCGAAGACAUAAUAAUGCUAAUGUUUGGUUUUUUUUACCUUAAUCAAAGUUUAAUCAUUUAUAUUAAAAUAAGCUAAAACACAAGAAUAAGAUGAGUUAGUUCUUACUCUAUCCCCCUUCCAUAGUUGUUCAAUAUGACUAUAUGGUAAAAGAAGUGCCACAAGAUUAUCUGGGUGGAAGUUUGAAGGCAAAAAUUUUAAAGGGUAUCCUGUCCAAUCUAAAAGCCGUAGUUCAGUAGAAAGAUAUUUGAGAUGAUCAUCACAAUUUGAUACGCAAAACACUUUGAGCAAUCUCAAAUUCUUCAUCUUCGAGAAGGUAUCGGCGCUCAAAUUGAAUAUCUUGCUGGAUUUCCUAAUAAUCAUGAGUAAAACAAAAAUGAGCUUCAAAAUAUACAAAAACAUUUAAUAUCUAAAAGCUAUGUUGCAUCGAUAUUUUUUUUAUGUACCCACAUCCAGUACUUAUAAGUAAUGCGUAUAUAAAUAUAGUAUUGCGAUAUAAUUGAAUAUAUUAGACAAUACUUAAUCUAACACUUAUUUCACACUUUUAAUUACCUAAGCCUAAAAAACCUAGAACUAAUAUUUUUAUUUAUGUUUAGUGCAUUGAUGUGUAAUUCUAUACAUUACUAGCGAAAUGAUGGCAUUAUUUGGAUUUACUUUUGAAAACUUUUAAUGAUAUGUUAUGGCCUAGUUCAUAAACCAUUAAUAUUAACAAAGACAAUGACAUUAAUUUUUUUAUAAUUUCUUUUGAAAGAGUACUGUGUUUUUUUAUAAAUUUCAUAAAUAUAAGAUUGAAAAUUUAAGCAUUAAAAAUGUGUUUGGUUAGGUGAAAAAGUGAAGGGAUAUGAGAAUAAAGUAUGCUUGGUAGAAAAAAAAAUGAGAGAGAUGAUCAUUUACGUGUAUGUUUUCCUACCAUUUAUUGUCGAUGAUCAUGCUUUCAACCACUUCGGUAGCCUAGAAGUAAUCAAGAAUAGACAAUAAGAAGAUAAAAUAUAUGCUCUAAAUUGUACGAUAAAACAUUAUCACUAUAUUUUGGUUGGAAUAUAGUAAAUAAAAUAUUUUCUAAUGAAAGUAAUUCAAUAAAAUUAAAGCUACUCAAUGUCACUUAAGGAUCAAUAUAUAAACCAAUUAGACUAAGCUUUGGAUUUACAUCAUAUAUUAAUAAAAGAAAUUUUUGUAUGUAAUUUUUGUUGAAUGAUUUACCGUGUUUUUUGUUAGGACAUGAUGGACAUCCCUUUCCUUCCAUAAUCUACAACGUUUUCCGGGUUUAUCAACACAUUUUUCUUCAACAAUUUUUCUUCCCAUUUCUUGCAACAAGGCAUGCAUCCGCAAAUAUUGGUUGUCAUUACUGACUUUUAUGAGAGAUUUCUUAAUGAGAACAUCGACUCCAAUAUCGGGGAAAAACCCACAACCAUCCAAUACUUUUAUUACCAAAUCUUUCUUCUCCCCAUUGAAAAAGCAUGCUAUAUCUAGAAAUAUAUUCUUCUCCCUUUCUUCCAAUCCAUCAAAGCUAAUUCUUAGUGUGUCAAGAAUUUCUUUGUUAGAAUCUUGUUUAAGUCUUUCGAUUGCACUUCUCCAUUGAACUAUAUCUCUACCGCACAAAAAUGAACCCAAAACUUCAAGAGCUAAGGGGAGACCAUCAGCAUAAUGUACAACAUGUUCAGAAAGCUCAAUGAAAUCAACUUUCGGCGUUGUAUCACCGCCGAAAGCUUUCAAAUUGAAAAGCCUUAUUGCAUCGUUGGGAUUCAAUGUUGUAGGCUUAUACACAUCAUUGAUUCGAUAAGAUCGGAGCAAAUGUUCAUCUCUUGUUGUUACAAUGAUCCUACUCCCUAAAUUGAACCAAUCACGCCUUCCAACCAAGCAUUUCAAGUGUUGUAUGUUAUCAACAUCAUCAAGAACAACAAGAACCUUUUUACUGGACAACCUGUGGCUAAUUAUGGCAUUCCCAUCAUGAACAUUGAAAAAAUUGAAGCAUUCAUCCGGAAAGAUUUGAGAAAGUUGUUUCUGUAAAGAAACAAGUCCAUGUUUGUUUGAAACUUCUCGAAUAUCAGCAAGAAAGCAUUUACCCUGAAAAUGAGCUAACAAUUGAGUGUAAGCAACCCUUGCAAGAGUUGUUUUACCGAUGCCACCCAUUCCGCAAAUUCCUAUAAUGCGGACAUCGUCUUCCCCAAUAUUUAUUUUUGAAUACAACUCCUCCAAAUGUAAACUAAUUCCAACCAACUCAUCAUGAACAACUGGAUAUGUCUGACAUAAUUUUGCUGAUAUCUUCUUAACAACGUCUCCAAUAAACUCUGAUUCGUGCCUACAAUGAAAUUAAAAUCCGAUAUGCACUUUUUCAUUUUUAGUUUAGUGAAUCAUGAAGUAUAAUAUGGUUGGAAGCAAACAAAAAGUAUGAAUAAGACAGUAAGAUAUAUUAUAGCAUCAAAAUACACAACUUGCUCCUUAGUUGAAAUAUGGGAAUUCUCAAUUAAACACAAAAUUAUAAAAAUAACAUGCAAUCCAAUAAAAAAAACAAUUUUUUAGUCAUUAAAAUUAGGAGAUAGAGAAGAUAAGAAAGAAAUACCUAUUAUUUAAAUGCCAUCCCUUGAUGUUAGCCACUUCAGUCAAAGCAUUUCGCCACUUUUGGAUCUUGUCUUUAUCUUCCUUGUAUCUUUCUUCGUGUUUGGCAAAGGCUUCUUCAACCUUUUCUUUUUGUUUUCUUAAAUCGGAUGGAUCAACAUGGUAGAAAAUUGGAAAUACUUUAUGACCCUUGUCAUUUUUUUGUUUAACAAUCUCCGCAAGCUCCUCCAAGCACCAACCUGAAAAGGCAUAGGUCUCGGAAAAAACGAUUACCGAGCACCAUGAUUGCUGAAUUGCGUUGAAGAGUUCCGGUGCGAUCUCUUCACCAGUUUCCAACUUUGGAUCAUCUCUAAAAGUGACGAUCCCAGUUCUAUUUAGAGCAUCGUAGAGAUGAUCCGUAAAAUUCUUGCGAGUAUCUUCACCUCUAAAACUCAAGAACACAUCGUAUUUCUUUCUAGAAAUGGAUGAGGAAGUCGAAAGUAACGAUGACAUGAAGAUGUAUGAGAAGAAAAAUAUGUGGAUGUAGUGUUCAAAAUCAGUCGCUCAAUACCUCCGAAACAAUAGGUAUAUGAGCAUGAGGGGAGAAAAACAGAUGAAAUUUCGAGGGAAGAACAAAGGGAGUAGGUGAAAUUUUGAGUAUAAUAAUAUCUAUGAAAGGGAGUAGGUGUGGAAAUUCGGGGUCAUAGAUGCUCUUUCCGGGAAGACUCCAAGAAGGUGAGAGUUCACAAAAUGCAGCCUACAAUUUUUC
rnacentral:lncRNA from 1 species